rnacentral:lncRNA from 1 species
GUUGGCGGUAUUGUUGCUAUUCAGCAGCUGGACUCAUCGCUUUCAUUCAAUAAGCCGUCUAAUUACAAGAUUGUUUACUUCAGGAAAUUAAAUUCCAACCUUUUUGUGAUGAAAAAGGUUGAGAAUGCUCGACCGAUCGCAAGUUCCCAAAGGCGGCUUUUGGGGUAUAAUACAUCAGAAGCGAAACGGGCAGCAUUGAAGAAAUUGGAAGACGUUCUUCUUGAACCACCAAGAGCAUCCUCAGGGACGUCCAGAACUUACCUUAAACGAACGAAAUAUUUGCCAGAUCUAUUGGGGGACUCACUCGAAAGCUACCCCCGUCGGGUUUUCAUUGAUGUAGGCUUGCCUAAGAAAGAUGGCGGCAGUGCCACCACCUGGUUUGUCAAGAAUUAUCCCACAAGGAAUCUGAAGUUCGAGAUGUACAAGAUCGAGACACUAACCAAGGACUCUAAAGAGGUGCAGCAGACUGGGGCGGAGACUGGGAUGUCAGAUUGGCUGCGGAAGAACGUGAAGGACGAAGAGUAUGUAGUGAUGAAGGCUGAGGCUGAAGUGGUUGAAGAUAUGGUGAAGAGCAAGGCUAUUAGAUUGGUUGAUGAGCUGUUCUUGGAAUGCAAACCUAAAGGACUUGGUGGAAGAAAGAACAUGAGCAGAAGGGCUUACUGGUAAUGUUUGGCUUUGUAUGGGAAGUUAAGGGAUGAAGGUGUCGCAGUGCAUCAAUGGUGGGGUUGAAGGGAAGUUUGAUUAAGCAGAGUGAAACAUGUUUAAAGUGUGAGAGAGAGAUCUAUAUGUAUAUAUAAUAUUAUUAUGUUCCAAUACGAUUUCAUGAACAAAAAUCCAAUUUUUAAUUUCUUAUAUAGGGUUAUGUAUAAAUGAAGCCUAUUUUUCUGAAAUUUUUUACGAAAAUGAUUCGCUUCUAAAAGUAAUUAUGAGUAUAGACUGAAAAUUUAAAAAUACGCUAACGUGGACACGUUUUCAAGAUAGAAAAAUGCUUCACAUCAAUACAUUUUUCCUUGAGCCAGGUAAAAGCGUGUUGACAUGGAUGUGCUUUUGCCUGUGUUAGAAUUAAAUUUUAAUUUUUUUUUUAAAUGUUACAAAAAUAAACCAAAAUUUUAAAAAUUUACGAGAAUAAACUUUUAUAAAAACCCAAAGUGACAAUACUAUCUUUUUUUUAGUGCCACCAAUUAACGUGGAAAUAAAAUUUAAAAAAUAGACAAUGUAGGAUUCCUUCCUCUUUUAACUAACAACGGAAGAUUAAAGACUAUUCUAUAUUUUAUAUUUUUUACAAAACAAUUUCUAUUUUUUUAUAUUUUAUUAACAUUUUCUCAUAUUAUAAAAUUAUCUUUUGAGAUAUUUAAUCUUAUUGCAUUUUAGAAUUGUUAGCAUAUACAAAAGACCAUUAAAGAAAAAAGAACAAAUUGCACAUAUGAAACUUAUAUAUGUAGUAAUCUUCUAUUCAACUUUAAAUGUUUGAAGUUAAUAUCCAUGCAAUUCUAAUUUUUAAAAUAAUUUUUCAUUUUUCAGUUUAAAAGAUAUACUUUUAAUUUUUAUUAGUUUAAUUUUAUUUUAUGUUAGGAAUGAUUAAUAAAUAUAUGGCGAGUAUUUGGUACUCAAAUAGUAUAUAUAUUUUUUGUAAUUCUAAAAAAUUGAUAUAUCUUUUUUUAAUAUUUAUUUUUUUAAUAUUUUACUAUACACAUUAAUUUUUUAAUCCUAAUUUUAAUUUAAUUUUUAUUACCUAAUGAAUGUUGAUAAAUUUAUUUCAGACGUAUUUUGAGUAGAUAGAUAAUCUAUUUAAACAUAGUAUAUAAUUAUAUUAAAUAAUUUUUUUAUAGAAAUAUAUAAUAUACAUAAAAUAUAAUAAUCAUUUUUCAUAUUUUUCUAUCUAGAUUAAAUUACAUUAGUAGUCACUUAACUAUGAUUUUUUGGCUAUUGAAUUAUAAAAACUUACAAAAUGAUCACCUAACUAUUAGUAAUUUUUUUUGGUCACCUAAUUAUCUUGAAUUUUGAGAUAUAUAACAAAAAAAAAAGAAGAAAAAAGAGACAAAUUAGAAUAGUUGAAUGACAAUUUUGUAACUUUUCAUAAACAGAUGAUUAAAAAAAUAAUUAAAUAACUAUUUUAGAACUUUUUAUAAUUAAGCGAUAAAAAUUACCUUAAAUACAUAAGAAUAGACAGCUUCAUAAUAAAUUUUUAUAUUAUAUAUGUAUAAAAUUCUUUAUAUGUAAAUGAUUUUUGUUUUAAUAUAACUUUCAUUCAUUUGAAAAGAAAACAAAUGUAUAUAAAUUGAUUUAUUAAUAGUUUCAUACCUACACAUUAUAUUGAUUGUUCACAUAAAAUUUUAGUGUUCAGUAAAUAAAUCUAUAUAAUCUUUUUAGUGAAUAUCUAAUAAUAUUGGUAUUGAAGUAUAUAAAAUGAAAUUGCUUCAAAAAAAAAUGAAACAAAACAAGAUUGCAUUAAUGGAAAAUACUAUAUAAUCUUUUACACAUCCUCCAAACACCUUUAUUUCAAACCCAUUUGGUUCUUUUCAAACAAGAAGAGACCAAAUCCCACAUCAUUUUAUAUGUUAUAAUUUUUUUACUUAUAGAGUUUAAAAUUUUUAUUUAUAAUGUAACAAAUGUUAGCUUUUUGUAAAAAAAAUUAAACUCUAAGUAAAAAAAUAAAAUAAAAUAUAAUGUAACAUUUAAUAUUAUAUUGUUAGUUAAAAGAGGAAGGAAUCCCACAUUGUCUACGAACAAGCUGCAAACCUAUUCAUCAGUCUAUAUAUACACAUGUCUCACAUCUCACAUUGCUUAAGAAAACAAGGGAAAUGAGACUUUGGGUCUAUACAAAUAUCUGUUUUGUAAGUUUUAUUUGGUGGCACUAAAAAAAAAAUUGUGCUGCCACUUUGGGUCUUUAUAAAGACUUAUUCUCGUAAAUUUUUAAAAAAUUGUUCUAUUUUUGUAAUAUUUUAUAAAAAUAACCUUUUUUGAAAAUUUAGUCCGAGCACGGGCAAAAGUGCGUCUAUGUCAGCGCGUUUUUGCCUGACACAAGGAAAAAAAACAUUGAUAUGGAAGCGUUUUUCUAGGUUAUCCCAUGAAAACGUGUCCACGUCACCUCAUUUUUAGGUUUUUGGUCCAUACCUAUAAUUUUUUUUAGAAACGACUCAUUUAUGUAAAUAAUUUUAGAAAUUGGCCUUUAUUGGUACAUUACCCUCUUAUAUAUGUAUACAACAAAAGUUUAAAAAAAUCACACAAACAAGCAAAAUUUAAUAGCUUUUUUGUUCUUUGUAUUCCAAUUUUGAUAAUUUAUUUUUGAUGUAUUUUUCUUUCUAUAGUUUUGAAAUUUGAUGAAAUGAAUUUGUAUUAUGAUCGAAUUUGGUUGAGUUGUAGGGUUUUCGUUUCUUCAAAGAUUUCAUCCUUUUUGGCUUUCUUGAUGAAGUAUUUAAGCUGGUUUCAAAUUUUUGCAAAUUGAUUAAACCGAAUUAACAAAGGGUUUGUCCCAAUAUGUAGUUAAUAAUGGUUAGUAUGAAAGGUGAACUACCAAAAAGGUCAUUUUUUUACAAAAUAUUAUCGGAUUAGGCCUUUUUUUUUUCAAAAUUUAUCGGGUUAGGCCAAUUUUGGAGAAAGAAAGAAAACGCGUUGGACGCAUUUUCAGUAGAUUUGGCAGGAAAACUAUUCUAGUUGGAUGUGUUUUCUUGCUCAGUUAGUAAAAGGGACACGUUUUUCCCAACGGCUACCCCACAACGACUAUUUCCAAUGGCUUUCCCCUCCAAAUAGUAAGAAAUCUCCUGUCACACCCCAAAUCUGGCAAAUCUAAGAAGAAGGCAUGCAGAUGUGAACUUAUCUAUUUAGCGUAGCAUGGUCCACCAAUUAACAGUCUUCUAAUGGAUUAGAGUUUGGCAAAAAGUAUCGGCUUUAGAGUUAAUUAAAGAUUUUAUCUUAGGGUAUUAUGCUAUUUAAGAAAAGAGUGUGACAAGCGAAGAGUAAGCUUGGUGAGAAUUACCUCCAAAUGUAUAGUACACCCAGUUUGCCUAAAAACUGUCUUAUUUGGGUUUUUUAACAUGAUCUAGUUAGGAGCCAACUGAAUUGAUUGGUCAAAUAACAUUUGUACAAAUUCAGGAUACAAUCAACACUUGUCAAGUUCCACUAAGGGGAAUUAGGUGUAUAUAUAUUUUGUCUGAAUGGUUUUUCUUGCUUCAAUAUUACUCUCUAGUUCUUAUUUUAAAACUAUUAUGUUAUUUUCUCCUUUAUUAAGUUGAAAGCUAAGGUUUUUGAAUAACCAGGGGGUGUUCCACCUCUUAGUAAGAUUGAUAGCUCUACAUGUUCAGUUUUUGAAAGAAUAAGGCUGUUAAGAAGCAUUAAACAGUAUGAUAUGAGUAAGAGUCCCUGCAUGAGGGUCAUCUGUAGAUGAGAUGAUAGAAAAUUAUCUGUAAAUGAGAUUUUAUGGUUAUUCCAUUUUCUUUUUAGCAGUUGCUGCUACUAUUGGUUCGGGAAGGAUGUUCUAGUUUGGAACUCCAAGCUACAUUAUAGGUGGGUCUCUAUCGUGGCUCCUGCAUGUGAACUAUUCAAGUAGAGGUAUACAUGAUGAUAGCAUCUCGGAUAGUUGGUAAACGUGUAUGCGAAGUAUGGUAAAGUUCUGCAUGUGUAAGAAUGAUAUGUGUGAAUUACUGUUUUAAUAAGAUGUUAAAUGGUAAGUAUACAUGUGAAAUCUUAUAUGAGAAAGUAAGAAUCAGUCAAGUAUGUGAACAAAUCUGGGCAAGUAACUUCUAAGUAAAACAUCCCUUUGUGAUGCCUCUGGUAGCGUAGUUAUAUUGCUAACCAGAUAGAUAGAUCACGAUAAAAAGAUAUGUGUAAUUCUAUGUGGAAGAGACCCAUGGCAUUAUAUGACAACGAAAACACUCAUGGUGAUGCCUCUAGUAAGAUGAAGACUGGAUUGAUAGCUCAUGACAUGAGGAUGUGUAAGUCCAUAUGGCUGAGACAUAUGACAUAAUAUGAUAAUAAGAAUAUUCAUGGUGAUGCCUUCGGUAAGGUAUAAACCGGACUGGCAAAUCACAACAUAAAGAUAUGUAUAAGUCUAUGAGGGGAAAACCCAUGGAACCUUCUGUGAAAGUCUGCCGAGACAGUAAACAUGUGACUUUGUCUGAUGCCUAUGUGGCGUGAUCUGCUAAGCCUUAGUACUGUGUUUUAUAUUACCUCUAUGGUGAAUCCUAUAACGCCUAUGUGGUGUAUUCAGUGAUGUCUGUGUGAAAAAAUCUGGUUAUCUGCCUUUUUAGCAAUAUCUGAGUAAGUUUUGAGAUUUAUUUGGUAGAUAAUUCUAUAAUAAGGAUCUGAUACGUUUGAAGUUCACUUGGUUGGUUAGUUUAGUGAUGAAAUUAAAUGAUUUUUAAAGGGCAUUUCCUAAAAGAAAGUAUGUAUCUGUAUUUAUAAAGAGGGAAUCCACCAUAGUAGUCUAUCGGUAUAGGAUAUUGGCAUAUUCAUAGUUAUGAAAGGUAUAAGUGUUAAUUGGUUUGAGUUUUUCUAUGCUAUUUAAGGAUGAAAUCUGAGUUAUCUGGUAUCCGCCAUCUCUGAAUAGUUUCAUGUCUCGUUCUGAGGUUAUUUGGAAUCUGAGUUGUUUGUCAAUUUGGGAGUUCUUGUGUUAUGAAACAUAGACAUUUGGAAUUCUUUUGAAUGAUCUAGAACAUUUCAUAAUCAGUAUUAGUUUUAUUUGGGUUUGAUUCGGGAUAUGAUCUAAUUGGUAGUCUGUUAGUUAUCAAAUUCAGUAUGGGAAUCCCCCAAAUUUAAGAUCAGUUAAUACUAUCCACCAAAGAGUGGUAUUUAUGAAUAACCAUUUUGGGAAAAAUGAUAAGUGUUUGUUUAAAGAGGAAUUCGUUGAAAGUAGGCUCUGUAUAAAUAUUCUUCUGAGAAGUACCUGGGUUGUUCUAAAAAGGAAUAAGAUCUAUAUCAAUUGAUAAGAUAUAAAAUCAGAUGAGUGAAAAAAUAGUUUGCACGUUAAGUUUGGUAGUCGACGUAUAAGUAUAUAUUCGAUAUUAGCAAAGUAUUUGCCAAAGAUAGAAUAGUAAUCCAAAACCUGCAAGAGGAGGAACUCAACUAGAAAAACUACAAGGUAUUUUGUAUUAAAACUCACUAAGUUCGCAAGAACUUGCAAAAUCUUUGUUCUUGUUUUAGGUCCUAUUGUGAGAAUGAGUAUGCUGGAAGGGGCCAAGCCAAGGGUGUUCCAAAGAAAAUGAAAAGCUUGGAAUAUUGUGCAUACAGAAGACAUAUUAAGGGUAUGUCGUAUAGUUCCCUACGUCAAGAAGAGUCCGUUUUUAACGAACUUUUGUGUUGUAAUGUAUUAUAUUAUUUUUUAAGAGUCUGUUGUAUUCUUGGAAGUGAAGAAGAAGAAUCUUAAGGACGAACAACCUUAGGGUUUCUACGUUUCAAACUCAAUUUGGUUAGUUCAAUCUAGUAAUUUUCUUGUAACUUUUAUGUUUUCGGAAUCUCGGUAGCUUAAUCUAGCAAACCCAUACUAUAUUUUUUGGUACUGUUAAAGAUUGUGAAUGUUUCCAUUGAUGGAUAGUUAAAUUUCUAGUGGUUAAUUUAAUAGAUUGAUAGUUUAUAGUUGAAAAAAAGACUAACUUGGAAAGUAAAAUUAUGGUUUUGUUCAGUAGGUACUAAAGUGAAUAGAUUUGAAAAUUAGUGGUAAAAAUGAAAAUUAGGAGGUCUUAUAGGGACUUUAGUAUAUUUGGCAUAAGAAAUUGGGGUUAAAUGUGAAAGUUAUUUUAGUACUGGUUUUAGGGACUAAAUUGAAUAAAAUGUAAAAGUUACAUAAAUUAGAAAUUGAAUGUAAUUUUGGUUUGUGUAUUGAUAAUAUUAUAUCUUGUUUUAAUCUGUAGCGAACAUCGACUUGGAUCCCUCGUUAAAUAAAGGAAAAGAUAAAGUUGUCGAUGAAUAGCUCAGAGUUCACAGUUUGUGUUUGUAUAAUACGAAGUAUUUCAAUCAUUACAUUUUUAUAUUGCAUUGUAUGGUAAGUUAUAAGGUAAGCUACAAAUCGAUUUAGUGAGAUGUAUUGAGGUGGUUGAAUUGGUUAUUUGUGCUAAGGAUUGAAUUGAAUAGAUUCAAAAAUAUUGAAUGUUAUUUGAAAUGUGAAAUUGGACUUAUAUUGUGAUGAACUAUGUUGUUUAUAUAUAUAUAUAUAUGUAUGAGAAUAAUAGAUUUGUUUGUUUGAGAUUAUUAUAAUGAAAUAGGAAUUGAUUGAAAAUAAAUGUGAGAAAUAGUUACUCUAUUAACUGUUUGGAUAAGGUCGGGUAUAAUUUGCAUGUCAUAGGAUAGGAAGAGUUUAGGUUUUUACGACUAAAUGUCGGGGAAUGCUGGGCACCCUAUUUGUGCUGGGCACCCUAUUUGUAGAUGACACCAACCAGUGUUGGACACUUUAUUUGUCGAUUUUUUUCGAGCAGUGCAGGGUGCAAUUUAUUAUUACGAAUUUACCAGUCAGGCACUAGGUGCCUUGUUGUGUUGGUUGGAUCCGCAUAUUCAUCCGAGUCCAAGUCAAGUUAAUAUGAUAAAUAAAUAUGAGAAUAAAAAAACAUGGUGGUGAAACAAUUGAAUUAAAUAUGAAUAUGAUCUUUGGAUGCAUACAAUGGUAAAUUAUGAGAAUGGAAUGGAAAUGAGAAAUGGGAAAUGAAACUGUGGAAUGAGUCAUGAACAUAGAUUGAUUAUGUUAAAUGAAGUCAUGAAAAUUGAAAGUGAGAUUGAAUGUGUUAUUUUAUGAUUUGAAUUACCAAAUGACAUAUGAAAUGAAUUUGUCAUGUCCUAGUAUUGGUAAUAAUGUGAUAGUUGUGAGCAAUGAAUAUGUAGAUUAGUAUAUUGGAUUUUUUAUAUUGCAUAUCAUCAUCUAUUUUACCUUAUGCAUUUUUCUCGACUUAUUUUAGAUUUCAAUAUUUGAAUUAUAGAAAAUGCCAUUGAGUUAUACUUAGUGUGCAAUUUUGUUUUCUAUGAGUAGAUUAGGUACCUUUGAGUCAUUCGUCAAUUUCAGCAUCCAAUGGCAAUCCUAGACUCAAGUGUUGGUGAUGCUUUUAGUUUGGUCAUGACAUAUUCCUAGGUAAUCUUAUGUUUAUGCUAUAUUAUAAAUUUUAAUGAGUUUGGAACUUUAAUUAUGAUGUGUAUAUAUUAUAUGUAAGUGUUGGUAAUGAUGCUGUUGAUGGUGAUCUUGUGAGGUAGCUUAGGUAUGUAUGCUUAUUGCUCAAGUGGUGAAUAAGUAAUGUGUUUUGAUCUAGGUGUGGAAAAGUGAUUAAUAUGCUUAGGUUGUGCUUGAUAUAGUUGGUAAGUUUGAAGCAUGCAUGUGUGGUUGAAAUUGAGUUAUUUUAUGAUGUUUUAUAAUGUUAAAUGGUGCAUGCUAUGUUGAUUGUGAAUUUUUAGUAAUGCGAUAAUGUUUGGUUACGAAAUGUUUUUUAGGUAUAUAAUUGUAUUUAAAUGGUACCAUUUAAGUUCAAUUGAGUUUGGCAUGAAAUAAACAUAUUUUAAAUUGGAUUUUUAUCAUUUUUGAGCUUUAGUAUCGAUAUUUUGGCAUUUGGUAUCGAUACUUGACCAUAUGAACAAUUUUUAAAACAAAUAGAAUGUUAAAAUGGUAUCGAUUUUUAUAUGAGUAUCAAUACCCUUGUUUUACAUAACAAACAAAAUCGUGAUUUGGUAUUGUUAUUCAAAUAUGGUAUCGAUACAUUAUUGAUACCCAGUAAUUAAAUAUUGAUACCAACUUUAAAACUUUGAAAUUUUAUAAAUCAAUCAUAUUUCAUGCUUGAAUUUCAUAAUUAGGUCCAUGUAGACUUCAAUUUAUUUUGUUUGCAAUGUAUGCGAAUGGUAUUUAUAUAAAUUGUAUUUAAGUUUGGAUCAUUUGACGAAAGUUUCCCUAGAAACAAAUAUGACAUUCCGUUAUUCGGAUUCGGUGAUCGGGUUGGGUAAUAGGGUGUUAUGAUUUAUGAGCAUUCUCCUAUCUCUUUCUUUAUUCUUUUAUUUAUGAUUCGUUAACUUGAUCAAUUAACUAUCAUAUGAAUAUUAGAAUAAUUCUUUGUGCUUCAUUUAUAUUUUGCAUGAUUCGAUUAUUAAACUAAUUUAUUUGUUAAGUAAUUAUUUAUCUGAAAUUGAUUAUUUAUUCAAGGCUACUUAGUACAAUAGGGAUUGAAGACCCUAAUAGAAUAUCGAGAUAGGCAAGAUCGAAAGGGUAUCCUGUCGUGUAUAACUUGUGUCAGUAGGUGAGACCGGAAGGGUAUCCGUAUGCCUAGGAAGAGAUCAGGAGGGUGACUUAGGUGGUAAUCCUUAAUGAAGAUGAACUGGGAAGGUAGUCGUAGGUAAGGGUGAUAAAUAACUCAAUCUAGGAUAAUUAAUUUUUUAAUUAGAUAAUUAGGGAUUUAAUCGAUCAUAGGCUAGAGGCUCGUGUUGUCAACACUAGGAAUAGGAAAGUCCAUUAGGCUAGUUUAGGGUAGUUAAUUUAAUUAGUUUAAUUAAAAUAUUAAUUUUCAUUUACACUAGUAAUUCGUGACUCAAUUAGAUUAGUAAUUGUUUUUUGUUAUUGAUUUAAUAUUAAUUACUCCAAUCUGCAAUCCCUUGGGUACGAUCCACAGUAUACUUACUGGUGUUUUGUUGUAACAUAUACUAUAUUACAAUCUUAACUCUUAUAUUUUUAGUGUGAUAUUUAUUCUAUAAACGAUAACAUGUUUAUAAGUAGUCACUAGUAAAUAAAAUAUUCUACUACAAGUUGGGGCCAAUUAUGGCAAUUUCCCAUGUGACACCCUAAAAUUUGAACGUUCAUUUGUUAAUUCUGUUAAUAAGAUAUGUAUUUGCUUCAGUGGUUUAGGGCCUUGAUUAUGUGUUUGAGAUUGGUGAUUCAAGUCUCCCUUUUUGAAAUUUUUUUUAUUUGUUUUGAUUUAACCUUUAUCCAUGAACUUUUGACUUAAGUUUAAUUCCGUGUUAACUUGUGUCAAGAAUGAGCCUGGUGGUUCAAUGGCUAGGCUUUUGUGUACCCUCUGGUCCUGUGUUUGUGUCUUUGCAUAAGUGAAUAAGGAAUGUAUUUGUUUUUACUAUUCCGAAAGAAAUAAAAUAGUUAUUUUAAAUUUAUUAAAUUGUUUCCUUCUUUCCUCUUUCUUUUGACUUUUUUUUAGUUCUUUUCUUCUUCUUUUGUUGUUACUUUCUAUUGUCUUACUUCGACGGAAGGAGCGACGCACUGUCCCAAGUCAUGCUUCGUGUUUUAGAGAAGGUCGUUGAGACCCAUUCUGGAUCUGAAGGCCGAGGGUUGGUCACGGAAUGACUUCGGUCGAAUGGUGAUGAGGUGUUCAAGGGAGUCACUAGAGUCGCCCCUACAGUGGUUGAGUAUUGGUUAGAGGCCACUGAGUGCAUCAUGAAUGAUAUCGACUUCACUCCGACACAGAAACUAAGGGGCACAAUAUCUUUGCUCUGGGAUUAGGCAUACCAAUGGUGGUUAACAGUUGAGGAAGACACCCAGUUUGAACACAUCAUAUGGGAUUUCUUCAGAAAUGCCAUCUACAGUAAGUAUGUGGAGGUGAAUUAUGUGGAGGCUCAUAGACGCGAGUUUAUGAGCGUAGUUCAGGGUGAGAGGUUUGUGGCUGAGUUUCUGAGAUUAAGCAGGUAUGCUUGUAGUUUGGUUUUGAAUGAUUAUGAAAAGAGUAUCCGGUUCAAGGAGCGAUUGAGAUACAAUUUGAGGGUUCUGCUAGCUCCUCAGAGGGAGCGAGUGUUCGGGGCCUUGGUUGACAAGGCGAAGAUGGCCAAGGAGGUGAAGCGCACUAAGCACGAGAGGAAAGAUUGAGAAAAGAGCCAGAGUAAGCUUAAGAGGGAUUUGAGUCCCUCUAGUUCUGUUCAAUGACUUAAGAAACGAGCUAAAUUUGAUGGGCCUUCGAGGGCUGAGGCACCAACUGCACCGACUGAGAUAUAGACCUGUAGUGACUGUGGAAGAUGCCAUCUGGGUGAGUGCUGGAGGAGGUUGAGAGCCUAUCUACGAUACGGGUUGAUAGAGCACCACAUUAGGGACUGUCCUUUUCGAUCCAAUCCGAUGCAAGCUCCUGCACAGGCUUCAGCUCUGGGUCUAGUUCAGCUUCCGAGGGCAGCACAACAACCAGGAGUGUUCACCAGUUGAAUAAGUUGACGGUAAAAAAUAGAUAUAUGCUUCCCAGGAUCUAUGACCAAUUCGAUCAGUUCCGUGCUCUCUAAGCUCGAUCUCUGCUCUGGGUAUCAUCAACUGAAGGUUAAGGAUAUUGAUGUGUAUAAGACUACUUUCAGAACUUGUUAUGCACACUACGAGUUCCUAGUCAUGCCAUUCGGGUCUACGAAUGCUCCGACUGCAUUUAUGGACCUAAUGAAUCGGGUAUUUUAAUCGUGUUUGGAUCAAUUUGUUGUGGUCUUCAUUGAUGAUAUUCUGGUAUACUCUAAGACUGAGAGUGAACAUAAUGAACACCAUAGAGUAGUUCUAAAAAUAUUUCGUGAGAAACAUAUCUACGCUAAGUUGAGUAAAUGCGAGUUGUGGUUAUGAUAGGUUACUUUUUUAGGAUAUGUUGUUUCUACUGAGGGGAUCUGAGUUGAUCCUAAAAAAGUUAAUUAAGGCUAUGAUUGAGUGAAAACAGUUGAGGAAUGUGUUUGAGAUUCGAAGUUUCCUAGGUUUAUUAGGUUACUACCAGAGGUUUGUUGAGGUGUUCUCACUUAUUACAGCCUCUCUGAUUCAGUUGCUGCGUAAGAAUGUGCCUUUUGUGUGGUCUGAAGAGAAACAAGUGAGCUUUGAGAAGUUCAAGUUUGUUCUGACUCAGACAUAUUUUCUAGUACAACUUUAAUCUGUUAGAGAGUUAGUAGUCUACAAUGAUGCUUCGCAUGUCAGAUUGGACUGCGUUUUGAUAUGGGAAGGUAAGGUAAGGUUGUGGCUUAUGUGUACAGACAACUUAAGUCACAGGAAGGCAAAUAUCCCACACAUAAUCUUGAGUUGGCUGCAGUUAUCUUGACUCUGAAAAUCUUAAGGCAUUAUUUAUAUGGUGAGAGGUGUAUCAUUUACACAGAUCACAAGAGCCUUAAGUAUUUGUUGACUUAGAAAGAGUUGAACCUUAGGCAAUGUAGAUAGGUUGAGUUGCUUAAGGAAUACGAAUUCGCUAUAAAGUACCAUCCUGAUAAGACCAAUGUUGUGGCCGAUGCUCUUAGUCAUAGAGCGAUGUCUGAUUUGAGAGCCAUGUUUGCUUGCUUGAGUUUGUUCACAACAAUAGUCUAUUGGCCGAGUUACAUGUUAAAUCGCAUAGUAGCCUUUAUGCUAUGCAUCCUAGGGGAAAUAAGAUGUACAGGGAGCUUCGAGAGUUAUAUUGGUGGCUCGACUUGAAAUAGGAGGUAACUACCUUUGUCUCUCAUUGUAUGACGUGCCAGUAGGUUAAGGCUAAACACCAACUCCUUCAGGUCUGCUAUAAUAGGUUAAGAUUACUAUUUGGAAGUGGGAGCAUGUGACCACGGAUUUUGUUUGUGGGUUGCCUCUGGCACCCAUUAAGAAAGAUUCUGUUUGGGUCAUUGUGGAUCGAUUGACCAAGUUUUCUUAUUUCUUACUUGUUAGGAUGGAAUAUUCAUUACAGAAGCUAGCUAAGUUGUAUGUCUUUGAAAUUGUAAGACUAUAAGGAGUUCCAGUUUUGGAAUAAUCUUUAUGAGGCAUUGGGCACUCAUUUGGAUUCUAGUAUUGCGUAGCAUCCUCAGACCGAUGGACAGUCAACUUAAGUUUAAUUCCGCAUUAACUUGUACCAAGAAUGAGCCUGGUGCAAAGAGGAAACGUAUUUGUUUUUACUACUUUGAAAGAAAAAAAAUUAGUUUCUUAAAUUUAUUAAAUUGUUUCAUUCUUUCCUCUUUCUUUUGACCAUUUUUUUCCUUUCUUCUUCUUUUGUUUUUGCUUCGUGUUGUCUUCUCUAUUGCUUUUUUAUAUUUCUUUUUGUUAAAUUUUCACUGUUAUUUUUUGGAGAAGUUGCGUGGUUCGUUGUAUUUCGAUUGAAAGGUUAAUUGUGUAAGUUUUGUGGUUGAAUUUCUGUAACGUUCGCUCUCGGUCAUUUAUGUCAAAAUUGGUUUUCUAUUUAUGUUGCUCAAAUUAUUUGUGAAGUGUUUGAUUAGUCUUCUUUUAAGUGAAGAUCUUGAGGAUAACAAUCCUCCAAUGCAUUAGGUCUGUGAAUUUGCUGUAUAGUGUGAAGGUAAGUGUUGAUUUUCGAGUUUAGGGUUUUUGCGUCGAAAGUUUUUGACAUAUCUCGAUUUUGUGCGUUAAUUUGAGAAUUUUGAUUAGGGAAUAAUUGUUUGCUUGGUCAUUUUUUUAUCAUCUUUAGGUUCUGGGUCACUCUGUUACUUCUACUUCGAAUCUAUACCAAGUGUGUAACGAAAACUGAGAUUUCUAUGAAUGGCGGAAGUCAGAAUCUAUGUCUGUUGACCACCACAUGGCUGUGUGCCAAGCCAUGUGGUAGGCCAUGUAACUCUCUGACUUAGGCCACACGAGCGUGUGUCUAGGCUAUGUGAGGGACUAUUUUGAUUGUGAGUCAUACGAGUGAAUGACUCGGGCAUGUGUCACGACCGUGUAACUCUUUGCCUUGAGUCACACAGGCGUGUGUCAGGUUGUGUGCCAGACCGUGUAACUCUCUUACUUGGAUCACACGACCGUGUGAUAGGUUGUGUGAGGCAUUGAGAUAAGCUAAAAGGCCGUGCGCUAGGCCGUGUGGGCCACAUGGGCCAACCAUGUAGGCCGUGUGAAUCCAUAUGGGCAUGUGGGCCAAAAAAUUGGAUUUUUCAUUAAGGCCGUAAGUGUUAUUCGAAUCAAACAUAGGCCUUCUGUAGGGUUCGUAUGAUUUAAAUUAGGCUAUAAAACUUAUUAUGUGAUGCUCUGUUACUGGAAAAUCUGUUAUAUGAACAGUAAUCUGAUGUGUUAUUUGAAAAGUGUCGUGUGUGAAUAUGAUAUGCGAAUUGUGCAAGUAUACAUGUCAAGUCAACUAAUAAAGUGAUAAGUGAGAUCGUCUCCACAGGGAUCAGAUUAGGUAUAGAAAUGGUCAAGUUAUGAUAAAGAUUAAUGUUAUGGAAAAACCGAGUUAAGUACGCAGUGGUAAAUUAAAAUAAUAAGGAUAAGUGCAAAAUAUAUACUGACUAAUAUUGGAAAAUGUUAAGGAAAAACAAGAGUAAAAAUGUAAUGGCAAUUACAAAAAUAAUUACGUGAAUAAAAUGCAAGCGAAUAAAUAAAUAACUAAGAAUGAUAUGAAAAAGAUACUAUGACAAAGGAUAGAAAUUCUACGAUGUUGAUUGAAAGGUUGGGAUUACUAAGACUUUGCCUUUACUUUCAAUAACGCUUUAGCAAAAUCAUACUUAACCUACUGCUCAAAAGAGACCUAAAGUGACCUACUUCCUUCGAGAUCAAGAUCUCAAGUUAACUGGUCUGUGUUUAUAGGCCAUAGUAGGGCACCUCCUGCACUGUUUUAUCUUCAUUCAAUACAAAUGCUGCUCUAUGUCUAGAGUUUACUGCAGGUACUCAAUUGAAUACCCACUUGUAUCAUUCAAUUUUAGUUCAGUUAAUCCAACCUUUUUAGAAUUAGAUUCAGUUUAUGUGCAUAUUGCACACUCAUCUAUGUCUAGAGAAUGUAUGCAUACAGUAGGAAAUAAAAGCAAUUAAAUGAAACAAUAGAUUAAAUCAAAUAGAUGCUUCAACCAUUAAAGAAAAUAAAAGUUUCAUAAUGUAAUCUCAACCCUAUGAAGUUUAGUUCAUGGGUUGGCGAUUAAAAUUCAAGUUCAAAAUAACAUUCAAUAUCAUUUUGAUUAAUUUGAUUCAAGGUAGAACAUGUUAAGAAAUAAUGGAAGAACUUAGGAAGAUGGUUGUAGCCAAAUCAAUCCACAAUCCAGUAGCACAGUGUCCUGUGGUGGCUGAGAGGGAUUGCCUUCAACUUCUUUUUCCGUCUCUACUCAGCUGCUAUCAUCUACUGUUGCCUCUGAAUCUCCACACCUUUUAGGGUUUCCACCUUUGGCUUUUUAAAAGCUUUUCUUCCUAGGAUAGCUCUAACAGCCCACAUCCUCUCCUCUUUUUUAGGUAGAUUUUUCUGGUACAAGUAGAGUUGGGCUUAGACUGGUAUACAUUGAAUACAAGGUGGCAAACUGUCCAACCUUUUUCCCUGGAAAACCUUCACUCCUUUAUUUCUUUCUCCACAUCUUACACCUACCGAACCACCAAACACAACCCUUCCACAUGAAAUUAAAAGUAUCUAACAUGUAAACACAAUUCAAGCUCCUAAUACAAAUGAUAAAAAUACUAAUAAAAUGUCCUAACAUGCCAUUAAAUGUACCCAAGUACAAGCAAUUAGCUAGGUUGAAUGGCACAAAAUAUAACUCUUUUCAAGAGUUAUCGCACCCCCAAACCUAAAUUAUUGCUUGUCCUCAAGAAAAAUUUGUAUAAAUGCAUGUAUACGGCAGUAUUGCGAAUGCAUGUACCCAUGUUGUAUUGUCAAUCUAUUCGGAGACCAAUAUAUACAUUAGUUUUCAGACAUCUUCUCUCGUUAAAAUCCUGUUUGAAUUUCGACGGUUUGACUUAACAAAGGUAGUGCAAAAAAUUGCUAGCUAAAAAUAAGAUUUCUUAAGUUUCAUGUAUGUUUUGGCCAUAACAAAUAUCUCCUAGCUUAAUCAAUUCGUUUGUUACCUAAACUCAAAUCACUCUUGCUUUAAGCAUACUUGUAUAAACCAUUUACAUUUGUGUUUUUUGUCUUGUUUUUUUAAUGAAAAAUUAGUAAAUUAAGAGAUUUAGCAUGUCACAAAAUUCUUUGACUUGAUAAUCACAAUGGAGUAUACACCGAAUUACCGAGUACUCAAUCAUGUCACAAUUUAAACAGAAAUCACUCUUGAAGCUAAGGCUUUUGUAAUAUCCUGAUUUUGGGCCUAGUCGGAAUAGUGGUUUCGUGACCACAAAAUCCGAGAUAGAAAUAAUUAUUUUAUGAUUAUUUUAAGGUCUAUGAUAUGAUUGCAUGAUUGUGUGAAAAUUUCGUGAAGAAAUUUUAUGCAUAAAGUACUUAAAUUGAAAUUAGGGACUAAAUCAAAUAAUUUACAAAACUUGCAUUCUAGAAGUUAUUAGUAUGAAAUUGUUUUGAAAUAUUAAUUAGGAGGUCUUAAAUAGCAAUUUUACCAAUUUCUAAGUCUAUGGACAAAAAUUGGACAUGGAUGGAAUUUUUGGAAAGUUUAGUAGUAAGGGCAUUUUGGUCAUUUAGGGGUAAAAUGAAUUAAAAUACAAAAUUAAAAGCCAAUUUUGCUCAUCUUCAACCCCAUGGCCGAAUAUAGCAAGGAGAAACCAUGGCUAGGGUUUUUCAAGCUUCCAAGCUCGAUUAGCAAGGAAAACUAAAAUUCGGUCUAAAAUGGGGAAAAUACCAAGUUGUGGAUGAAAUGGUAAAAGUAGACAUUUUCGCAUACGAUGUAAGUUCAUAUGUAAAUGUUGGUAACAUAGUUAUUAUUUUAAAUGUUUUAAUGUUAUUUAAAUGAUAUGAUAAUUAUUAUGAAAUAUCAUACUUGUGACAAUUGUUUGAUAAUAUGUCAAAUUAUGUGAUAUACUUGGAAAAUGUGAAAUACUACCGAGUAUCGGUUCAGCAUUCCGUAGAAGAUGGUUGAGACACAUGAUUGGGAAAAAGGUCCCGUUGAACCUUAGGAAUGGAUUAGGAUACAAGUGACAUGUCACUAGGAUGGUUGAGCAUCCAAACUCGUUGAGUUGAGUCCGAGUUCACUUAUGGAUGCAAAUGUCCGAACUCGUUGAGUUGAGUCUGAGUUUGUGAGAUGUAACUAGGCAUCCAAACUCGUUAAGUUGAGUCCGAGUUCACUCAUGGAUGCGAACGCCCGAGCUCGUUGAGUUGAGUCCGAGUUCGCUUAUGGGCGGGUUACAUAGUAGCUUGGCUACAUAUGUGGCACUUAUGUGCAAACUUUCCAUGUAUCCGAAUUAUAUUCUGAUGUGUUCAACGGGUAAAGUUCUACUCAAAUGGAGGAAUACUAAAGAUGAAAGGGACGUAUUUGUAAGUGUUGUGAAAUGGAUACUUUGAACAGGUAUGUACUUAACCCUCAGGUUGAAAACUCGAUAUAACAACAAUAUGGUAAGAUCAUAAAUGAAAAUGUGAUAUGAAUGUCUUGGUGAUGAUUAUGCAAAUGAUGUUUUAUGUUUGCUUAUAUGGUUAUGUUACUUGCUAUUUGCAUGUAAACUUACUAAGCAUUUAUGCUUACUCCCUCCUUUUCAUUCCUUGUAGUUUUGACAAGCUAGCUCGGAAAUCGGGAACGGUCGGAGGCACGCUCACACUAUCCGUAUACCAUCUUGGCAUAAUGACUUGUAUAUUUUGAGUAUGGCAUGUAUAGUAUUAUAAUCAUUUUGUAUAUAUGGUCUUAUGAUAUGGUUAUUGAGUGGUAUAAAAAUGCUUGGUAAUGAUUAGCCAUUGGAAUGGCUAAUUAUGAUCAUAUUUGGUGUUAUGUAUGUCAAAUUGCUAGCUAAUCCAUGGAAACCAUGAAAUAGGUAAAAUUUACCAUAAAAUAGAUUCAGACAGAAGUAGUGACGUGAAUUUGAAAAAUCACUAAAAAUAGUAGAAAUGGAAUUAAAUAAUGAAUAAGUUAUGGAAUCUAAGCUUGGUGAGUCUAUUUUCAUAUGGAAGAAGCAAAACAGGUAUAUAAGCUAUAUUUUAUGAGAUGUUUAAAUUUUUGUGAAACAGGGCCAGAGUGAUUUCUGGAUCCCCUGUUCUGAUUUUGGAAAUUCACCAUAAAUUGUAAAAAUAUAAUUAUAAGUCAUACUUUAUAUGUAAAGAUUCUUUAUUGAGUCUAGUUUUAAGAGAAACAAAUUUCAUAGUCAUUGAAAUUCUGUACAAAUAGAUAUCUGAUUCGUAAUACACAGAGGUCAGAGCUGUCGAACCCUGAAAUAGGGGAGACUUUAACUAAUAAACUGUACUAAUUGGAUCAACCAAAAAUUCUAGAAAACAAUUAGUAGAUAGAUAUAUGAGUCUAGUUUCAGUGAAAAUUUACGGAUCUUAAUUUUGAGUUUUGGAACUCGAGAUGCGAAUUUUUAAAGCGACUGUGAUGCAGUUAGCCAGCUUGUCUGGAAAUUUUAAAAUGAAUUGUAUGAGUUGUUUAAGUAAUGAAUUAAGUUAGUUAACACCUUAUGUUCGACUCCGGCGACGGUCUUGGGUACGGGGCGUUACAGCUUUUGACUUAGAAGAUGGAUGGAGCAAAUAACUACCACCUUAACUACUCAACUCGUUACUAUAGUGGAGUGCCUCUAAUUUAUUUACUUUCUAUUACACACUCUUACUUAAACUCACCUUUCUAGUCAACAACACGAUGGAGCAAACAAAGUGGUGCUAACUUACUCGAAAAUUCUAAGCAUUGGAGUGCCUACUGUCCUUUAUUUAAUAAUGCCAAGGCAAAAUGACUGAAUUUUUGCUUCAAAGGUCCCUAAUUUCAUUAAAAGAUACUUACUAUAACCCAAAAAAGAUUGAGUAUAGGACAUCCUAUUUUUAGAAAUUAACUUUCAAGCAACCAUUCCUAAGCUAAAUUCACCCAAUCCACUAUCACAUGUUCAAAGUAUAUUGAAGAAUUUCAGCUCAUCAUCUAACAUCAUAAGUACAGAUUGUACUCCUCAUAGGCCAAUAGUACAUAAUAGUUAUAUUGCUGUGGCAAAAUAGGUUCAACUAAACUAGAAUAACUAUUCUAAAAUGAUCAUACAUACUAAAUAUAACAUGCAACCUAAAUACACAACACACCCCUAAAUCUAAGGGAUGCAUUGUCCCCAAUCCAUGUUCAAAUAUGUAAGAGAACAACUAAAAGAGAAAUUUUUACAACAAAUGCCAUGACAAAAUAAAAUGAAAUGCAAUAUGCAUGCAAGAAAGAAGAAAAGAGAGAAAAAAACUUAGUUGGCUUGGACUAGCAUUUUGAAAUUGUAGUCUACCCGAUGAGUGGAUUUUUGGGUACUGACUUUGUACUGCCACUUCCUCUUUUUAGAGGUCAUUUCUUCUCCUUUCUUGUCAGUUUUUGUGAGUUCAUCGAUUAGAUGAUCAAUGUCACGGUCAGGUGUAGAUACCGGAGCUAAUGGUGAAGGUGGAACAAUAUCUUUCUCUUUGGUGGUGGCAGUAUCAUCCUUUCUCCUUCUUUCUCCUUUCAGCAUUUAAGGAAGUCAUCUUCUUGGGCUCUUCCGUAGAAAUUUGAAUAGGUGCCUUAGCAGCACGUUGAAUGGGUGCUUUAGCAGAAGCUUGAGUAGGCUCUUUGGAAGCACCAUCAAAUGGGAGCAAGGUGGCUGGGAAGAUAGGAAACUUUGGCAUUGGCUUUGUGAAAUUAUUUUGUAGGAAUUUCCUUAUAGCCAAAUCCCUACUCCUCACAUAAGCUCAAUAUUUAGCUUGCUACUGCUAGGCCUAUGCCAUCUUCUCAAUUAGGUUAAACUACUGGAUUGCAGAAAGGGACAUCCUCUACUGUAACUGCUUCAAGGAGUGCACCAUUUGCUGUUCAAGGGAGCUACGAGAAACUGGAGGUGCUUCUAUGGGGGUAUGCGUAGCAAAAGAAUUGGUGGCAUGACAUGCUGAGUUGCCCUGGCAACAUCAGUGCCUUGGAUUUUGGCAAAAAUGGUCUUGGUCAACCCACUCUUGUUAGGGGUGAUAUCCUCCUCCGCAUUAAGAGGGACUCCUGUGGUUCGACAAAGAGAAGUAAUAAGUGAAGGAAAGUUUAAACUACUCGCAUUCUUUUCAGCACACCGAUGUACGUAUUGAAAAAUGAUCAUCCCAACAUUAGUACUUCUCCCUUUUAUAAUGGAGUGCAGCAAAAGCAUUCUUUCUUUCAAAACAAUUGUAUUGUGUGUAGACGACAUAAGUCGGCUCCUCAUGAAAUGAUACUAAAUUUUCCCAAUAGACUUCAACAAAUCCUUCUCAAUAGUAUAACAAUAUUGACUGGAAACAGUCCAUCUUGUUCCUUUGAUACAUAAAUUCUCUAACACCUUGGCUAAACCUUCAACGGUAAUACUUUCAGCAAAUAGUGUAUGUUAUUCCUAUAUUCCUGUAAGACCAAACUAUGCAUUAAUAUGGUCUUCAUCAAAAGGAAAGGAAGUACCUCUUUCGUAGAUAAAAGGGGAAUUUGGAGAGUUGACAUGGGCAUAAAAUUCUAGAAUAAUUUUUCCUAAAACAUCCUCGGGAUGCAAAGAAAAAGCAUUCCACCCAUGUUUUUCUACUAUAGAGGACACAAACUCAUCCUAUUCCAUAUAUGGUUCAUCUUUAAAUAAGAACCUUUGCUCAAAAUAGAAAGGGCGUUUUGCGAUGUACUAUUGUAUUUCGUGGCUGUGGCGCUAUUAAAGAAUGUCUUUGGCUGAGUAGCACCAACCCUUGAUGAUUCAACAAUUUUGGAGGCAAUUUUGACACGAGCCAUUGGAGAAAACAAUGUUCAUAGAAAUUGAAAGGUCUAUUUUUCUCCAACAAAAUGCACAAGGGUUUAGAUAUCUUCAAAAAAUCCUUAAUGAAUCUACUGCAAAAACCUAUAUGACCUAAAAAACUUCUAAUACCCUUGACACUGGUGGGAGGUGGCAAUUUUUAUAUCACUUCAAUUUUUUCUCUGUCUACUUAAAUUCCUCUUUGUGAUAUCCUAUACCUUGGACAAUUCCUUCACGAACCAUGAAGUGGCAUUUCUCCCAAUUUAAAACAAGAUUUGUUUCUUCAAAACGACACAAAACCAAUUCCAUAUUUUUCAAACAAUCUUCAAAAUCAUUCUUCAACACAAAAAAAUUGUCCUUGAAAACUUCAAGAAAAUUUUCCACAAUGUUAGAGACUAUGGCCAUCAUACGACGUUUAAAAGUUGUUGGGGCAUUACAUAAUCUGAACGACAUCCAUAUGAACGCAAAAGUACCAUAUGGACUUGUGAAAGUUGUCUUCUAUUGGUCAUUGGGGGCUAUGGCAAUUUGAUUAUAUAACAAAUAAGCAUCCAAAAAAUAGUAGAAAACUUUCUUAGCUAAUCUAUCCAACUUCUGAUCAAUGAAUGGUAAGGGAAAAUGGUCCUUCCAAGUUGCCUUGUUAAGCUUUUGGUAAUCCAUACAUGCUCUCCAUCCCUUGACAGUGCGAGUUGGUAUGAGCUCAUUAUUGUCAUUACUUACCACUGUGGCACCUCCUUUCUUGGGUACACAUUGCACAGGACUUACCCAUAAGUUGUUUGAAAUCGGGUAAAUGAUGCCAGCGUUAAGCCAUUUAAUAAUCUCUUUCUUGAAAACAUUUUCAUGGUCAGAUUCAGUCUUCUCUACUGUUCAAUGAAAUUGCUAAGGCAAUCCUCUAACAAAAUCUUAUGCAUGUAGUAUGCAAGGCUAAUUCCCUUUAUAUAAGCUAGGGUCCAUCUCAAUGCCUUUCGAAAUUGCCGAAGAAAUUCUAACAACAUUUCCUUUUGCUCGGGUGUCAGGUCCAUAGGAAUUACUACUAGAAAAGUACUGUUUUGCCCAAAUAUGCAUACUUCAAAUGCUGUGGCAAAGGUUUUAACUCCAGUGGAGGAGGUUUCUCUAUAGAAGGUUUAGGAUGAUUGAAAGGUCGAUUUAAUAGAUCCAAGGGUUCAAACCUCUUCCUUGGUCUAUCUACUAUCUGCUUGGCUUCCAUAAAUUCAUCGAAUUCCUCAAAACUUAUUGUACUAUUGUGCUCAAGUGAGUCUUUGUCACUAUCGGAAUUGUUAUGGCAAUGUCUGGUGAUUUCCACCAUCGUUAUUUCUAUCAACCCAAUGGCACGACAUUCAUCAUGAACAUCAGAACAUUUCAAAGCAUUAAACACAUUGAAUGUAACCUGCUGAUCAUUUACCUUCAUAGCCAACUCGCCUUUCUGUACAUCAAUUAAUGUCCUGCCAGUAGUAAGAACAGGUCUUCCAAGAAUAAUUGGCACAUCUUGGUUAGGUUCCCAUUCUAAAAUAAGGAAAUUCAUAGGAAAGAUAAAUUUAUCUACUCUUACCAGCACAUCCUCAAUUUUACCUUACAGAUGCGCGUAGGAUCAAUCAACUAGUUGCGACGUAACCACAGUAGGUCUUUCUUUUCCUAUUCCUAGCUUCCUAAAAAUAGACAUAGGCAUUAGAUUUAUACUUGCUCCUAGAUCACAUAGUGCAUUACUAACAUAAUGAUUCAAUUGAACAUGGGAUAGUGAAACACUCUAGGUCCUUCAACUUUAGAGGUAAUUUAUUUGUCAACAUUGUUGUGCACCCUUCAUAGAGAGCGACAGUCUCAAAUUCUCCCAGUCUGCACUUUUUUAACAAUAUAUCUUUCAUAAAUUUCACAUAGUUGGGCAUUUGCUCCAAAGCUUCAACUAGUGGUAUGUUGAUAUAGAGUUGCUUUAAAACCUCCAAAAAUCUUUUGAAUUGAAUAUCCUACUUAGAAUUAUGAAAAUGCUGAGGAAAAGGAAAAGGUGGUCGUCCUUCAUGUUAUUGAUAUUGUUUUUUCGUGGCAUUCUUAUUGAUAACAUGUUCCGAUUCUACCACAACAUUUGGCUGCUUACCCUUUUUAGAUUCACUAUGUUUUUUAGAUGACUCUGGGAUCUUUUCCUGGUUGUUAAUCGAGUUAUCCUCUUCUGUAGUAUCAUCUUGAGCAACAUCAACAAGCUAAGUUUUUGUUUUAGGAGUGAUGGCCUUGCAUUGCUCCUUCCCUUUUGAUCUCAAAUUCUCAGCAUCACUUGGCAACGCUCCUUGUGGUCUCAAAUUUAAACCAUUCGCUAUUUGCCCCACUUGAUUCUCACGAGAUCAGAGAGAUGCAACCUGACUUUGAAUUACAACAUCAUUCUUGACCAUAUAUUCCUUCAGCAAGGCUUCAAUAGAUGAUGAUGAUGAUGAAACUGAUGCCUUACCUUGCUAGACAUUUUGCCUCGACAUAGAUUGAGGAUUAGCAGUUGGUGCAUUGAUGGCAUUCUGUCUUUCCAUAUUGUUAAAAUCCCCUGCACCUUGAUUAUUCCAACUAAAGUUGGGAUGUUGCUUCCACCCAGGAUUAUACAUGUUGGAGUAGGGAUUAUUGUUCUAAUUGAAAUUACCCAUGUAGCACACGUAUGCUGGAUUUGAUGGUCAUUCAUCAAGCACAUGAUCUUCACCACAAUAAACACAUGAUAGUUCGGCUGAUUUAUCUCCUGGACUGUAGUAGUCCUUUUCAUUGAAUCAUAUUAGCCAAAGAAGAUACCUGGGCUGUCAACGAAGUGAUUGCAUCUAGCUCCAUAUUACCAACAACUAACUUUCUUGUUUGUCCCAACUCUUGUGGUAGGGUAUUGAUAAUUAUUGUUGGCAAUCUUUUCCAAAAUCUCAUAUGCUUCAUUAUAAGAUUUAUCCAACAAAGUAUAGUUAGCAGAAGCAUCAACUACUGUCCCUGUAUGUACAUUUAGACCAUUAUAGAAUAUAUCCAUCUAAGUUCAGUGUUGAAAUCUAUGCAUCAAACUUUUUCAAAUUAAGUCUUUAAAUAAUUCCUAAGCUUCAUAUAGUGUUUCAUCCUCCAAGUGCUGAAAACAUGUGAUGCCAUUUCUAAGCUUGGUAUUCAUAUUUAGGGGAUUAUUGUAAACUCAAAAUAAAAUAAGUAAAUUUUACUUAAUUAGUAAUAUUGGGCAUGAAUUUAUAAAGUAUGUGAAAUUAUGCUUAAUUAUAUUAUUUUUGUACAUAUUUUAUAGUAUUUCAUGUUAAUUUAUUAAUAUGUGAUUUUUCACCACGUAGGAGGACCAUUAAAGAUGUGAUUAGUUUGAAUGAAACAUGGACAUGCACAAAUAAAUUCAUGUAGUUGGAAAGACCAUGCAACCUCAUGACCCAUUAAAAGAGGUGCAAAAAGAUGGACAUGUCUACUAAGUUAUUAGACUGAGAAACCAUCCAACAAGGGGGAACUAAAGCCCAGUUUUGGCAAAACUAGAUGGCAACCCAAAAGCAAGCUUUGGGGUAUUUAAUUGAAGGUCCUUACAGUUGGAAAAUAAUUAGAAAUUAGCCAAACUACUUUACUGUUGAAGCUGUCCACCUUAUGGCUAUUAAUAGCCUUGGUUUGAAUUCAAAUUGAGGAGACUAAGUCAUCCCUUUCUCCUUGAAAUAUGGCUGGCCAUGCAUGGUAGAAAAAGAAGGAAUUUUGAAUUUAUUUUUAGCUAACUCUACCCCUUACCUUCAUCUAUAAAUUUCGUGCACCAAUCCUUUAAUCCAUCAUCCCUCACUUCACAUUUCUCUUCUUUCAUUAAGCAUUUCUCCACAUUCUAUUUCCCUUUUCCUUGCCUUUGCAUAGUUGUCCAUCUCCUUCCCAUCCUUUAGCAAAAAAAGUUGUGUCGAAAGCAUUCUUUGGCCGGCCACCUUAGGAACUCCUUAACAAAAAAAGCAUCGAGCAGAACAGAGGAGCACAUCAGUCAGAACAGAUCCAAAAGGCUACUGAACUAAAUUAGUCAGAAUAGAUCCAAAAGGAUACUGAGCUGAAUAGAGUUUACUCUUUCCUCUUGUUAUCUAUUAAUUAUGUUUGCUUUGAGUUUAUUUUUUUUACAUCAACAAUGAUAUACGAAAUCCUAUUUCUUAGGAUGAUUAUGUUAAUUCAAUAAUAUAUAUUUUAUUCAUGUUUAACAUGUUUAGGCCUCAUUCAAUCGUGUUUUCAAUUAAGAUCAAGAUGCAUUUUAUUCAUACACAAUUGGGUGCACUCAGAUUAGUUGAGCGAUUCUAACCAGAUGACGCCUAGUAGAAACAUAAUUGAAAAGUGCAAUGCUCAAUUUAGAUCCUUAAACCCACUAAGUUUAGGUUCAUAAUAUCUUUAGUUAGCUCUAUUGCCUUGCAUAGUUUUUAGGUUUAUGUAAUUAAACUGUUGCAAAUGUAAAUGUCCUUAUGACCUUACGUAAAUGCUAAGAAACCCUUAGUUAAUAUGAUCAGUAAAAUGCAUAUUUAACUAAGAAAAAGAAUCUGAAAGAACUUAAUUUGGUUUCCAAACUCAUGAAAGAUCAAGUUUCCGUGGAAGUAUUUUCAAACAUUGUUUAGCAUGAUAAAGUAAAUUUAAUUGAUUAAUAUAAUUAUCUUAGACCAUUCAAUGUUGAUCAUUUUUGUUGCUAAAGUCAUUCAUUCAUACAUUUAGGUAAAUUGCAUCUUGAAUGGAAUUACAUAGGUUUCAAUAUUUGCAUCUAAUUAAUUUUACUUAGUUUAAUCAUUACCAUCCAAAUUAUUGAGUUAUUACAUCAAAUUGUGAAUUUAUGAUUUUUCAAAUAAUUGAUUAAGCUCAUACAGUCCCUUUGGAGAUAAUAACUAAUUUUACUUAUUACUUGAAAGACUGUGUACAGUUGUGUAUUUUUCUCGUCACAAUUAUAUCGUAGCAAAAACCUUUGACAAAGAUCAUUCCAUGAUGCCAUUGUUCCUGAUGGCAAAGCAUUCAACCAUGCACUUGUAUGAUCUCUUAAAGAAUAUGGAAACAACUUAAGUCCCACAACGUCUUUAGGAGCACCCUGUUGCCUAAAUGAGUCACAAACCUCUAGAAAAAGUUGUAAAUGCAGUCUUAAAUCUUCAGUGGGCUGUCCACCAAACAGUCCUACUGUUUGCAGCAUCUGGAACAUUACCAGUUUCAGCUCAAAACUGCUAAACAUGUAUUUGUGGUAUGACUAUCCUUGGAUUCAGGUCAUCUAAAAAAUUGGCACAACAUGCUCUUGGAUGGGUGUAAUCUAUCACCCCACGAACAUGAGGAUUGGCACCCUGACCAUUCAAAUUAUCAUUUAGACAAGGUAUCACCCUACAAACAGGAGGAUUAGUAUCUUGACCAUUCGAAUUAUCAUUGAGGCCAGGAUCAUUCUCGUUCCUAGCCAUUUUUCGCAAUUUUUCCAUCUUCUUCGUAAAGUUCUUUCUAUCUCUUCAUAAAAAGGAUAUUCUUUUUAGCAGGAAUGCCUUUUCUCAUACACUGAUGACAAACUUAUAGAAAUUAAAUUAAAAUAAGUUAAAUAAACUAAUGAAACUAAGUAAAAUAACCAAACCAAAUUACACCAACUUACCGAUCCCCAGCAACGGCGGCAAAAACUUGUUGCGUGUGAAUAUAAUAUGUUAAUUGUACAAGUGUACAUGUCAAAUCAAGUAAUAAAGUGAUAAGUGAGAUCAUCUCCAGAAGGAUCAGGUUAGGUAUAAAAAUGGUCAAGUUAUGAUAAUGAUUAAUGUUAUGGAAAAAUCGAGUUAAGUACGCAACGGUAAAUUAAAACAAUAAGGAUAAGUGCAAAAUGUAUACAGACUAAUAUUAGAAACUUUUAAGGUAAAACAAGAGUAAAAAUGCAACGACAAUGACUAAAAUAAUUACGUGAAUAAAAUGCAAGCGAAUAAAUAAAUAACUAAGAAUGUUAUGGAAAAGUUACUAUGACAAAGGAUAGAAAUUCUAUGAUGUUGAUUGGAAGGUUGAGAUUACUGAGACUCUUCCCUUACUUUCAGUAAUGUCUUAGCAAAAUCAUAAUUAACCUACUGCUCAUAAAAGACCUAAAGUGACUCACUUCUUUCGAGAACAAUAUCUCAAGUUACCUAUCUUGUAUCUAUAUGCCUCAACACAACACAACACCCUGCACUGUUUUGUAUUUAUUCUAUACAAAUACUGCUAUAUGUCUAGGGCCUACUAAGGUAUUCGGUCGAGUACCCACUUGUAUCAUUCAAUUUCAGUCCAACUAAUCCAACCUUUUUAGAAUUAGAUUCAGUCUAUGUGCAUACUGCACACUCAUCUAUGUUUAGAGAAUGUACGCAUACAGUUAGGAAAUAAAAGCAAUUGAAUGAAAUAGUAUAUUAAAUCAACUAUAUUCUACAACCAUUAAAGAAAAUAAAAGUUUCAUCAUGUAAUCCCAGCCCUAUGAGAUUUAAUUCAUUGGUUGGCAAUUAAAAUUUAAGUUCAAAAUAACAUCCAAUAUCAUUUCAAUCAGUUCAAAUCAAGGGAAAACAUAUUAAUAAAUAAAGGAAGAACUUAGGAAGAUGUCGCCAAAACAAUCCACAAUCAAGCAGCACAGUGCCCUGUGGUUGUUGAGAGUGACUGCCUCCAGCUUCCUUUUUCCUUCUCUACUCAGCCGUUACUCUCUAUUGUUGCCUCUAGAUCUUUACACCCUUUAGGGUUUCCACCUUUGGCCUUGUAUAAGCUUUCCUUCCUAGGAGAGCUCCAACAACCUACGAUAUCCUCUUAUCUUUUUUAGGUAGAUUUUUUUGGUAAAGUAGAGUUGGACUGAGGCUGGUAUGCGUUGAGUGUUAACUCAAUCAUUUUCCAAAUUACCACGGCAUCAAGGUGACAAACUAUCCAACCUUUUGCCAUGGAAAAUAUUUACUCCUUUAUUUAUUUCUCCAUAUCUUGUACCUGCCAUACUACCAAACACAACCUUUCCACACGUAAUUAAAAGUAUCUAACAUGUAAAUAGAAUUGAAGCUCUUAAUGCGAAUGAUAAAAAUAAUAAAAUGUCCUAGCAUGCCACUAAAUGUACCCAAGUACAAGCAAUUGACUAGGUCUAAAGGCAUAAAAUAUAACUCUUUUCAAGAGUUAUCAAUAAGCAAGUAUGAUCUGUAUUAAAUGAAUCUAUACCAUUGUGUACGCAUAUCUAAUAUCUGUUAAUUAUGCAUCUGCAUUAGGAUGGGAUUUGUGAUAACAGAGGUGUUAGAUUACCCCCAAAGACCAAUCAUGAGAUAAUUGUAAUAACAUACUUAUUUUACCUCGUUUAUUAAUAUAAGGCAUAGCCAUUAUUAUUUUACUUUUUUUUCUAUGUAUAUAAAUAAAUUGUUUUAAAGUAAUGUCUUGAGAAUAAUAUGAUUAUUCUUAAAAGGUCCUUAGUCGAGUAUUAUUGUGGGCUUGGACAACAAUAAUGCAUUAAGAUUAACAUGUAGUUGAUUGAUGACAAAGUGUUGUUAUUGACACAAGAUGUCAAAAUCAAUACAUGAGUAUGUGUGUUAGAGAACAACAUAUUGGACUGACUCGCUAUGAGUAUGUUUCUUGGAUUAUUAUGUAAUAGUCACAACAUUACUCAUAGUGAUUACUAUGUAUACGAUCCUUAGACUUGAGAUCAUAAUUAUCCCAACAUCGUGAGUCAUAUAUUUUGAUACAGUCAAACAUCCACCGCAAUUGGUUUUUCUAUAAAGGCUAAUGUUGGAUAUACCACAAUCUAUGUAGUGGGAUAUGGUUGAUCAAUAUAGAAUUUGUCCCUCUUGCAUAAUGGUAGCAAUAUCCUAGGCCACUUGAUUGAGUGAGACUAGAAAUGAAUGGCCAUACUCAAAUAAGUUGAUAUGAGAUAUCAUAGUUAUUUCUUUUUAAUAAUCUACUCAGGAUAUCAAGAAACAUUAGAUGGGAUAUACAAGUGUGACUAUUUCAUGACUUGUGUCCAUUUUGGAUAUAAAAGAUAAAAGGAUUUAAUAUAUGAAGGGUUAAUCAUAGAGAGGUUAUGUCGAAUCAUGACUUCUUGUAACUUAGGUAGCAAUGAUGCAUUGUUAGAGGCCACUCAUUGUUUAUAAUAUUAGAAUCAUUCUAGUAUUACUAGUAACGUUACAAGAACCUACAGGGUCACACCCUAUGGUUGAAACGAACAAAAUCCAAACGUAGUUGAUAUUGAGUUUAGCUGUCACAUGAAUUAAAUUGAUUAUAGAACUAAUUCAAUUGGGCAGUUAAAUAUCGAAGGAAUUAUAUGUACAAGUAUGUUGUACACAUAAUGAAAAGUAUGGUUAAAUUAAUAUAUGAAUUUGAUUCGUGUAAAAUUUAACUACAAAUAAUUUAUCGAAAUCCUUUAUAUAAUUAUUGUAAUUAUAAUUUAAGAUCAAAUAUUAUUAUAAUUACUGUAAUUGUAAAUUUUUUUGGUGAAACAUUAUUAUAAGUAUGGUAAUAUAAUUAUUAUAUUCAGUUAUUAUUAUGAUUUGAUUCAUAUAAAAAAUAUCAAUUAUUCCUGAAUUAGGAAAUAUAUGGUUUUUAAGAAAAACCUUAUAUACUUGAAAAAUAAAGUAUGUGAGGUCUAGCAGUCGUCAAUAGUUUUUUCUCUCUCUGAAAAAGUUUUAAAGAGUGUUUAUUGUUCAUUGUCACAUCGAGUGGAUUACGUGAGGCUGAAACUUUUCGUAGUGUUUAUUGUUCAUUGUCACAUCGAGUGGAUUACGUGAGGCUGAAACUUUUCGUAGCAGCUUGGAAUCGACAUACAAUAGCAUAAUUUGUUUCUUAAACUUUUCAGAUGAUUAAGGUAAUUGUUCAGACCCUUUUCACCCCGAUUCAUUCAUUGCACAUGGAUCCCCGGAUGUGAUCGCUGGAUUUAUUUUUUUUUGCUACGUCAUAGGGUGUACCCUGUGAUCCUACAGGAGGAAGUGUGCGUAGUUUAAUUAUCUGUCGAUUCUGGUGGCUAAGCCACAUAUAAAUAUUUGAUUGUGGUGAUUUAUCGCACUUUGAUCUGGCAACUAGUUUGCCACAUUCUGAACGUGACAUACUGUCACUAUACGGUGUGUAGGGAUGGAUGGGUACUAGAUACCCUAUUUGGUGUGUAGGGACAGACGGAAAUGGUGUGUAGCGGAUGGGGGUAGGAAAUUUACAUCUGUAUUUGAUAUAUCUUGUUUUUGUUUCUGUAUCUGACUUGGAGAACUGUUUGCAUAUUGAGAAGCUGAUGACUUGUCUGAUAUUUUCUAUUAUUUGAAUACAUAACUUACACACUGAAUAUGUAAAUUCAUUUCAUCUAUUUGAUUGAGUUUUAGGUAACCUACAGACUUAGGCGGGUCGGCGUAGCUGGAACUUGGUCAACUCCUUUUGGUUGUUUUUAUUGUCUUAAUCCAAUUUAUAUUAUCCUAUGUUUCCUUUUUGGAUUAUUGUCAAAAGUUUGGAUUUUCAUGGAUUGAUAUAAUCAUUUUUAAUGAUUUUGGAUUGUUUAAAUUUCAAGAAAACUAGGUUGGGCUUUUCAAAUGGUUAUUAUAACUCUCCAAAUUUGGCCAUAAUGUCUAGGCCAGUUCUGAGGUGUUAAAUCCCAAAUGUGUCAUCUAAGGAAAUAAACUUCAAGUUGGCCUACCAUCAUUGUGUCGUUGUGACCAAGAGAAGCCCCUUGUCAUGAUGUCAAUUGUAUUUCAAUGUAACAGCUUAUUUUUCAGUUGUGUCGGAAACAGUGAUUUCGGGGCCACCAAAUCUGACGAGUAAGUUUGUAAAUAUUAUUAUUUAAUAUUUAUGAGUCAAAUAUGGUUUUAAAAAGGUUUUUUAUUUGAUAAAUUAUGUUCUAUAAGUGAUUUAUUAAGUUCAAGUGAUAUGACCCUAAGGUCAAGUGGUUUUAGAAAAUGAGGUAUCGGGACCUCGUUUCUAUAAACCAAGCCGUAAAUAUUUUUAUAAAAAUUUACAAAGUGUCAUUAAGGUGGUAUUAGAGUUUUGUUGAAAAAAAUUAUCGUUUCGAUAGUUAAUAAAUUAAAAAGGACUAAAUUGUAAAAGAUGAAAAAAUUGACGCUAUUUGAUUUGAGUGAUUAAAUGACUUCAUGAAUGAAAGUAUAAGGACUAAUAUGGUCAAUAUACCAUAUUAUAUAUAAGUGGGCGGUUGGCUUUAUUUUAUUAUGAAAAUAUGUAUGUUUUAUUAAUUAAUUAAAACAAAUUAAAAGGUAAUAAAACAAGUUAAAGAUAUCAUCUUUUAUCUUUUAUUGUUUAGCUGAAUUUGAGAAGGAAGAAAGCCAUUGAUAAACCUUUAAGCUUCAGCUAAACUUCAUAGAAUGUAUGUAAGUCUGUUUCAUCCCCAUUUCUUGUAAUUUUUAUGUUUUUGAGAUCGUUACAACUAGGUCCAGCUAGUCCAUACCUUCGAUUUUGAAACUGUUAAAGAUUUUGAAUGUUGCCAUGGAUGAAUCUUGCGAUUUUUCAUGUUAAAUGAUGAAUUUGUAAUGUUGAUUGAUAAUUAAAAGUAUUUCGUUAAGUAAUUUUUUAACGACAUUAUCAAUUAGAGACUAAAUUGUUAAGUUAAUAAAAGUACUAGGAUUUAAUGUGAAAUUAUUGCAUAAAUGGCUGUUUUGGAUACCCUGAGCAUUCGGCAAAGCUCAAUUUUGGGUAAAAAUGGUUAAUUUGCAUGUUUUGGGCUUAGGGACUAAAUUAAUUAAAAAUAAAAAUUUAAAGGUAAUUUUGUAAAAUAUUAAAAAAUGACUGUUAUUAAUUUAGUUCAAUAUAGAGUGGAAAAUUAAGGAAAAUAGAAAAUUACCAAAAUGCCCCUAAACUUUGGUAUUUUUGCAAUUUAUCAAGGUAAGUUCGUAUGAAUUAUAUUCGGUAUAAUUUUGAUUAAAUUGGAUGUUAAUAUGUGAUUAUAUUGUGAUUAAAUCAAUAUAUAUGGUUAGUAUGCAAUUUAAUGUGUUAUGAAACGACGUAAAUCCAACAACAUACGGCGAUUAUCGAGCCCCGUUUGAACCUUAGGAAUUCGUAGGAGACAAAUGACAUGUCAUUAGGGUUUACAUGAUUCGGAUGCUAGUCCUAAACGUCCUAUCAAUGGCAGAGGUUCGAAAUGUGUUUCGGAUACUCCACAGUUUGUGUGAGCAACAUCGUGUAGCUACGUUCUGACCCACAGCUUGUGUGAGCAUACAUGUACAGGAAUUGACGGGUUACAGUUAUAUGAGUUAGCACACUAUGUAUGAGCUAUCCCGAGUAUCCAAUGGUAUUCUAAAUGGUUCAAUGGGCACUAGACGAAUUUGAAACGGUAAGAUAACGAUAUGAAUUAUAACAUGUAUAUGUGUGAACAUCCUUGAUAUGAUGAUGCAUGAGAAUUAUAUAAGUUGAGAUGAGUUAUAAACUCAUGAGAUACAUAUUGUAGCUAAAUGGAUAUUUAUGUUAAUGUGCCUAUGAAUUAUAUCUUGUAUGCUAAGAUUGUUGGUGUAAAUGGGAAUUGGCCACGUUCUAGUUGGAUUAUGCUAUGUUAAACUUAUAAGUUAUGCAUUGAAAUGGUAAGUGCUCAAAUGGAAAUAUGCUUGUGUUCAUGUAAAAGUGGUAAGGUUUAAAUUAUGUAAUACCUUAUGAAAUGAUUUAUCAUGUGGUUAAUUCCCAAAAUAGCUAUGUUUAAAUGCACUAGCUUGUGACUAUGGUUGAUGAUAUGCUUAUGUCUUGUGUGUUAUGCAUAUGAAACGGGCGUGGAAAGGUAAUGAAAUAGUAAGUUCAUACUUAAAGUCUAAAAUGAUGAAAAAGGGAAUGAUGAGUUGAAUUGAUGUUGUUAUUUAAGUUAAAGAAACUAAAUGCAAUAGAAAGUAAUGAAAUACAAAUGAAAAUAAGAAAAUUUGAAAGGGUUUAAAGUUUUAUAAAAUCCUACUAUGUUAGGGAUGAUAUGUAUAUGUGAUGCUGUGGAUUUAUUCACUUUGUGAGUUGUUGACUAUGGUUUCAGUAAUCUUGUGGUAUUGGUAUAGGAUUAUUCUUUAUAUGUAUAAAUUUCAUAUUUGAAAUGGAUUAAUAUGACUAAAGUUUGUACAAGCUUACUAAGUAUUCAUUACUUAUGUAGCUGUUUUUCCUUUACUUUUUAGAUUAUUAGAAGCUCGAUCGGGUUGGAAGCUCGUUGGAGAUCUGUCACACUAUCCAACGAUUAUAUCUGUAGAUUUUGAUGUCUUGGUUAAUGUUAUAAUGACAUGUAUAGGUGAACUUAUAGUUGAUGAUUAGUUGAAUGUUAGUUGAUGUGUUUGGCAUGUAUAUGUCAUUUUGGGCGAUGUAACCUUGGUAUAUUUGGUGCCUUGUUGAUAUGUGUUAAUUUUAUAAUGUGUUAAAGCAUGUUUGAAUGACCAAAGUGAUAUAUGAUGAAUUGACCUCAACAUGGUCAAGAUAUGGUAUGCUUUGGAAAUGAUUUGAACUAGAUAUGACAUGAAUCUAAUAUGGUGUGGUGAUUAUGUAGCAAUUAUGUUAUGUUUUGGCAUGUAAACAAGUUAAUUGAUAAUUAGAUAAAUAUGCACAUGUAUAGGUGUUUUUUGUUGAUGUUUUAGCCAUUAUGUUUUGGCUUGUAAAUUUGGUAUUUUGAAUGAUUUAAAUGGUUGAUAUGUUGAUAUAUGUAUGUGGCCUUUUGAUGGAUGAAUUUAUAGCCUUUGUGAUGCUUAGAUGAUGGAAGUUGAAUAUGGUCAUUUUGGUAUUAAAAAUGUAGUUGGUAUUUAUGGCUUAUGAUACUAAAUGUUAAAUGGUAAAUUAGGUACAUAUGAGUGUGGAUUUGAUGUGUACAAAAUGGUAAGUUUUGGCUAAACUAAUCAUUUAGUUAUACAUGUUUAAUUGUUGUGAUUAAGGUGCCUUUUGGGCAUAUUGGUUAUAUGAAUAUGUACCUAUUUGGAUAGCUUGUUAUUGUAUGGUUUUGUGUACUUUGGGAUGCUUGAUUACAUGUGGUAAAUUGGCUAUAGGUGUGUGCAUGAAUGGGUGAGAAAAAUGGCUUGAAAAUGUCCUCGUCUACAUGGUCAAAGACACGAGCAUGUGUCUCAGUUGUGUGUGACACGUGGCCAUGGGACACGUCCGUGUGUCCCUGUAGGUUUUUAAAGGUUGCAUUUUGAGAGUUACACGGCCUGGCACACGAGCAUGUAGCUUGGUCGUGUGACCCAAGUCAGAGAGUUAUACGAGCACAGACUCGAGCUGGGACACGGCUAUGUCUCCCUACUUUGAAUGUCCAUACGAACUGAGACGCGGGUGUGUCUCUAAGCCGUGUGAGUCACACGGCCUGGCUACACGGCCAUGUGACCUCUGCAGUUUUGAAAUAUUUCACCUUUUUCUGAAAAUUUCUUUAUGACUCUGAUUUAGUUCCAACAUGUUUCUAAUGUGUUUUUAGGGCCUGAAGGGCUUGUAAAAGGGACAAUAUGUAUGUCAUUAUCUGGUUUUGCAUUAAUUGAUGUUGUGAAUUAAAUGCUUUAAAUUAUGAUAGUUUCAAAACAUAAACUCUAGUAAUGCUCCAUAACCCUAUUUCAGCGACGGAUACGGGUUAGGGGUGAUACAUUCUAGGCCUUGGCAGCUUUGUUGUGCUAUCAAGCUCCAUUGUCUCAUGGCCCUAUUGUCAUUCCUUGUAUUCUUGGACCUAAAAGGACAUCCAACACACUUAAUUAGCUCAUUAGUCACUUAUGAGUCUCGAGUCAGCCUUACGAGUCUUCCAAAUAGUAUAAAAUGUGUAAAAAUGAUUAUUUUAUAAACUUUUAGUUCCUAAUCUUAUAAUAUUGAAAAUAUAACAGUUAAUUAUAAAAUGCCUAGAAAAAAAGUAGUUAAGUGCAGAAAUGACCUAAAAUAACUACUACAAGAGAUGUCAGGUCACUUAACCCCACACUUAAGUCUUUGCUUGUCCUCAAGCAACAAAAGAAAAGAAAACUAAAAACUAUAACUAAAUAAUGUCCUUGAUCCAGCUUGAUACACAAGAUUAGAUCGGAGCAUCGACACUAAGAAGGUUUACCUAAAUAUAUAACUCUACCUAGAAAUUGAAUCAAUCCAAAGUUAUUUGCACCUAAACAACUUAGUUCAAUAAAUUACAAAGUAAACAAAUUAAAGAAAAUUAAAUAUAUAUAUCCAUCAAAAUGUAUAUACAAAUAUAAUAUUUAUUUUGCAGGGAAUAGUGAGUUUGGAUAUUUUUCCUACUCGAUUUAUUUUUAUCCAUGCUUUGAACUCAAAUACAGUAAUAUUUCCCCGAUAAUCCCUUAUGAUUUUUUUAUUUGUGCUAAUACGAUUGAAUUUUUUUCGAAAACUUUUUAUAAAGGUUAUACUAGUCAUAUUGUACCACUUCAAUAAUCAUGGAUUUUACCAAGUGUUUUUUUUUUAAUUCGAACAUCCUAUACUUUUACAAAUAUAAUUUCCUAUUUGUAUCUACCUAUACAACUUGGUAUAUUUAAUCUUUUUUUCCUAUUUACAAUUUAAUAAACUGAACUAAUUAGUCUAAGUAUAAACAUCCUUAAAGUAUUCAAUUUCAGGCUAGCCUUAUAAUUUAAAUAAACAACCUAGGUAUAUGCUCCUAACCAAUCACUUGUAUUUCUACAAGCUCAAGCGCAAGCACAAACAAAACACACAAAAUAAAAAUUUUAAAAUGAAUAAAACAGAACAAAAUUGAUCUAAUGUAAUUUAGUGUAGCAAAUUAGACUAAUUUUUGCAGUUUAGGAGCUUAAAGAUAAGUGUUUUAUUAAGUUUUAAUUAUGGUUUCUUAAAGUUUCCAUUUAGUUAAUAAAAUGUGAAAUUUGAGUCUUUUAUUGAACUUAGGGGCCAAAUAAGGCCUAUAGGUGAGCUGAUGAGCUGUAUAAGUGUGCAGGAGACCACUAGAAGGCGUAAUACACAGAUACUGGUCACUAUGUCACAACAUGGAAUGCUCGAUAUCACAGCAUAGGGAGUAGAAUGAAGAAAUCACAAAACUGCCUUCGAUGUCGCAACACAGACUAGUGGUGUCGCGACAUACCCUGGAAGAUAUCCAAGAGGAAUACACUGACUACUGUGUCAUGACACAGGUCCUGGUGUGUCACGACAUCGACUCUGGAUGGGAGAUAAACACGAACCAAAGGCAUUUUGGUCUACAUAAUCAAACCUAAAGCUCAAGAGCAUAAGCUAACCUAGGGUUAAGGACGAUGGCAAUUGAGAAUCUAUAAAUAGGCUCAUUUGGCACAUGUUAUGGGACCUUUCAUUCAAUUGAGAACUAGUCUUUUAAUUUUAGCUUCAUUUUCUAGUGGCAAUUGAGAAUCUAUAAAUAGGCUCAUUUGGCACAUGUUAUGGGACCUUUCAUUCAAUUGAGAACUAGUCUUUUAAUUUUAGCUUGAUUUUCUUUCUCUUUUAGGUUUUUAGAAUUUAGUUUCAGUUGUUCUUUGCUUUCAAGAGAUCUGAUUUAGGGAGAUCGUCAAACUUUUUGGAUUUGAAAUAAAUUCUUAAUACAAUCAAGCUCUUUUGUAAACUUUAUACUGGCAAUUUAUUUAGCAUGUUUGCUCUUUAUAUUGAUCUUAUAUUGUCUAUGGAAGCCAUGAGGAACUAAUCCCCCUAUGAGGGAUUAGCGAGUGGAAGUAUGAUGUAUUAACUAUUUUUUAGGGUUACUUAGUAGAUCAGCUGUUUGAGAAAGGAAGAACGUGAAACAAACCCGAGGCAUGACAACCUUAGGAAGUUAUUAAGGUGGAAAUUAUCCCAAAAUUUGUAUGGCCCAUUCGUGAACACCUACACCCCAAACUAGUCUAGACUGUGAGGUCGGAAGAUAGGUCGUCCUUGCUGACUCAUUAUAUUAAUUGAAGAUCAAAAGAUCCUUCUAGGGUAACGACUAGUUGAUUAAGAAGGAACCCGAAGAGGCAGUUGAAGGGGAUUACCGAAGCGUACUAAUCACCCAUAAUCAAGAUUUUCGUUACUCUACUCUUUAGUCUCUUGAAUUUUUAUCUUUUUAUGUUAUUUUAUUUUUAUUUUUAUUAUAAAAAUUCUAAAAAUCAUUUAUUUUAUGUUUUCGUACUAUAACUAAUUUAAAGUACUAAUUAUGUAUUUUAGUGUUUAGGUUGAAAUUGAUCUAGCACUCACUUCCGUUUGGUACGAUCCUCGGAGUAUUCACCUACUCCAUUGUAAAAACUAUAUUACAACUUGACUCAUAUAUUUGCGGAUACCAUCUCAUAUUUAUAAAUUUUAUUGUAGCAGUCACACUCUGGACGUUAGUACUUAUUUUUUUUAUUUAUAAAUUUUGAUUUAUUUAACUAACUAAAUUUACUAGUACUUAUUGUUUUAAGGAAGACCUUAGUGCAUAUUCAGAAGUAGAAUUACAAUUGCCAUAAUUAAAAAAAAGUCAGUCAAAAGGAAGAAUAGAUUAUAUGUGGUCAGAUGACGAAUUAGAUUAUGAUGUUGAUAUUUACAAAGAAUGAGUCUAUGAAGAUAGGGAGAUACGAGAGAACCAAAAUUACUAAUUCUUUAAUUAAGUCAACUCCGAGGAGAAGUCCCAGUUCUUUCCAAAGACGAUAACAACCACAUUGAUAUACCAUCAGAAAGGUACCAAGAGGGGAUACAUCCAGAGUUAAGGGAAGAAGAGAAUAUCACUAUAGAUGCUUGUGAAAAAGAAGAACUCCCAGACUAUUAUCUAUCUCAGCAGACAUAAGAACAUUCAAAAAAAUUAAACACAACUACCAAAAGAGAACAUAUAGAGCUAGUAGGGGAAAUGGUCAGUGACUUGAAGAAUCAAAUCGACAUGGAACUCUGAUUUUUCAUGUUUCAUUGUUCAAAGUGUGUGUUUUGUGCCAUAACUUUGCUAUGUUUCAACAUGACUCCAAUUGAACCUAUUUAGGACUUAUCAAAAGAUGUUGGUUGUUUGUAGUUGCCUCCAAAUAACUCCUAGCUCUUCCGUUUCUCUCGGAAACCUAUUUUCUUCCAAUUCUAACAUCAAAUUAAAAAUAUAAAUCGUCAAAUCUAACUAACAAUAAAAAUAAUGGAAAAUAAAAUUUAAAAUUAAAAAAUUAAAAGUGAAUUCCUUUUUUGGGAUCGGGACGAUCCUUAUUGCUCCCAAAGAAGAACUUAUGGAUAGUCCUUGACACUUUGAUCUGUUUUUUGUUCCCCUAUCGAUAAAUCUGACCCAAAACUCUUGGUCGAUUCUACUAAUAUCGCCAUAUCUUUGAACAACGUGACAUCCACAUCACAAGCCAUUUGGUGCCGAAUUUGAGCCAACCCUAAAGUUUUUUUAGGGGAUUACUAGCUCGACCCACUUUGCCUUUAUGUCACAUGAGGUUUGGUUAACCAAAACUUUAUCUUCAUCAUUGAACGAGAAUGAGAUAAACUCGUUGGUUUCUUUGGCUGGCACCUCCUCGGUUAUAGCCAAAUGAAUGUAUCGAGUUAUUUACACUUUCACUCAAAAUCAGUUGUAGCUCAAAAUUAGUUGUUAAUUCUAUUUUUACUUCUACAUCUACAUCUAUGUUAGUUGGAUUAGAGAUUUCCUCAGAGAUGUUCACUUUAUUCUCAUCUCCAAUUCCAAACUCUUGUUACUUUCAAGAUUUAAUUCCAAAUAACUGUUGGUAGUACAUUAGUCCUUUGGAUCAAAAUUGGAGACAUCAUGUACAACCUCUUCUAAUGGAGUCCUCACUUGGGCUCUUUGCAGAAAAAAAUUUCUCUAUUUGAUCCAAAUGUUGGUUUCAUUUUAAUUUAGCUUGGAAUUUUCGUUCACGAUUUUUCUGUUCUGACGUAUAGUCAUACGAAUCAUAAGGAGUUUCGGCAAGAUACCCGAAUGUCCUUAAUUGUCGCUCAUAUAUUUUUUCCAACAAAGUAAAUGUUUCGUUUCUUCGUUGGUAAAGCUUUAGCAUAAGUCCUUUUUGGUUCUCCUUAAUCUCUCAUUGUUCGUAUGCUCCCUCCUUGUAUACCUCGUAUUCAUCCCAUACGUUCGUUGAAUCUCCAUCCCUCUCGUAUGUAUACUUGCUUGUCUUAGGUUAGAUUUCGUUCAAACACUUGGGCUACUCGUCUUUGUAAUAUCGGCUCCAUUGUUUGUCAAUUUGGAUUAUUCAUACACCGAACUAUAAAAAUCAAUAUUCAUAAUUAAAUAUUAUAAUCAACAAGGUAGAUAAAAAAAUAUAAAAAUAUUUACUUAAAUUCAAAAUAUAUUUUUGGACACUAAAAUAAAAUAAAAUUUAGAACACUAUCAAGCCCGUUUGUCUUUCAAUUAAUAUUAUUUUACAAUAAUCAAUCUAAUAAAAAUUUCACCAUCGCAAUCCUUGUCAACAGUGCAAACAACUUGAUAGCCUAUAAACGUGUUAUUGUUUAUAGAAUAAAUAUCACACGAAUUAUAUAUAUUAAAUUGGUAGUGUCCGCAAGCGUACAGGUCAAAAUUGUAAUAUGGUUUAGUAGAAUGAAAUACUAGGAAGUAUUCUGAGGAUUGUAGUUAAGGGAUUGCAGAUUGGAUAAAUUAAUAUUCAAUUAAUUACAAAAAAUAAGUACUAAUCUAAUCGAGUCACGAAUUAGUAGUUUUAAUCCAAAUAAAAAUGUUAAUUAAACUAAUGAAAUUAAUUAACCUAAAAUUAAGCUAAUGGACUUUCCUAUUCCAAGUGUCGGCAAUCUGAGCCUCUAGCCUAUGAUUGAUUAAAUCCCUAAUUAUCUAAUUAAAUAAUUAAUUAUUAGAAAUUAAGUUAUUUUUCAUCCUUAUGCAGAUUUGAAAAAGUCAAAAUGAUACGUGAUAGUUUGAAAGCGGCUUCCGAUCGUCAGAAAUCUUAUGUAGAUUUGAAAAGAAAAGAUAUUGAAUUUCAAGUUAGUGACAAAGUAUUUCUAAAAGUAUCACCUUGGAGGAAAGUUCUCCAAUUUGGUUGAAAAGAAAGCUUAGUUCGUAAUUCAUCGAGCUGUAUAAGAUCAUUGAGAUGAUUGGGCCAGCGGGUUAUCAUUAACUUUGUCGCCAGAGUUAGAGAAGAUUCAUAACGUAUUUCAUGUAUUGAUGUUAUGACGGUAUCGAUCAGAUCCUUCACAUGUGAUUUCACCUGUAGAUGUUGAGAUUUAGCUAGAUAUGAUGUAUAGUGAAGAACAGAUCAAAAUUCUAGCUCGGGGAAGUUAAAGAAUUGAAAACUAAAAGUAUAGCUUUAGUUAAAGUUCUCUGGCAAUGACAAGGAAUAGAAGAGGCUACCUAGGAACCAGAAGAAGCUAUGAAAGUGCAAUACCUGAACCUAUUCUUUGGUAAGAUUUUCGAGGAUGAGAAUUCCUUUAGGGGGGAGAGUUAUAAGAGCUUGUUUCUAGAGAUAUCAGAACAACAAUUUCAAGACCACAAAUUUGAUGAGUAAAUUAUUAUUUUAUUAUUCUUUUAAUGUUUACGGGAUUUUAUUAGAAUCGUAUUAAGAUUUCAUUAAGAAAUUUUGAUGUUUGCAUGAUUAAUUAGUAAAAAGGACUAAAUCGUAAAAAGUACCAAAAUGGAGUUCUAUUAGUUAAAAAGGUUAAAUGAAUAUGAAAAUGAAACUAAAUGGAUUUAAAUGGUAAUUAUACCAAAAAUAAGGUUAGUGGACAAUUAUGGACAUAAUUUAAGUGAUUUUUAAAGUUAAUAAGGUUAAAAAGGUAAUUUAAUAAUUAAGUUAAAGUAAAAUAAGGUAAAAAAUAUGUAUCAAUUUCUUUAGUUUGUUGUCUCCAUUGAAAUAAGGUAAAAAAUUUGAAGGUUCGGUCAAGCUUCCUUGCUUGCAUGGUAUGAUUUUCAAGCCUGUUUUUAAUUAUUUCUAUGGUUUUGAAGUCGUUUUAGCUUAAUCUAGCUAGCUCGGGGAUAAAUUUGUAAAAUUGCUAAAGAUUGAAGGUUAUGACAUGAAUGUUCUUGAAGGUUUUUGAUGUAAGAUGAUAGAUUAUGAAUCUUUGUUGAAAAAUAAACAAGUUUUACAACGUGAUUUUUUAUAAAAUUUGGAAUUAGGGACUAAUAUGUUAAAGGUAUAAAUUAUAGGGUUUUAUUGUAAAAUGAUGAAAAAUAUGGGUUGUUUCAAGGUCCCUUGCAUGUUUAGUUAACAUGGAUUUUGAUUAAAAUGGUUAUAUUUUAAGUUAUUAGUAUAAGGAUUAAAUUGUGAAAAAGUUAAAAUCUUAGGGGCCAAAAUAGUAAUUUUACAUAAAUAUGAAAUGUGGAUUAAAUUGAAUACUAUAAGUAUUAAAUGGAUUGAAACUGUCUAUUUAGAUCAAGAUAAACCAUAUAUAGACUUAGUUCAAGGCAAAGCUAAAGCUUCGGAUUAGCUUGAUUUAACUUUUACACCCUAGUCGUCGAAAUAAGUUCGUAUAAACGGUCAUCGUAAUAAUGCUAUUUUAAAUUGUAUGUCAUUAUGUUAUUUAUAAUGUGAAUUGAUCGGUGUAUAAACAAAUCAAUGCUAUAAAUGUUAUCGAGUCCUAGUUGAACUUUAGGGAUUUCAUGUUUUGGGUGCUGGUCUUGAAUGUCCUACCGAUGGUUGAGGUCCUGCAUUUGUUGCAGAUUCUCCAUAGCUCGUGUGAGUAGCAUCGAGUAGCUUACAUUCUGACCCACAGCUUGUGUGAGCAAUGAUGUAAAGGAAAGGUUAUGGUUAUGUAAAGGCACACUUCAUGUGAGCUUUCCUGAGUAUUUGAUUAAAUUAUAGAUGGUUCAACGGGUAUGAAAAGGAAACGAAAUGGUAAGUUUUCAAAUGGAAUUAUGCAUAAGCUUAUGGAAAGGAUACAUGAAUCAAAUGAUGUAUUUCAUAUCGAAAAUGACUUAUCAUAUGGUUAGUUCAAAUGAGUUAUGUACAAAUGCGCGAACUUGUGUAUUGAUGGUGAUGUAUAGGAUGUUAACAAGCUUAUGGUUUGGACUUUAAUGUACUUAUGCUUUAAAUUAUGCAAAUUGAAAUGGUAAGUUAUGUUUUGAUCUAUACGAACUUACUAAGCAUUAAUUGCUUAUGUAGUUUCUUUCCUACAUUUUAUAGAUUGUUUGAAGCUCGACCGAUUUUGAAGUUCGUCGGAGAUCUAUCACACUAUCCAACAUAAAUAUCGGUAGUUUUUCAAUGUUUUGGCCAAGGUUAUAUUGGCAUGUGUAGGUUUAAUUGUAAUGUCAUUUUGUUGAAUGUUUAGCUGGUGAAUUGGCUUGUAUAAGUUAUGAAAGUUAUCUUGGUUUGGUACCAUUUGAUGCUUUGUCAAAUUGUGUCAACUUGGUUAUGCUACUAUGCAUAUUUGAAUAGCUCUUAUGGUAUGUUUGAAAUGAUGUGUCAAUGGUUAAGUUUGUGGCAUGUUUUGGUAAAUGUUGAACUAGAAUUUGAUGAUUGAAAUAUGGUAUGAUUAACAUGUUUAAAUAGGUAAUAUUUAGUUGUUGAUUAAGGUGCCUUCGAAUGGCAUAUUGGUUAGUUAUGUUAGGACUUUGAAAUGAUAUUUUGAUGUCUGUUUAAGUGAUGUUUAAGUUCCUUUAAUAUGUGCAUGAAUGGGUUUAGAAGCUAAGCAUGACAUGGUAUCGGGAUGGUUUGAUUUUAGGUGAAUUUUAGGUCCACACGGCCUGAGCCACGGGUGUGUGACUCAAUCGUGUGAGACACACAAUCUGGCGACAUGGUCGUGUGUCAUCUGGGUGUUUCUUUGUAUGCAAGUUAGUGAGUUACACGGCCUACCACAUGACUUGGCACACGGGUGUGUGACCCUACUCAGAGAGUUACAUGGGUAAGAACACGGGAUGGGACACGGUCGUGUGUCCCUAGUUCGAAGGUUACUUAGCUUGAGACACGGGCAUGUGUGUGAUAUCUCAAAUUAGGGCCUAAUCGGAAUAAUAGUUUCGAGACCAAAAAUCUGAGAUAGAAAUAAUUAUUUUAUGAUUAUUUUGAGGUCUAUGAUAUGAUUGCAUGAUUGUGUGAAAAUUUCGUGAAGAAAUUCUAUGCAUAAAGUGUUUAAUUUGAAGUUAGGGACUAAAUUGAAUAAGUUACAAAACUUGAAUUAUAGAAGUUUCUAGUAUGAAAUUGCUUUGAAAUAUUAAUUAGGAGAUUUUAAAUAGCAAUUUGACCAAUUUUUGAGUUUAUGGACAAAAAUUGGACAUGGAUGGAAUUUUUGAAAGUUUAAUAAGGAAAUGCAUUUUGGUCAUUUUGAUAUUAAAUGAAAUAAAAUGAGAAAAAAUAACACAAAAAUGAUCAUCUUCUCCAUAAGUUGCUGCCAAAUUUUUCUCUCCACCAUAGCUAGGGUUUCAACACUUUUAAGCAUUGAUUGUAAGUGAUUUCUAUGCCCGUUUUUAAUGUUCUUUACAUUUUUGAAAUCCUCGUGGCUCGGUUUACCUGUUUCAACCAAUAUUUUGAGCUAGGGUUUAUAUUUAAAAAUUUACCCAUGAAUGAUAUGCAUGAAUUUUUAUGUUUUAUGGUAGAAUAUGAAGCUUGAGAUUGUGUUAAACAACUUUUGCUAAGUGAUUUUACGUAAAAACGACUAAAAUGAUAUAAUUGGUAAAAAUACCUAAUGUUCAUAAGUACAUGUUAGAGUGAGAAUUGGAUGUUGCUGUAGAAGGGAAAAAUGAUCAGCAUAUCAUAAAACAUAAGAAAAUAGGAUGAAGUUUAAUUUACGAGAUUUGGGGCAAAAGUGUAAAUAUGUGAAAGUUUAGGGGCAAAAUUGUAAUUUUUCCAAAAUAUGAUUUUGGGUUAAUUUGAAUAAUAUGAGUCCUAAUUAGGCUAUAUUUGAAAUGAUAGAGCAAGGAAAAUCAAAAUUUGAGCUAAAAUCGACAAAAUACCAAGUUAUGGACAAAAUGGUAAAAAUGACCAUUUUCGCAUACGAGGUAAGUUCAUAUGUAAAUAUUGUAAUAUAACUGUUAUUUUAAAUGGUUUAAUGCUAUUUAUACGAUAUUAUGAUUGUUAUUAUGCAAUUCUAUGCUUUGUGUUCACUGUUGGACAACAUACAAAAAUUUUAUGAAUUAUGUGAAAAAUGUGAAAGACUACCGAAGUAUCGUCAUGGGUAUUCCAAGGAGAAUGGUAAAGGAGUACGAACGAGGAAAGUCCCGUUGAACCUUAGGAAUAGAUUCGGAUAUUUGAGCAUCCCAACUUGUUGAGUUGAGUCCGAGUUCACUUAUGGAUGCGAACAUCCGAACUCGUUGAGUUGAGUCUGAGUUCGUGAGAUGUAACUAGGAUCCGAGCUCAUUGAGUUGAGUCCGAGUUCACUUAUGGAUGCGAACGUCCGAACUCGUUGAGUUGAGUCCAAGUUCAUGAGAUGUAACUAGGCAUCCAAGCUCGUUGAGUUGAGUCCGAGUUCACUUAUGGAUGCGAACGUCCGAGCUCGUUGAGUUGAGUCUGAGUUCGCUUAUGGGCGGGUUACGUGGUAGCUUUGCUACAUAUGUGGCACUUAUGUGCAAACUUUCCAAGUAUCCGAGUUAUAUUCCGAUGUGUUCAACGGGUAAAAUUCUAGUGAAUGGAAGAAUACUCAAGAUGCAAGUGAUGUAUUGGUAAGUGCUUUGGAAUGGGCACUUUGGACAGGUAUGUACUUAACCCUCGGGUUGAGACUUGAUACGAAAACAAUAAUAUGGUAAGAUGAUGAAUGAUGGAUAGAAAUAUGAUAUAUGUUUUGGUGAUAUUAUGAUAAUGUUGGUUGGUAUAAUUGCUUUGUUAAGUUAUUUGUUAUUUGCAUGUGGACUUACUAAACAUUUAUGCUUACUCCCUCCCUUCCAUUCCUUGUAGUUUUGACAAGCCGGCUUGGAGAUCAGGAUGGUCGGAGGCACGCUCACACUAUCAAUGGACCAUCUCGGUAUGGUGGCUUGCAUAUUUUGGGAAUAUGGCAUGUAUAGCAUUAUAAUCCUUUUGUGUAUAUAAUCUUAUUAUAUAGCUCAUGGAUGGAAUGGAAAUUUUUGAGAAUGAUUAGCUAUUGGAGUGGAUAAUCGAGAUUAUAUUUGAUAAAACGUAUGCUUUAUGUGCUAAUGAAUCUAUGAAAUCCAUAAAAUGGUGAAAUUGGCUAUAAAACAGAAUCACAUAGCAGCAGUAAUGUGAAUUUGAAAAAUCACUAAAAAUAGUAAAGAUAGAAUUAUAUGAUGAAUAAAAUAUGGAAUUGAAUCUUAAUGGAUCUAUUUUCAUGUAGAAGAAACAAAAUAGCUAAAAGAGUUGUAUUUUAUGAGAUAUUUACGUUGUGGUGAAACAGGGUCAGAGCAAUUUUUGGAUUCCCUAUUCUGACUUUAGAAAUUCACCAUAAUUUGUGUAAAACAAAUUAGGACUCAAAAUUUAUAUGUAUGGCUAUCUUAUUGAGUCUAUUUUUAAGUGAAACAAACGACAUAGUCAUUGGAUUUCUGUACAGAAAUAAAUUUGAUUCGUAGUGCACAGGGGUCAGAGUAGCCGAACCCUGAAACAGGGGAUAUUUUAACUAAUAAACUGUACUAAUUGGCCCAACCAAAAAUUUUAGAAAAAAAUUAGUAGAUAGAUAUAUGAGUCUAGUUUCAGGAAACAUUUAUGGAUCUUAAUUUUGAGUUCUGGAACUUGAGAUAUGAUUUUUAAGCGACUGUGAUGCAGUUAGCUAGCUUGUCUGGAAAUUUUAAAAAUAAAUUGUUUGAGCUGUUUAAUUAAUGAAUUAAGUCUGUUAGCACAUCUGCUUGACUCUGGUGAUGGUCUCGGGUACAGAGGCGUUACAAUGUGUCUCAACCAUGUAAGGCACACGACCUAGCCACACGGUUGUGAGUCCCUUGUUUCCAAAUUUUUUGAAUUUUUCCUAGACUUUGUUAAUGAUUUCAAUUUAGUCCUGAACCAUUUUUAAGGUAUUUCUAGGGCCUUGAGGGCUCGAUUUAGGGAUGGUAUGAGUAUGUAUGAUUGGUUUAUGAUAUGUUUAUGUUAUUAAAUGAAAUUUAGUUUAAAUGUUCUGUUUGUACGAUAAUGCUCUAUAACCCUAAUCUGGUGAUGAAUACUAGUUAGGGGUGUUACAUUCAACACCUAAUGUGAUCAUUGGUACAUUCUCUAUCUUUGAUACUAAUUUUAAUGUUUUGAUUGAUUCCAGGUCAACGCACUCCUAUGUAUGCACAACUUUAGUGUUGGAUAAGAAAAUAACUUUUGAGUUUAUUGAAUUUGUGGUUAAAGUAAAAAACUUUCUAGGUCAGUAUGUAGUAGUUGAUAAAGUCUAUAAAAGCUGUCCUGUGGUGAUUCGGGGAUGCAACUUUCUAGCUGAUUUGUUGUUAUUACCCUUUGAUGAGUUUGAUGUGAUUACGGGUAUGGAUUGGUUAACUCUGCAUGAUGCUGUUGUGAACUGUAGAUGAAAGCAUAUUGUGUUAAAAUAUUAGAAUGGUGAAAGGAUCCGAGUUGAAUAAGAUAGAUUGGAUGGUACACCUAAUGUUAUUUCAACUAUGACGGCACAUAAAUAUAUUAGAAAUGGUUGUGAAGCAUAUCUUUCUUAUAUAUUUAAUUUUAGGGUUUUGGAAUUAAAGUUAGAAUCGGUUCCGAUUGUAUGUGAGUUCACAGAUGUAUUUCCAGAAGAAUUACCAGGGUUGCCGCCGGUCAGAGAGGUUGAGUUUGCUAUUGAGUUAAUGCUGAGAACAUCUCCAAUAUCAAUAGCUCUGUAUAUAAUCACACCUAUAGAAUUAAAAGAGUUGAAAGCAUAGUUGCAAGAGGUGAUAGAUAUGGGCUUUACUCGGCCCAGCUUUUUUCCUUAGGGUGCUUCUGUAUUGUUUGUCAAGAAAAGAGAUGGUUUAAUGCGAUUGUGUAUGGACUACUGACAACUUAACAAAGUUAUGAUGAAGAACAAAUAUCCUUUGCCACGUAUUGAUGAUCUGUUUGAUUAGUUGAAAGGUACAACAGUGUUUUCGAAGAUUGAUCUUCGUUUCGGAUAUUAUCAGCUACUGGUUAAAGACUCGAAUGUGCCAAAAACUACUUUCAAAUUAGGUACGGACAUUAUGAAUUUCUUGUUAUGCCAUUUGGUUUGACCAAUGCACCUAUGGUGUUUAUGGAUUUGAUGAACAGAAUAUUCAGGCCAUAUUUAGAUAGAUUUGUUGUUGUAUUUAUUGAUGACAUUUUGAUUGAUUCACGAGAUGAGAUAGAGCAUGCCCAGCAUUUGAGAAUUGUUUUGCAGACUUUACGUCAAAGUCCGAUAAAUAAUUUUUAAUUUAUAGUGAUGUUUUGUUAAAUGGUUUAGAUUGUGUUUUGAUGCAAGAAGGCAAAAUGAUAGGGUAUGCUUCUCAACAAUUGAAAUCGCACGAAAAGAAUUACUCGACUCAUGAUUUAGAACUUGCAGCUAUUGUGUUUGCUUUAAAGAUUUGGUGGCACCAUUUGUACGGAAAAAGAUGUCAUAUCUUUACAGAUCACAAAAGGCCUAUGUAUUUGAUGUCACAGAAAGAUUUGAACUUGAGACAACAUAGAUGACUUGAGUUGUUGAAUUAUUACAAUUUGAUCAUCGACUAUCAUCCGGGAAAGACUAAUGCCUUUGCUGAUGCUUUGAGUAGAAAAUCUCUUAUUGCUUUGUGAACUCUGAAUACACAGUUGACAUUGAUUGAUGAUGGUUCAAUUUUAGAUGAAUUGAAAGCUAGACUAACUUUUUAGAAUAGAUUUGUGAGGCUCAGAAGAGUGAUGCUGAAUUGAUCGCUAAAUAAGAACAGAUUGGAUUGACACUUGAAUUAGAUUUUCAUGUUGGUUCAGAAGACAGUUUGUAUUUCAGAAAUUGCUUAUGUGUUCCAUAGAAUUCUGAUCUCAUUUAGAAGAUUUUAUAGGAAGCUCACAGUAGUAGCUUAUCGAUACAUCCUAGUAGUAAUAAAAUGUAUAGUGAUUUGAAACAAAUGUACUGGUAGCCAGGUAUGAAAUAAGAGAUUUCAGAGUUUGUAUCAAAAUGUUUGAUCUGUUAAUAAGUUAAAGCCGAACAUCAGGUACCUUCUGAUUUAUUACAACCUGUGAUUAUCCUAGAGUGGAGAUGGGAACGUGUUAUGAUGGAUUUUGUAUCAGGAUUGCCUCUAUCUCUAAGAAAGAAAGAUGCUGUACGGGUUAUUGUAAAUCGUUUGAUGAAAUCCACACAUUUCAUUCCAGUGCUUAUGAAUAAUUCACUUGAGAAAUUGGCAGAAUUGUAUGUUUCUAAGAUCAUUAGAUUGCAUGGUGUGCCGAUUUCUAUUAUCUCUAACAGGGAUCCAAGGUUUACAUCUCGAUUCUAGAGUAAGUUACAUGAUGCUCUGGGUACUCGACUGUAGUUUAGUACAAUGUUUCAUCCACAGAUUGGUGGUCAAUCUGAGUGAGUAAUUCUGGUACUCGAUGAUAUGCUUCGAUGUUGUGUUUUAGAGUUUGAAGUUAACUAGGAGAAAUUUCUGUUGUUGGUCGAAUUUGCAUACAAUAACAGUUAUCAGGCGAGUAUUAAAAUGGAACCAUAUGAAGCUUUGUAUGGUAAAAAAUGUUGAACACCGCUAUACUGGAUUGAGAUGAGUGAGAAAAAGUUAUUCGGUAUUGAUUUGAUUUGAGAAAUGGAAGAAAAUUCAAAGUAAUGCAUAAUAGUUUGAAAGUAGAUUCCGAUUGUCAUAAAUCUUAUGCAGAUUUGAAAAGAAAAGAUAUAGAGUUUCAAGUCGGCGACAAGGUAUUUCUAAAAGUAUCUCCUUGGAGGAAACUUUUACAAUUUGGUCAAAAAGGAAAGCUUAGUCCACGAUUUAUCGGGCCGUAUGAGAUCAUUGAGAGAAUUGGACCAAUAACUUAUUAGUUGGCCUUAUUGUUAGAGUUAGAAAGAUUCAUAAUGUAUUUCAUGUACUGCUGUUACGACGGUAUCGAUCAGAUCCUUUAUACGUGAUUUCAAAUGUAGAUGUUGAGAUUCAGCAAGAUAUGAUGCACAGUGAAAAAUCGAUCAGAAUUUUUGAUAUGGAAUGAAGGCAAAAACAGAUCGAAUUCAAGUUGUUUGAUUCGAAAAGGAAAGAUUUGGAUCUGAUGAUGAAUAUGAUGGGUAGAAGGAUAAAUGUCCAAUUGAACCCUUUGAGAUAUAAAUCCAAAAAACUUAAUUAAUGGCUCUAAUCAACCCUCCAAGAAAUAAUCCUUGGCAAAUUCAAGGGUGAAGAAUGAAUCCCCAUGUCUCCUUAAAGAAAAUCGAGAAGAAAACUAUUUCUAAAUAUCACAAGAAAGAAACCUUGCUCAAAGAAACAAACUCCAAGAGUUGAAAACUUUAUUAAUGAAAACAAUUGUGUCUUUAAUGAACAAUGAAGAAGUCUUUAUAUAGGCUAGCUAAGUACAUCCAAAUAAAACUCUAAUGUAACAGCCCAUUUUUAGUCAACUUAGAAUAGUAGUUUCGGGACCACAAAUCCAAGAUCAAAAUAUUUAUUUUAUUAUUAUUUUAAGGUCUACAGCAUGAUAGUAUAAUUGUAUGAAAUGUCGUUAAGAAAUUUUAUCGUUUGAGUGCAUAAUUUGAUAAAAAGGACUAAAUUGCGUAAAGUGUAAAAGUUGUCUUCUAAUAGCUAAAGGUGUCUAAUAGCUAUAGAACCUUAAAGUGAAUGUCUUUAAAUGUUAAAUAGACUAUUAUUUAUUUGAGCGGACAAAGAUGGACACAUAACUAAGUGAUUUUAAUGUUAAUAACUAAUGUUAGUUUAGUAAAUUAAUAAAUAAACUUAAGUAAAAUAACAUAAAAUAAGAUACCAUCUUCUUCAUGCUAUUUUUCCACAGAAAUUAGAAGGGAGAAAAGCCACAGAUAGGGUUUCUUGGUUUGAAAAGUUCAUCCUUGUGCAUGUAAGUGAUUUUGACUCGGUUUUUAAUGAUUUCUAUGUUUUUGGAGUUGUUGUAGCUUAAUCUAGCUAGCCCAAGGACUAAUUUGCAAAACUGUUAAUGUUACUAUUGAUGAAUAUGUGUGUAUUUUGGUGUUUAAUGGUAGAAAAUAAAUAGUUAUUGUUAGAUAAACAACAUUUGUUAAGUGAUUUUGGUUGAAAUUGCAAAUUAGGGAUUUAUUUGUAAAAUGUGUAAAAUUUAUAGUGAAAUGUGUGAAACAAUGAAAAAUAUGGACUGCUAUGAGAAUAAGUAAAAUUUGGCUAGCAUGGGUGUGGACUUAAUUGCAUGAAUUUGCAUUUUUAUGAGCUAGGGGCUAAAUUGUAAAGAAGUUGAAAUAUUAGGAGCAAAAGUGUAAAGUUGCCAUAAUAAUAAAUUUGGAUUAAAUUGAAUAGAAUGAUAAUUAAAUAAUUUAGAUUUGACUAUAUAUAGAUCAAGAAAAGCGAAGUUUAGAAUUAGAUUGGGGGAAAAAUAAGAUAGUUGAUUGAUAGCUCGAUUCCUCUCCGUAUAAAUCCGAGGUAAGUUCGUAGUUAAUAAACAUUAAUAUAAUUGUGUUUUAAAUGCUUUAUUAUUGAAUACGAUCUUACAGAAAUGUUCGAUGAAGAAUCGGCAAUGUUAAAUCCCAGUUGAACCUUAGAAAUAGAUAGGAUACAAAUGACAUGUCAUAGGGGUUAUUAUGUUUAGGUGUUGGCCCAUACGUUCUACUGGUGGUUGAGUUAUCCAGCAUGUGUUGCGGAUGCUCGUCAGCUUGUGUAAGCAGCACCGUGUAGUUAUGUUUUGACCGUCAGCUUGUGUGAGCAGACCCGUUGAUAGCUCAAGAGUGAGCAUUAUAUGAGAUAUGAGAUUGAGAUAGGUAUGGCUAUGUAUUGGCACUUAGGGUGAAAGAUUCCCAAGUAUUCGAUAUUAUUUCAAAUGGUUCAAUAGGUGUAUCGAAGAUAUGAAAUGGUGAGAGAUUGAUACGAAUUAGUACAAGUAUGUACGUGAACUAUAUAAUCAUUGAAUCGAAGAAAUUGAAGGAAUUCAUAUUUGACCUUUGGCAUUGAAUAUAUGUGUUAAGUUUUGGAUUUAAAUUGAACUGCAUUAUGUGAUGAUUAAGUAUUUGAGUUGUAGUUGAAUAGUAUGUUUACUUAUUAAAUAUAUGAGCUAACAAAGCUUUAUAUCUUACUCUGUUUACUUUUUCAUAUUUUAUAGUGAUUUUUGAAACUUGUUCAAAUUUGGGAGUCGUCAGAGAUCUCAUCACACUAUCCAGCUAUCGUUUUGGUACUUUUGAGCUUAUGUAUUUGGUUAUAUGACAUGUAUAGGAGUUGUUGUUACUAUGGUCUAUAUGUUAGUAAUGGAUUUAGCCAAUUGAUUUGGCAUGUAAAUAACGAAUGUUUGGUUAUGCAUAUAGCCAUGUGAUUUGGCUUAUUUUGGUAUAUUUGGUUACAUAUAUAUAUGUGCAAAUGGCUUUUGUUAUGUGGUUGGUAAUUGCCAUGUGAAUGCUAGUUGUUGAUAUUGGUAUUUUGAGAAUCAAAUAGUUGAAUUGUAAGAUAUGGUAUGCUUGUGGUUUUAGGCAAAAUAAAGUAUGUUUGAAAGUUAACCAUUUAGGUGAUUUGUGAAUGUGAAAUUGGUAUGUUUUGAAUUGUCAAAACAUGAUCUUAUGAGUAUUAUAUUUGUUGAUAUUGGUAUAGCAUGAUUUUAAGCUUGAAUGAGAUUGGUUUUAAUGCCUAUUGAUGCUAUCUUAUUUGUCAUUUGACAUGUUUAGGUUGAUGCAAAAUUGGGUGAGAAAGAUGGCUUGGUAAAUAGCCUAUUUUUGUCCACAAGGGUAGAGACAUGUGAGUGUGUCUUAGUCGUGUGUGACACACGAUUUGAUGACACGACCGUGUGUCCCCUAGUACAUAAUUAGAAACCAAGUCAGGAUUCUCCACACAGCCCAGCACACGGGCGUGUGACUUGGCUGUAUGGCAUAAGUCAGUAUACCCUACAGUUUUGGGACAGCCUAGCACACGACCUGGUACGCGGUCGUGUGAGGGCAUUUCGAAGGGUACACGGGCUGGUCACACGGGUGUGUAGUUGGCCAUGUGAUCCAAGUCAGAGAGUUACACAGGGUCGAACACGAGCUGGGACACGGCCAUAUGAUCCCAUUCCGAAUGUCCACAUGGCCUUUGACAUGGGCAUGUCUUUGGCUGUGUGAGAUAGAUGGUCGAGCCACACGGACGUGUGUCCCUUGUAUUGUGAAAAGUUUUCUAUGUUUUCCAAAAAUUUCCUAAGUUAUCGGUUUAGUCCCGUACCACUUUUAAUGCAUGAUUUGGGCCUCGUACACUCGUAUUAGGGAUGGUAUAAUUGAUUAUGAAUGGAUUUAUUUGGGAAUGGAAAAUGUAUGUGAAAUGUAUGAUUGUUUAUGAAAAGAAAAUCUGGUAAUGCUCCGUAACUCUAUUCCGGAGACGGGUACGAGUUAGGGGUGUUACAUCUAAAGUAUACAAAAAAUAUAAUUAAUCUAAACAAGAAGUAGUUUUAAAUAAAACUUUAUUGGUAACAUAAAACUCCUAAUAAAUUAAAAUAAUUAAUAAUUAUAAAAAAAUCAUUAUAAAAAAUAAUAAGAGAUAAUAAAAUUCAAUAUUGGGCUCAUGUAUAAUAAAAAUUAAGCCUAGAACCAGAAUCCAAAAUGAAACGCCUAAGCUUGUGGGAUUGAUUAGGCUCCUUGAAGUGAAAUGCCUAAGCUUGUUAACAUUCUCCACAUUGUCUUGUCAUCAUAGGUAGAGAGUUUAGGCCCACGAAUAAAAUUAAUCCAUUCUAAUUCAUAAUUGCUCCAAAAUCCAUCAUCUUGAAGCUUCAAUUGUUCUUCUGAAUUUUUUUUGUGAUAAAGUCUUGAACGAAUAAGUUGAGGUUUUCCUUUAACUACUUGGAUUUGGAUAUCGUGAUUGGGCCUUGAGGGAAACUAGACCCAUCUCGAUUAUGGCCUUUGAAUUAGGCCAAGCUAUUCGUAUCAAUUUUAGCUUAGGAAGUUAAAGAAUUGAGAAAUAAAAGUAUAGCUUUAGUUAAAGUUCUCUAGCAACGAUACGGAAUCGAAGAGGCUACCUGGGAAUCGGAAGAAGCUAUGAAAUUUUAAUACCCGAAUCUAUUCUCUGUUAAGAUUUUUGAAGACAAAAAUUACUUUAGGGGGAGAGUUGUAGCCGCCCGUUUUUUAUUGAUAUCAGAAUAAUAGUUUCAGGACCAUAAAUUUGAUGAGUAAAUUAUUAUUAUUUAUUAUUAUUUUAAUGUUUAUGGGAUUUUACUAGGGUCGUAUUAAAAUUUCAUUAAGAAAUAUUGAUGUUCUCAUGGUUAAUUAAGUAAAAAGGACUAAAUCAUAAACAGGGUAGAAGUUGAGUUCUACUAGUUAAAAGGGUUAAAUGGCUAUUGAACCUUAAACUAAAGGACUUAAAUGAUAAUUAGACCAUUUAAUGAAUUAUUGGAUAGUUAUGGACAAGGUUUUAUUGAAAUUUUGUGUAACGCCCUAAAUUUUGGGCCUAGAAGUUUUAGGUCUUGAGUGGGUGCAGUUAGAAGACUGCACAUAAAUAUUUAGUUGUGCAAGAAAGUGACACAACUGUGUAUCUGCUUCAGUGUUCAAGUGUUCUGGGAAGUGUCUGAAAAGUCCUGAGUUCAAGCCUUGGCUUAUGCAAAAUUUGUUUCUUACUCGAAUAAACCCUGUCUUUAGUUAGUAGGAUUUUUAAAUAAAAAUGGAUAAAACAUGACAUAAAAAGCCUGCCUGUCUAGUGGUAAGUGGUGUGUAGAGUGUUCCAAGAGGUCUGAGGUUUGAGUACUGCUGACGAAUGGGAGUGUUUAUUUUGCUGCUGAUGCUAUGGGGGUGUUGUAGUUUGACCAAAACACUGAGGUGAUGGAGUGGAUUUCAACCUGAGUAGUUGAGGGAGGAGUGAUCAGUUGAGGGAUUUGAGGAGAGAUUUGAGGAGAAAAUCAUGGGGUUUUGUGGUUGGAGUAGAGUUGGAGCCAAAAAGGGAUAGUAGGAACCAAUGAAUUCGGUUUGGGGUAGAACUCGGCUUUGGAGUGUUCAUUAGUUUCAGUUCCCGUACACUUUUGAUGUUUUUCUCUCCUUACUUUUGGUUUUUGGCAGUUGCUUUUCAGGUUUUUCUGCAUUUUUGUUGUUAGCCGAUUUUUGCUAGGGGAUUUUUUGAGUACUUUCAUUCUGUCUACUUCGGUUUUGUUUUUCUACCCCUUUUUACUUUGAAAUUGAUUUCCCUUGUUACCUUUUGGUUGGCCGAAUACCUUCCUUUCUCCCUCAAUCCGUUCAGUUUUUGUGGACUGAUUCUCUUCUUGUUACUCUUCCCCUUUCAAUCAAUUCCUUUUCUUUGAUCUGGUUCUUCUCUUUCUCUGGUGGUGGCUUGGCCGAAUAUCACUCUUUCAUCUACCCUUUCUGUGUCGAAUUUUUCUUCUUUUCUGUCGAUCUCUGUGGUAAUUGCUGCUAUUCAAUUUUCCCACUCUUUUCCUCUCUGUCGUAUUUAUGGUCCUCAUCUAAAAUUUUCUUUUACUGUCGACAAUUUCUAGGGGUGUGGUUGUGCUAGCCAUUUCCUCUCUCGCAUAGGGUGUUUGUCGUGGAGUUAGAUCGAUUGCUUUCCUUUGAUUUAUAAGUGGUUUUAUGUUCUAGUAAGUUAUUUAUGCUUGGUUCAAUUCAUGUGUGCGAGUAAUAUGAUUAAGGCUGAUAAGUUUGGGUGAAAUGCAGGUGAUCUCUAGGGUCCUAUAAUUAGUUUCUUGCAAUGAUUGAAUGGUGCAAGCCUAAAUCAGUGAUUAAGGCAAGUGAUAAUCUAUCCUAUUUAGGAUAAGUAUUGAAAAGAGCCGCUAACUCUAUUAGCAGUUGAUUAAUGGUGUAGUUUUAUCGAAUGUAGGUUUUGGUGCUCGUGGGCUGGUUUCGUACAUUUUCGCAAACAGGUGUGUAACAACACUACUUUAACCGGUAGAGGUACCGGUCAUAUCAAGGCAAGGCAGUCAGCACUAUUUUAUACUGUACGUUGCUGAAAAGAUGGAGACACCCCAAAUGUUGAUACAGGUACGUUCUUUAUCCAUAGUGUACCUUAUGUUGCACUGAUUGAGGUUGAAUUUAUGCAUUCUUAUACAUAACAUGUACUGUACAUGAGACCUCGAGUUUAAUGGUUAAAAGCACCUCGAGUGAGGUUACUGAGUCCACCAAAGACAAAUUUACCUUUAGAGGAUCAAUGACUUAUCUUCUUGGCAGAUUUGAGGGAAAAUCCCUCUUGGAGAAUUUGACCUAAUAUUGGGCAUGGCUUACAUUCUAAACCACAGCUCGUGUAAGCAAGCCUAUUUCACAGCUUGUGAGCAAUGAUGUAAAGGAAAGGUUAUGGUUAUGUAAAGGCACACUUCAUGUGAGCUUUCCCGAGUAUCCAAUGAAAUUCUAGAUGGUUCAACGACCAUGGAAAAUAAAUGAAAUGGUAAGUGCUUAAAUAGAAUGUAUCAUGAACUUAUGAAAAGGAAUGGUGAUCUAAAUUAUGUGAAUACAUGUGUAAAUUAUUUGUUUAUUGAUGAAUUCAUUUGAACCAUGUACAAAUGUACUAACUUGUGAAUUUGAUGAUGUUGUAUAGCCAUUAUGCCAAGCUUAUGGUUUUAGUUGGUAUUACACUAUGCUAUUUACAUUACGCAAAUAAAAUGGUAAGUUGCGUUUAAGUUAUACAAGCUUACUAAGUAUUAAUUGCUUUUGUAGUUUCUUUCCUAUGUUUUAUAGAUUAUCGGAAGCUCGAUCACUUUUAUAACUUUUUCAAUUUAGUCCUCUAACUCGAUAUUCAUCAAAUUUGACCAUUUUCUAAGAACAAAAUUACAAUCGAAUUUUCUAGGCUCUUAAACAGUCCCUAUUAUACAUCAAAUUCACUACCAAGCCUUGAAAUUUUGACAUUUAAACAAUUUAAUCCUUAAAUCAAAAUCUAACAAAAAUCACUUCACAAAACAACUAAAUAUCUCAAUCAAAGCUUCAAACACAUAUUUAUCAUCAAGAACAUUCAAGAUUCAUCAAUGAAACUUCUAAAAUUUUUAGCAGUUUCAAAACAAAAGUUACAAGCUAGGUAGACCUAGUUGCAACAAUCUCAAAAACAUAAAAAUUAUAAGAAACAGAAUUAAAACAAGCUUACAUGCAAAGAAAACGUGCUAACUGAACCCAAAGCUCCUCAACAAUGGCAUUUUCUCUUAAUUUCGGUGAAACAAAGUACUAAGGAAGAUGAUAGUAUUAUUUUUAACAUUUUUCUUAAUUUAUAUUUAUUAAUUUACCAUUUUGUCCCUUAAUAAAAACUUCAUUUAGGCUAAUUACUACCCAUUACCGUCCAUUACAUAUUUAUCGACAGACUAUUUACCAUAUAAGUCCUUCCUCAUAUAAGUUAAACUAUUAUAACACCCAAAUGCAAUAAUUAACACAUUUUGCGUCUUUUUUUAAUUCAGUUCUUUUUCUUUAAUUAGCUAACUAAACAUUAAAAUUUCUUAACCAAACUUUAAUAUGAUAUUAAUAACUCUGUAAAUAUUCUAUAAAUAAUAUUUACAAGCCGACACAAUGGAAAUUUGGGGUUCUAAAACCACUAUUUUUUCACUAUUGAAAAAUGGGUUGUUACAACUCCCCCCCUCUUAGAAAAUUUUGUCCUCGAAAUUGUUACCUAAAAAUAGAUUCGGAUGUUGUAAUUUCAUUGAUUCUUCAGUUUCCCAGAUAGCCUCUUCAGCACCAUGCCGAUGCCUCAAAAUUUCCACCAACGGUAAUCGUUUAUUCUAAAGUUCUUUAACUUCUCGAGCCAAAAUUUUCACUGGUUCUUCAAAAUACGUCAAAUCUAGCUGUAAUUCAACUUCACUGUGAGGAAUCAUGUGUGAUGGAUCAGAUUUGUACCUUCCUAUCAUUGAAAUGUGAAAUACAUUAUGAAUGUUCUCGAGUUUGGGAGGUAAAGCUAAUCUGUAGGCUACAGGGUCAACUCUUUUAAUAAUCUCGUACGGUCUGAUAAAUCUCAAACUCAGCUUUCCCUUCCUGCCAAAACGUAGUACUUUCUUCCACGGAGAAACUUUUAAGAAUACUCGAUCGCCAACAACAGACUCAAUAUAUUUUCUUUUCAAAUCUGCAUAUGACUUCUGACAAUCAGAUGCUACUUUCAAACUAUCAUGAAUAAUUGGAACCUUAUCUCCAAUUUCUCGAAUCAAAUCAAUCCCCAUCAUUUUGGUUUCGUUCAACUCAGACCAAUACAACAACAUUUUACAUUUUCUUCCAUAAAAAGCUUCAAACAAUGUCAUUUUUAUACUAUAUAAUAAUUGUUAUUAUAAGUGAAUUCAGCUAACGAUAGAUACUUUUCCCAACUACCUUCAAACUCGAGUAUACAACAUCGUAGAAUGUCUUCCAAAAAUAUGUAUUACUUGUUCUGAUUGCCCGUUCAUCUGAGGAUGAAACGUGGUACUGAAGUUGAGUUUAGUGCCCAAAGCCUCGUGAAGUUUACUCCAAAACCUCGACGUAAAUUGCAGAUCACGAUUUGAAAUAAUACACGUUGGAACCCUGUGCAAUCUACAAUUUUUUACACAUACAAAUCUGCUAACCUCUCAGGUGAGUAAUCUGUUCUUACUGGAAUAAAAUGGGCCGACUUAGUCAAUCUGUCAACAAUCACCAAGAUUGAGUCUUUCUUUUUCGGAGUUACAGGCAAACUAGCUACGAAAUCCAUCAUGAUUCGCUCCCACUUCCAUUGAGGAAUCAUAACAGAUUGUAGUAAACCCAAUGGUACCUGAUGUUCUGCUUUUACCUGUUGACAAAUUAAACAUUUAGCUACGAAUGAACAAAUUUCACGUUUCAUACCUAGGCAUCAGUACAUUUAUUUCAAAUCGCAAUACAUCUUUGUACUACCAGGAUAAAUGGAAUACAUACUACUAUGAGCUUCAGACAGAAUAUUUCUUUUCAAAGCUAAAUCAUUCAGAACACAAAUCCUAUCAUGAUAACGAUACGUGCCAUCAUCAUCAAUAAUGUAUUCAGUGGUCAAUUUAUCUUGUACCAAUUUUAGUUUCAAUAUCAACUUCGGAUCAUCGAUUUUUACAUUCUGAAUUUGUUGUAGAAACAAGGGUUUAGUUUUCAAUUCCACCAAUACAGAACCAUUGGCAUUCAAAGCCAAAUGAGUGUUCAACAAUCGAAGCGCAAACAAUGAUGACUUUUUGCUAAAUGAAUCUGCAACCAUAUUAGCUUUUCCCAGAAGGUAAUUGAUACGAAUCGCCUCGGGGAGAGUCGAGUCGUAUGCGAGUUUGCUCGACCGUCUACGAGAAAGUAUCAUUCGGUUUGUUCAAAAAGGAUGUUUCUAAAUAAAUUAUGCGGAAGCUAUUCAAGGGGUUCAAAUGAAGGGUUUAAAAAAUAUGAAUAUUAAGGUUCGGUUUAAAGUAAAUGAAAGAAUGGAAAGAAGGAACUCAAAAGAAAGCACGAACCAAUAUUAGAAAAUAUCGACCCAAAUGCUUAUAGGCUUUCAAGGCAAAAAUGAAAAUAAUAGAACCUCGACCCGCUACUUAGCAAAGUAGGAACCUCGGUAUAAGGGUGAAAGAAACAGGGUUGACGCCACUACUAGGUAGAUAAGUCAACAAAGUCUCAAACAAAGUUUAGAGAAGAAAAUUCUCACAAGAUUAAAAUCAAUAAAAAAUUUGGCAAAAAGUCCCUUACAAUUGAAAGAAAACAAAUACUUAUAGGCACAUAGAUGACCAUUCAAAUUCGGCAUCUAGGUGUUCACACAAUAAUAAAAACGUUCACACUAAUGUAUUAAAAUAGUUCAUAAAUUUGGCAGAUUCAUGAACUAGUUGAAUGGACACUUUCUUCCUCCUAAGUGUGUGCAUGAAUGCUUAAACAUAAAGAAAGGCUUCAAGUGACUUGUAUGUGCACCAAAGGUUGCAUUCAUCUCCUUGGGACGUUCAUGCACUUGUAUGGAACAUGUAUCCUCAUAAUUAAACUCUUUAAUAGCAUGUAGGUUCAUAAAUGGCAGCAUGAACCUAGUAAAUUCGUUCUCCCCUUUGUGCAUACACUUAAUUCAAUCAAUGUGUUGAAUUAUUGAGUUAAUUCCUUCCUUUGGACAUUCUUGAACCCAUCCAUGCAUGUGUAGUAGCUUAUAGGUCAAUUCAAAGUGUGAACAACUACUUCUUGGCCGAAUAAGUGCCUUGGAAAGUUAGGAGACAACCACCAUACAUGCACUUAAGCCAUUCAUGCAUUCUAUCAUCCCAUGCAUUUGAUCCAUUCAUGGACCAGCCUUUAAUGUCCAUACAUGCAUUCGACACAUGCAUGAAUUUGUAGAAACCUUGUAUCUAGCAUUACAUGCACCAGCAUUUAAUACUUCUUCAUUCAUGAGUGUGGAAUGCCCAAAAAAGAUAUUUCUUCAUCCAUACAUUAUACCGUCCAAAGGGAUGUACCUACAUGAAAUAAACAAGUCAUUAAGAUAUCUCAUGGACACUCAUAAAUUCGGCAUGAUGUGAACAUAUUAAUGUCAUGCAUUAAUUCAGCUAUGUGAACAUAAUCAAUUUAUGUAAUGACUAUGACAUAUUAAUAACAAAUAUUAAUAUAAGACAAGUUUAAUGCUUAAAUAAAUAUGUGCAAAUUUUUAUUUAAUGCAUUAAAGACAAAACCGAGUUUAAACUAAAAUGAGCUAAGCUUUAGCUUGUGAGCUAAAGUUGAGCUAAGGCUAAACUCCUAAGCUGAAAUUAAGCUAAAGUUUAGCUCGUGAGUUGAAAGUGAGCUAGGAGUGAGCUCGGUUUAGCUCAGGCAAGAUGGAUUGAGCUCGAAUAAGCUGGAUUUGAGCUGGACGGAGCUCGUGGAGCUGGAAACGAGCUUGGAUCAGCUUGCCAACAUGUCAUUGCUUGGCUUGACAGACUUGCUCGAUAAAGUUCGCGGGGCGUGCUCGUAUCAUUCCCUCCCUCUUUUAGGCGACUUGUCCUCAAGUCGAGAUGUUUAUCCAUGGGAGAACUUUGACUCGUGCAUGGUUUUCGUCGAUCAAAUGGGAUGGAAGAUGUCACACAAACCUGAAAAAUUCUUACCACAGCCAGUAAAAAGAAACUCAAAGGAGUCAGAUUCAAAUGUGUUCGAUAGUUCAUAAAAAAUUCAUUCAAUCGAACAUAUGCCAAAAAUCUCAAUUAGUCAAAGCAAGCAUACAUAAAUUUAUCAAAGAGUUUCGUUAGACCAUCGUUACAAACAUGAAAACUAAGUUGGAUCAAGGGAUAAUUGGUUGAAAAUGAUGGUAGGCACUUAAACACAUUAUUCCUCAUCCAAAACAUUUUAAUUUCUUUAAUCGAAUAUAGUAACUCAUUUGGUCCCUUGUCUUGCUCAUGCAAGGUAUGCCAUGGCCAAAGGUAUGCUAACUCUUCCUUUCGUUUUUGAACAACAUGAGGGGAGUCUCCAAAUUCCAACGCAAUAAUCACAUCAUCACAAUGGCAAAAAGAAAAAUCCAUCACAUCAAAGUAUAAAUAACUUCCAAACAACCAAUCAAUGGAAUUUUCAACUUCAAUCGAAUUGAGCAAAGAUAUUUGAAAAUUUUCAGAUGACUUAUCGUGACGAAUAUGAAGAGAAGACAAUUGAGGAUUGGGUUUACCUUUCUCGGUCAAAAUGAAUCUUUUCUCUUUGCAUAGAUAACGUAAGACAAACCUAUUACUCCGAUAAAUUUGAAUAGGUGGUGACGCACCAUGACAGGUCUUGGUCCUCGAGGGGUGGAAUUCACAAAAAUAAGACUGGUUAGUAUUAUCGAAAACUAUAGACUUAAAUGGAAAAGGAAAGUUACCAUGGAAAUUUGAUUCAAUUCCAAAAGCAUAGGUUGGCCUUACCUUCUCGAAAUGAAACGAAAAUUUCAGAUGUGUCCAAACAAGGUGAUUAUUAAUGAAUCAAAACUGAAACCCAAAUCAUUGAAUUUCACCUUCUUAUCAAAAGUUUGAACAUCAAGCAAACAUAUUUUGAUUGCAAAUGAUGCAAAGUGCUUAAUGUUUCCAUAAAAUGAAUUCAUGUAGCAAAUACCAGGCUUGAACACAUGAACUUGAUCAUUUGAUUCAGCAGGCAACAUGUUAAAUAAGGAAAAUAUAAUCAACUCAUCGCAUGAUUCAAAUUUCAUUCGUUCAAUCAGACUUGAAAAAUUGGCACAACCAAGCAUAUUCAUUUUAUCACCAAAGAAACGAUGCAACAUGUUAUCAUGCAAGUAAAUCAAAGGAAACUUAAACAUGCAAAUACUCGAACAAUCUUGCAUUGUAAUUUCUACUCGAACAGAUAGAUCAAAGCAUGGAAAUCUUGCACAAAAUUUCAGAGAUUUAUCUUGAAGAACAAAGUCAAACAGAUCAAUUACUUCAUGCAAAAAUAUUUUAACGCAUAUAUCGAGCAAAGAAGUUGUGUUCAUGCAACCUUUCAGAAAUUCAAAUCCAUCACAAAUCAUUUGAAUAGGCACGUUUAAACAGAAAGAUGAAUUCAAAAAAUUUUUAUAAUCAAACAAAUCAAAACGUGAAAAACUGCUUUCACACACAUUCACAAUUUGCACAGGAUGAACCAAUCCAACAGAAUCAACAGAAUUGUCGUUAUAAAACAUGUCAUAAGACGGAAUCUUCAUAUCAUCUUUUGAAACAACAUCAUUGACAUUAAUAUGUGAACAGUAAUUAACCAAAUCAAAAGAUGGAAGAUUUUCAAAAAUAAGGCCAUAAAAAUCUAUAUGAGUAGUUUUGUAUUCAAACGGCCUCGAAUCAAUAAAUAAGGAAUCCUUACCUUUCUUACCUUCAAUUGCAAGGGGGUGGCUGUCAAUCGUGAACUUACCUUUUUCAAACAACCUAAAACACCUCUCGUUUGGAAGGUAAUGUAGAUGGAAUUGGUCGCACAAACUUCUAGGAACCUGAAAAGUUAAUUCACAAGAAGAUCGAACAGGUGGGUUAGUAGAAAUAAUCCUCACUUGCUCACUUGUUUUCUCACUCGAUUCUUUUUCUUUUGAAUCACUCGUUUCUUUUGUUUCAAUUUCUUUUUCAUCUUCUUUUUGCUUUUCAAAGGCUUUUUCAAGUUCUCUCAAGAUUCGCUCAUUUUCUCUCUUACUUGCCUCUUGCCUCUCUUUUCUUUUUAUUUCAUUUUCUUUUUCUUAUUUUGCUUUUUCUUUUCUUUUCUUUAUUUUCUCUUUACAAGAAUGUACAAAAGAACGAUGAGAAUACAAAUCUUGUUCAAAAGAUGAAGAACUAUUUGCGUAUGAUUCACAAUUAAAACUUCGUGAAGAAUACUCCGAGUAAGAUUUCUUUGAAGAUCUAGUAGGAGUAUGUCUUUCUCUUCGAACGCCAUCUUGGAACGAAUCAAAAUCGUAAUCGGCUUCUCGUCUUCUCGAAUUUCUUGAUGAAAAGGACUUUCGAUCGAAGUCACUUCUCGAAUUUGCUGAUGAAUAUGAGUCAUAGUAUGAAUCUCUUUGUCUCGAAGUAGAUGACGAAAAGGAAUCACGAUUGGAACUUUUUUUCAGGUAGUAGUCGGGGGUAUAUCUCCGUGGGGUUCUUGGUUCCGUUUUACGACUUGAAGAAACUCGAUCACUUUGGUCUCGUUUAGUCACCAUUCUUCGCAUUUCUUGAACCAAGUAUUGGUAUUCCGAUUCGGUGAACUCUUCGCGUGACAUGAUUUUUAUUGCUAAAAAGAAAAUGUUAGAUCACAAAAUAAAAUAAAAAAAUUAAGUACCUCACCACAAACCUCACAAUUUCGCUCGAAAAGAAGAAGAAAAAAGGUGUCACUCUCGCUCGUGUUUACACUCGUUUGGCUUUUACCUCCACUCGAAUGAUCUCACCCGCUCAUGCCUUUUUCCGCUCCUUUCUCCUCUUAUAACCUUGUAACAGACUUAGUAUGACUUGAUCUCUGGUAUUGUGGGUCGGUUUCAAAUGGUUUUACAAAGGAUAACAUAUGACGGGUUACGGGUUGGCUAAAAGAAAAGGAAAUUGGGUAAAAAAAAAGUGUGGCGUGGAUGAGAUUAGAAUAGAAGAUGAAUCAGGAACGAUAUCAAACCAAGGGCUUUGACAUUCGAACAACAAUCGAAUUGCAUUAAACACUUUUUUUUCAGUUUUUUUUUCUAUUCGAAUUUUUUUUUGAAUUUUUUUUCGAAUUUUUUUUGACUUGUAUAACUUUUUUUUGUACUAUAUUGACAAACUAAAUACAAUAAAACACUUUUUGUACACGAUUUUUUUCUUUGGCUGCGUAGAUUUUUGUUUUUAUAGCAAUAGCAGCUAACUAAUCAAAAUAAGAAAACUUCGGUAUACAAAUUUUUUUUUCUAUACUCUUUUUUUUUCCGGAUCCUACUUACUUGCGUUCACUUGGACUAGCCCGGGAUUAAUUUCAUUGCACGAUCUUCUCGUUUUAGUAGCUCUGAUACCAAAUGAUACGAACUACCUCGGGGAGAGUCGAUUUGUAUGCGAGUUUGCCCGAUCGUCUACGAGGAAGUAUCGUUCGGUUUGUUUAAAAAGGAUGUUUCUAAAUAAAUUAUGCGGAAGCUAUUCAAGGGGUUCAAAUGAAGGGUUUAAAAAAUAUGAAUUUUAAGGUUCGGUUUAAAGUAAAUGAAAGAAUGGAAAGAAGGAACUCAAAAGCAAGCACGAACCAAUAUUAGAAAAUAUCGACCCAAAUGCUUAUAGGCUUUCAAGGCGAAAAUGAAAAUAAUAGAACCUCGACCCGCUACAUAGCAAAGUAGGAACCUCGGUAUAAGGGUGAAAGAAACAGGGUUGACACCACUACUAGGUAGAUAAGUCAACAAAGUCUCAAACAAAGUUUAGAGAAUAAAAUUCUCACAAGAUUAAAUUUAAUAAAAAAUUUGGCAAAUAGUUCCUUAAAAUUGAAAGAAAACAAAUACUUAUAGGCACAUAGAUGACCAUUCAAAUUCGGCAUCUAGGUGUUCACACAAUAAUAAAAACGUUCACACUAAUGUAUUAAAAUAGUUCAUAAAUUUGGCAGAUUCAUGAACUAGUUGAAUGGACACUCUCUUCCCCCUAAGUGUGUGCAUGAAUGCUUAAUCAUAAAGAAAGGCUUUAAGUGACUUGUAUGUGCACCAAAGGUUGCAUUCAUCUCCUUGGGACGUUCAUGUACUUGUAUGGAACAUGUAUCCUCAUAAUUAAACUCUUUAAUAGCAUGUAGGUUCAUAAAUGGCAGCAUGAACCUAGUAAAUUCGUUCUCCCCUUUGUGCAUACACUUAAUUCAAUCAAUUUGUUGAAUUAUGGAGUUAAUUCCUUCCUUUGGACGUUCUUGAACCCAUCCAUGCAUGUGUAGUAGCUUAUAGGUCAAUUCAAAGUGUGAACAGCUACUUCUUGGCCGAAUAAGUGCCUUGGAAAGUUAGGAGACAACCACUAUACAUGCACUUAAGCCAUUCAUGCAUUCUAUCAUCCCAUGCAUUUGAUCCAUUCAUGGACCAGCCUUUAAUGUCCAUACAUGCAUUCGACACAUGCAUGAAUUUGUAGAAACCUUGCAUCUAGCCGUACAUGCACCAGCAUUUAAUACUUCUUCAUUCAUAAGUGUGGAAUGCCCAAAAGAGAUGUUUCCUCAUCCAUACAUUGUACCGUCCAAAGGGAUGUACCUACAUGAAAUAAACAAGUCAUUAAGAUAUCUCAUGGACACUCAUAAAUUCGGCAUGAUGUGAACACAUUAAUGUCAUGCAUUAAUUCAGCUAUGUGAACAUAAUCAAUUUAUGUAAUGACUAUGGCAUAUUAAUAACAAAUAUUAAUAUAAGACAAGUUUAAUGCUUAAAUAAAUAUGUGUAAAUUUUUAUUUAAUGCAUUAAAGACAAAACCGAGUUUAGACUAAAAUGAGCUAAGCUUUAGCUCGUGAGCUAAAGUUGAGCUGAGGCUAAACUCCUAAGCUGAAGUUGAGCUAAGGUUUAGCUCGUGAGUUGAAAGUGAGCUAGGAGUGAGCUCGGUUUAGCUCAGGCAAGAUGGAUUGAGCUCGAAUAAGCUGGAUUUGAGCUGGACAGAGCUCGUGGAGCUAGAAACGAGCUUGGAUCAGCUUGCCAACAUGUCAUUGCUCGGCUUGACAGACUUGCUCGAUAAAGUUCGUGGGGCGUGCUCGUAUCAGUAAUCAAUAACUAAAUCAUAAUCUUUUAAUAGUUCUUUCCAACGUCGCUGUCUCAGAUUCAGCUCCUUUUGGGUCAUUAAGUAUUUUAAGCUUUUGUGAUCAGUAUACAUGUGACAUUUCUCAUUGUCCUCCAAAUCUCCAAAGUGAAGACAAUCACAGCCAGCUCAAGAUUGUGAGUAGGAUAACUCUUUUCGUGUAGCUUUAACUGUCAAGAAGCAUAAGCUACUAUUUUACCUGACUGUAUUAACAAACAACCUAAACCAUUGAGAGACGCAUCACUGUAAACCAUAUAUGCCGUUCCAGAUUCAGGCUGAGUUAAUAAUGGAGCUUCUGUUAACAUGUUUUUCAAUUGAUCAAAACUUUGUUGAUACUUAUCAGACCAAGCAAAUUGAAUGUUUUUCUGUAAUAAUCUGGUCGUAGAUGAAACAAUAAUUUAUAAAUUUUUAAUGAGUCGUUGACAAUAUCCAGUUAAUCCCAAAAAACUUCAAACUUUAGAAACGUUCUUUGGAAUAUUCCAUUCAAUAAUCGCAGACAUUUUUUUCGAAUCAACCCUGAUUCCAUCUGCAGAUAUGACAUGUCCCAGAAAAUCUACUUCUCGUAGCUAGAAUUCACACUUACUAAAUUUUGCAUAUAGUCUUCUUUCGUGCAAGGUUUGCAUCACAACUCUUAAAUGUUCCGCGUGAUCUGACUCAUGCAAUGAAUAAAUUAGAAUGUCAUCAAUACAUACCAUAACAACCCGAUCUAAAUAUGGUUGAAGCACUCGAUUCAUCAAAUCCAUGAACAUUGCAAGGGAAUUAGUCAAACCAAAUUACAUCACCAAAAAUUCACAGUGAUCAUAUCUAGUUCUGAAUGCAGUUUUUCAUACAUCUUGCUCUUUAACUCGUAACUGAUAAUAGUAGGGUCUCAAGUCAAUCUUUGAAAACACUGUUUCUUAUUUCAACUGAUCGAAAAAAUCAUCAAUACGAGGUAAUGGGUAUUUACUCUUAAUGGUGGCUCUAUUCAACUAUUGAUAAUCUAUACAUAGUCUCAUUGACCCAUCUUUCUUUUUCACGAACAAAACUGGAGCACCCUAAGGUGACACAAUCAGUCGAAUAAAUCCGGGAUCUAACAACUCUUGCAACUGCAUUUUUAACUCUUUAAGUUCUUUAGGAGCCAUCCUAUACGGUGUUAUCAAAAUUGGAGUUGUUCCUAGCAGAAGUUCAAUCACAAACUCUGCUUCUCUGGUUGGUGGCAACUCGGGUAGUUCCUCAGGACAAACAUCAGUAUACUUGUUGACUAUCGGUAUUGUUCAAUUUUUUACUCAGCCACCUCCGAAUCGAGAAUGUAGGCUAAAUAAGCUUCGCAUGCCUUUCCCAUCAGUUUUUGAGUCAAUAGUGCUAAAAUUACAUUUGAUAUACAAUCGACCUUAUCUGCCCUAACACAAACAAAUUCUCUAUUCGGACGUUUCAAACUAACUUGCUUCCUUCGGAAACUAACUAUUGCAUCAUGCUUAAACAACCAAUCCAUUCCUAUAAUGAUAUCAAAAUCAUCAAAAGGUAACAACAUCAAAUUAGUGAGAAAGUCAUAACCCUAACAUUCACCACUAACCUAUAUCCGUCGCCAAAAUAGGGUUACAGAGCAUUACCAAAAACCUAAAGCUUAAAACAUUCAAUUUUGAAAAUUUCAUAAAUCAUAGAAAUUAUCAAUCAAAAUCAUACACAAUAUCCCUUUUACGAGCCUCCGAAGCCAUAGAAGUGCUUUAGAAAUGAUUCGGGACUAAAUCAGAAACAUUUAGAACUUCAAAGAAAAAGAUAGAAAUUUUCACACUGCAAAAGUCACACGGCAAUACGGCCAGGCCGUGUGACUCACAUGACUAAGGCACACGCUCAUGUCUAAGGCCAUGUGGGCAUUUGAAGUAGGGAUACACAAUCAUGUCCCAGCCCGUAUCUGUGCCCGUGUAACUCUCUAACUUGGUUCACGCGGCCAAGCCACAUGCCUGUGUGCCAGGCUGUUUAACUCUCGAAAUGCAACCUUCUAAAAACUACAGGAGACACACAGUUGUGUCACGAGGCUGUGUAUCACACACAACUGAAACACACGCCUAUUUCUUAAGUCGUGUGGACAAGAAAUAGGUCGUUUUCAACCCAAUUCUCUCACCCAAAACAAGCUUACACAUAAAAGUCAUUUGCACCUAUAUUCAAGCAUUCAAAAUGUACUGAAACCAUGCAUAAUAAAACUAGAUCAUUAUGGUAUUUAUUCAUACAACCAAUAUGCCAUAAAAGCACCUCAAACACAUACAUUGAACAUACCUAACCUUGUGCAUAUUAAACCAUUUAUCAAUUGACUUGUUUACAUACCAAAACAAACCACAAUUGACACAUACCAACUUACCAUAUUAGAUUCAUGCCAUAGCAAAUUAGCUUUAACAUUUGGACCACUUCUCUCAUGUAUCAAAACCAUAUAAAUGACACAAAACUAUCCAUUACCAAAUGGUUCCAACAUCCAAUAUGUAUACAUACCAAAACGUGUCUUAAAUGAUCACUUUGCUAACAUGCCAACACAUACCACUUUGACCAUAAAACCAUGCAUCAAUUUGAUCAUAUAAACACCAACCAUUAAGCAUCAAAGUGCCAAAAGAGCAACCAUCAAGGAAUCAAAAUUACAUAAGUUUCACAAAUUCAAAGCAACAUUUCAUGCCAAAAUCACACACAAGCAUACCAAUUUGGUCAUUCAAAACAUAUCAUCACUAAACCAUUUCAACAUUAGCCAUCAAGCCCAAAAAUAUCAAAAUGUCAACCAUCAUAAACCUUAUUUACAAGCCAAACAUAAUGGCCAUAUCAUCAAACACAAAACACCUAUACAUGCCAUUAUAACCAUUACUUAAAAAACAUCAAAAUCUACUGAUAAAUUCAAUGGAUAGUGUAAUGGAUCUCAAACUAGAUUCCAACCCGGUCGAGCUUUUGAUAAUCUGUAAAGUAAGAGAAAGAUAAUUACAUAAGCAAUGAAUGCUUAGUAAGCUCGUAUAAACCAUAAGCAUAAUAUUACAUUUCAAUAAUGAACAUUAUAGGUUAAAUAUAAAUCUAUACCAAUGCCUCAAGAUUUAUCAACCAUAAACAUCAAGUCACAAAUGAGUAAGUUCAUUAAUGUCAAUUAACCAUUCAUAACAUGACAGGAUUUCAUGAAACAUAAUAUAUAAUUAUCAAUCUUUUUAUAAAGUAAUAUAUCUUUCUAUUCACUUGCUUUCCAUUUCGUUCCAAAUGUUUAUCAUAAGCCUAAACAACAUUAUUAAUUCCCAACUCAGUGUAUUUGUCCAUGAUUUAGGUAGAUUUAUCAAAAGCAUAAAUAGUUUGCAUGCAUAUAAAUAUAUCAUUUAUCAUAUUAAACCUUUUAUAUCAUCAUAAUACAUCUCAAUUACAUACUAAUUGUUUUAUUCUUUUUUCUUACCCGUUUCAUAUGCAUAGUACAAGCAUAAUCACAAAUAUCAAUCAUAUCCACAAGCUUGGUAUAAGCCUAAGCACACCAAAAACACAUGUUAGUUCUUUAAACAUAAUUCAUACGAAUUUAUCAUGGACAACCAUUAUACUUAAGCGUGAUUCAAUUGGAUUUAUCAUCCAUCUCAACAUAACAUAUUUUCCAUAUAGCUUACCAUUUCAAAGUCUUUCAUAGAUACAUGUCUUGGUUCGUAUUGAACACAUACCUUUCCUUUCAUUUUUCAUACCUGUUAAACCAUUUAGAAUACCGUUGGAUAGACAAGAUAGCUCACACGAAGUGUGCUAAACAUAAAACCAUAGUCUGUCCAUUCUUUUACAUAUAUACUCACACAAGCUGUGUAAUGGGCCUACUCACACGAGCUGUCGAUCGGGACGUCACUACAUGGUGCUGCUCCACAAGCUGUUGAGUAUCUUCAACUAAUUUCAGAACUCAGCCACUGGUAGGACAUUCAAGACCAGCACCCGAAACAUGGUAAACUGGGUCUGCUCACACAAGUUUUCAGUUGAAAUGUAGCAACAUGGUGCUACUCCAUAAUUUGUCGAGUAUCGGCAACAAAUGCCAAAACUCAACCACCGGUAGGACAUUUAAGACCAGCACCCAAAACAUGUAAACCCUAAUGACAUGUCGUUUGUGUUCUACGAAUUUCAAAGAUUCAAGCGGGGCUUGGUAAUCAUCAUACGUCGUUGGAUUUACGUCGUUUCAUGACAUGAUAAAUUGUAUAAUAACAUAUAUAUUGAUUCAUUUCAAUAGAAUCACAUAUUAACAUUCAAUUUAACCAACAUUAUACAUAAUACAGUUCAUACGAACUUAGCUGGCUAAAUUGCAUAAAUGUCAAAGUAUAGGGGCAUUUUGUUAAUUUUUCAUUCUCCUAAAUUUUCCACUCGACCUUGAUCUUAAAUAAUAAUUUCAUUCAAUUUAUUAAUUCAGAUAGUAAAACAACUCACUUUAUGCAAUUUAGUCAUUUUUAACAUUUUUACAAAAUUUUCCUAACAUUUUACUUUUAUUCAAUUUAGUCAUUGAGACUAAGACAAGCAAAUUAACCAUUUUUAUUGCCAAUUCAUAUCAGCCAAAUAUUCAUGGUACCCAUUUCAGCCCAUUUUUGCAACAAUUUCACAUCAAAUCCUUGUACUUUUACUAUUUUAACAAUUUAGUUCCUAAUCGAUAAAUUCAUCAAAAAUCACUUAACAAAAUACUUUUAACAAAAUACUUUUAAAUAACAACUAAUAUUUCAAAUUCAUAAUUUAACAUAAAAAACCACUAGAUUCAUCAAUGGAUACAUUCAAAAUCUUUAAUAGUUUCAAAAUCGAAGAUACGGGCUAGCUGGACCUAGUUGCAAUGAUCUCAAAAACAUAAAAACUAUUAGAAACGAGACCAAAAUGAUAUACCAUGCAAGCUUUUGAAGUUUCCAAAAUAUCCAUGCUUAGAAAUGGCUUCUUUCUCUAUUAGAAUUCAGUGAAGGAAGAAAUGUGAAAGAUCAUAAUGGAUUUUGGUUUUAUUUUAUUUAAUUUAAUUAUCAAAUUACCAUUUUAACCUUGGUUAAUAAUAAAAUAAAUCACCAAAUCAAUGUCCAUAUAAGUCCACUAACUGCUUAAGUGGUUUAAUUACCAUUUAAGUCCCUUUUCCUUAAUUCAAUAAACCAUUUAAUCACUCAAAUCAAAUAGUGAUUAAAUUUUACAUCUUUUACAAUUUAGUCCUUUUUAAUUAAUUAACUAUUGAAACGUUAAAAUUUUUCAACGAAACUUUAAUACCACUUUAAUGAAAUCUAUAAAAAAUAUUUACGGUUCGGUUGAUAGAAAUGAGGUCCCAAUACCUUAUUUUCUAAAACCACUUGACCUUAGGGUUUUACCACUUGAACUUUAUAAAUCGCUUAUAUAACAUAAAUUAUCAAAUUGAAAACCUUUUUAAAACCAUAUUUGACUUGUAAAUAUUAAAUAAUAAUAUUUACAAACUUACUUGUCAGGUUUGGUGGCCCUGAAACCACUAUUUUUUGAUACCAUUAAAAAACAGGCUGUUACAACUCUCUCCCCUUACGAAAAUUUCGUCCUCGAAAUUUCUCACCUGAUAAAUGUCAUCACAUCAGAACUCACAUCUCGAUUCAGAACCCACACUAGAACUCCUAUUAAAACUUGAUACUAUAUCUGAACUUCACUAAGCAGCUAUGAUGUUUUCCUGUCAUCACUUUAUCAUUAGUAGUAUAACUACCGAGAAAUUCCUAGUAACCAUCUGUCGAAACAUAAUCGAGAAAUCCGGAUUAGCACACCCUGACUGAUGUUUCUGACAUAUCUGCAUUUGUAACUUUCAAUUGAUAACCGUUCCCUUUUUUGAAAAGUUUCAAACAAUAUCAUUUAAAUACAAGUGAUAAUUGUUACUAUCAAGACGAUUUUAACCCAUGAUGACAUUUCCCGAUUAUAACUGAUCUGAUAGAUAUAUUUUUGUAUCAUGUCUUCUAGAAUAUGAAUUCUUCAUUCAAAUUGUUUGUCUAUUUACUUUUGAAUUCACAAAAUUUAUUCCCGAAUCUAGGGAUAAACUCAAAUACAUAUAACUCAAUUAAAUUUUCAAAUGAAUAACCCGCUCUAAUUAAAACAACUGAGUCAAUUUUAUCUUUCGGAUAAUAACAUUUCAAAAUAAUCCCUUCUUCUUGUUGUCAAGACAAUCCAGGCAUACAAUCAAUUAUAAUUCCCUCAGAAUACUAAUCAAAUAUCUUUACAAACUACAUUAGCUCAAACGAAACAUAACAUCCCUUUUUAACUCAAUGACAUAAAUUGAGAUUACCUGAAGAAUGAAAACCAAUAUACAAGUUUAAACUCAAUCUUCCACCGUCUACACUUUUGCCGAUGUCUACCCAUUCAGAAAGCUAGAAAGAGGAUAAAUAAUAAAGCUAUUUCAAUUAUUAACAUCGAAGCUUUGAACCAUACCAGAGCCACAAUCAUCAGAUGAAUUAAAACCAUAGUGCUAUAAUAAGAGUGACAUUUCAACCGUAUAGAUAGAACAAUACCUCAACAUCAAUAGUGUACUUUGAAAUAAAAGAGGAAAACCAAAUGUAGUUCCAGUAACAACCAGUAUAGGAACACAACCUCUAGAAACUUAAGAACUGAAUCACUGUGCUCCCAUGAUCAAACCAAAAAUUAUAACAGUAAUAGAUGUAAUUACCUCCGGCCAAUGAAAACUAAGAUGUGAAGCUAUACUGAAUUCCCGAGAAUACAACACGUAUUGAAUGAUACAAAAAUCAAUGGUACCGUAGAUAAAAACCAAAAGAAGAAUAUCGCUCAUACAUAUUGAAACCAAUUGUGACAGAGACAACAUAAGUUGCAUAUAUAUAAAGUAGAGCAACAAUUAGUAGAAGGAAAAAAAUAGCAUCAUAUAAGUCUUAUCAUCGAGUCUUCUACUGAGCAUAAUAAAAUAGAAUGCCAAAGAAAAAUAGCCCAAUGCUGAUCAUUAAUCAACCAGACUAACAAUACCUCCGUCUAACGUUAUGGUUAGCCAGCAUUCUCAUAUGAAUCAAAUCACAUCAGAAGAUAAAUAAUUGCAUAUGCCUGUGAGGAUAAAAGAACAUGUAGAAUACCCAGAAGAGAUCUUCGUAAGAUACUCGAUUAUAACCGCUGCAUUCAAAUAUGUCUGCAAUUUAGACACUAACUCACUGACUACUAAAGUCAUUGAAGAUCCAACAUUAUCCAUUCACUAAAGAAUCAAUUCAGAAGAAAUUUUGAUUAAUUCAUUUUUUAGAUGCCAUACCUGAAUAAGUCGAUUACCCGUGAUUAACCUCUUCUUUAAUAGCGAUGUUGCAUAUCCCGAAUGAUCUUCAAAAAAAUUUUGAUCUCUUCUAGAACUCUCUUUACUUGUUAACCCCUUCUCAGCUCUGACCACAUUAUUAGUAAUUUAAUCAUUGAAUUCUAUAGCUUAUCUUUUGGAGACUUAAUCAACAUAAAUCUUGUAAAUUCCACUGUAUAAGAUUUUGAAGGUGAAGGGUUGGAGAUUCUAAAGCCUUUAAAUUUGACUCCAAAAAAUACAUAAAACAUAACAUCCAUUAUCAAUAUAACAUUAUGAACUUUUAUUCAUACCCUCAUGAGUUUCUUUAUUCAUACCUUCAUGAGUUUCUACUCGUCCUUAGUAGCUUUUUACUAAUACAAAUGAGUAUCCCUUUCAACAUUAUUAGAAUUAGCUCGGUUGGAAAGCAUCUCUGUGUAAAAUAAAACAAAUCUCAUUAGAGUCAAGAAAUAGAGAUAUCACACUAUCAUAGGUUAUAUAAUGACAUGUAUUUCUAAAUUUCACAUAUCCUAUGUUCAGUCCAAGAACCGACUAAAUUGCAGCUCUGAUACCACUAAAUGUAACACCCUUAACCUGUAUCUGUCGCUAGAAUAGAGUUAUGAGCAUUACCAGAAACUUAAAGCUUAAACCAUUUGAUUUCGAACAUUUCAUAAAUCAUGGAAAUUAUCAAUCAAACUUAUACACAAUUUACCUUUUACGAGUCCUCGAAGCCAUAGAAGCAGUUUAGAAGUGAUUCAGGACUAAAUCAGAAACAUUUAAAACUUCAUAAAAAAUGAUAGAAUUUUACAUUGCAGGGGUCACACGGCCAGUGGCUAGGCCGUGUGGGCAUUCGAAGUAGGGACCCACAGUCGUGUCUCAGCCUGUGUUUGUGCCCGUGUAACUCUCUAACUUGGUUUACAUGGCCAAGCCAUACGCCUGUGUGCCAGGCCGGUGUAACUCUCGAACUACAACCUUUUAAAAACUACAAGGGACACACGACCGUGUUGCAUGGCCAUGUGUCACACACGAUUGAGACACACGUUCGUGUCUUAAGUGGCGUAGACAAGAAAUAAGCCAUUUUCAAGCCAAUUCUCUCACCCAAAACAAGCUUACACAAAAGCCCUUUGCACCUAUAUUCAAGCAUUCAAAAUGUACUUAAAAGAUGCAUAAUAAAACUAAAUCAGUAUGGUAUUUGUUCAUACAAACAAUAUGCCAUAAAGACACCUCAAAUACAUACAUUGAACAUACCUAAACUUGUGCAUAUUUAACAAUUUAUCAAUUGACUUGUUUCCAUGCCAAAACAUAACACAAUUGACACAUACCAACCUUACCAUAUUUGGUUCAUGCCAUAACAAAUUAAAUUUACCAUUUGGACCACUUAAAUCAUGUAUCAAAACCAUAUAAAUGACACAAAACUAGUCAUUACCAAAUGGUUCCAACAUCCAAUAUAUAUACAUACCAAAAUGUGCCUUAAAUGAUCAUUUUCUGAACAUGCCAACACAUACCACUUUGACCAUAAAACCAUGCAUCAAUUAGAUUAUAUAAACACCAACCAUUAAGCAUCAAAGUGCCAGAAACACACCAACCAUCAAGGAAUCAAAAUAACAUAAGUUCCAAAAAUUCAAAGCAACAUUUCAUGCCAAAAUCACAAACAAGCAUACCAAUUCGGCCCUUCAAAACAUAUCAUCACUAAACUAUUUCAACAUUAGCCAUCAAGCCCAAAAAUGGCAAAAUGUCAUCAAUCAUAAACUAUAUUUACAAGCCAAACAUAAUGGUCAUAUCAUCAAGCGCAAAACACCUAUACAUGCCAUUAUAACCAUGACUUAAAAAUAUCAAAAUCUACCAAUAAAUUCAAUGGAUUGUGUGAUGGAUCUCUGACUAGCUUCCAACCUGAUCGAGCUUCUGACAAUUUGUAAAGUAAGAAAAGGAUAAUCCCAUAAGUAAUGGAUGCUUAGUAAGCUUGUAUAAACUAUAAGCAUAAUAUUACAUUUCAAUAAUGAACAUUAGAGGUUAAAUGUAAGCCUAUACCAGUGCCUCAAGGUUUGUCAAUAAUAAACAUCAACUCACAAAUGAGUAAGUUCAUUAAUGUCGCAUACAUAUUAACCAUUCAUAACAUGAAAGGAUUUCAUGAGACCUAAUAUAUAAUCAUCAAUCUUUUUAUGAGCAUAUAUAUCUUUCUAUUCACUUACUUUCCAUUCUGUCCCCAAUGCUUAUCAUAAGCCUAAACAACAAUAUUAAUUUCCAACUUAGUGUAUUUAUCCAUGAUUUAGGUAGAUUCAUCUAUAGCAUAAGUAGUUUUCUCACAUAUAAAUACAUCAUUUAUCACAUCAAACAUUUUAUAACCUCAUAAUACAUCUCAAUUACGUACAUACCGUUUCAUUCUCUUUUCUUACCUAUUUCAUUUGCAUAGUACAAGCAUAAUCACAAAUAUCUAUCAUAUCUACAAGCUUGGCAUAAGCCUAAGCACAUCAAUAACACAUGUUAGUUCAUUUAAACAUAAUUCAUAUGAAUUUAUCAUGGAUAACCAUUAUACUUGAGCAUGAUUCAAUUGGAUUUAUCAUCCAUCUCAACAUUACAUAUUUUCCAUGUAGCUCACCAUUUCAAAGUCUUUCAUAAAUACAUGUCUUCGUUCAUAUUGAACACAUACCUUUCCUUUCAUUUUUCAUGCCCGUUGAACUGUUUAAAAUACCGUUGGAAACACGGGAUAGCUCACACAAAGUGUGCUAAACAUAUAACCAUAGUCUAUCAUUUCCUUUAAAUAUAUGCUUACAUGAGUUGUGUAAUGGGCCUGCUCACACGAGCUAUCGGUCAGAACAUAGCUACACGGUGUUGCUCCACAAGCUGUCAAGUAUCCGCAACAAACGUCGAAACUCAGCAACUGGUAGGACAUUCAUGACCAGCACCUGAAACAUGGUAACCUAGGUCUACUCACACAAGCUGUCGGUCGGAACGUAACUACUUGGUGCUACUGCACAAGCUGUCGAGUAUCCGCAACAAAUGUUGGAACUCAGCCACCGACGGGACAUUUAAGACUAGCACGCGAAACAUGUAAACCCUAAUGACAUGUCAUUUGUAUCUUAUGAAUUCCUAAGGUUGAAACGAGGCUCGACAAUCAUUGUACGUUGUUGGAUUUACGUCGUUUCAUGACGUGAUAAAUUGUAUAAUAACAUAUAUAUUGAUCCAUUUUUAAUAGAAUCAUAUAUUAACGUUCAAGUUAAUCAACAUUAUACAUAAUACAGUUCAUACGAACUUACUUGUCUAAAUUGUAGAAAUGUCAAAGUAUAGGGCAUUUUAGUAAUUUUUCAUUCUCCUCGAUUUUCCACUCGACCUUGGUGUAAAUUAAAAAAUUCAUUCAAUUUAUUAAUUUUGAUAGUAAAACAACUUAUUUUAUGUAAUUUAGUCAUUUUUACAUUUUUACAAAAUUACCCCUAACAUUUUACUUUUAUUCAAUUUAGUCCCUGAGCCUAAAACAAGCAAAUUAACCAUUUUUAUUGCCAAUUCAUAUCAGUCAAAUAUUCAUUUUUCAUAUCAGCUGAAUAUUCAUUGUACCCAUUUCAACCCAUUUUUACAACAAUUUCACAUCAAAUCCUUGUACUUUUACUAUUUUAACAGUUUUGUCCGUAAUUGAUAAAUUCAUCAAAAAUCAAUUAACAAAACACUUUUAAAUAACAACUAAUAUUUCAAAUUCAUAAUUUAACAUAAAAAAACCACUAGGUUCAUCAAUGGCAACAUUCAAAAUCUUUAACAAUUUCAAAAUCGAAGGUACAGACUAGCUGGACCUAGUUGCAACGAUCUAAAAAACAUAAAAAUUAUUAAAAACGAGACCAAAAUGACAUACCAUGCUCAAAAAUGGCUUCUUUCUCCAUUAGAAUUUAGUGAAGGAAGAAAUGUGAAAGAUGAUAAUGGAUUUUGGUUUUAUUUUAUUAUCAAAUUACUAUUUUAACCUUGGUUAAUAAUUAAAUAAAUCACCCAAUCCAUGUCCAUAUAAGUCCACUAACUCCUUAAAUGGUUUAAUUACCAUUUAAGUCCCUUUUCUUUUAUUCAAUAAACCAUUUAAUCACUCAAAUCAAAUAGUGAUCAAAUUUUACAUCUUUUACAAUUUAGUCAUUUUUAAUUAAUUAACUAUCGAAACGUUAAAAUUUUUCAACGAAACUUUAAUGCCACUUUAAUGAAACUCUAUAAAAAAUAUUUAUGGCUCUGUUCAUAGAAACAAAGUCCCAAUACCUAAUUUUCUAAAACCACUUGACUUUAGGGUUUUACCACUUGAACUUUAUAAAUCGCUUAUAUAAUAUAAAUUAUCAAAUUGAAAACCUUUUUAAAGCCAUAUUUAACUGGUAUUAAAUAAUAAUAUUUACAAACUUACUUGUAACAUCCCAAUUUUGGGCCUAGUCGGAACAGUGGUUUUAGAACCACUAACCUGAGGUCAGAGAAAUUAUUUUUAAUACUAUUUUAUGUGUGAUGGCAUGUUUAUAAAGUUACAUGAAAAUUUUGGUGGUUUAAUUUUAGCGUUUGUGAGCUUAAUUACGAAAAAGGACUAAAUCGCAUAAAGUGUAAAAGUCCUAUUUUGAUAGCUAAAGGUGUCAAAUAGCUAGAGAACCUAAAUUUGGGGUCUUUAAAGGGAAAUUAGACCCUUUAAAGAGUCAUGCCCAGCCAUAGGAGACAAAGAUGGUCAACAAGUCAAAGUUUGGUGGGUUUGGUGACUAGAUUAACUAAAAUAAGAUAAAACAAAGAGAGAAUUAUAUCAUAUUUUCUCUCAUCUUCUUCCCACUGAAAAAAUCAACCAUAAGAGGGGUUUUAAAGCUUGAAAAUUUUCAUCCACUUAAUCUCUCUGCAAGUAAGUGAUCUUGAUGAUUUUUCUCGAUGAUUUUGGUACUUUUAGAACCUUUGUAGCAUGAGCUUUUAAAUAAGGGGACUAUUUUGCAAAAUGGUUGAAAGUCUAGGGUUUUACCAAGAGAGUGUUCAUGUUGUUUUCUAAAAUUUUAUGGAAGAAUAUUAGUUAUGGUUGUGUAAUAAACAACUUUUGUAAAGUAGUUUUCAUGGAAACCCUAACUAGGGACCAUUUUGCAUAAGAUGUAAAAUAGGUGAUAAACGUGUGAAAUAAUGAGAAUUUUGGGCAUGUCUAGGACAUGUAUCGAAUUUGAGAUGUGUCAGUGUAAGACCAUGUCUAGGACAUGGCAUCAGCACGUAUAGAGGUGUUAGUGUAAGACCAUGUCUGGGACAUGGCAUCGGCACGAAUAUGUGAGAGCUAGUGUAAGACCAUGUCUGGGACAUGGCGUCGGCCUCAAUUUCGAUAGUCAAUGUAAGACCAUGUCUAGGACAUGGCAUUGGCAUUAUACCCAAUGUUUGAGGCAUACUGAAUAUCCGAUAGCAUUCCAAAUGGUUUAAUGGUGAGUGUGGCAGUUUAAGUUAAACGAGAAAAGUAUAAUCAUGUUGUGAGUGGUAUAGGUACCUAUUUGAAAUGUAUGAGUGUGAGCUCAAUAUAUGCUACGAGAAUUGUAUUAGAUAGUGAUGAGUAAGUUGUGCUUAUGCCUACUUUUGUAUUAUGAGCAUGAUGAUGAAUGGUAAAGUUGUUGUUAUAUUUAUUUGCAUGCAACUUACUAAGCUUUAUGCUUACACCCUCUCAUUUCCAUUUUCUUAUAGUGCUGCCUAAUUAGCUCGAGGAUAAUCGGACGUUGGAGACAUCGAUCAUAGUAUCAUCCGAAGCACUUGGUAUGGUUAGAUCUUUCAUUUUGAUUAUGGCAUGUAUAGGACCCUGACUUUUGAGUUUUGUGUCUUUGUUAAUUAGCCAAAUGUGUUGGCUUACUUUAGCAUUUUAUUCAUUUUGUAUAAGACCAUAGAAAAAUGGCUAAUAUUAAAAGUUGUUAUGUGAAUGCAAGCUAAUCUUUCAUGAAUAUGAAAUUGUUGGCAUGGUUGAAUAUAUGUAAUGUAUAUAUGUAACGCCCCGAAUUUUGGGCCUAUAUGAAAUGGACUUUGGUUUUCAUGAAAUUUUUAAGUGAGCAAGAAAAUGACAAAUGACAUGUUGGCUUCAAGGGUUUAAGGAACUUGGAGUGUGUAGGUAUGUUGGAGAAGUUCUAGGUUCGAGUUUUGUGGUAGAGGAAUUUUAAUUUAAUUAUUAAAAGAACCAGGGUUGGGAGUAGUUGGGCUUUUAAAUAAAGAUAGGGGAAAAUGGCAUCAAAAAGCCUUGUAGAGGAGUGGCCAAGUGACGCCACUUAGAGUGUAAAGAGGUGGCGUUAAUAGCUAGAAAGGAGGUCCAAGGUUCGAAUCCUAGCUUAGUGUUUUUGGAAGUUUAAUUUUGGCCUUCUAGAAGGUUGGAAGUGGCAUGGAAAUGGACUCAAAGGGAAGUGUUUAGGAGAGAAAUUUGAGGAAAGGAUCAAGGGGUUAUCAGGAAGAAAAAUGAGGAGAUAAGAAGUGAGGAGCAAGUGAAGCCGAAAUGGGAAUUUAGCAAUGAGGAAUUCGGCUAUAGGGGCUAUAAAUAGGUGCCGAAUGCAAGAUUGCCAGGCUAAUGCCGAAAUCUUUGUCACCCUGUUACCGGAAACCCUUUUCUCUUUAAGAUCCAAAAAGUCGAAAACCCUUACUUCUUUCUUUCUCUUCUUAUGCUGAUUUUCUAUUCUUCUUCUACUCAGGUUUUUGAUUCAUUUUUUUAGUCUAGUUGACUUCUUCUUUCUUGAAGCUGAAUAACUCUCUUUUUCCAUACAAAUCGCAAGGGCAGAAACUUUCUUGGCCGAAUACUUUUGGUUCCGCCAGUACCCUUUCUAAUCGGUCAAGCCUAGUGUAAGUGCUUUGUUCUCAUAUUUGGUUUUUGGUAAGUAUCGAGUAUACAGUCCCUCAAUUCUUCUAAUUGGUUUUGGGUAGGAAUAGGUAACGAAUCUCAAUCCUUGGAUCUCUGCCGAUUUGCUCUUCAACUGAGAGACUUUGGUAAGUGCUCUUGAUCUUGGUUGGCCGAAUGGUCAUACUUAAGGUAAUGGGACUUGUGUUGGAUACGAGUCACCUAUUAUUCUGGUUUUAAUAAGUAAGAUUAAUGCAGAUCUAAGGAGUACCUAAUCAAGGAAAAGCUAUUAGGGAUUGGUGUUCAAGGUAAGGUUAAGGUGAGGUUUCGGUUUUAGUAAAGAUAUGUAUUAGGCAUGCGAUUAAUUGAAGGGUGAUAUCAUUGUAGGUUGGUGACUAAGGGAAUCGCAGCACACUUGCUUACCAGGUGUGUACAUACACUACACACACAAGUAGAUCGGCAAAAGCCGAAAAUCCAAAAUGCCAAAAAGCCGAAAUGCCAAAAAGCUGAAAGUUUGGCUACGGUAGUCUUGCGAGUGCGCGAACACUCGUAAGGGGGAGAUCAAUAGGUUGCCUGAUACCCACGGACGAUUCCGUGGACUUGGAUUGUGAUUUGGCCAUAUGGGCCAGAAUGGGCUAAAUGGGUCCCAAGGGCUGUUGGGCCCAUAAUAGGCAAAAAACUGAAUAUUGAUGCUAUGUGAUAAAAAUUUGUAUUUGAGCAUGAAUAUGAAUGUGACUGGGCCUAAUGGGCCAUAUAAAUGAGAUUUGGGCCUAAUGGGCCAUACAUAGGUUAUUUGGUCCUAAUAGGCCAUAUGAAUAUGAUUGGGCUUAAUUGGCCAGAUACAAGUAUGUGAAUUUGUUUGGGCUUUGUAAGGGGUUUUGGGCCUAGUAUAUGAUAACUACAUAAGACUUAAUUAAUAUAUUGGAACCGUGGACAAGUCAAAGGGUUAAGGUGUGGCAACGAGUAUAUGCAUGUCUAGGAUUGGAUCUAGGGAGAGCUUGGUACUUAAGCGGUCUUAAUGACCUACCUUCUCUUCUCUAGAAUCCUACCUGGUGCAUAGUAUUCGUUCAUCUUAGCUUACAGGACUUGCUAACGGGUCAAGGUAAGUGAAAACCAUAAUUAAGAGAAAUUUAUCGAAAUGCCCCAAAGGGAAAAAAUGAUAAAAAUACCCCUAGAUGUUGAAUGUAAGUUUUAUGGAUGUGACAUGCAUACAUAUGAUGUUCUGCUUAGGUUGUAUAUUGGGUAGGAACUAUGGAACAGAGGAAGUAUAUGAGGAUUGCAUGGUUACCUGACAAUCGUGGAUCCACCGACGGCUUUUAAAGCCCAAUAUGUAAAUGAAGGUAGUUCUGCAACUGGGCUACCAUUGGUGUGUGGGCUAGGUGGGUCGAUAUUUUUAUCCCCACAUGGUGUGACGGGGAACAGAGCUAGUGUGUAGCGGAUGGAUUAUUGGGACAGGAUUGUAUUGCAUGUUUGUUGUAUGAUCAUUUUCGAAUGCUUGCUUUUCUAUGAGGGUUGUACACACUGAGUUUGCGAAAACUCACCCCCUCUUUUAUUUUAUUUUCAGGUGAUGCUCAGUAGAAGGUUCGAUGUUCGGAGGGACUCUGGGUGGCCAGCUAACAAGAUAAUUUGGACUUGUUUUUUUUUUUAAAAAAAGUAUAUAAGUUUUUAUUUUAUUAAGUACUAUUCAAUCAGAUUGUAAUAGGACUUCCAUUUUGUUAUUACCUGGGUUAUUAUUUCUAUGUGAUGUAACUAUAAGAAGUUGUACAUGGUUUCUUAAACUAUAGUAUGUCUUUUCUACAUUUUCGUAACUUAAUUUUUAAAUGAUAAAGUUUUCUUAAAUCAAAUCUUCUAAACAAGGCAUUAUCAACUGAAAGGUGUACUUAUUUUUAAGUUAAUUAAGGUUUCUCUUGUUUAAGAAGGGUUUUUAAUGAAAACACGAUUUUUGCUAAAACACUUUAAUGCAACACGUCAGAUUCGACCAUAACGUCCGGGCCAGGUUUGGGGAUUACAAUAUAGGUCUUAACUAUGGUUGUUUUGUUGAGAAAUCAUAUUAAGAUUAGACCUUGAUAUGUUGGUUGAUGUUAGAUUGUGUUUCAAGGUGGCAAAGGCUUGGUAGAUAGCUUUAUAUUGUCCACAUGGGUAGACACACGGGCGUUUGUCUAGGUUGUGUAUGACGCACGGUCAGCCUCAUGGGCGUGUUGUUCACCCGUGUGUCCCCUACACGUAAAAUUUGCAAGUCAAAAUGCAUGGUAGUAAACACACGGGCAGAGACACGGCUGUGUGUCUCAACCGUGUAGAGGACACGACCUCUGGCUACGGGCAUGUGCCAUGGCCGUUUACCCCUUUUUGGAUGCUAACGUCAGAAACAGAAUGUCAAGGUUUUUAGACACGGACGUGUCAUGGCUGUGUGAGGGACACGGCCAUAGACACGGGCGUGUUUCAGGCCGUGUGAAAACCCCUGUAGGUUCGAAUUUAGAAUUUAAUUCACACGGGUAUGGGACACAGGCGUGUCCCUAGAUGCUUAGGCCGUGUAUGUCACACAGGCCAUCAACAUGGCUGUGUCAUAAUGAUCACACAGGCAUGUUGCCCUUUCACACGGGUGUGUACCCUGUUUCAAGAGUUAUUUUUCUAAAGUUAGUUUAAGGACCCUGAUUGGUUUCGAAUGGUUUCUAAUGGUUGUUUGAGGCCUCGUGGGCACAUAUUAAGGAGUUUAAACAAAGUUUGAAAUUUUUUUAAAUUUGACUGAAUCUUAAUGACAUCGAUAUGAUUGUAUGCAUGUAGUUAAGUGUGGUAACGCCUCGUAUCCCGUCUCUGUGUAGGGCUCGAGUGUGGGGUGUUACAUUACUCGUCGAAUUUGGUGGCCCCGAAACCACUGUUUUCAACACUUCUGAAAAAUGGGAUGUUACAUUUUACAUAUUUAGUGAAGUUAAUAGGUAAUUUCUUUUUGUCUUCUAAUGAAGUGCAUAUAUACGUGUGAUUUGAUCCAGGAUCAAUCAAUGCAUAUACAUUAAUAUCAGAGAGAGAAAAAGUACGUACAAUAACGUCUAGGGCAGUAGGUUCCUCACGAACUCUUAUUGCAUAGGCUCUAGCUGGUGUUCUCGCUUCAGACCAUUGAUUCAUCUCGUUAUUCUUCCCUCGAUCGGGAGUAGUGUUCCUAGCAUUUCGAGAUCGUCUACCUCUCUAUGAAGUUGCUUCAAGCUUAAUAGACUGAUUGUCAAAAUCAUUUUUCUUUUUCAAACAAUCAAAAAGGAAACGGUCAAUAGAUCCACAUCAGAAACAAGCUCCCGACUUUGAUAGACAUUCGCCAAAAUGUCUUUUGUUGCAUUCAUCACAAAUAGGAACGAUUCUCUCAACAUUUCUUACACUUCCAACACUGGCCGUUGGAGAGUUAAAAGACUGGAAAUUACUUUUCCUUGGUUUCUCUCUACUGGUGAAGUCUAAAGGGGCAGAUGAUUGACUUGUGUCAUUUCUAAAUUUCUUCGAUGGAGACAUUUAAGCAGGCUUGAACGACCCUCUUUUAUUAAAAUCUCAAAAAUUUGAAUCUGACUGUCAUUUACUUUUGCAAAUUUCAACUUUUAGAUCCCUUUAUGGAAAGUUCUACAUAUUCCUGUAACUUUAGUGCUACCACAGACAUAUGGAUAUCAUCAUGCAACCCGUCUUCAAAUCUAAUACACAUUUCCUCCUCAUUUGCUACUAUAUUACAUUCAUACUUGCUUAACUACAUAAAUUCCUAUUCAUACUCAGCUACAAUCCGAUUUCCUUAUUUUAACUCAAGAAAUUCUUUCUUUUCCUUAUCAAUAAAUAGUCGGAUAACAUACUUCUUCUUCAAUUCGGUCUAAAAGAAAUCCCAAUUAAUAUGAUCACUGAUUGUCAUCGUGCUCAAAGUGUCCUACCAUAAAUACAGUUUAUCUUUUAGUAAUGACACAGCACAAUGCAAACCGUCUUCUGGAGUGCACAUUAAUUCCGUGAGGACUCUCUUUGUAUUCAUUAGCCAAUACUCUGCUUUUGUCGAAUCAUCAUCCUUCUUGCCUCUAAAUUAUUCCGCUCCACAUUUAUGAAUUUUAUCUACUGAUACUCAGGUAACUAUCACCAGUACAAGAUUUUGAGGACCCUGGGUGGUCGGAGGAGGCACAUUAGGGGGUAGAGGUGGCGGAGUGGCAAGACUCACUUGUUUGAAUUCAUUGAACCACUAGUUCAUCAUUCCGAGGAAUAUAUUUUUCAUUUCAUCACCAAAGCACUGUGGAAUUGACGCACUAUUACUUGCUUCAAAAUUUGAAGCUUGAACAUUACUUUCAGUUUUGUUAACUUCAACCCAGUUCGAUUCAGUAGACAUCCUGAAUCUAUAAGAAAAUACAAUAUUAGAAUGACUCAAAAGCAUCACACUUUCACAGGGUAUAUGUGGCAUAUAUAUACUAACUCUACUCCACUAUGUUAGUCCUAGAAUCAACUAAAUUGUAGCUCUAAUACCACUAAAUGAAACACCUCUAACCCGUAUCUGUCAUCAAUUUAGGGUUACGAAGCAUUACCAUACAACUGGAUACAUUUAAACUCAACUUCAUUCAAUAACAAAAGCAAAUCAUAAACAAAUCAUAUACAUACAUACCGUCCCAAGAUCGAGGCCUUGAGGCCCUACCUUAGAAACGAUUCAGGACCAAUCUGAAAUCAUUUGAAAAGUAUAGGAAAAAGUCAUAAAAAUUUGGAAACAGAGGUCACACAGUCAUGUGCCUCACACGGCUGAGACACACGCCCGUGUCUCAGGUUGUGUAACCUUCGAACUAGGGACACACGGUCAUGUCCCAGCCCAUGUCCUUGCCUGUGUAACUCUCUGAGUAGGGUCACACGGAUGUGUACCAGGUUGUGUAAAUCACUAACUUAAACCCUUUGAAACCUUUAAAUCGCACAUAAUUGUGUCACCACACACGGCUGAGUCACACGCCUGUGUCCUAAGCCGUGUGAACCCAAAAUUUACCUAUAAUCUAGCCAUCCACAAGCAAUUCACACCUAACUAAUCUAACCAUUUAAACAUGCAUCCAAUGAGCAUAAACAUCAUUCACCAUAACACAAACAUGCGAUUUUAAUGUGCUAAAAUCAACUAACCAAUGUGUCAUUCAUAGACACCACAGUUAUAUCAAAACAUCAACUACUAAAACACAUCAGCAUUUAUCCAUUUCUUGCAUAGUAACUUAGUUCAAUCAUAUACCAAAACAUAGCACUAGUAUUCACUUUCAUACCUUUCUAAUUACACCAAAAAGAGACCUAAUUACAAGCAUGAUAAAAUACCUAUUAACAUAGUUUAGUAACGUAUCAAAUUGUACCAAACCAACAUACUUAGCCACAUAUACGUGCCACUACCCUAAGAGACAUAAAAGCUACCAACUUCGUUGAUAGUGUGAGCCAAUUGAUGAUCCUUUAAAAAUGUCAGCAACAGAUCUAUACAAAACAAUCCACAAGAACUGGUAAGUUUACAUAACUUAGUGAGAUAAUAGUAUUACAUUCAAUCUAACAAAGUUAAAUACAAUCCAUAUACUAUUAGAUUUUAGGGUUACUAGAGUAUAAACAAUACAUGUAAAUGCGUUCAGGGUACCACAGUACAAAUAAGGGCAUAUAUGUGCAAACAAGGGUACCGAAGUACAAAUAAGGGUACGUAUGUAUAUGUACAAAUAGGGGGUGUACGUGCAAACAGGAGUACUGAAGUAGAAACAGGGGCAUGUAUGUACAAACAGGGGUACUGAAGUAUAAACAAUGGCACCUAUGUGCAAACAGGGGUACCAAAGUACAAACUAAGAAACCAUAAAAGUACAAUUAGAAAUUCAUUUACUUAUUGAAACACUAUGAACUUACCUAAUAUUCAAUUCUGAACAACUCGUAGGGGCUAGUUCGCUAUUUUCCCUUUUUCUCGAUUGUUGUCUUUUUGAUCCAAAUUUUGACCUAUAUAAUAAUUGAAUGCAAUACAUUAAUUUCAUAGAUAUUCUACAUUCCAUUCAAUGUAUAUGACCCUUAACUUUUCAUUGAUUACAUAUUUUCCUAAACUUUUAUAACUUUUACGAUUUAGUCUUUUAACCUGAUAUUCAUCAAAUUUGACCAUUUUCUAAUAACAAAAUUAGAACUGAAUUUUCUAGGCUUUUAAAAAGUUCUUGUUAUACAUCAAAUUCACUACCAAACCUUGAAAUUUUGACAUUUAAUCCUUAAAUCAAAAUCUAACAAAAAUUACUUCACAAAAUAAUUAAAUAUCCCAAUCAAAGCUUCAAACGCAUAUUUAUCAUCAAGAACAUUCAAGAUUCAUCAAUGGAAACUUUUAAAAUUUUUAACAAUUUCAAAAAUGAAGGUACGGGCUAGCUAGACCUAGUUGCAACGAUCUCAAAAACAUAAAAAUUACAAGAAACAGAAUUAGAACAAGCUUACAUGGAAAGAAAAUGUGUUAGUCGAACCCAAAGCUCCUCACACAAUGGUGUUUUCUCUUAAUUUCGGUGAAACAAAGUACUAAAGAAGAUUAUAGUAUUAUUUUUUUCUUUUUUCUUAAGUUACAUUUAUUAAUUUACCAUUUUCUCCUUUAAUAAAAACUUCAUUUAGGCUAAUUUCUACCUAUUACUGUCCAUUACAUAUUUAUUGACGGUCUAAUUACCAUAUAAGUCCUUCUUCAUAUAAGUUAAACUAUUAUAACACCUAAAUGGAAUAAUUAACACAUUUUGUGUAACCCCUUAACCUGUAUCCAUCAUCGAAAUAGGGUUAUAGAGCAUUACUGUGUAAACGUCUCUUAAAAACAUACAUUUCAAACAUUAAUGUAAACAUAAUUUAAUUCAUUCAUAUACUUGCAUAUUGUCCCUUAACCAAGUCCUUGGGGCCCUAGAAAUAAAUUAGAAACAAUUCGAGACUAAAUUGGAAACAUUUGGAACAUUUAAGAAAAAGUUGGAAAAAUUUGAACAGCCAUGUGACUCACACGGCUGAGACACACUCCCGUGUCUCAGACUGUGUAACUUUCAAAUUAGGGACACACGGUCGUGUCCCAGCCCGUGUUCGAGUCCGUGUAACUCUCUAAAUUAGGUCAUACUGCCAAGCCACACAUAUGUGUGCUAGACCGUUUAACUCUCGAAAUAGCCACACACGCAGCUGUGUGCUACACCGUGUAACAGCCUUACUUGCAUGCCUUAAACCUAUAGGGGACACACGAUCAUAUCGUCUAACACACAGAUAAGUCACACGCUCGUGUCUCAGGCCGUGUGGACAUGAAAUUUUCUAAGAUCACGCCAUUUCCAUCACCAAAUCAAGCACGUACCUAAAAGAAUUUUGUACACAUAAUCAAGGCCUUAUAACAUGACCAAUUCACUAGUCUAAAAUCAUUCAACCAAUAGCAUAUAAGGCACCUCAAGAACAAACAUACAAACUUCCUAAACAUAUGCAUUACCACAUUUAAAACAUGCACAUGUAGUUCAAUAACAUCUUAAAGCAUACCAUAAUUGAGACCACAAGUAACUCAACAUAAAUAUACCAUUUUAAUGUCCUAAAAACAACCAACCAAUGUGCCCUUCAUAAACACCGCAACUAUAUCCAACAUCAACAACUAAAACAUGUUAACAUUAAUCCAUUUCUAGCAUAGCAAUUUAAUUCACUCACAAGCUAAAUCAAACCACAAGUGUUCACUUUCAUACCAUUCUAAUUGUACCAAAAAGAUUUACAAUCAUAAUAAGGUGCCUAACAACUUAGUUUAGUUUAUUGUCAUAUUGUACCAAAACAACCUAUAUAUCCACAUAUACAAGCCACUAACCUAAGGAGCUCAAGAAUACCAACAUCAAUUAUAAUAACCCGGUUUAGACCCUAGUCGGAAUAGUAGAUUCGGGACCACAAAUCUGAAUCAGAAAAAAAAUUCAAUAUUAUUUUCCGUGUUUACAGUAUGUGGUUAAGCAUGUGUGAAGGUUUCGUAUGAAAAUUUAAUCAUUUGGGUGCUUAAUUUGCAAAAAGGCCCUAAUCGCGUAAAAAGUAAAAGUGGUCUUCUAUUUGUUAAGUGUGCCUAUUGUUAUGUCUUAUUAAAUGUGAGGUCCUCAAAAGGUAAACAGUCCAUUAUUAAUGCUAGUGGACAAUUAUCGGCUUAUAUUAUGUGAUUUUUAAUGUUUUAACUUAAGGUUAUUAUGGUAAUUUGUAAAAUAAAAGUUAAUUAAUAAAACAAAAUUUUAAUUUGGUGUCAUCUUCUUCAUUCAAUCGACUGAAAAAGAGAAAAUAGGGUUUGGGAGAGCUUGAAAACAUUCGGCCAUUGUAGGAUCAAAUUGUAAGUCCAUUUUGACUCGGUUUUUAAUGUUUUUUUAUGUUUUUAAGCUCGUUGCAGCUUAAUUUAGCUAGCCCAUGCCUUAAUUUUUGAAUUGGUUGAUAAUUUUGAAAGAUUCCAUUGAUGAAUUCAUGAGUUUUGUGAUGUUAAAUGAAGAAAUAUGAACACUUAGUGCUUGAUAUGCAUGUCUUGUAAAGUGAUUUUGAGUAAAAAUGCAUAUUAGGGAUUAAAUUAUGAAAAUGAGAAAUUGAGGGACUAAAAUGUAAAAUAAAUGAAAUGUGUGGGCUUAUAUAAACUAGGGUAAAAUUCGGCUAGGUAAUUGUAUAAGGAAAUUUUGAGUAAUUUGUGAUUUUAUGAAUUAGAGAUUAAAGUGUUAAAAUGUGAAAAUGUGAGGGUUAAUUUGUAAAAUGCCCUAAAUAAGUAUAUAUGGAUUGAAUUGAAUGUGUUGGUGAUUAAAAGGGUUAAUUUUGAAUACAUAUAGAUCAAGAAAAGAGGAAUUCAGAUUUAGAUCAAGGAAAAUUGAAGAUUAUCGAGUAAACGAUUCGAAUCGUCAAUUCCGAGUACGAGGUAAGUUUGUAUGUGAUAAAUGAUGUUAUAGUUAUGUUUUAAUGCUUUGAUAAUGCAUAAAUUGUAUAGAUAUUAGAUCACGAUUUGAGCAAUAUGAUAAUCGAUUAAGUUCAGCACUAAGUGUGUGAUUCGAAAUAGCUUCGGCUACAAAAGGCACUAACUGUGCGAGUUGGAAUAGCUUCGGCUACAUAAGGCACUAAGUGUGUGAUACCGAGAUAGCUUUGGUUUAUUGAAAUGGCACUAAGUGUGCAAAGUUGUUAUGACUUCGACAAAUCACUGAUGCACUAAGUGUGCAAAUUCUUAAAGCAUGGAAAGACUUCUGAAUGAAUUAAUGUAUUUGAACAAGAGUUAAGGUUGAAAUGAAUAAAUAUAGGAAAGUUCAGGUUUGUUCGAUACCUAUGCAGUAGAUGAUACUAUGUGUAACACCCCUCACCCGUAUCCGACGCCGGGAUAGGGCUUGAGCCGUUACCGGGAUUUCUCAUUCAUAAACAUAUUAAAUAAAGUCACUAAGUUGUGCUCUAAUUUAAAACUAUUAAAAUAUAUAUAUAUUCCUUCCCUUAAACAGGCCUUCGAGACCUAAAACAUGUCUAGAGGUGGCGUGAGACAAAACCAAGAACAUUUGAUAAACUUUGGGCGCCUUGGAAAAUUUCUUUUACCUUGAAGUGUCACAAGCCCGUGUGACUUGGGACACACCCGUGCAAUCACCCCGUAUCCAAGACUUGAGUAUUCUAUUAAAUUUACACGUCUAAGAGACACGCCCAUGUGUCUAGCCCUUGUUCAUUUGAUAGACUUACCAUUUUAGAUGCAGGAGACACACGCCCACGGGUGUGGCCAGUGUGUCACACAUGGCCUAGGCACACGCCCGUGUACCCAACCGUGUAGACCCUAUUAGGAUAUUUUCCAAGCCUAUGGUCACCACCUUUUAACACUUAUACUUAAUGAAUAUUAUAAACAAAGUAAAACAUAAUUAUGCUCUCAUAAAUGAUCUUUGCAAAAACUCAUAGCAUGGAAACCUCAUAUCAUUGGUUUUGUACAUGCUAGGUUAUUUCCCAUCUUGUAUUUAUGUGUUGUCAUACCACUUUAAUACAUUCAAGAUUGGCUCGUUCUUAUGACUCAUUUCCAAUUGGAAUCCAACCAUCGCACAUGAUUACAAACUUGCAUAGAAAUUUUUUGGGUUAUAGCCUACUUCAAAACAAGCCGAUCUCUAUGGCCAUAAACAAAAAGAUAGAUUUAUCUUUACAAGCCUUCAUUUGGAAAAAUAAAAUGACACAUGUAACAAAAUACUCAAAAGACCUAUACAUGCCAUUGAACAAUUUAGAAAUGUAUUUAUACCAAAGUUGGUCUAUUUGAUAGUAUUCUGACUUUCCGAUCGUCCUGCAAUCUUUACAAGUCUUCGAGCUCUGUGAAAGAUAGGGAAAAGAAAAGGGUAAGCAUUUUAAUGCUUAGUAAGCUUAAAUAACCGGAAAGAAAACUUACCAAGUAAUUAGCACGCAAUCAAAUUGGGCAAUAAAUUCAAUGAGCAUAGGAUGGCUUCCCUAUCACUUACACUCAGUCAAUGAGUUAGACACAAAACAAUGCACUAUAAAAGUUAUCUUAGAUGAGCUUAUCAUUCAACAUCUCAUUUAUAUAUAUAUCAAAUUAAUCGUGGUGAGUUUCUAGGAAAUCUCGAUGGAAUACCCAUUUACCGUCAAUUCAUACAAUGAUCGUUUCAGAUGUGCACUCCCACGAACCUUGCAUCUUAUGGCGGGAUUACCAGUCCAGGCUAAAUCCCCCAUUUUAGAAACUCAUAAGGUGAUGUCGGGAUUACCAGUCUAGGCUAAAUCCCUUAUAAUGACAAACACCUUUAUUGAGCUCUGAUCUAAAUUACCAGUCCAGGCUAAAUUCAGAUCCUAAUCGGAUUACCCGUCCGGGCUAAAUCCAUAAUGCACACAUAUUCUUCGGGAGGCUCGACCAUUCCAAGGAACACCCGUCUGGGCUAGAUCCUUUUAUAAAUGAGAUCAACAGAUUACCCUUCUGGGAUAAAUUCAACAGAUUACCCUUCUGGGCUAAAUCCUUACUGCAACACAUGCAGGACCUCAUUACACAUGUCAAUCAUGGUUUAUCCAUCGAAUUCCCUUUUUAACCUCAACCGAGACAUUUAUCACAAUUUAUACUUGAACAUGCAUUUCAUAGAAUUUCAUGUUAUUAAUAAAUGAAAUCAUCAUUCAGUCAGAAAUCAUAUAAUUAAGCACAUUGAUUAUUUACUUUAAGUUAUCUAAACUUACCUGGUAUUCAUUUCGGUGUCGUGUUUCGGUUAUUCUGAAACCUUUCGUUUUCCUCGAUCGACCUCCAGAAUUUUUUCCUUGGGGUCUAUAACAAUAAAAAUAGAUAAUUAACACUCCACAUUAUACAUUUUAAGUCUAAAUUCCACCCCCGGUCCAAAUGACCGUGUUGCCCCUAACCUUUCACAUUUUUACGAUUUAGUCCCUAGGCUCAUACAAUGAAACGCAUGUAAUUUCUACCUUACUCAAACCUACUCGAAAACUUUUCCCUCUUAUGGUAGCCCACAUUUUCCAUUAUUUUCACAUUUCUACCACACAUUUUACAACUUUUGCAAAAAGGUCCCUUUAGGGGUUUUUCAUGAAAAUCACCUAGGAAAAGUUGUUUAACACACUUCAAACUUUCAUAUUCCUCCAUAAAACAUCAAAAUACAAGUAACUCAUACAUGGGUAAAUUUUAAGCAUGAACCCUAGCAUGAAAUAUGGGUAGAAAUAGAGAGAGCAAGGUACCGGGAUUUCAAAAUUACAAAGAACAUUAAAAACGGGGCUUGGGAGCACUUACUAUUGAGCUUGGAAAGCUUGAAAACCUUAGCUAUGGAAACCCUAGAAAUUUUGGCAGCAUGGAGAAGAAGAAUGGCUGAUUUUUGGUACAUUUUUCCAAUGGCUGAUUUUUGGUACAUUUUUCCCAUUUUAUUUCACUUAAAUGCCAAAUGACCAAAAUGCCCUUAAGCCCUUUCUUUGAAAUUUCAUCCAUGCAAGCCCAUUUUUGACCAAAAAUUUAAAAAUUGGGAAAAUUGCUCCCCAAGACCUUUUAUUUUAUAAUCUUAAGCAAUUUCGUGCAAAUUUCUUCUAGAAUCCAAGUUUUGCAAUUUAUUCAAUUUAGUCCCUAAUUUUCCAAUUGGGCACUUACUCAAAGAAUUCCUUCAUAAAACCUUAACACAUGCAUAUGCUCAUAUUCUAAGUCUCGUAAUAAUCAUAAAAUAAAUUUCUUGAUGUCAGAUUUGUGAACCCGAAACCACUAUUCUGACUAAGCCCUAUUUUUGGAUGUUACAUUUCUCCCCCUUUAGGGACUUUCGUCCUCGAAAGUCUUACCAGUGAAUAGAUUCGGAUAUUGGCUUCUCAUGGUUUCUUCUGAUUCCCAUGUAGCCUCUUCUGCACCAUGUCGAUGCCAUUAAACUUUUACUAAGGCCACAUCUUUUUUCCUCAGUUGUUUAACCUCACAAAUCAAUAUCUUAAUUGGUUCCUCUCCAUAGGUCAUGUUCGGUCAAAUUUCAAUCUCAGUCAGCGAAAUUACGUGAGAAGGGUUUGAUCGAUAUCACCUUAACAUAUAUACAUGGAACACAUUGUGAAUCCUUUCCAGUUCAGGUGGCAAUGCCAAGCGAUAGGCUAACGGUCUAACUUUUUCAAUGAUCUUGUACGGUCCGAUAAAUCGUAGACUCAGUUUGCCUUUCCAGCCAAAUCUCAACACCUUUUUCCAUGGAGAUACUUCAAGAAUACUCUAUCUCCAACUUGAAACUCAAUUUCCUUUCUUUUCAGAUCAGCAUAUGACUUUUGCCUAUCCGAUGCCGCUUUCAAACAGUCUCGUAUCACAUUAACUUUCUCUUCAGUUUCUUUAAUCAAAUCAACUCCAUGAAUUUGAUUUUCCUUAAGUUCUGUCCAAUACAAUGGAGUUCAACACUUCUUACCAUACAAGGCCUUAUAAGGUGCCAUCUUCAAACUCGUCUGAAAACUAUUAUUGUAGGCGAAUUCUACUAGCGGCAAAUAUUUUUCCCAGCUAUCCUGAAAUUCAAGGAUGCAACAUCGUAACAUAUCCUUAAGAAUCUGAAUCAUCCGUUCAGACUGACCAUCUUUCUAAGGAUGAAAAGUUGUACUAAAGCUUAACUUCGUACCUAAGGCUUCUUGUAAUUUCUUCCAGAAUCUCUUAGUGAACCUCGGGUCUCUGUCAAAAAUAAUCGACAUUGGUACCCCAUGCAAUCUUACAAUCUCAGAAAUGUACAAGUCGGCCAAUCUAUCGAGGGAGUAAUCUAUCUUUACCGGAAUGAAAUGAGCUGACUUCGUCAACUUAUCCACGACAACCCAUACAACAUCUUUCUUCUUCAGAGUCAAUGGCAAUCCUGUCACGAAAUCUAUAGUAACUCUAUCCCAUUUCCAUUUGGGGACCAUCAUAGGCUGUAGCAAUCCUGAAGGCACUUGAUGUUCAGUUUUAACUUGCUGACAUACUAGGCAUUUCGACACAAAUUCAGAAAUAUCUCUUUUCAUGCCAUUCUAGCAUUACAUUUUCUUCAAAUCGUUGUACAUUUUGGUACUUCCCAGGUGAAUUAACAAACGGUUGUUAUGUGCUUCUUGCAAAAUUUUCCAAAUAAGUUCAUUGUUUUUGGGUACACAAACCCUAUCUCUGAACAUCAAACAUCCAUCAGAACCAAUCCGAAAAUCUGAUCUAAUGCCUGACUCACAUUGAGUUCUUUUAGCUUGCAAAUCAUCAUCAUUAGUUUGAGCAUCAUAGAUUUCCUGAAAGAAUGUCAGCCUAGCCUCUAGCUCAGCCAAGAUUGAACCAUCAUCAAGCAAUGCCAAACGAACAUCCAUGGCACAUAAUGCAAACAAGGAUUUUCUAUUCAACGCGUCAGCGACCACAUUUGCCUUUCUUAGUUGAUUAUCAAUAAUCAAUUCGUAAUCCUUGAUUAACUCUAGCCACCUCGGCUGCCUCAAAUUUAAUUCUUUUUGAAUCAUCAAAUACUUCAAACUUUUGUGGUCAGUGAAUAUGCGGCAAGUCUCACCAUAUAAAUAAUGCCUCCAAAUUUUCAAAGCAAAAACGAUGGCAGCAAGUUCUAAGCCGUGUGUAGGAUAGUUCUUCUCAUGCAGCUUCAACUAUUGUGAAGCAUAGGCUAUUACCUUGCAAUCUUACAUAAGUACACAAACCAGUCCAUUUGAGGACACGUCACUGUAGACUACAAAUUCUUUUCCCGACUUAGGCAAUACUAAAACAGGAGCUUCAGUUAACAGUGUCUUUAACUUCUCAAAACUUUGUUGGCACUUUUCCAUCCAUUCAAACUUAACGUUUUUCUGUAACAAUCUCGUCAUUGGAGUUGCUAUCAUGGAGAAUCCUUUCAAAAAUCUUCGAUAGUAACCGGCUAAGCCCAAAAAGCUUCUAACCUCGAUUACAUUCUUAGGUGGUUUCCAUUCGACGAUAGCAGAAAUCUUACUUGGAUCCACUUGGAUGCCUUCACCCGAAACAAUAUGACCCAAAAAUCCAACUUCCUGAAGCCAAAGCUCACUCUUGCUAAACUUGGCAUACAAUUGCUUUUCCCGCAAAAUCUGCAACACAAUUCUCAAGUGCUUUGCAUGUUCUGACUCAUCUUUGGAAUAAAUCAAGAUGUCGUCAAUGAACACAAUGAUAAACUUAUCCAAAUAUGGCCGAAAGAUCCUAUUCAUUAGCUCCAUGAAUAUGGUUGGUGCAUUCGUUAACCCAAACGGCAUGACGAGAAAUUCAUAAUGACCGUACCUUGUUUUGAAAGCUAUCUUAGGUACAUCCGAUUCUUUAACUCGCAGUUGAUAAUAGCAAGACCUCAAGUCUAUCUUAGCAAACACAGUAGCUCCUCUCAAUUGAUCGAAUAAGUCAUCGAUCCUUGGUAAAGGAUACUUAUUCUUGAUAGUUACCUUGUUAGUUGGCGGUAACCUAUGCAUAACCUCAUCGAACCAUCUUUCUUCCUUACAAAUAAAACGGGAGCACCCCAAGGUGAAAAGCUCAGCCUUACAAAACCUGUAUCCGUCAGCUCUUGCAAUUGUGGUUUCAACUCUCUCAAUUCAGUUGGUGCCAUCCUAUACGGAGCAAUUGAAAUAGGAGCUAUCCCUGGCACCAACUCAAUACCAAAUUCUAUUUCCCUUUCAGGAGGUAAUCUGGGUAAUUCUUCUUGAAAUACAUCUGGGUACUCACAUACUAUACGCACAGACUCAAUCUUAAACUCUAUUUCCCUAGUGUUCAAUACAAAUGCAAGAUAGGCUUCAUACCCUUUUCUCAUAUAUCUUUGAGCAAUCAUUGCCGUGAUCACAACCGGAGGUGUACCUAACUCUCUUGAAUCAACCCGUAGAAUCUCACCAUCUGGGCAUUUCAAUUUAAUAUACUUACUACCACAAUUUACAAUUACAUCAUGCAGUGCUAACCAAUUCAUACCAAGUAUUACAUCAAAUUCAUCAAAUGGUAACAACAUAAGAUUAGCCGGAAAACAAUGACCCUGAAUCGUCAAAGGACAAUUCUUACAGACUUUAUCAACCAUGACUGAUCUACCUAGUGGAUUCAACACUUUAAUAAUAAAUUCUGUAGGCUCAAUGAGUAUGUUCAUUCUAGAUACCAAGCUUAUGCAAAUGUAUGAAUGCGUCGACCCCGGGUCAAUUAAAGUAAUAACACUUAUAUUAAAAAGGGAAAAAGUACCCGUAAUAACAUCAAGAGCAGAGGCUUCCUCUCGGGCGCGUAUCGUAUACGUUCUUGCCAGGGCUCGAGCCUCUAGUUUUGCAGUGUCUUUAGCCACAACUCAACUGCCACUGGCACUUUCAGGAUAUCUCAGAGGUCUACCUCGUGAAACGGGAGUAUUCGACUUCGGGCUACUUCUACUUCUUUCUCGUCUCGCUCUGGGCAGUCCCUGAGAAAGUGGUCAAGAGAUCCACAUCUGAAACAUGCACGGCUCUUCACUCGACAUUCUCCAUAGUGAAAUAUGUUGCAACUCUUACACUUCAGCUUUUGAUCAUAUACACUCCCUUUACUAGUUACCAUUAGGGAGGAAGACUUUUGGCUUUGUCGUUUAGAGCUUCUCGCUCUACCCGAAUAUCCUACAGAUGAAGUAGAGCGUUCAUGCUGGCUCAUUGAUUUCUUUGUGGGAAACGAGAGUGUUUUACCACUAGACCUCUUGCUCGCGACUCGGGCCUCUCUCUUUGCUUGCUUUCUUUCGUUGUUAAGUUCCUCGGCCUUCUUGGCCCGAUUAGCUAAUGCGACAAAUUCGCGUAUUUCUAAGAUUCCAAUCAACAACUUUAAUUUCCUCAUUCAGACCUUCAUGAAGCAUUUACACAUUUCUAACUCGAUUUGGGCCCAUUCAGUUGCGUACUGAAUUAGCCUCACAAACUCUCGUUCGUAUUUUGCUACAGUCUUGUUCCCUUGUUUGAGUUCCAGGAACUCCUUUCGCUUCGAGUCUAGAAACCGUUGGCUAAUGUAUUUCUUCCUAAAAUCUGCUUGGAAGAAAUCCCAAGUGAUAUUUUUCUUUGGCACUACUGAGGAUACAGUAUUCCACAAAUGAUACGCAGUAUCCUUCAGGAGGGAUACAGCACACUUUAAACACUCCUCAGGUGUGCACAACAAAUCAUCUAACACCUGUGUAGUGUUCUCAAGCCAAAACUCGGCUCUUUCAGUACCAUCAUCAACUUUAGCUCUGAAUUCCUCAACACCAUACUUUCUAAGCUUAUCAACAAGGGCUUUAGCAAUUCUUACUGGUGCCAUACCUCGUGGUACAUCCUCAUCAUGUCGGUUAGAGGAUGGGGGAGGUCUUGGUAUGUUGGGGCGAUUCCUUAGGUAAUCCCCAAACCAUUCAUCCAUCAUAUCAAAUAAGGCGGUUUGAGCCUCUUUUCGGCCUUCAGACAUAAGCCUUCUACUACUACGAGAUAUAGCUCAUUGCACGGUAGCUGGAGCAUGGCUCUCGGCUCCCUCGGACUCAUCUUGUGUUUGAUUGGAAGACAUUUACUAUAUUCAAAACAAUUUGAAUAGUUAGGUGACGUCACACUAUCAAUAUUUGAAUAAUGGCAUGUAUAGAAAACCUCAAUACUCUCUACGGUAGUCCUACAAUUGACUAAACUGUAGCUCUGAUACCAUUAAAUAUAACACCUCUCACCCGUAUCCGACGCCAGGAUAGGGCUCGAGGCAUUACAAGGAUUUCACGUUCAUAAAUAUAUUAAAUCAAUUCACUAAGUUACGCUCUAAUUUAAAACUUUUAAAAUAUAUAUAUCCUUUCCCUUAAAGAGGCCUUCGAGACCUAAAAAAUGUCUAGAGGCUACGCGGGAAAAAACCAAGAACGUUUGAUAAACUUUGGGUGCCUUGGAAAAUUUCUUUUAACUUAAAGUGUCACACGCCCGUGUGACUUGGGACACGCCCGUGCAAUCACCCCGUGUCCAAGACUUGAGUAUUCUGUUAAAUUCACACAGCCAAGACACACGCUCGUUUAUUUAGCCCAUGUUCAUUUAACAGACUUACCAUUUUAGAUGCAGGGGACACACGACCAUGCCACACACCUACGGGUGUGGCCCGUGUGUCAUACACAGCCUAGGCACACGCCUGUGUACCCAACUGUGUAGACCCUAUUAAGAUAUUUUCCAAGCCUAUGGUCACCACCUUUUAACACUUAUACUUAAUGAAUAUUAUAAACAAAGUAAAACAUAAUUAUGCUAUCAUAAAUGAUCUUUCCAAAAACUCAUAGCAUGGAAACCUCAUAUCAUUGGUUUCGUACAUGCUAGGUUAUUUCCCAUCUUAUAUUUAUGUGUUGUCAUACCACUUUAAUACAUUCAAGAUUGGCUCAUUCUUAUGACUCAUUAUCAAUUGGAAUCCAACCAUCGCACAUAAUUACAAACUUCCAUAGAAAUUUUGUAGGUCAUAGCCUACUUCAAAACAAGCCGAUCUCUAUGGCCAUAAACAAAAAGAUAGAUUUAUCUUUACAAGCCUUCAUUUGGCAAAAUCAAAUGACACAUAUAACAAAAUACUCAAAAGACCUAUACAUGCCAUUGAACAAUUUAUAAAUUUUUUUAUACCAAAGUUGAUUUAUUUGAUAUUAUGCUGACUUUCCAACCGUCCUCCAAUCUUUACGAGUUUUUGAGCUCUGUGAAAGAUAGGGAAAAGAAAGGGGUAAGCAUUUUCUUGCUUAGUAAGCUCGAAUAACCGGAAAGUAAACUUACCAAGUAAUUAGCAUGAAAUCAAAUUGGGUAAUAAAUUCAACGAGCAUAGGAUGGCUUCCCUAUCACUUACACUCUAUCAAUAAGUUAGCCACAUAACAAUGCACUAUAAAAGUUAUCUUAGAUGAGCUCAUCAUUCAACAUCUCAUAUAUAUAUCACAUUAAUCGUGGUGAGUUUCUAGGACAUCUCGAUGGAAUACCCAUUUACCGUCAAUUCGUACAAUGAUCGUUUCAGAUAUGCUCUCCCAUGAACCUUACAUCUUAUGGCGGGAUUACCAGUCCAGGCUAAAUCCCCCAUUUUAGAAACUCAUAAGGUGAUGUCGGGCUUACCAGUCCAGACUAAAUCCCUUAUAAUGACAAAAACCUUUAUUGGGCUCUGAUCUGAAUUACCAGUCCAGGCUAAAUUCAGAUCCUAAUCAGAUUACCCGUCUGGGCUAAAUCCAUAAUGCACACAUAUUCUUUGGGAGGCUCGACCAUUCCAAGGAACACCCGUCCGGGUUAGAUCCUUUCAUAAAUGAGAUCAAUAGAUUACCCGUCUGGGCUAAAUCCUUACUAAAACACAUGCAGGACCUCAUUACACAUGUCAAUCAUGGUUUAUCCAUCGAAUUCCCUUUUUAACCUCAACUGAGACAUUUAUCACAAUUUAUACUUGAACAUGCAUUUCAUAGAAUUUCAUGUUAUUAAUAAAUGCAAUCAUCAUGCAUUCAUAAAUCAUAUAAUUAGGCACAUUUAUUGUUUACUUUAAGUUAUCCGAACUUACCUGGUAUUCGUUUCAGUGUCGUAUUUUGGUUAUUUCGAAACCUUUCGUUUUCCUCGAUCAACCUUCAGAAUUUGUUCCUCGGGGUCUAUAACAAUAAAAAUAGAUCAUUAACACUCCACAUUAUACAUUUCAAGUCUAAAUUCCACCCUCGGUCCAAAUGACUAUUUUUCCCCUAACCUUUUACAUUUUUACGAUUUAGUCCCUAGGCUCGUACAAUGAAACGCAUACAAUUUCUACCUUACUCAAACCUAGCCGAACACUUUUCCCUCUUAUGGUAGCCACAUUUUCCAUUAUUUUCACAUUUCUACCACACAUUUUAUAACUUUUGCAAAAAGGUCCCUUUAGGGGUUUUUCAUGAAAAUCACCUAGGAAAAGUUGUUUAACACACUUCAAACUUUCAUAUUCCUCCAUAAAACAUCAAAAUAAAAGUAACUCAUGCACGGGUAAAUUUUAAUCAUGAACCCUAGCAUGAAAUAUGGGUAGAAAUAAAGAGAGCAAGCUACUGGGAUUUCAAAAUUACAAAAAACAUUAAAAACGAGGCUUGGGAGCACUUACUAUUGAGCUUGGAAAGCUUGAAACCUUACCUAUGGAAACCCUAGAAAUUUUGGUAGCAUGGAGAAGAAGAAUGGAUGAUUUUUGGUUCAUUUUUCCCAUUUUCUUUGACUUAAAUGCCAAAUGACCAAAAUGCCCUUAAGCCCUUUCUUUGAAAUUUCAUCCAUGCAAGCCCAUUUUUGUCCAAAAAUUUAGAAAUUGGGCAAAUUUCUCCCCAAGACCAUCUAUUUUGUAAUCCUAAGCAAUUUCGUGCAAAUUGCUUCUAGAAUCCAAGUUUUGCAAUUUAUUCAAUUUAGUCCCUAAUUUUCCAAUUGGGCACUUACUCAAAGAAUUCCUUCAUGAAACUUUAACACAUGCAUAGUCUCAUAUUUUAAGUCUCGUAAUAAUCAUAAAAUAAAUAUUUUGAUGUCGAAUUUGUGGUCCUGAAACCACUCUUCCGAUUAAGCCCUAUUUUGGGAUGUUACACUAUGUGUAUGAUGCCUUAUUAAUUCGUAUUAAUAUAUUAAAAGAGUGUUUAUUAUCAACUAUUGAUUAUUUAUGGUACGAACUUACUAAGAUUUAAAGCUUACUGUGUGGAAUAUUCUCUGUUUUACAGUGUUAUAAAGCUAGCUCGAAUUUGGAGACCGUCAGUGACAUCAACCACACUAUCAAACAUCUAUUUUGGUACCAUUUUGAGAGUUGUAUAUAUGGUAUAUGGCAUGUUUAGGCUAGUGUCAUUUUGGUAUGUUUUCUGUGGUGAUUAGCCGUGAGACUUGGCUUGUAAAUAUUGGUAUGUAUGGCUUCGUAAGUUGGCCUAAUUGGUAUGUUCGAUAAGUAAGAAAUGAGAUGUUUAUAAUGUUCAUGUGAUGGUUUAAAUAUGGGAUGUUGAAUUGGAAAGUUUUAUGGUAUGCAAUAGGUGAUAAGAUGAUGAGAUUAUACUUUUGAAACUUUUGUGAGUUUUAAUGAUUUUGGUAUAUUUAGGUUGUGGAAUUGAGUAGUGAAUUGGAUGGUAUUUGUAUGUUAUGCAAUAUGUAUGAAAUGGUUGAUUUGGUUGCCUAUAAUGAUGCAAAAAUGUUGUGGUUUUGGUGUGGUUGAGAUAGAUAGGAAAUGUGGCUUAAACCAACCCUAAUUUCACCCCACACAAUUGAGCACACGAGCGUGUUUCUCGACCGUGUGUCUGUUGUGAUUAAUUAUUCAAGUCAGUCUCAAGCACGGCCUGGACACAUGGGCGUGUCUGGUGGCUGUGUGAGGCACAUAGCAUUGAUACAUGGGCACGUGUGGCCAUUUCAAAAGGUACACAGGCUACACACGGGCGUGUGGUCAGCCGUGUGACCCAAGUCAAUUUCGACCACGGCCAAGGCACAUGAGUGUGUCUUGUAGCCAUGUGGUUAAGUUAGUAUGUAUGCCCUAUUUUGCCAUGAUUUAGACAUACGGACGUGUCUAAAGCCAUGUGAGACAGAUGGUCUGUUCACACGGACGUGUAACCUGUAUAACUUUGAAAAUUUUGUUUAAGUUUCUGAAAAAAUUGUAUGUGCUCGGUUUAGUCCCGACCCCUUUCUAAAGCAUGUUUAAGGUCUCAUAGACUAUGUAAGGGACUUUGUAAUGAUGUGUGACAAUAAUGCUAUGGUGAUUUAGAAAUGAAUUCAAGAUGUUUAGAUUUGUCUCGUAACGUCUUUAACUCUAGUUCGACAACGAAUAGGGGUUAAGGGUGUUACAUCAAUAAAUAGUGUGAGUUGAAGGUUUGAUCCGUCCAAAAGUCGACAACAACGAUCUACAAAAUAAUCCACAAAAACGAAUAAGCUUAUAGAGCUUAGUAAGAACAUAGUAUGUCAUUUAACUUAACAAAAAUUGAAUAAAAUUCAUAUUUUACUUGAUUCAAAGUUACUAGAGUGUAAAUCGGGUCACGUAUGUGCAAUUCGGGGGUAGCAAAGUACAAAUGGGGGCACGCAUGUGCAAUUUAGGGGUACCGAAGUACAAACAGGGGCAUAUAUGUGUAAUUUAGGGGUACUAAAGUACAAACAGGGGCACAUAUGUGUAAUUCAGGGAAUAAUUAACUAUAAGCAUUUAAUUACAUAACUAUAAUGUGAAAAUACAAGUAAAAAUUCAAUUACAUAUGGAAAUACUAUGAACUUACCCUGACAACUAGAGUGUAGAAAUACGAUUGAGCUGAUCCAUGAUUUUCACCUUUCCUCGAUUUAGAUCCAGUUAAGAUUUAUCUUGAUCUAAAUAAAUAAUUAUAUUCAAUUAAGUAUUUCAAUCAAUCUCAACAUUCAAUUGAAUCCAUAAUUCAUAUUUAUGCAUAAAUACAAUUUUUCCACAAACAUUUUAACUUUUCACAAUUUAGUCAUAAAGCUCAUAAUUUAAAAUAUAAGCAUUUUAAUCCCUAUUUCAUGCUAGUUGUAUCAUCUCAAUUUUGGGCCUAGUCGGAACAGUGGUUUCAGAACCACAAAUCCAAGGCCAGAGAAAUUAUUUUUGAUAUUAUUUUAUAUGCUAUAGCAUGAUUUUAUAGAUAUUUGAAAAGUUUGGUGAAUUAAUUUUAGCAGUUGCAUGCUUAAUUUCGAAAAAGGGAUUAAAUCACAUAAAGAGUGACAAUUAUGUUCUACUAGUUAAAAGUGUUAUGUAGCUAAAGAAAUUAGACGUGGAGGUCCUUAUUGAGUAAAUAGACCACUAAUAAUGAGUGGUGGAUGUACAUGGAGACAAAAAAAUCAAAAUGGUCAAAGUUGGUGGCUUUAGGUGACUUAAUAGAUAGAAUAAUAGUAAAAUAAAAAGAAAAGCUAUCAUCUUUUUACUUCUCUUUCUUCUCCACUGGUUCUUACCCAAGGAAAUGACCAUGGAAGCUUGAAAAAUUUAGCAAUUUCUAACCCUCACAAGUAAGUGAUUUUGAUGGUCAUUUUUGAUGAUUUUUGUAUUUUUGGAACCCUUGUAGCUUAAUCUGGCUAAUGAGGGGACUAUUUUGCAAAAUGGUUGAAAGUCUAGAGUUUUUCCAUGAGAAUAUUCAUGCUGUUUGCUGCAUUUUUAUGCAAGAAAAUGAAUAUUGGUUGUUAAAUAAACAACUUUUGUUAAAUGAUUUUCAUGAAAACACCUAAAAUGGAUCAUUUCGUAAAAGUUGUAAAAUAGGUGGUAACUGUGUAAAAUAAUGGAAAAUGUGGGCUUCCCUAAGCAUGAAAAAGGUUCAGCUAUGCAUAGGUAGUAAAGAAAUUGAACACAUUUCAAUUUUACGAGCCUAGGGGAAAAAGUGUAAAUAUGACAAAGUAUAGGUGUAAAAAUGUAAUUUUACCAAAAAUGUGAAAUUAGGCUAAUUUGAGUUGCAUAAUGAAUAAAUAAAUUAAAUGUGUUGUUAUAGAUCAAGGAAGAUGAAAUUCGAAAUUUAGAUCGGGGGAAAAGAAAGAUAAUCAAGUAAUUGACUUAUUUCAUUGUUUCAUACUGAGGUAAGUUCAUAUGAUAAUAAGCAUUAAAUUUGAUAUGUUUAAAUGCUUAAUCGAUAUCAUGUAUUAUUUCGUAUGUUAUUAUUGGAUCAUGAGCAAUAUAAAAAUAAGAGAUCAUAUUGAAAGAUAAAAUUAUGAGAAAUACAAGGUUAAGCAUGAUCGAAUUACGACAUGUUAUGAAUUGACGGUAAAGACCAUGGUUGGACCAUGAUGUGUAACCGCAUAAAACCACAUCUGGGACAUGGCGUCGGCAUUGUUAUGUGAGCAAGUGUAAGACCAUGUAUGGGACAUGGCAUCGGCAUCGUUAUGUAAGCCAGUGUAAGACCAUGUCUGGGACAUGGCAUCAUGAGGCAUCGUGUAAGACCAUAGCAGGGCUAUUGGCAUCGAUAUGAGAUUUUCAUGUAAGACCAUGUCUAGAACAUGGCAUCGGUACGAUACAUCAUGUAUGAGUUUUCCCGAGUAUCCUUGGUAUCCCAAGAGGUUCAACGAGUAAAUCCAAUGAUUUUUUCAAAGAAAUGGUAAGGUAUGAUCAUGUUGAAAGGGUAUAGGUAUGUACGCAAAAUUCAUGAGUAAUGAAUUUGAUGUAUAUGGAACAUUUGGUAAGAAUGUAAAUGACUAAGUCUUACAUAUGAAAAUGAUCAAUGACCUUGUGAUUAUAAGUCUAUAUUUAUGAUGUAUAAAUAGGUGGUAAAUUUGAUUGAUGAUCAUGUGUGAGGCUUUUAGGCCAAAUUAAAUUGAGACAUGAUAAGUUUAAGUUUUGUUGUUGAUGUACAGGUUAAAUUAGCCAAUGAAUGGCACGUAAAUAUUUGAUAAUGGCUAGUUAAGGACAUGCUUUGGUGUUAUGUAUGAUUAAAUGGAUGUUAAUACAAGGAAAUCAUGAAAGAGUAAAGUUAGCAGUAAAAUAGUUCUGGACAAGAGCAAUUAUAUAAACUUGAAAAAUCACAAAAAGUUGUGCAAAUUGAAUUAAAGGUUGAAUAAGAUAUGAAAUUAAAUCUUAUUAAGUCUAGUUUCAUACGAAAGAAACAGGGCAAGCAAAAAAAUUUCAAAUUAUGAGAUGUUUGAAUUUUUGUGGGAUAGGACCAGGAUGAAUUCGGAAUCCCCUAUUCUGAAUUUGGAAAAUCAUUCAAAAUAGUAUAAAAAUAAUUACGAGCUAUGAUUUAUAUUUUUAAAUUAUUAAUGAAUUUAUUUUCAUGAGAAUCAAACCAGAACAUCAUCUAAUUCUCGUAUGAGGAGAUAAUUAAUUUUUAGUGAAGAAGGGUCGAAACUAUCAGACAGCAGAAUAGGGAUGAUUUUAAAAAAUAAACUAUACUUAUUAGCUAAACCAAAAAUUCUAAAAAUUUUAUUGUAAGGAGAUAUUUGAGUUUAGUUUCAGGGAAAAUUAGAGGAACUUAAUUUGGAGUUUCGUAGCUCAAGAUAUAAAUAAUUUAGUGACUAUAACUUGCGUAGACAACUUGGUAUGAACAUAAGUGAAUAGUGGAACUUUGUGCAAUUAUGAUUGCAUUAUCUUGAGAACAUAUUAUGAGGAUUGUAUUAAACGAGAAAUGCAGGGUUAAGCAUGUUCGAAUUACGACAUGUUAUGAAUUGACGGUAAAGACCAUGGUUGGAUCAUGGCAAUAUGUGUAACUGCGUAAGACCAUGUCUGGGACAUGGCAUCGGCAUUGUUAUGUGAGCCAGUGUAAGACCAUGUUUGGGACAUGGCAUCGGAAUCUUUAUGUGAGCCAGUGUAAGACCAUUUCUAGGACAUGGCAUCGGCAUGGGGCAUCGUGUAAGACCAUAGCUGGGCUAUUGGCAUCGAUAUGAGAUUUUUAUGUAAGACCAUGUCUGGAACAUGGCAUUGGUACGAUACAUCAUGUACGAGUUUUCUCGAGUAUCCUUGGUAUCCUAAGAGGUUUAAUGGGUAAAUCCAAAGAUUUUGCCAAAGAAAUGAUAAGGUAUGAUCAUGUUGAAAGGGUACAGGUAUGUACGCAAAAUUCGUGAGUAAUGAAUUCGAUGUAUUUGGGACAUUUGGUAAGAAUGUAAAUGAGUAAGUCUUACCUAUGAAAAUGAUCAAUGACCUUAUGAUUAUAGGUCUAUACUUAAGAUGUAUAAAUAGGUGGUAAAUUUGAUUGAUAAUCAUAUGUGAGGCUUUUAGGCCAAAUUAAAUUGAGACAUGAUAAGUUUAAGUUUUGUUGUUGAUGUAUAGGUUAAAUUGGCCAAUGAAUGGCAUGUAAAUAUUUAAUAAUGACUAGUUAUUGGAAUGGCUAGUUAAGGAUAUGCUUUGGUGUUAUGUAUGAUUAAAUGGAUGUUAAUUCAAAGAAAUCAUGAAAGAGUAAAGUUAGUAGUAAAACAGUUCUGGAUAGGAGCAAUUGUAUAAACUUGAAAAAUCACCAAAAAUUUUGGAAAUUGAAUUAGAAGUUUAAUAAUAUAUGAAAUUAAAUCUUAUUGAGUUUAGUUUCACACAGUAAAAACAAUGCAAGCAAAAGAAUUUCAUAUUAUGAGAUGUUUGAAUUUUUGUGGGUCAAGGUCAGGAUGAAUUCGGAAUCCCCUGUUCUGACUUUGAAAAAUCAUUAAAAAUAUUAAAAAAAUAAUUACAAGCUAUGAUUUAUAUUUUUUAAAUUAUAUUUUUUAAAUUCUUAGUGAAUAUAUUUUGAAGGGAAUCAAACCAGAACAUCAUUUGAGUCACGUACGAGGAGAUAAUAAAUUUUUAGUGAAGAAGGGUUGAAACUGUCAGAUAGCAGAACAAGGACGACUUUAAAAAAUAAACUGUACUUAUUGGCUAAACCAAAAAUUUUGAAAAUUUUAUUGUAAGGAGAUAUUUGAGUUUAGUUCCAGGGAAAAUUAGCAAAACUAAAUUUGGAGUUCUGUAGCUCAAGAUAUAAAUAAUUUAGUGACUAUAACUUGCAUAGACAACUUGGUAUGAACAUAAGUGAAUAGUAAAAAAAUUAGUAAAAAUCAUUAAAAAUAGUCAAAAAUAAUUACAGCUAUGAUUUAUAUUUUUUAAAUUCUUGGUGAAUAUAUUUUAAAGAGAAUCAAACCAGAACAUCAUCUGAGUCUCGUACGAGGAGAUAAUAAUUUUUUAGUGAAGAAGGGUUGAAACUGUCAGAUAGCAGAACAGGGACGAUUUUAAAAAAAUAGAUUGUACUUAUUGGCUAAACCAAAAGUUUUGAAAAUUUUAUUGUAAGGAGAUAUUUGAGUUUAGUUUCAGGAAAAAUUAGCAAAAAUUAUUUUGGAGUUCCGUAGCUCAAGAUAUAAAUAAUUUAGUGACUAUAACGAGUUUUCUUGAGUAUCCUUGGUAUCCCAAAAGGUUCAACGGGUAAAUCCAAAGAUUUUGUCAAAGAAAUGAUAAGGUAUGAUCAUGUUGAAAGGGUACAGGUAUGUACGCAAAAUUCAUGAGUAAUGAACUCGAUGUAUAUGAGACAUUUGGUAAGAAUGUAAAUGAGUAAGUCUUACCUAUGAAAAUGAUCGAUGACCUUAUGAUUAUAAGUCUAUACUUAUGAUGUAUAAAUAGGUGGUAAAUUUGAUUGAUGAUCGUGUGUGAGGCUUUUAGGCCAAAUUAAAUUGAGAUAUGAUAAGUUUAAGUUUUGUUGUUGAUGUGUAGGUUAUGUGACAGCCCUAAUUUGACCCUAGUCGGAAGUGGUUUCGGGACCACAAAACCGAGUCAUAAAAAUAAUUAGAUGUUAUAUUCGGUGCUUAUUAUAUGUGAAAGUUCAUGUGUGAAAAUUUCAUGCUUUGAUCUUGUCAAUUGUAUAUGAAAUUAUUAAAUAAGACUUAUGUGAAAAUUUUUGAAAAUGCUAUAGGCUAAAUUGUAGUGGCCAAAUAACUUAUAGUAUGAAAUAGGUGGAUUUGCAUGUCAAAAUUCCCAUCUUAAGGUGUAGUGGCCGGCCAUCAUGAUGAGAAUAAAUGGAUCAUGCAUUUUAAAUUAGCACUAUGAGAUUUAAUGGCUUUAUUAUCAUAAAAUAAAGGGAAAUAAAAUAACAAAAUGAUGAAAAGGACAAAGCUUGUCCAUCCUUGUUCAUCAUAGCCGAACUUAAGAAAACAAAUAGGGGAAGGGAAUCUCUUGAAUGUUCGGUCACUUGGGGAAGAUAAAUUCAAGGAAAGUUCUUGGUAAUUUGGUUAAAAAUUCAUGUUUUUGAGUUCCUCUCUUGGUUCUACUUUAAACCCAUGAAUUAAUUUUUUAAGUGUUGGUUAGUUGUGCAUUCGGUCAUGAUAGGAAAUUGUAAAAAAUUGUGUUUGAUGAUAGAAAUUGAUGAAUGAAAGUUUGAUGGACUAUAAUGUUAAAAUUUUGAUUCUUUGGGGAUGAUUUGAAUUUUUGGUCAUGGUAAUCAAUGAAGGGGAUAGAUGAUUGUCUUCAAGUUGUAAUGAAUAAUUACAAAUGAGUGAUGUUUGAGAUAGUUUAAUGUUCAUGUAAGUAGUUUAGAUGAUUUGAAAAGAAUAGGGUAGAUGUUUGAAUGUCUAAAGGUUCGGUAUUGUACAUGAAUUCUAAUGGUAUGAUUUUGUAAAUGCUGAAUGAGUUAUAGGAGUUCGAAAAUGGCUUAAUUUUCAUAUUUAAAUUCGGUUAUAUCCGAUCAUGGUUGGAGUUAUUUUGAUAUGCAUAGUAUAAAGUAUAUAUGAUUUGUGUUUUGGAUGAUUAACUAUAUUUGGUUAAUGAUAUGAAUAAAUUAUAAAUAGCUUUAAGUAAGCUUGAUAUAUGGACAAGGGAUAUAUUUGGAUCGAGAUUAUGCUUAAGUGAAAUUAUAGAUAUGUGAUGAAAUUGAUUUGUGAUAUACAUGUUUAAAUAAUAUGAAUGCAAAGAGUUGUGAAAUAGUAAAUUGUAGUAAAUCUGCUUGGGAUAGCAGCUAUAAUGUGAUUUUGGAAAAUCACCAUAAAUUGUGAGAGUGGAGUUAGAAGCUAAAUAAAGUAUGUAAUUAAAGAUUAAUGAGUCUAGUUUCAAAUGAAAUCAACGAGAACAUAUUUUGACUUCUGUACAAUUAGAAAUUUGAUUCGUAGUAAAGGGUGGUCAGAUUAGUCAAACAGUGAAACAGGGGAAACUUUAAGAAAAAUCUGGUAUUGAUUGGCCAAACUAAAAAUUCUGAAAAUUUUAUGGAUAAAAGAUAUAUGAGUAUAUUUUCAGGGAAAUUUUACAGCAAUUGAUUUGGAGUUUCGUAUCUCCAGUUAUAAAUAAUUUAGUGAUUGUUGCUCAGGAAGACAACUUAUUGUGAAUUUGUGAUUUUGUGGUAAACAUUGAUAAAAAAAUUUGUUAAUGAGUUGCUUAAUGUUUUCUUAUAAACUUAUUAUGAUCUAUAUGUGUGAAAGUCGAAUAAUGACUAGUUUAAAAUUUUUGAAUCUAAGCUCAAGAGCAAAGAGGAUCAAAGUUGGAUAGGGGAAAAGAGAAAGUAAUUGAGUAGCCUUUCCGCAACCAUUCAAGUAUAUCCGAGGUAAGUUUUGAGUAGUCACCUUUAGUAUAUAAUUGAUGAUGCUUUGAUAUGUAUAUAUAUUAGAUGAAUUGUGACCUUUUGGUUCUACUUGAAUUAAGUUGUGUGAUAAAUAAUUUAUGUAUAUGACUUAUAGUCGAAUGGUCACUAUGGGUUAAGCUUGAAUAAUGAAAUGGAUAUGUAAUAUUUAUGUAUGACUUUUGAACCGAAAUGUAAAUGAUGGUGUUCAUAUGGAGCUUAUAUCCGAAUGUAGCAAAUGACUACUAAUGUGAUAUGUUGAAUGAGAUGUGUUAAUAUAUGAUUAAAUAUGCAUGAUAUUUGAUGUGUAUCCGGGCUUAAAGACCCGCAGGCUAUAUGCUGGAAUUAUAUCCGGGUUAAAUCCCGCAGGUAUAGUGCUGGUAUUAUAUCCGAGCUUAAAGUCCCACAGGUUUUGUGUUGGUGACUGGAUUCAGGUUUUAAACCUAGCAGGAUUAACGCCGGUGAUUCGAGUAAGAUUAUGAAUUUGAAAGUUCGAGGUAAACUACUAUUGAUUAUGUAUGAUACAUUAUGAUAGUCAGGUACGUAUUAUGUACUCGUAUGCGAAUUGAUUUUUUAAAGUGAAUUAUUAUUAUCAAAAAACGAUAUAUGUGUGUGAAUGAUUACUAUAUCUACGAAUAAGAGCAUGACCUAUUCGGUCGAUGUCUGUCAUUAUAUGAAAGUAUGUGACUUAAAUUAAUUGUAUGAGCUAUAAAGUAAAGUAUGUGCUGAAAUUUCUUUGUGUAUUCAUAUAUUUAUAUACAUAUAUAUUCGGCCAAUAGGCUUUUUAAUUGGUGUACUUGUGUAUAUUCGGCCCAGUGAUUUGUAAUUAGAAUAUUAGUUUUGUGGUACUAAAUGAUCAUUUUAAAUGACAAGUUUAAAUUGUUUGUAUCGCUUAAAACUUACUAAGCUUUGAAAGCUUACUUUGUUCUUUAUUUCUCUGUUUUAUAGAUUGUUGAUUUUGGCCACCGACUCGGAGAUCGUCAGUAGUUCAUCACACUAUUGAUCAUUUUGGUACUAUUAUAUUUUGGAGUUGAUGUGGCAUGUAUAGGUUGGACUGUUGAGAACGAUAUUUUGUAAAUGUAAAUAUUUAGCCAUACGAAUAUUGCAUCUGAUCUUGAAUGUUUGUAUAGUUUUUAGCUUGAUUUUGGAUUGUGUUUAAUGACUAUAUGAAUGUGAUAAUUAAAUGUUUAGUUCGGUAAUACCUCUUAACCUUAAUUCGGCGAUUGGAUAUGGGUUAGGGGUGUUACAGGUUAAAUUGGCCGAUGAAUGGCAUGUAAAUAUUUGAUAAUGACUAGCUGUUGGAAUGGCUAGUUAAGGAUAUGCUUUGGUGUUAUGUAUGAUUAAAUGGAUGUUAAUUCAAAGAAAUCAUGAAAGAGUAAAGUUAGCAAUAAAAUAGUUCUGGACAGGAGCAAUUGUAUAAACUUGAAAAAUCACCAAAAAUUUUGGAAAUUGAAUUAGAGGUUUAAUAAGAUAUGGAAUUGCAUCUUAUUGAGUCUAGUUUCACACAGAAGAAACAAUGCAAGCAAAAGAAUUUUAUAUUAUGAGAUGUUUGAAUUUUCAUUGGACAGGGUCAGGAUGAAUUCGGAAUCCCUUGUUCUGACUUUGGAAAAUCAUUAAAAAUAGUAAAAAAAUAAUUACAAGCUAUGAUUUAUAUUUUUUAAAUUCUUAAUGAAUAUAUUUUGAAGAGAAUCAAACCAGAACAUCAUCCGAGUCUCGUACGAGGAGAUAAUAAAUUUUUAGUGAAGAAGGGUUGAAACUGUCAGACAGCAGAACAGGGACAAUUUUAAAAAAUAAACUGUACUUAUUAGCUAAACCAAAAAUUUUGAAAAUUUUAUUGUAAGGAGAUACUUGAGUUUAGUUUCAGGAAAAAUUAGCAAAAAUUAAUUUGGAGUUCCAUAGCUCAGGAUAUAAAUAAUUUAGUGACUAUAACGAGUUUUCCUGAGUAUCCUUGGUAUCCCAAAAGGUUCAACGGGUAAAUCCAAAGAUUUUGUCAGAGAAAUGAUAAGGUAUGAUCAUGUUGAAAGGGUACAGGUAUGUAUGCAAAAUUCAUAAGUAAUGAACUCGAUGUAUAUGAGACAUUUGGUAAGAAUGUAAAUGAGUAAGUCUUACCUAUGAAAAUGAUCGAUGACCUUAUGAUUAUAAGUCUAUACUUAUGAUGUAUAAAUAGGUGGUAAAUUUGAUUGAUGAUCGUGUGUGAGGCUUUUAGGCCAAAUUAAAUUGAGAUAUGAUAAGUUUAAGUUUUGUUGUUGAUGUAUAGGUUGAAUUGACCAAUGAAUGGCAUGUAAAUAUUUGAUAAUGACUAGCUAUUGGAAUGGCUAGUUAAGGAUAUGCUUUGGUGUUAUGUAUGAUUAAAUGGAUGUUAAUUCAAAGAAAUCAUGAAAGAGUAAAGUUAGCAGUAAAAUAGUUCUAGAUAGGAGCAAUUGUAUAAACUUGAAAAAUCACCAAAAUUUUGGAAAUUGAAUUAGAGGUUUAAUAAGAUAUGGAAUUACAUCUUAUUGAGUCUAGUUUCACACAGAAGAAACAAUGCAAGCAAAAUAGUUUCAUAUUAUGAGAUGUUUGAAUUUUUAUGGGUCAGGGUCAGGAUGAAUUCGGAAUCCCCUGUUUUGACUUUGGAAAAUCAUUAAAAAUAGUAAAAAAAUAAUUACAUGCUAUGAUUUAUAUUUUUUAAAUUCUUAAUGAAUAUAUUUUGAAGAGAAUCAAACCAGAACAUCAUCCGAGUCUCGUACGAGGAGAUAAUAAAUUUUUAGUGAAGAAGGGUUGAAACUGUCAGACAGCAGAACAGGGACGAUUUUAAAAAAUAAACUAUACUUAUUGGCUAAACCAAAAAUUUUGAAAAUUUUAUUGUAAGGAGAUAUUUGAGUUUAGUUUCAGGGAAAAUUAGCAAAACUUAAUUUGAAGUUCCGUAGCUCAAGAUAUAAAUAAUUUAGCGACUAUAACUUGCGUAGACAAUUUGGUAUGAACAUAAGUGAAUAGUGGAACUUUGUGCAAUUAUGAUUGCAUUAUCUUGAGAACAUAUUAUGAGGAUUAUAUUGAAAGAUCAAAUUAAGAGAAAUGCAGGGUUAAGCAUGUUCGAAUUACGACAUGUUAUGAAUUGAUGGUGAAGACCAUGGUUGGACCAUGGAAAUAUUUGUAACCGCGUAAGACCAUGUCUAGGACAUGGCAUCGGCAUUCUUAUGUGAGCCAGUGCAAGACCAUGUCUGGGACAUGGCAUUGGUACGAGGCAUCGUGUAAGACCAUAGCUGGGUUAUUGGCAUCGAUAUGCGAUUUUCAUGUAAGACCAUGUCUGGAGCAUGGCAUUGGUACGAUACAUCAUGUAGGAGUUUUCUCAAGCAUCCUUGGUAUCCCAAGAGGUUUAAUGGGUAAAUCCAAAGAUUUUUCCAAAGAAAUGAUAAGGUUUGAUCAUGUUGAAAGGGUACAGGUACGUACGCAAAAUUCGUGAGUAAUGAAUUCGAUGUAUUUGGGACAUUUGGCAAGAUUAUAAAUGAGUAAGUCUUACCUAUGAAAAUUAUUGAUAACCUUAUGAUUAUAGGUCUAUACUUAUGAUGUAUGAAUAGGUGGUAAAUUUGAUUGAUGAUCGCGUGUGAGGCUUUUAGGCCAAAUUAAAUUGAGAUAUGAUAAGUUUAAGUUUUGUUGUUGAUGUAUAGGUUAAAUUGGCCAAUGAAUGGCAUGUAUAUAUUUGAUAAUGACUAGCUAUUGGAAUGGCUAGUUAAGGAUAUGCUUUGGUGUUAUGUAUGAUUAAAUGGAUGCUAAUACAAAGAAAUCAUGAAAGAGUAAAGUUAGCAGUAAAAUAGUUCUAGACAAGAGCAAUUGUAUAAACUUGAAAAAUCACCAAAAAUUUUGGAAAUUGAAUUAGAGGUUUAAUAAGAUAUGAAAUUAAAUCUUAUUGAGUCUAGUUUUACACAGAAGAAACAAUGCAAGCAAAAGUAUUUCAUAUUAUGAGAUGUUUGAAUUUUUGUGGGUCAGGGCCAGGAUGAAUUCGAAAUCCCCUGUUCUGAAUUUGGAAAAUCAUUAAAAAUAGUAAAAAAAAUAAUUACAAGCUAUGAUUUAUAUUUUUUAAAUUCUUAAUGAAAAUAUUUUGAAGAGAAUCAAACCAGAACAUCAUCUGAGUCUCAUACGAGGAGAUAAUAAAUUUUUAGUGAAGAAGGGUUGAAACUGUCAGACAGCAGAACAGGGACGAUUUUACAAAAUAAACUGUACUUAUUGGCUAAACAAAAAAUUUUGAAAAUUUUAUUGUAAGGAGAUAGUUGAGUUUAGUUCCAGGGAAAAUUAGCAAAACUAAAUUUGGAGUUCUGUAGCUCAAGAUAUAAAUAAUUUAGUGACUAUAACUUGCGUAGACAACUUGGUAUGAACAUAAGUGAAUAGUAAAAAAAUCAUUAAAAUCAUUAAAAAUAGUAAAAAAAUAAUUACAAGCUAUGAUUUAUAUUUUUUAAAUUCUUAGUGAAUAUAUUUUGAAGACAAUCAAACCAGAACAUCAUCCGAGUCUCGUACGAGGAGAUAAUAAUUUUUUAGUGAAGAAGGGUUGAAACUGUCAGACAGCAGAAUAGGGACAAUUUUAAAAAAUAAACUCUACUUAUUAGCUAAACCAAAAAUUUUGAAAAUUUUAUUGUAAGGAGAUAUUUGAGUUUAGUUUCAGGAAAAAUUAGCAAAAAUUAAUUUAGAGUUCCGUAGCUCAAGAUAUAAAUAAUUUAGUGACUACAACCAGUUUUCCUGAGUAUCCUUGGUAUCCCAACAGGUUCAACGGGUAAAUCCAAAGAUUUUGUCAAAGAAAUGAUAAUGUAUGAUCAUGUUGAAAGGGUACAGGUAUGUAUGCAAAAUUCAUGAGUAAUGAACUCGAUGUAUAUGAGACAUUUGGUAAGAAUGUAAAUGAGUAAGUCUUACCUAUGAAAAUGAUCGAUGACCUUAUGAUUAGAAGUCUAUACUUAUGAUGUAUAGCUAGGUGGUAAAUUUGAUUGAUGAUCGUGUGUGAGGCUUUUAGGCCAAAUUAAAUUGAGAUAUGAUAAGUUUAAGUUUUGUUGUUGAUGUAUAGAUUGAAUUGGCCAAUGAAUGGCAUGUAAAUAUUUGAUAACGACUAGCUAUUGGAAUGGCUAGUUAAGGAUAUGCUUUGGUGUUAUGUAUGAUUAAAUGGAUGUUAAUUCAUAGAAAUCAUGAAAGAGUAAAGUUAGCAGUAAAAUAGUUCUAGAUAGGAGAAAUUGUAUAAACUUGAAAAAUCACCAAAAAUUUUGGAAAUUGAAUUAGAGGUUUAAUAAGAUAUGGAAUUACAUCUUAUUGAGUCUAGUUUCACACAGAAGAAACAAUGCAAGCAAAAGAAUUUCAUAUUCUGAGAUGUUUGAAUUUUUAUGGCUCAGGGUCAGGAUGAAUUCGGAAUCCCCUGUUCUGACUUUGGAAAAUCAUUAAAAAUAGUAAAAAAAAUAAUUACAAGCUAUGAUUUAUAUUUUUUAAAUUCUUAAUGAAUAUAUUUUGAAGAGAAUCAAACCAGAACAUCAUCCGAGUCUCGUACGAGGAGAUAAUAAAUUUUUAGUGAAGAAGGGUUGAAACUGUCAAACAGCAGAACAAGGACGAUUUUAAAAAAUAAACUGUACUUAUUGGCUAAAGCAAAAAUUUUGAAAAUUUUAUUGUAAGGAGAUAUUUGAGUUUAGUUUCAAGGAAAAUUAGCAAAACUUAAUUUGGAGUUCCAUAGCUCAAGAUAUAAAUAAAUUAGUGACUAUAACUUGCGUAGACAAUUUGGUAUGAACAUAAGUGAAUAGUGGAACUUUGUGCAAUUAUGAUUGCAUUAUCUUGAGAACAUAUUAUGAGGAUUAUAUUGAAAGAUCAAAUUAAGAGAAAUGCAGGGUUAAGCAUGUUCGAAUUACGACAUGUUAUGAAUUGAUGGUAAAGACCAUGGUUGGACCAUGGCAAUAUGUGUAACCGCGUAAGACCAUGUCUAGGACAUGGCAUCGGCAUUGUUAUGUGAGCCAGUGUAAGACCAUGUCUGGGACAUGGCAUCGGUACGAGGCAUCGUGUAAGACCGUAGCUGGGUUAUUGGCAUCGAUAUGAGAUUUUCAUGUAAGACCAUGUCUGGAGCAUGGCAUUGGUACGAUACAUCAUGUAGGAGUUUUCUCAAGUAUCCUUGGUAUCCCAAGAGGUUUAAUGGGUAAAUCCAAAGAUUUUGCCAAAGAAAUGAUAAGGUAUGAUCAUGUUGAAAGGGUACAGGUACGUACGCAAAAUUCGUGAGUAAUGAAUUCGAUGUAUUUGGGACAUUUGGUAAGAUUAUAAAUGAGUAAGUCUUACCUAUGAAAAUGAUCGAUAACCUUAUGAUUAUAGGUCUAUACUUAUGAUGUAUGAAUAGGUGGUAAAUUUGAUGGAUGAUCGCGUGUGAGGCUUUUAGGCCAAAUUAAAUUGAGACAUGAUAAGUUGAAGUUUUGUUGUUGAUGUAUAGGUUAAAUUGGCCAAUGAAUGGCAUGUAAAUAUUUGAUAAUGACUAGCUAUUGGAAUGGCUAGUUAAGGAUAUGCUUUGGUGUUUUGUAUGAUUAAAUGGAUGCUAAUACAAAGAAAUCAUGAAAGAGUAAAGUUAGCAGUAAAAUAGUUCUAGACAAGAGCAAUUGUAUAAACUUGAAAAAUCACCAAAAAUUUUGGAAAUUGAAUUAGAUGUUUAAUAAGAUAUGAAAUUAAAUCUUAUUGAGUCUAGUUUUACAUAGAAGAAACAAUUCAAGCAAAAGAAUUUCAUAUUAUGAGAUGUUUAAAUUUUUGUGGGUCAGGGUCAGGAUGAAUUCGGAAUCCCCUGUUCUGAAUUUGGAAAAUCAUUAAAAAUAGUAAAAAAAUAAUUACAAGCUAUGAUUUAUAUUUUUUAAAUUCUUAAUGAAAAUAUUUUGAAGAGAAUCAAACCAGAACAUCAUCCGAGUCUCGUACGAGGAGAUAAUAAUUUUUUAGUGAAGAAAGGUUGAAACAGUCAGAAAGCAGAACAGGGACGAUUUUAAAAAAUAAACUGUGCUUAUUGGCUAAACAAAAAAUUUUGAAAAUUUUAUUGUAAGGAGAUAGUUGAGUUUAGUUCCAGGGAAAAUUAGCAAAACUAAAUUUGGAGUUCCGUAGCUCAAGAUACAAAUAAUUUAGUGACUAUAACUUGCGUAGACAACUUGGUAUGAACAUAAGUGAAUAGUAAAAAAAUUAUUAAAAAUCAUUAAAAAUAGUAAAAAAAAAUAAUUACAAGCUAUGAUUUAUAUUUUUUAAAUUCUUAGUGAAUAUAUUUUGAAGAGAAUCAAACCAGGACAUCAUCCGAGUCUCGUACGAGGAGAUAAUAUUUUUUUAGUGAAGAAGGGUUGAAACUGUCAGACAGCAGAAUAGGGACAAUUUUAAAAAAUAAACUGUACUUAUUAGCUAAACCAAAAAUUUUGAAAAUUUUAUUGUAAGGAGAUAUUUGAGUUUAGUUCCAGGGAAAAUUAGCAAAACUAAAUUUGGAGUUCCGUAGCUCAAGAUAUAAAUAAUUUAGUGACUAUAACUUGCGUAGACAACUUGGUAUGAACAUAAGUGAAUAGUAAAAAAAUCAUUAAAAAUCGUUAAAAAUAGUAAAUAAAAUAAUUACAAGCUAUGAUUUAUAUUUUUUAAAUUCUUAGUGAAUAUAUUUUGAAGAGAAUCAAACCAGAACAUCAUCCGAGUCUCGUACGAGGAGAUAAUAAUUUUUUAGUGAAGAAGGGUUGAAACUGUCAGACAGCAGAAUAGGGACAAUUUUAAAAAAUAAACUGUACUUAUUAGCUAAACCAAAAAUUUUGAAAAUUUUAUUGUAAGGAGAUUCUUGAGUUUAGUUUUAGGAAAAAUUAGCAAAAAUUAAUUUGGAGUUCCGUAGCUCAAGAUAUAAAUAAUUUAGUGACUAUAACGAGUUUUCCUGAGUAUCCUUGGUAUCCCAAAAGGUUCAACGGGUAAAUCCAAAGAUUUUGUCACAGAAAUGAUAAGGUAUGAUCAUGUUGAAAGGGUACAGGUAUGUAUGCAAAAUUCAUGAGUAAUGAACUCGAUGUAUAUGAGACAUUUGGUAAGAAUGUAAAUGAGUAAGUCUUACCUAUGAAAAUGAUCGAUGACCUUAUGAUUAUAAGUCUAUACUUAUGAUGUAUAAAUAGGUGGUAAAUUUGAUUGAUGAUCGUGUGUGAGGCUUUUAGGCCAAAUUAAAUGGAGAUAUGAUAAGUUUAAGUUUUGUGGUUGAUGUAUAGGUUGAAUUGGCCAAUGAAUGGCAUGUAAAUAUUUGAUAAUGACUAGCUAUUGGAAUGGCUAGUUAAGGAUAUGCUUUGGUGUUAUGUAUGAUUAAAUGGAUGUUAAUUCAAAGAAAUCAUGAAAGAGUAAAGUUAGCAGUAAAAUAGUUCUAGAUAGGAGCAAUUGUAUAAACUUGAAAAAUCACCAAAAAUUUUGGAAAUUGAAUUAGAGGUUUAAUAAGAUAUGGAAUUACAUCUUAUUGAGUCUAGUUUCACACAGAAGAAACAAUGCAAGCAAAAGAGUUUCAUAUUAUGAGAUGUUUGAAUUUUUAUGGGUCAGGUUCUGGAUGAAUUCGGAAUCACCUGUUCUGACUUUGGAAAAUCAUUAAAAAUAGUAAAAAAAAAUAUUACAAGCUAUGAUUUAUAUUUUUAAAUUCUUAAUGAAAAUGUUUUGAAGAGAAUCAAACCAGAACAUCAUCCGAGUCUCGUACGAGGAGAUAAUAAAUUUUUAGUGAAGAAGGGUUGAAACUGUCAGAUAGCAGAACAGGGACGAUUUUAAAAAAAUAAACUGUACUUAUUGGCUAAACAAAAAAUUUUGAAAAUUUUAUUGUAAGGAGAUAGUUGAGUUCAGUUUCAGGGAAAAUUAGCAAAACUAAAUUUGAAGUUCCGUAGCUCAAGAUAUAAAUAAUUUAGUGACUAUAACUUGCGUAGACAACUUGGUAUGAACAUAAGUGAAUAGUAAAAAAAUCAUAAAAAAUCAUUAAAAAUAGUAAAUAAAAUAAUUACAAGCUAUGAUUUAUAUUUUUUAAAUUCUUAGUGAAUAUAUUUUGAAGAGAAUCAAACCAGAACAUCAUCCGAGUCUCGUACAAGGAGAUAAUAAUUUUUUAGUGAAGAAGGGUUGAAACUGUCAGACAGCAGAAUAGGGACAAUUUUAAAAAAUAAACUGUACUUAUUAGCUAAACCAAAAAUUUUGAAAAUUUUAUUGUAAGGAGAUAUUUGAGUUUAGUUCCAGGGAAAAUUAGCAAAAAUUAAUUUGGAGUUCCAUAGCUCAAGAUAUAAAUAAUUUAGUGACUAUAACGAGUUUUCCUGAGUAUCCUUGGUAUCCCAAAAGGUUCAACGAGUAAAUCCAAAGAUUUUGUCAAUGAAAUGAUAAGGUAUGAUCAUGUUGAAAGGGUACAGGUAUGUAUGCAAAAUUCAUGAGUAAUGAACUCGAUGUAUAUGAGACAUUUGGUAAGAAUGUAAAUGAGUAAGUCUUACCUAUGAAAAUGAUCGAUGACCUUAUGAUUAUAAGUCUAUACUUAUGAUGUAUAAAUAGGUGGUAAAUUUGAUUGAUGAUCGUGUGUGAGGCUUUUAGGCCAAAUUAAAUUGAGAUAUGAUAAGUUUAAGUUUUGUUGUUGAUGUAUAGGUUGAAUUGGCUAAUGAAUGGCAUGUAAAUAUUUGAUAAUGACUAGCUAUUGGAAUGGCUAGUUAAGGAUAUGCUUUGGUGUUAUGUAUGAUUAAAUGGAUGUUAAUUCAAAGAAAUCAUGAAAGAGUAAAGUUAGCAGUAAAAUAGUUCUAGAUAGGAGCAAUUGUAUAAACUUGAAAAAUCACCAAAAAUUUUGGAAAUUCAAUUAGAAGUUUAAUAAGAUAUGGAAUUACAUCUUAUUGAGUCUAGUUUCACACAGAAGAAACAAUGCAAGCAAAAGAAUUUCAUAUUAUGAGAUGUUUGAAUUUUUGUGGGUCAGGGUCAGGAUGAAUUCGGAAUCCCCUGUUCUGACUUUGGAAAAUCAUUAAAAAUAGUAAAAAAAAUAAUUACAAGCUAUGAUUUAUAUUUUUUAAAUUCUUAGUGAAUAUAUUUUGAAGAGAAUCAAACCAGGACAUCAUCCGAGUCUCGUACGAGGAGAUAACAAAUUUUUAGUGAAGAAGGGUUGAAACUGUCAGACAGCAGAACAGUGACGAUUUUAAAAAAUAAACUGUACUUAUUGGCUAAACAAAAAAUUUUGAAAAUUUUAUUGUAAGGAGAUAUUUGAGUUUAGUUCUAGGGAAAAUUAGCAAAACUAAAUUUGGAGUUCCGUAGCUCAAGAUAUAAAUAAUUUAGUGACUUUAACUUGCGUAGACAACUUGGUAUGAACAUAAGUGAAUAGUAAAAAAAUCAUUAAAAAUAAUUAAAAAUAGUAAAAAAAUAAUUACAAGCUAUGAUUUAUAUUUUUUAAAUUCUUAGUGAAUAUAUUUUGAAGAGAAUCAAACCAGAACAUCAUCCGAGUCUCGUACGAGGAGAUAAUAAUUUUUUAGUGAAGAAGGGUUGAAACUGUCAGACAGCAGAAUAGGGACAAUUUUAAAAAAUAAACUGUACUUAUUAGCUAAACCAAAAAUUUUGAAAAUUUUAUUGUAAGGAUAUACUUGAGUUUAGUUUCAGGAAAAAUUAGCAAAAAUUAAUUUGGAGUUCCGUAGCUCAAGAUAUAAGUAAUUUAGUGACUAUAACGAGUUUUCCUGAGUAUCCUUGGUAUCCCAAAAGGUUCAACGGGUAAAUCCAAAGAUUUUGUCAGAGAAAUGAUAAGGUAUGAUCAUGUUGAAAGGGUACAUGUAUGUAUGCAAAAUUCAUAAGUAAUGAACUCGAUGUAUAUGAGACAUUUGGUAAGAAUGUAAAUGAGUAAGUCUUACCUAUGAAAAUGAUCGAUGACCUUAUGAUUAUAAGUCUAUACUUAUGAUGUAUAAAUAGGUGGUAAAUUUGAUUGAUGAUCGUGUGUGAGGCUUUUAGGCCAAAUUAAAUUGAGAUAUGAUAAGUUUAAGUUUUGUGGUUGAUGUAUAGGUUGAAUUGGCCAAUGAAUGACAUGUAAAUAUUUGAUAAUGGCUAGCUAUUGGAAUGGCUAGUUAAGGAUAUGCUUUGGUGUUAUGUAUGAUUAAAUGGAUGUUAAUUCAAAGAAAUCAUGAAAGAGUAAAGUUAGCAGUAAAAUAGUUCUAGACAAGAGCAAUUGUAUAAACUUGAAAAAUCACCAAAAAUUUUGGAAAUUGAAUUAGAGGUUUAAUAAGAUAUGGAAUUACAUCUUAUUGAGUCUAGUUUCACACAGAAGAAACAAUGCAAGCAAAAGAGUUUCAUAUUAUGAGAUGUUUGAAUUUUUAUGGCUCAGGGUCAGGAUGAAUUCGGAAUCCCCUGUUCUGACUUUGGAAAAUCAUUAAAAAUAGUAAAAAAAUAAUUACAAGCUAUGAUUUAUAUUUUUUAAAUUCUUAAUGAAUAUAUUUUGAAGAGAAUCAAACCAGAACAUCAUCCGAGUCUCGUACGAGGAGAUAAUAAAUUUUUAGUGAAGAAGGGUUGAAACUGUCAGACAGCAGAACAGGGACAAUUUUAAAAAAUAAACUGUACUUAUUAGCUAAACCAAAAAUUUUGAAAAUUUUAUUGUAAGGAGAUACUUGAGUUUAGUUUCAGUAAAAAUUAGCAAAAAUUAAUUUGGAGUUCCGUAGCUCAAGAUAUAAAUAAUUUAGUGACUAUAACGAGUUUUCCUGAGUAUCCUUGGUAUCCCAAAAGGUUCAACGGGUAAAUCCAAAGAUUUUGUCAGAGAAAUGAUAAGGUAUGAUCAUGUUGAAAGGGUACAGGUAUGUAUGCAAAAUUCAUAAGUAAUGAACUUGAUGUAUAUGAGACAUUUGGUAAGAAUGUAAAUGAGUAAGUCUUACCUAUGAAAAUGAUCGAUGACCUUAUGAUUAUAAGUCUAUACUUAUGAUGUAUAAAUAGGUGGUAAAUUUGAUUGAUGAUCGUGUGUGAGGCUUUUAGGCCAAAUUAAAUUGAGAUAUGAUAAGUUUAAGUUUUGUGGUUGAUGUAUAGGUUGAAUUGGCCAAUGAAUGGCAUGUAAAUAUUUGAUAAUGACUAGCUAUUGGAAUGGCUCGUUAAGGAUAUGCUUUGGUGUUAUGUAUGAUUAAAUGGAUGUUAAUUCAAAGAAAUCAUGAAAGAGUAAAGUUAGCAGUAAAAUAGUUCUAGAUAGGAGCAAUUGUAUAAACUUGAAAAAUCACCAAAAAUUUUGGAAAUUGAAUUAGAGGUUUAAUAAGAUAUGGAAUUACAUCUUAUUGAGUCUAGUUUCACACAGAAGAAACAAUGCAAGCAAAAGAAUUUCAUAUUAUGAGAUGUUUGACUUUUUAUGGGUCAGGGUCAGGAUGAAUUCGGAAUCCCCUGUUCUGACUUUGGAAAAUCAUUAAAAAUAGUAAAAAAAUAAUUACAAGCUAUAAUUUAUAUUUUUUAAAUUCUUACUGAAUAUAUUUUGAAGAGAAUCAAACCAGAACAUCAUCCGAGUCUCGUACGAGGAGAUAAUAAAUUUUUAGUGAAGAAGGGUUUAAACUGUCAGACAGUAGAACAAGGACGAUUUUAAAAAAUAAACUGUACUUAUUGGCUAAACCAAAAAUUUUGAAAAUUUUAUUGUAAGGAGAUAUUUGAGUUUAGUUUCAAGGAAAAUUAGCAAAACUUAAUUUGGAGUUACAUAGCUCAAGAUAUAAAUAAAUUAGUGACUAUAACUUGCGUAGACAAUUUGGUAUGAACAUAAGUGAAUAGUGGAACUUUGUGCAAUUAUGAUUGCAUUAUCUUGAGAACAUAUUAUGAGGAUUAUAUUGAAAGAUCAAAUUAAGAGAAAUGCAGGGUUAAGCAUGUUCGAAUUACGACAUGUUAUGAAUUGAUGGUAAAGACCAUGGUUGGACCAUGGCAAUAUGUGUAACCGCGAAAGACCAUGUCUAGGACAUGGCAUCGGUAUUGUUAUGUGAGCCAGUGUAAGACCAUGUCUGGGACAUGUUUUCAGAAUCAUUAUGUGAGCCAGUGUAAGACCAUGUUUGGGACAUGGCAUCGGUACGAGGCAUCGUGUAAGACCAUAGCUGGGUUAUUGGCAUCGAUAUGAGAUUUUCAUGUAAGACCAUGUCUGGAGCAUGGCAUUGGUACGAUACAUCAUGUAGGAGUUUUCUCAAGUAUCCUUGGUAUCCCAAGAGGUUUAAUGGGUAAAUCCAAAGAUUUUUCCAAAGAAAUGAUAAGGUAUGAUCAUGUUGAAAGGGUUCAGGUACGUACGCAAAAUUCGUGAGUAAUGAAUUCGAUGUAUUUAGGACAUUUGGUAAGAUUAUAAAUGAGUAAGUCUUACCUAUGAAAAUGAUCAAUAACCUUAUGAUUAUAGGUCUAUACUUAUGAUGUAUAAAUAGGUGGUAAAUUUGAUUGAUGAUCGCGUGUGAGUCUAUUAGGCCAAAUUAAAUUGAGACAUGAUAAGUUGAAGUUUUGUUGUUGAUGUAUAGGUUAAAUUGGCCAAUGAAUGGCAUGUAAAUAUUUGAUAAUGACUAGCUAUUGGAAUGGCUAGUUAAGGAUAUGCUUUGGUGUUAUGUAUGAUUAAAUGGAUGCUAAUACAAAGAAAUCAUGAAAGAGUAAAGUUAGCAGUAAAAUAGUUCUAGACAAGAGCAAUUGUAUAAACUUGAAAAAUCACCAAAAAUUUUGGAAAUUGAAUUAGAGGUUUAAUAAGAUAUGAAAUUAAAUCUUAUUGAGUCUAGUUUUACACAGAAGAAACAAUGCAAGCAAAAGAAUUUCAUAUUAUGAGAUGUUUGAAUUUUUGUGGGUCAGGGUCAGGAUGAAUUCGGAAUCCCCUUUUCUGACUUUGGAAAAUCAUUAAAAAUAGUAAAAAAAUAAUUACAAGCUAUGAUUUAUAUUUUUUAAAUUCUUAAUGAAAAUAUUUUGAAGAGAAUCAAACCAGAACAUCAUCCGAGUCUCGUUCUAGGAGAUAAUAAGUUUUUAGUGAAGAAGGGUUGAAACUGUCAGACAGCAGAACAGGGACGAUUUUAAAAAAUAAACUGUACUUAUUGGCUAAACCAAAAAAUUUGAAAAUUUUAUGGUAAGGAGAUAUUUGAGUUUAGUUUCAGUGAAAAUUAGCAAAAAUUAAUUUGGAGUUCCAUAGCUCAAGAUAUAAAUAAUUUAGUGGCUAUAACUUGCGUAGACAACUUGGUAUGAACAUAAGUGAAUAGUGGAACUUUGUGCAAUUUUGAUUGCAUUAUCUUGAGAACAUAUUAUGAGGAUUGUAUUGAAAGAUCAAAUUAAGAGAAAUGCAGGGUUAAGCAUGUUCGAAUUACAACAUGUUAUGAAUUUACGGUAAAGACCAUGGUUGGACCAUGGCAAUAUGUGUAACCGCGUAAGACCAUGUCUAGGACAUGGCAUCAGCAUUUCUAUGUGAGCCAGUGUAGGACCAUGCCUGGGACAUGGCAUUGGAAUCGUUAUGUGAGCCAGUGUAAGACCAUGUCUAGGACAUAGCAUCAGCAUGAGGCAUCAUGUAAGACCAUAGUUGGGCUAUUGGCAUCGAUAUGAGAUUUUCAUGUAAGACCAUGUCUGGGACAUGGAAUUUGUACGAUACAUCAUGUACGAGUUUUCCUAAGUAUCCUUGGUAUCCCAAAGGGUUCAACAGGUAAAUCCGAAGAUUUUGUCAAAGAAAUGAUAAGGUAUGAUCAUGUUGAAAGGGUACAGGUAUGUACGUAAAAUUCAUGAGUAAUGAAUUCGAUGUAUAUGAGACAUUUGGUAAGAAUGUAAGUGAGUAAGUCUUACCUAUGAAAAUGAUCGAUGACCUUAUGAUUCUAAGUCUAUACUUAUAAUGUAUAAAUAGGUGGUAAAUUUGAUUGAUGAUCGUGUGUGAGGCUUUUAGGCCAAAUUAAUUGAGACAUGAUAAGUUUAAGUUUUGUUGUUGAUGUAUAGGUUAAAUUGGCCAAUGAAUGGCAUGUAAAUAUUUGAUAAUGACUAGCUAUUGGAAUGGCUAGUUAAGGAUAUGCUUUGGUGUUAUGUAUGAUUAAAUGGAUGUUAAUACAAAGAAAUCAUGAAAGAGUAAAGUUAGCAGUAAAACUGUAACACCCCUGUCCUGUAACCGUCACCGGAAUAGGUAAGGGGCAUUACCGGACUUGUAGCUCAUGCCAGAUCAGUAAAAUUUUGAACAUUUUCUUGGAGUAAAGAUCAUUCAAUUGGAUAAUUGCUAGACACAACCAGGGAUAAAAUUUAAAACUUAUAAAAGUAAACAUUCAAAAGAUGUCAUAUUCGCAUGGCUUAUAUACAUUAACCAAAAUAUCCUCCCACUACUAGUCCAUUCUAUACAUGCCAUAAGAUAAUCCAAAACAUAGCAGUACCAAACAGUGGAUAGUGAUAGUGUGACAAGUUGCUGACGAUCCUCGAGCAAAAAGGCCAAAAUCAACAAUCUAUAAAACAGAGAAACAUAACAACAGAGUAAGCUUUUGUAAGCUUAGUAAGUCUUAAGCAAUUUAAAACCAGUGAACUCAAAUAUAACCAAUUUGUUUAUUUGAUUCACAUAUAACAUUUCAUUUCAUAUCUAUAGUUAUCCUCAUCGGACAAAUCAAAAUGUAUAUCCCCCAAUAUCCUAUAGUAUUUCUCCAUAACCGAAUACUCAUAUAUUCAUAUGGCAUUUUCAUAUUUGCUUUUCACUUUACAAUCAUGAUUUAAUUCUGAUGGGUCUAACAUGUACAAGUAUUUAUCACAUACCUGACCAACCAAAUUAAAAGUCGAUCUUACGAAUUCUCAUAUAACCUCUUUCUAGGUAUACUAUCCUUUUUGGCCGAAUAUACACAAUUACGUAAUACACAAUAAGCAGAUAAAUUCUCACUUGAUAGUGAUCUCUUAUGAACAUAGGUACAUUACAUAUUUUCACCUAACUUUUCACAUUGACCAAAUGCACAAUAAUCAUAGAACAGUCUUAUUGCUUUACUCACAUAUGCAUCACAUAACAACCUUGUGAUUUAAUCCAAAUCAAGCUUAAAUAUAAUCUCAAAAUACAUACCUGACCAACUUAAUGCAUUGAACGUAUUUAUUACCAAUUGUUACUGUGAAGUCGUAUAAUCUUAUGCUUUACUCGAAUCUUCAGCGAGACUUUUAGCUCGAAUAAUCCCCACACGUAGUCAUCGGGUCUUACCCGGGCAUAAUCUCCACACGUAGCCAUCGAGUCUUACCCGGAAUAUAUUUCCAAGUUUCAUGUACAUUUAAUCACAUGUUACAACAUUCACAUCGACUGUCAUAUUUGUAAUUCAUUUGUCUCAUCAAAUAUCUAAAUAUACACACCUUUCACAUUUGGUCAUUCGGCCAUAAUAUAUCCACAUCUCAUACAUAUUUCACAUUAGCCAUUCGACUUUACCACAUAUACAUAUCUCAUACAUAUUUCACACUAGCCAUUCGGCUUUACCACACAUAUAUAUAUUUAUCUUGUACAUCAAUUUCAGCAAUAGCUUAUAAGCAACUCAAUUAGUUUCAUCAAUGUUUACAACAAAAUCACAUAUUCACUACAAGCUGUUUUCCUGAGCAACAGUCAUUAAAUUAUUUGUACUUGGAGCUACGAAACUCCAAAUGAAGUGCUGUUAAUUUUCCCUGAAAACAGACUCAUAUAUCUUCUAUCCAUAAAAUUUUCAGAAUUUUUGGUUUGACCAAUCAAUACCAGAAUUUUUCUUAAAGUUUCCCCUAUUUCACUGUUUGACUAUACUGACCACUCUUCACUACGAAUCAACUUUCUCAUUGUACAGAAUUCAAAAUAUGUUCUUGUUUAUUUCAUUUGAAACUAGACUCGUUAAGGGCUCUAAGCAUAUAAAUUUUAUCUUAUAACAAUUUUUUUUGUGUGAUUUAUAAUGAUUUUCUAAAAAAAAAAACAGGGGAUUUCGGAGUCAUUCUGACACUGUCUCACACAACUUUAAAUAUCUCUUUAUAAGAAAUUCCUUUGCUUACACGGUUUCUUUUAUAAGAAACUAGACUAAUUAAGCUUUGAUUACAUAUUUUAUUCAGUCUAUAAUUCCACACCAACAAUUUAUGGUGAUUUUCUAAAAUCACGUUACUGCUGCUGUCCUAAGCAAAUUAUUACAAUUUGCUCUUAAAUUUCCAAGUCCAAACACUUAUGUACUUACCAUUUGAGUUUAAAACAUAUCAUGGCCACAUCACAUCUUAUUAAAUCAACUCAUUAUGUCCUAUUAUGAUUGAAUUUACUCAACGUUUAAUCACUUAAAACUUACCUCGGAAGUGGUCGACGACUAGAUAUCCACGGCUAUUCGUUUACUUUCUCUUUUCCCCUAUCCGACUUUGAUCCUCUUUGCUCUUAAGCUUAAGUAAAACAAUAGAUUUGCUUAAGUACUUAACUAAUAUUAUUCACUUAACAAUCACAUUUGGCAAUCACAUAUCAUUUAAUCUAUAUCUAAAACAAUAGAUUUCAAUAUGUAUCAUAUUUAAUAAAACAUGCCAUGACUCGAUUUCAUGCUUAUUUAAUUUAUAUAUAAUUCACAUUCACAAGCAAAUAGUCACUUAAUUUAUCAUGCUUUCUUAUACAUGAAUUUAAUCAUAUUGCCGAAUGUCCUUAUGUGUACAUGGUACAUACAUAAGGCAUAUAUAUAUACCUAUAUAUGACCAUUACAAUUUAAACAUUUAAUCAUAAUUGGCAAGCUUUAUUUCAACUAUUUAAGGUGCAAACCAAUUAUGUUAUUCAUUAACAUUUCGUCAUAUUAAAUCUUUGAUUAACCAAUUUAACACAUACCAAAAUCCAAUCAUACAUCUAACCUUUAUCUCAAUACCAAACCGAGUUAUAAGAUUAUACAUUACACUAAGCAUAUCAUUAAACAUACCUAUUCAAUUUAGCUAAUUUCAUAGCCGAUUAAUCACCUUACCCCACAUUACUCAAUGCCGAAUAUUAACCCAACAUCACAAGCAUAAUCACCAUGAAACUUACCUUAAUACACAUUUUAUCCCAUUGCCAAAUACAUAUAUAUAUCAUCAAAUAAAUAUUUAUUCACAUAACAACAAUUCAUUCACAUCUCUAUAAAUGAUCAUAAUCGGACAUUAUAAACAAAUCAACUAGUUUAGCAUUCAAAUUCUUCUAACCAUUCCUCAAUAACUUACUCAAUGAACAACAAUCCAAGCGCAUCAAAGCAUAGUCGAAUGUAUCAUUCUUCUUAAAUGCAAAAAUAAAUGCAUGGGCUAACUUCAAAAUCUAUUUAACAACUCAACUUUACCAAAAUUAUCAAGAAAUUAAGCCAAACAUACCUCCAAUUGCUAAUAUAAUUGCCAUACGUCUAAGGGCCCCCUUUUGUUCUUCUUUGAUCCUAAGAAUAGGCUAUUGAGAGAAAGAAUGGAUAAAACUUUGUUUUCAUCCCCCUUUUUUUCCCAUUAUAAAAACUUUAUUUCAUAUUUUAUAAGUCUUUAUUUAAUUUUUUAACAAAAUGUAUAUAAUAUCAUUUAUUAGCCAUCAUUACAACAAAUAAAAUACAUAUUUUCUCACCUAAAACCAUCAUGGUCGGCCAUUAUCAUGAAAAAUGGGAACUUUGACAUGCAAGUCCCCAUAUUUAAUCCAUGCAACAAUUUGGCCAUUUUAAAAAUUAACCAACACAUUUUCAAUGUUUCUCACAUAAGCCCUUUUGAUUAAAUUCGCAUUCAAUUGACAAAAUCAAAGCAUCAAAAUUUCACACAUAAAUUGUAACAUAAAAUAGACAUGAAAUUUAACAAUCAAUUAUUUGUGUGACUCGGUUUUGUGGCCUCGAAACCACUUCCUGACUAGGGUCAAAUUAGGGAUGUCACAAAAAUAGUUCUAGACAAGAGCAAUUGUAUAAACUUGAAAAAUCACCAAAAAUUUUGGAAAUCGAAUUAGAGAUUUAAUAAGAUAUGAAAUUAAUUCUUAUUAAGUCUAGUUUCACACAGAUGAAACAGCACAAGAGAAAGAAUUUCAUAGUAUGAGAUGUUUGAAUUUUUGUGAGUCAGGGUCAGGAUGAAUUCGAAAUCCCCUAUUCUGACUUUGGAAAAUCAUUAAAAAUAGUAUAAAAAUAAUUACAAGCUAUGAUUAUAUUUUCUAAAUUCUUAAUGAAUAUGUUUUGAAUAGAAUCAAACUAGAACAUCAUCCGAGUCUCGUAGUAGGAGAUAAUAAAUUUUUAGUGAAGAAGCAUUGAAACUGUUAGAGAGUAGAAUAGGGACGAUUUUAAAAAAUAAAAUGUACUUAUUGGAUAAACCAAAAAUUCUGAAAAUUUUAUGGUAAGGAGAUAUUUGAGUCUAGUUUUAGGAAAAAUUAGCGAAACUUAAUUUGGAGUUUCGUAGCUCAAGAUAUAAAUAAUUUUGUGAUUAUAACUUGCAUAGACAGCUUGGUAAGAACAUAAGUGAAUAGUGGAACUUUGUGCAAUUAUGAUUGCAUUAUCUUGAGAACAUAUUCUGAGUAUUGUUAAAAGCAUGUUAAUAAUUUUUUUUUUAUUUACAUACCUACUUAGUAAGCUAUAUGCUUACUCUCUCUUCCUUUCCUUUUUCCUAUAGUGUCACAGAUGCUAGCUCGAGUUGGAGGUCGUCAGAGAUCCUAUCACACUAACAAGCUAUUGAUGGGUAUUAAUGAUUUUCUAGCAUUUUAAGUGUAUGGCAUGUAUAGGGAUUUGGGUAUUGUGUACAUGAUAUUAUGAGUUGGACUAGAAUAUUGGUCUAUGCUAAUUAAAAGUCAUUGUUGUAUAAGGCCAUUUAGUGUGGCCAAUAUUUGCUAUGUUAUAAGUCUAUGAUGAAGCAUUCCAUGGAUGUGCAUGCUUUUUUAGGUUGGAUGAGUGAAUGUGUGAUAAUUAUGUGUGGCAAAUACUAAAUGUGAAUGGUUGAGUAAGUUACAUGUUAUAAUUAGUUAAGUGUGUGCGUGGUUAUGCAUGUUGAAUGUGAUUUAUAAAUAGUGUGUGAAUUCCAUGGUGUGGUUAUUGGGAUGCCUAAAAAUGCCAUGUUGUGUGUUGAUAAACUUAGUAUGGGUGUGCAAGUGUUUUUGGAUGCAAAAAGGCUUGGUAAACAGCUUAACUAUCAUCCACACGGAUGGCCACACGGCCUAGCACACAUGCGUGUGAAAUGGUCGUGUGACCCUAAAUGGGUGAUGACGUCAUAAACAGAGAGUUACACGGGUGGAGGACACAAGCGUGUCCUGAGCCACACGGUGUGACCACUUGGCCUACCCACACAGGUGUGUGACUAUCCAAAAUAUGAAAAUUUUCUUAGUGUCUCAAAAGUUACAAAAGUUCUCCUCUAAUGUAUGUUUUGGGCCUCGUAGGCCUAUAUAAGGGACUUUAAUAUUGAAAUUGAAAUGUUUUAAAUUUGAAAAAAAAUUUAUGACAUGGAAAUGUUUUUAUGAAUGCGUUUGAUUCUGGUAACGCCUCAUACCCUAUUCUGGCGACAGACGUGGGUAAGGGGUGUUACAUUUAGUGGUAUCAGAGCUACGAUUUAGUUGGUUCUCGAACUAACAUAGCAUAUAUGAGUCUACCUAUACAUGCCAUAUUGCUACUCGUGAUAGUGUGAUAUCUCCGGGGUCUAACGAAAUUGUUUUGUUAAGACAGAGAUGACUUACAGCUGAGCUAUUUUCAAUAAUGCUGAAAAAUGAUAUUGAGGUGAUUGAAAUGUGUUCAUGAUGAGAUGAAACUUAGAAUGGUAUGAAUAGAAGUUCAUGAUAUUAUGUGUUAACGUACGAAGUGAGAUAACCAUGAGUUGAAAAAUGUGGAAACGUAGAAUAAAAUGAAAGUUUAUAUGGUGAUAAGCCCAUCCGUGUUUGCUGGGCAUGAAUAUGAUGUCAUGUGCUCGACAUAUUUGAUUAAGUGAAUAUGGUAAGCAAAUUUACUCAAAUGGACGGAAUGUGUGUUUAUGUACACUUGCUUGAAUAAGUGUAAUCAGUAUGUUCAUAUGGUAGAAUCUUAUGUUUCAUUGUUAAAAUAGAGAUAAUAUGAUGUUUUGUUUUAUGUAUUUGUUACUGAACCAUGAAUAUUAUAAUAUAUGAGAAUUAAAUUGGACGAUCAAAUUAAGUAGAAUGCAGGAAAUGAGUACGAUCAUUCAAUGAGGAAUUGACGGAUAAGACCAUGGUUGGACCAUGGAAACGUAUGGAAUGUAAGACCAUAGCUGGGCUAUGGCAUUGUAAUGACAUGUAAGACCAUAGCUGGCUAUGGCAUUGUGAUUUUGUGUAAGACCAUAGUUGGACUAUGGCAUCAAGUAAACGAUGUACUCAAACCCGUAAGUUGUUCUUUAAUUUGACAAAUGUCGAUAAGUAAAAUGGAAGCUAAGUGUUGGAGUUUAAUUAGAUAUUAAUAUUAAGCUCGAGUUAGUAAAUUCAUUGUUUGAAAUUGUGGAUGACAGAAAAAACAUUUGUGUAAUAAAUAAGUGUGUUAAUUUGUUUGGAAUGAACUAUGUGAUUAUGAUGGUAUUACAUUGGUGAUGAAUGCUAAGACAAAUGUAUGUAUUUAUGAGAGUUAAGUUAGAGGCUUUACGACCUCACCCCCUUACCAGUAUUGCUUUAUGAUGAAAUUUUACGAGAAUCAUGUUGAAUAAGUUCAUAAGUGUGAACUAAAGAAUUCAAUGGUGAAAUAAUUAGUAAUACAAACAGAGUUGAGUAUAGUGUGAUAAACGAACUCAAUUUUAAAAGAAAUAUCAAAUUGUUUUAAAGAUUAUAUGAAUUAUGCAAUGUCACGGUUAAAGAAGAAGUUGUCUCGACUAAUCGACUCAAUUAGGUAUGGAGUCUAAAGAUGUGUUUACUAAAAGUUCUUCUGAAUUGAUUUUCGUUAGUGAAUGGAAUAAUACAGGGGUUUAUAAUAACAGGAUUAGUCGGAGAAAUGAUGUUUGAAUUGUAAAGAUAUCUGUGUGUAACAAUUAUGGUUGAAUAGAUUACAAUGAUCUUUUUUGAGUAUUUUGAGUUUAUAUUCAUUCAUCCUCAGGGAUUCACGUGAAUUUCCAUUUUCUGAUGAAAUUCUUAUCGAGUUAAAAUGUUAGCUAACUUUAAUGUUAGAUGAAAGUAUUGAUGGUCUAUUUGAAUUAUGAAUGGCAUUGCCUCAUCUCUUCGGGAUUCUAUCCUAUUAUGUUGGAAUACGAGUGGAUGAUGAAAAUUUAUAUGAGACUACUCUUCUGUUUCUACCAAAAGUUGUUUUUUUUUGUACUCGUAUAUUUGGAAUAUUUAUUACCCCUAUUAUAAUUGAUUUCAGAACAUGUGAGUGUUGAUUUCUUCCAGUUUUCUCUGAGGAAUCAUCAAGAUCCUUAAUGUUUUUCUUAUGAGUUAGGUUCUCGGACUUCUAGUAUGUGUAUUCGUUGGAUUGUGAUAGCUAUAUUUGUUAUAGAUGUAAUCCUAAUUCAAUCAUGAUAAUGUAAUGCAUCUAAUAUCAGAAUUCCUCUAUUUUUUGUGAAAAGAAUUGACCUCGGCAAAGGUAAAAAUAGUGAAAGCUCAAGCUCGAACUCUAUGAAAAUUUUCUUUUUCUCAGGAAAGUCUGAUUAAGGUUAGUGAGUUCAAUUAGGAUAUUUUGUUUUCCUUGAUCAAAUACAGUUGUGAAGGUUCUAAUUAGAAUGCUAAAGGAGUUGUAAAAGAUUGUAUGUUUAAGUUAGUUAAUAGCAUGAAGAAAAGAGUACUUUGAUAUGCUAUUAUUUGGUAUUUCAAAUUGACUCAAUUGUUUUCAUUUGAAUGAGCUUGUCUAUUGCAUAUUAGUAAAAUUGAAAAAUAACAGUUGAAAGUGUUAUUAAUCGAAGUGCUAGUUUUGAGUUUUGUUUAAAUUUAUUAGAGAAUUCGUCAUUUGUAAGUAAUGCACUAUCGAACGAAUUGGAAUGUGUUCUAAAAUAACAAAGUAAAAUGAAAAUUUAUGCUUUCGAACGGUUAAAAUCUCAUUAAAAGAGUUGCUAAAUAAGUGACUUAGAGUCGACUGCUAGUGUGUCGGUCUUGAGAAGUUGAUUACUUUGUUUGUUUGACGAAUAAAGUCAUAUGCUCAUUGAUUCCAAGAAUGUGUAGGAUGCAAUGUUACAGACAAUUCUUGUUUUAUGGGAGUCUGAAUUUAGCUAAAAUGUAAAGCUAGAGUGAUGUCUUCUUUGCAAGACUGAGAACUAUCAGAAUGUGAUGGUGAGUGGAAACUAAACAAGUACAAUGUGAGAUGACUUCAGAUUCGGAUUUCUAUUAGUAUUAAUACUUUGAGAUGGGAUUGAUUUGUAAUUGUGAGGAAAAAGGGGGGUGAAAGUGAAUUCUGAAACUUGAAAGCAACUUCAGAUUGACAUGUGGUAUAUGGGUUUGAAAAUUUAAGAUGUUUGAAUUCAGGUCGAUGACAGAGUGAUCAUAGAAGUAUCCCCCUAAAGAGGAAUCUUUGACAAGAUAGGGGAGACUAUGAGAACAAUACCCUAAUCUCUUUUCUGUUAAGAUUUUCGAGGACGAAAAUCCCUAAGAGGGGAGAAUUGUAACAUCCCGAUUUUAGGCCUAGUUAGAACAGAGGUUUCAGAACCACAAAUCUGAGGUUGCAGAAAUUAUUUUUGAUAUUAUUUUAUGUUUUAUAGCAUGAUUUUAUAGAUAUUUGAAAAGUUUGGGGAAUUAAUUUUAGCAACGCAUGCUUGAUUUCGAAAAAGGGAUUAAAUCGCAUAAAUAGUGAAAAUUAUGUUCUACUAGUCAAAAGUGUUAUGUAGCUAAAGAAAUUAGAUGUGGAGUCCUUACUGAGUAAAUAGACCAUUAAUAAUGAGUGGUGGAUGUACAUGGAGACAAAAAAAUCAAAAUGGUCAAAAUUGGUGGCUUUAGGUGACUUAAUAGGUAGAAUAAUAGUAAAAUAAAAGGAAAAGCUAUCAUCCUUUUACUUCUCUUUCUUCUCCACCGAUUCUUACCCAAGGAAAUGGCGAUGGAAGCUUGAAAUUUUCAGCAACUUUUAACCCUCACAAGUAAGUGAUUUUGAUGGUCAUUUUUUAUGAUUUUUUGUAUUUUUGGAACCUUUGUAGCUUAAUCUAGCUAAUGAGGGGACUAGUUUGCAAAAUGGUUGAAAAUAUAGGGUUUUUCCAUGAGAAUAUUCAUGUUGUUUGCUGCAUUUUUAUGGAAGAAAAUAAAUAUUGGUUGUUAAAUAAAUACCUUUUGUUAAAUGAUUUUCAUGAAAACAGCUAAAAUGGGUCAUUUUGUAAAAGUUGUAAAAUAGGUGGUAAAUGUGUGAAAUAAUGGAAAAUGUGGGCUGCCCUAAGCAUAAAAAAGGUUCGACUAUGCAUGGGUAGUAAAGAAAUUGAACACAUUUCAAUUUUACGAGCCUAGGGGCAAAAGUGUAAAUAUGACAAAGUAUAGGGGUUACCAAAAAUGUGAAAUUGGGAUAAUUUGAGUAGUAUGAUGAAUAAAUAAAUUAAAUGUGUUGUUAUAGAUCAAGGAAGAUGACAUUCGAAAUUUAGAUCUGGGGAAAGCAAGAUAAUCGAGAAAUUGACUUAUUUCGUCGUUUCAUAUUGAGGUAAGUUUGUAUGUUAAUAAGCAUUAAAUUUGAUAUGUUUAAAUGCUUAACCAAUAUCAUGUAUUAUUUCGUAUGUUAUUAUUGGAUCAUGCGUAAUAUAAAAAUACGAGAUCGUAUUGAAAGAUCAAAUUAAGAGAAAUGCAGGGUUAAGCAUGAUCGAAUUACGACAUGUUAUGAACUAACGGUAAAGACCAUGGUUGGACCAUGGAAUUUUUGUAACCGCGUAAGACCAUGUCUGGGACAUGGCAUCGGCAUUGUUAUGUGAGCCAGUGUAAGACCAUGUCUAGGACAUGGCAUCGGCAUCAUUAUGUGAGCCAAUGUCAGACCAUGUCUAGGACAUGGCAUCGACAUCAUUAUGUGAACCAGUCUAAGACCAUGUCUGGGACAUGGCAUUAGCAUUGUUAAGUUAGCCAGUGUAAGAACAUGUCCGGGACAUGGCAUCGACAUGAGGCAUCGUGUAAGACCAUAGCUGGGCUAUUGGCAUUGAUAUGAGAUUUCCAUGUAAGACCAUGUCUGGGACAUGGCAUUGGUACGAUACAUCAUGUAUGAGUUUUCUUGAGUAUCCUUGGUAUCCCAAAAGGUUCAACGGGUAAAUCCAAAGAUUUUGUCAAAGAAAUGAUAAGGUAUGAUCAUGUUGAAAGGGUACAAGUAUGUACGCAAAAUUCAUGAGUAAUGAAUUCGAUAUAUAUGGGACAUUUGGUAAGAAUGUAAAUGAGUAAGUCCUACCUAUGAAAAUGAUCGAUGACCUUGUGAUUAUAAGGUUAUACUUAUGAUGUAUAAAUAGGUGGUAAAUUUGUUUGAUGAUCAUGUGUGAGGCUUUUAGGCCAAAUUAAAUUGAGACAUGAUAAGUUUAAGUUUUGUUGUUGAUGUAUAGGUUAAACUGGCCAAUGAAUGGCAUCUAAAUAGUUGAUAAUGACUAGCUAUUGUAAUGGCUAGUUAAGGAUAUGCUUUGGUGUUAUGUAUGAUUAAAUGGGAGUUCAUACAAAGAAAUCAUGAAAGAGUAAAGUUAGCAGUAAAACAGUUCUGGACAGAAGAAAUUGUUUAACUUUGAAAAAUCACCAAAAAUUGUGGAAAUUGAAUUAGAGGUUGACUAAGACAUGACAUUAAACCUUAUUGAGCCUAGUUUCACAUAGACAAAACAACAUAAGCAAAAGAAUUUCAUAUUAUGAGAUAUUUGAAUUUUUGUGGGACAAGGUCAAGAUGAAUCCAGAAUCACCUGUUCUGACUUUGGAAAAUCAUUAAAAAUAUAUAAAAACAAUUACAAGCUAUGAUUUAUAUUUUUUAUAUUCUUAAUUAAUUUAUUUUCAAGAUAAUCAAAUGAGAACAUCAUCUGAGUCCCGUACGAGGAGAUAAUUAAUUUUUAGUGAAGAAUGGUCAAAACUGUUGGACAGUAGAAUAGGGAUGAUUUUAAAGAAUAAACUGUACUUAUUGGCUAGACCAAAAAUUCUAGAAAUUUUAUGGUAAGAAGAUAUGUGUAGUUUUAGGGAAAAUUAGCGGAACUUAAUGUGGAGUUCCGUAGCUCAAGAUAUAAAUAAUUUAGUGACUAUAACUCGAGUAGACAGCUUGAUAUGAAAAUAAGUGAAUAGUGGAACUUUGUGCAAUUAUGAUUGCAUUAUCUUGAGAACAUAUUAUGAGGAUUGUUAAAAGCAUGUUAAUAAUUUUAUUAUUAUUUACAUACCUACUUACUAAGCUAUAUGCUUACUCUCUCUUCCUUUCCUUUUUCCUAUAGUGUCACAAAUGCUAGCUUGAGUUGGAGGUCAUUAGAGAUCCCAUCACACUAACAAGCUAUUGAUGGGUAUUAAUGAUUUUCUAGCAUUUUAAGUGUAUGGCAUGUAUAGGGAUUUGGUUAUUGUGUACAUGAUAUUAUGAGUUGGCUUAGAAUAUUGGCCUAUGCUACUAUUUGCUAUGUUAUAAGUCUAUGAUGAAGUAUUACAUGGAUGUGCAUGCUUGUUUGGUUUGGAUGAGUGAAUGUGUGAUAAUUAUGUGUGGAAAAUACUAAAUGUGAAUGGUUGAGUAAGUUACAUGUUAUAAUUUGUUAAGUGUGUGUGUGGUUGUGCAUGUUGAAUGUGAUUUAUAAAUAGUGUGUGAAUGUCAUGGUGUGGUUAUUGGGAUGCCUAAAAAUGUCAUGUUGUGCGUUGAUAAACUUAGUAUGGGUGUGCAAGUGUUUUUAGAUGGAAAAAGGCUUGGUAAAUACCCUAACUAUCAUCCACACAGAUGGCCACACGACCUAGCACACGAGCGUGUGACAUGGCCGUGUGACCCUAAAUGGGUGAUGACAUCAUAAACAGAGAGUUACACGGGUAGAGGACACGGGUAUGUGACUCUCCAAAAUAUGAAAAUUUUCUUAGUGUCUCAAAAGUUUCAAAAGUUCUCGGUUUAGUCCCUAACCACCUCCAAUGUAUGUUUUGGGCCUCGUAGGCCCAUAUAAGGGACUUUAAGAUAGAAAUUGAAAAGUUUUAAAUUUGAACGGAAUUUUAUGACCUGGGUAAGGGGUGUUACACUAGCCGAAUUCAUUAAAGACCCAUAUCAACCCAUGUAAAUCAUUAUUUCACAAAUUUACCAUGAAUUUUAUUACUUUUACAAAAUAAGUCCCUAAAUGACAUAUUCAUCAAAAAUCACUUUACAAAACUUGUUUAUUUAUCCACAAAGACUCUUAAUCUACCAUCAAACAUUAAGAAUCAUGUAAUAACAUUCAUGGAAAAGCCCUAUAUAUUUAACAAUGUUUUAAAUUAUUCCACAGGCUAGCUAGAUUAAGCUACAACGAUCCCGAAAACAUAAAAAUCAUUAAAAACGAGGCUUGAAAAGUCACCAUGCACACAAUCAAAGCUCAACCAAAUGCUCCCUCUUUUCCAAUUUCCAAAAUUUUUUUAGGUUAGUGAAAUGAAGAAGAUGGACAUUUUGUUUUAAUUAAUUUAACUUUUAUUUACUCAUUUACUUUUUUACCCUUUAAAAACAUUCAAAAUUAAAACCUUGCCAUGAAUAUCCUUUAACUAUAAAUGGUUUAAUUACCAUCUAAGUCCUCUUACUUUAAAGUUCCAUACCCAUUAAACCCCCUUAACUAAUAGACUCUAAUUUUACACUUUUUACGAUUUAGUCUUUUUUACUUAAUUAGGCAUGCAAACAUCAAAAUUUCUUAACGAAAUUUUAAUACGACCUUACUACCCUCUCAUAGACAUUAAAAUAAUAAUUUAUUCAUUGGGCUUAUGGUCCCGAAACUACUAUUCUGAUUUCACUGAAAACGGGCUGUUACAGUUUGCAUUUUUUUAAUUUAGUCCUUUUUCUUUAAUUAGCUAACUAAACAUUAAAAUUUAUUAACCAAAAUUUAGUACAAUCUUAAUAACUUUGUAAAUUUUCUAUAAAUAAUAUUUACGAGUCAACAUGAGAAAAAUUUAGGGUCCCAAAACCACUACUUUGUCACCACUGAAAACGAACCGUUACAGAAAGAUUAUACUUAGAAAGAAGGUAUCGAUUACAUAGAAACCAUCUCUUUGGCUCCCACGCUCAAGUUAAUCCAUAUAUUACUAUCCAUUCUAGUGGCUCCCGACUAUGAUAUUAGGCAAAUGGAUGUCAAGACGCGUUUCUAAAUAAUUAGCUUGAAGAAUGCAUCUAUAUGAUGCAACCCACCAGAUAUAUUGCUAAAAGAAACGAGCAUAAAGUUUUCAAACUGCUUUGAUCCAUAUUUGGACUUAAGCAAGCAUCCUGAACAUGGAAUCAAAGUUUUGAUAAAGCGAUCUAGAACUUUGGAUUUGAUAAAAACGUAGAUGAUCCUUAUGUUUACAAACGUUUAAAGGAUCGAAAAGUGGUCUUUCUCAUUCUCUAUAUCGAUGACAUUUUACUUGUUGGAAAUAAUGUAGGGACAUUAUCAUCAAUUAAAUUGUGGUUAUCCAAAUAGUUAACAUAAAGGACUUGAGAGAAGCUAGUUUUCUUUUAGGUAUUCGGAUCCUAAAGGAUCGAAAGAACAAAGUGAUAGUACUGUUUUAAGCUUCAUACAUAGACAAGAUAUUAGAGUGUUAUGCAAUGACCGAUUCAAAGAAGGGGAAUCAACCCUUUGUAUCGAGAUUUCAUCUCUCUUUAGAAGAUUUUCCAAAGACAGCAAAAGAAAGAGAGAACAUGUGAAAGAUUCCUUAUGUUUCGCUUGUAGAAAGACUCAUAUAUGUUAUGUUGUGCACAUGCCCAGAUAUUUAUUUUGCUGUGGGGUUGGUGAGUUGAUAUCAGGAGAAUCUAGGACCAAGAAAUUGGCAAGCAAUUACACAUAUACUCAAGUAUUUAAGGAGAAUAUAUGUAACACCCCUUACCCAUGUCCGACGCCGGGACAGGGUACGAGGCAUUACCAGACUUAAACAAAACCAACAUACAAAACUGGGCUAUAAAAUUUCGUCCAAAUUUAAAACUUUUCAAUCACAUGCAAAUUUUCCCUUAUAAGGUGGUUCGGGACUAAACCGAGAACUUUAGAAAACUUUAAGAAGACUUAGAAAAUUUUCUUGUUUUAGAGAGUCACACGCCCAAGUGGGUAGGCCGUAUGGUCACACACGCCCGUGUGGCUUGGGACACGCUCGUGUCUCAGCCCGUGUAACUCUCUGUUUAUGACGUCAUCAGCAAAAUGAGGUCACACGGUCAUAGCACACACCCAUGUACUUAGGUCGUGUGGCGAAUUAAAUUCUAAAAAAUAAAUACAAACUUCACACGGCCUGGGCACACGCCCAUGUCCUGAGGCCGUGUUCUUCACACAGUUGAGACACACGGCCAUGUCUCUACUCGUGUAUUUACUUCUAGGCUUUUUUUUGCAUUAAUUAGGGUGCAGAGGACACACGGCCAGACCACACGCCCAUGGGGUAGAUUGUGUGUCACACAUGGCCUAGACAUACGCCCGUGUGCCUACCUGUGUGGACAACUUUGAGGUUAUUAUCCAAGCAAUUUGUCACCCUUAAAUGCUCACUCACUCAUACAUUUUUAAUGACAUGUAGCCUAAUAUAUUUAGUCACUCAAAUACUCAUAAAUAUGAUUAAUCCAUGAUUUUGUAAUGUCAACAUAUCACAUACUCAAACCACCAUACUUUCAUAUGACAUUCCGCACCAAUUUCAUAUUUGUUCAUCCUUACAGCCCUACCUUUAAUCUACUUAUUUAUACCAUAGCUUUGGCCAUACAUAUUAGCCAUAAUUUAUUCAUUAAGCACAUAAGCCAUUCAUCCCUCAUAUCAUCAACAAGCAACCACAUCAAGUAUAACACAUUGCAUGCAUGCAUAAUUAAAUAGGGUUACAACCCAAAUAAUCAAUAUGAGCCACCUCUCAUGGCUAUAUAGAAAUUGAAUCAUAACAUCAUCAUUAGCCAACACAUUUGUCUAAUCAAUAUGACACAUAACAAAAGACCAAGUCCUUAUACAUGCCAUAUUCAAAAUGUUAAAACUAACUAUACCCAAUUUUCCAAUUGAUAGUGUGAUAGAAAACUCCGAGGCCCUCCGAUCCCCGAGCUAGCUUGGCAACACUAUAAGAAAAUGGAAAGGAAAAGGGGUAAGCUUUAAAGCUUAGUAAGUUCACAUGCAAAUAGAAUGAAAUUUAAAUAAGCAUUAAUCAUACAUUUAACUUAAUCAACAUAAACUUGCAUUUUAUUAUCAAAUCACUUAAACUUAUUCUUCAUAUAUACAUAUUCUUACCACAAGUUCAUCACAUCCCAUGAUCUUCUCAUGAGUUCAAUAUACAUAUUGGUGCCCACUUGUACAUAACAACUUACUUUCUCGUCUUUGACGUAUUCAUCAAGAUUACCCAUUGAACUUCUCUUUGGACUACCUGUUAAACACUUGGACUACCAUUGGAUACAUCAGAAUCUCGCACCUAAGUGCCCCAUAUGUAGUCAACGCUACCCCAUAUCACAUAUCACAUGUUGCUCGCUUUUGAGCUACUCACGAAUCUACUCAUACAAGCUGUCGGUCAGAAUGUAGCUAUACAGGCUACUCACACAAGCUGUUAGGUAUCCGCAACACAUGCCGGACUAUCCAGCCACCGGUAGAACAUACAAGACCAAUACCCAGAACCCCAUAACAUGUGUCACACAUAUCAUGGACUCAGACCAUAACUCAUGAGCUUAGAUCACAUAGUUCCUAGUGAUGUGUCACUUUUAUCCUAAACUAUUCCUAAGGUUCAAACGGGACUUUCAUACUUAUCACAUCACUGUUGGACUCACUCGAAAUAUCGACCUCAGUGUACAUAGUAUCAAUCAUUUUCUCAUAGAAGGAUUAAGACAUAAUCAUAACAAUAAUAAAGGAUUUAAAUUUACAAAAUAACAAAGCAUUGAACAUAAUACAUAUUGCAUUUUUCACAUAUGAACUUACCUCAGUACAAAAUGAUAAAAAUGAGCCUAAUCCUCAGAAACCUUGUUUUUCCCCCCAUCAAGACCCAAAUCACAUUUUUCUUGAUCUAUAAUUCCAAAUUUAACUUAUUUCAUACAUAAAUUAUUCAAAUCGACCCAUAACACAUACUUUGGUAAAAUUACCUUUUUACCCCUAACUUUUCACUUAUUUACACUUUAGUCCCUAGGCUCGUAAAAUGAAAUGUAUGCCUUUUCUUGGUUACCCAAGCCUAGCCAAUUCAUAUUCUAACUCAUAUCAACCCACAUUUCUCAUUAAAUCACAUUUCUACUACCCAUUUCUACAUCUUUUACAAAUAAGUCCCUUUUAGGUGUUUUCACUAAAAAUCACUUAGUAAAAGAUGUUCAUCACACAUCAUGUAAUGCCCCAAAAAUUUGGAGUAUUUAAUUUUGUACUAUCUGACACAAAUUACAUGUUUGCUUUAUUGGCUUAGUGAUUUGAGUGGGUUUGGGAGUGUUUGAGAAUCCUAGGUCCAAGUCUUGGUUUUGCAAAAUUUUUAGUAUUGCUCUUAAAUGAAUCUGGACACUGUCAUAUAGGCCUUAUAAAUAAUAGUGCUUAUUUUAUGACACAAAGUGAGCGUGUGGUCUAGUGGCAAGGAGGCGUGUUGCUUCUGCUGAGGGACUUAAGUUUGAGUCCUGGGUUGUGCAAUGCAGUAAUUAUUUUGCUAUUGAGCUGGGUAGGUAGUGGAGUUAGACUGACACUCUGAGGUUGAAUUGGUCAUGAGAGUUUUAAUAGAGUUUGAAUGGGAUGUUGGAGUGUUUUGUGGAGAGAUAUUAGGAGAAAAUCAAGGAGUUUUUGGGUGUGGAUGUGGUAGUGCCGAAUUGGGUCUCUAGUUACUCAGAAUUUCGGCUGUAACUCUUUUGGGGGAGUAUUCCUUGUUUCAAUUUCUCAUUUUGGCACUUUUCUUUUGCAUUUUUCUCUCUGGCCGAAUAUUUUUGGUUUGUAGAAACGUAAAUUGCACUUUGGUGAAUUGCUAGUAAGCUAAGUGCUUCUUUGUACGUAAAUCGCAGUUUGGUCAAUUGCUAGUAAGCUGAGUGUUUCUUUGUACCUUUCAGGUUUGUGGUUUCUGUCUUUCAAUUUUCUCUCCUAGCCGAACCUCUAUUCUCUCACAUCUUUUUCACUCUUUUCUUUCUUCCCUCUUUGCUACCCCCUUUUUGGUGAACCGGUUGCUCACUGUCCUUUCUUUUCCUCUUUUUCACCCAUUUCGAUUGGUGUCAUUGGUUCAUGACCAAUUCUCUUCUCAUCAUCUCUUCAUCUUGUUGUAGUUUGACGACUGUGGUGUGCUAUUCUUCUGAUUCUCAAAAUUUUCCUCGAGAAGUAAAGGAUUUUUGGUGAUAUUUAGCCGUAGAAAUCGUUUUCUUAUCACUCGAUUUAACGUAAGUUUAUGGGCUAACACGUGGGGUAUUUGUCGAAUGCCCUAUCUCUAGUUUUGAGUGUUAUUUAAACAAUAGGUUUCGAUUCAAAUCUUUGUAUUAUGUGAUUUUUGUUAAUGGGUUCCCUGGAUAAUGCAACUUUUCAACAAAAGAGGGUGUGGCCAACUUUUGAUUAACAUUAUUGACGAGUUAAACUUCAUUCGUGGAUUAAGGCAAGUGUUGUUGCUGUUCUUUUUGGGAUUAAGUAUUAGUAAGAGGGUGUUGGCCCUAAUGCGAAAUGUUUAACCGAAUGUCUUGAUUAAUGUAGGUUCAUGUUCGAAGGCUUUUUGCAAGUAUUCACAACCAGGUCUAUAAUCACACCCUCUUUCAACUGUAAAACGGUAAAAGCUGAAAAGCUGAAAAGUAGAAGAUACGAAAUUUGAGGCCACACGAGCUUGCGAUCACUUGUGUAGUAAACUAAGUCCACGAAUCAUGGGCGUAAGAUUGUAGAGGACACCAUGGGCAUCCUCAUAGGCUUAGGCUGCUUUGGGCCCUGUUGGGCUGAAAUAGGCCGUGUGGGCCAAUGGGCUCGUGGGCACCACAUGGAUAAAAUCCACAAUACAUGGUAGUUACUAGACUGGGCUGUGUAGUUCGCAUGGCCAUGGUAAUUUUUGGGUUUAUGGGCCGCACAGGCGUGUGGGCCUACUUGGGUCGCAUAAUCGGCCAUGGGCCCUUUUACACUGUUAGGAUCGUUAAGGUUAUACAAGUCGCUUGAUGUGACUGUAGACCUUCUGAUGGGUCAAGAAGAGUACCUAGACCCCAAGAUAGGUAAAAUGACCAAAAUACGCCUAAGGGUAAAAUGACUAUUUUACCCCUCGAGGGUAAAUGACUUAUUUGUGCUAUGAUUUGACUGUACUGAGCAUGACAUUCUGCAUACUUGUAUGAUUUAUGACAUGACAUUCUCCUUGGGGUUGGGAUACUGUUAAAAAGGAAGUGUAUUAUAGUGGUGGCUUCACCACAUAUACUAUUACUGGUGGCUUUGCCACAUAUACUGAUAAUGGUAGCUUUGCUGAGAUACUGUUACUGGCAGCCUUGCUGCGAUAAUGGUGUGUUGGCUGGUUAGGUUGACUUUGUCACCACAAUGUUAUUGUAUUGGGCUAAAGCCCACUCUAUUCUAUUUCUGAGUAGGGCUCAGGCCCAGACUGUUACUGUAUGUUGUAUACCGAUCGACUGGUAGGGGAUUACACACUGAGUUUUUGCAAACUCACUCUUUCUUUUUUACUGUGCAGGUAAUCCCCAGCUAUAAGCGAUUUGGUGUUGCGAGGGACUCGAAGGUGGCCACAUGACUGCAAUUAAUUUACAUUUGGUUUUAUUUAUACUUAAAGUUUUGUUUUGGGUUUAUGUUUUUGUAAUAAGGCCAUUUAUGGGAUAUAAUUUUUAUUUGGGAUUUUAUUUAUUUACUUAAAACUACUAUUUUUAAGAAGUCGUGUUUCCAAAAAAAAUAACUAUUUUUCAAAAAUAAGUGUUUCAACUUCAAGGUUUUAAAAGCUUCUGUAAAACUGAAACAGAUUAGUAUUUCAAAGUAAUUAAUUUGGUAAAAUGUUUUGACAAGAUGUUUUGAUAAUAGCAAAGAACAUGACUCACUAAAGUUUUCGCAAAGACACUUGGGUGUGACACACCGGAUUUGGCCAUAACUUCUAGGCCCGGUUCAGGGUGUUGCAUUUAAUGGUAUCAGAGUCAGGUUGCAAAACUCAGCUGUGGAAUGGGUUUUGAAAAUGUUUGAAAUUUUUAGAAAAAUUGUUCUUGAAAUAUUUUGGAAGAUUCGCAAGUAUGGCGCACCGAGUCUCCGAUGCCAAAUCCGUAAGUUUCUUGAUAACUGAUGAUUGAUUAGACUAAAAUACAAUAUUGAGAUUACUUUAGAUAUGAGACUGUACUGUGAUACUCUAGUUAGAGUAAAAUGAAUCUGUAGGAAAUUGAAAACUAUAGUGAGACCUCGAUCUGCGAAAACCAACUCUGAUUAUUAUUUUUCAUAAGACAUCUAUUAGUAAUUACUGGAAUUACUAACUGAUACAUAAAACUUCUAAACCAGAUAAUACGUGAAUCGAUAUGAGCACAAGAGGUACUCGCGGAAAGGGUACUAGAGGCCGCGGUAGAGGCCGUGGAAAUGCUAGGGCUGGGUCUUUGACAUCGGGCCACGUGCCUAACGUUGAGGCUAGGGAGGCCCCAGCUUCACCUGUAACUAAGAUGGGGUCAUAUGAUCGAGCAGCUAGGGAUGAUGCACUAUCCCAAGAUAUGCUCCAAAUUCUAGAGAGAGUUGCUGGAACCAAUAAGGGUGCUGUGGGCCGUGGGUCAAUUUCAGAACGACUCCGGUCCAAUGGAGAAAACAAUUUUAAGGGUAUUUCUACAGUAGCCCUAAUGUGGCUAAAUAUUGGUUGAAAGACACGGAGAGAAUAAUGGACGAUCUCAACUGUACUUUUGAACAAAAACUAAAGGGUAUAGUGUCUUUACUGCGAGACGAAGCCUAUCAGUGGUGGCUUACUGUGAGAGAGGGUACUCAGGCUGACCGAUUAACAUGGGAUUUCUUUAAGACGGCAUUACAAGGGAAAUAUGUGAGCACAAGUUAUGUGGACGCCCGAAGAAGGGAAUUUUUUUGCUUAACCUAGGGGAAUAAAUCUGUGGCAAAAUAUGAGGCAGAGUUCUUCCGACUUAGCCGCUAUACUCGUGAGAUAGUGGCUAAUGAAUAAGAAUGUUGUGUGCAUUUCGAGGAUGGCCUCCAAGAUGAGUUACGAGUCCUGAUCGCUCCACAGAGGGAUCAAGAUUUUUCUGCCCUUGUAGAAAAAGCGAAGAUCGCUAAAGAUGUGAAGCGCUCUAAGCACGAGAAUCGAGAAAAAGAUAGGGGCAAAAAUAAGUGGGAUUCAGGGUCCUAAGGUUCUUUUGGUGGGUCUAAAAAGAGCGCCAAGUUUGAUGGGCCGUCCUGAGCUGGGGUUCCUGUUGCAAGAUCGUAGCCUUGUGCAGAUUGUGGGAGACAUCAUUUGGGUGAGUGCUGGAAGAAGAUUGGGGCGUGUUUCAAAUAUGGGUCUAUGGAGCAUCAAGUUAAGAAUUGUCCUUAGAGACCUAUACAAAUGCAAGCUACAAGAUAUGGUUAUGUAGCCACCGAGAGGUUAUGGUCAGGCCAGAGGAGGAAAUGGUAUGGGGCGAGGUCGUGGAGCACCAAGCAGAGGUGCUGGUAAUACUAUGGAGAGGCAGCCAGCUCUAAUAUACGCUGCAUGUCACUGAAAAGACGGAGACACCCCAGAUGUUAUAACUGGUACGUUCCUAAUCCAUAAUGUACGUUAUACUGCUUUGAUCAAUAUUGGGUCUACGUACUCAUACAUUGCAUACACUGUGUCUGGAACCUUGGGUAUCUUGUGUGUGAGUAUUGUUAGUGAGAUGACUAUGAUAAGUCCACUGGGAUAGUCAGUAAGAGUAGAUAAAUUGUUCAGGAAUGUGCCCCUAGAGGUCCAAGGAGUGAUUUUUCCAACAGAUUUGAUGGAGUUACCGUUUGGGUAUCUUAGGGAUGGAUUGGCUGGUUCAAUACCGUGCAAGUUUCGAUUGUGCUGCUAAGCAUGUGGUGUUGAAGACUACUGAGGAUGAGGAGGUGAUUGUGAUUGGAGAGCGAAGGGAUUAUCUAUCAAAUGUAAUCUCUGCACUGAGGGCUAAGAAAUAUGUUCGUAAGGGUUGUGAGGCAUUUUUAGCCUACAUUGGUGUAUCUGAUUCUGAGGGUUCUUUGGUCGAAGGUAUUAGAACUGUUAAGGAUUUUCCUGAUGUAUUUCAUGAUGAAUUCCCUGGGUCGCCUUUGAGCCGUGAGGUCGAGUUUGGUAUUGAGCUCCUAUCGGGAACGACUCUAGUGUCCAUCGCCCCUUAUAGGAUGGCACCGAAAGAGCUGGUGGAGUUGAAAGCUCAAAUACAAGAACUGUUGGACUAAGGGUUCAUUCGACCCAGUGUGUCUACGUGGGGAGCACCAAUGUUGUUCAUGAAGAAGAAGGAUGGAUCUAUGCGUAUGUGCAUCGACUAUCGGCAGUUGAACAAAUUGACUAUCAAGAAUAAGUACGCUUUACCGAGGAUAGAUGAUUUAUUUGAUUAGCUGCGUGGAGAUUCGGUUUUCUCCAAAAUAGAUCUUUGUUCUGUGUAUCAUCAGCUGAGAGUUAAAGAGACUGAUGUGUACAAGAUAGCGUUUAGGACUCGUUAUGGUCAUUAUGAGUUCCUAGUGAUGCCGUUUGGGCUGACGAAUGCACCAGCUGCCUUUAUGGAUUUGAUGAACCAAGCAUUCCAGCCCUAUCUAGAUCGGUUCGUGAUAGUAUUUAUAGAUGAUAUUCUGGUGUAUUCGGAAACUGAGGAAGAACAUGAUGCGCGUCUUCAUUCUACAGAUUUUGAGGGAGAAGCAAUUAUACGCUAAAUUCAGCAAAUGUGAGUUCUGGUUAUAAUAAGGUUCUGACUAAGGCCCCUAUUUUGAUAUAGCCAGAAUCUGGGAAGAAAUUCACUAUUUUUAAUGAUGCAUCGCACGUUGGUUUGGGUUAUGUAUUGAUGCAAGAGGGUAAAGUGGUUGCUUACGCGUCUCGUCAGCUUAAAACCCAUGAAGUGAAUUACCCUACGCAUGACUUGGAGUUAGCUGCGAUGGUUUUUGCUCUAAAAAUUUGGAGGCAUUACUUGUACGGUGAGAAGUGUAUCAUUUACAUUGAUCAUAAAAGCCUUAAGUACCUCAUCAUUCAAAAAGAGCUGAAUCUUAGGCAACGAAGGUGGAUAGAGCUGCUCAAGGAUUAUGACUGCUCAAUUGAAUACCAUCUUUGUAAGGCUAAUGUGGUAGCUGAUGCACUGAGCCAUAGGGCUAUAGUUGAUUUAAGAGCGAUGUUUGCUCGACUCAGCUUGCUUGAUGAUGGUAGCUUGCUGGCUGACCUACAAGUUAAACCGACAUUGACUUAACAGAUUAGGGGUAAGCAGUUGAUGGAUAGGUCAUUGGUUCCUUGUUUUCGACAAGUUGAGAAUGGGAGAUUUUAGAUUUUGGACUGAAUAGUGAAGGGGUACUGUGUUUUCGUGGGAGAGUCUAUGUACCGAAGGAUUCUGAUCUAAGGCAGUCUAUACUGUAAUAGGCACAUGGUAGUCCAUAUGCUAUGCAUCCUGGCGGAAACAAGUUAUACUGAGAUGUUCGUGAGCUGUACUGGUGGCCAGGACUUAAGCGCGAAGUUACCGAUUCUGUAAGUAAGUGUCUGACAUGCCAACAAUUUAAGGCUGAGCAUCAACUGCCUUCAGGCUUACUGCAACCAAUUAAAAUUCCACUCUAGAAGUGGGAGAGGGUAAUCAUGGAUUUUGUGAGUGGGCUGCCCUUAACACCUACUAAGAAGGAUUCGAUAUGGGUUAUCGUAGAUCGAUUGACUAAAUCUGCCCAUUUUAUACUGGUCUAUACUAAUUAUUCACUGCAGAAGUUAGCUAAGCUAUAUGUAGCUGAGAUUGUAAGACUGCAUGGCGUACCGGUUUCCAUUAUAUCUGACAGAGAUCAUCGAUUCACAUAUCGGUUUUGGAAGAAGUUACACGAGGCACUAGGAGCAAGGCUAGACUUCAGUACUACAUUCCAUCCUCAGACAGACGGUUAGUCAGAGAGGGUGAUUUAGAUACUGGAGGACAUGCUAAGAAGUUGUGUAAUUGAUUUUCAAGGCAGUUGGAAAGACUACUUGCUAUUAACGGAGUUCGCAUAUAAUAAUAGCUACCAGUCCAGCAUUCAAGUGGCACCGAAUGAAGCAUUAUGUGGUCGUAUAUGUCAUACUCUUAAGUGUUGGACUGAGUUGGGUGAGCGACGAGCUCUGGGGCCUGAAAUAGUUUUUGAUACUGAAAACAAGGUAAGGCUAAUUCGAGACUGUUUAAAGACAGUGUCAGAUAGACAGAAGUCAUAUGAAGACUUGAAACGUAAAGAGAUUGGGUACUCUGUGGGGGAUUAUGUCUUUCUUAAAGUCUCACCAUGGAAGAAGAUUCUGAGGUUUGGACGAAAGGGCAAGCUAAGCCCUAGGUUCAUUGGGCCUUAUCGUAUAUUGAAGCGUGUGGGACCGGUCGCCUAUCAACUUGAGUUGCCUCCAAAGUUGGACCAGAUUCAUGAUGUAUUCCACGUAUCCAAGCUAAGGCGUUAUCGCUCUGAUCCCACAUAUAUUGUACCAGUCGAGGAGAUCGAGGUUAGACUAGAUCUGACCUUCGAGGAGGAAUCAGGGCAAAUAUUGGAUCAUGAAGUUAAGGUACUGAGGAGGAAAUCUAUUCCACUAGUUAAAGUAAUUUGGCAUAAUCACAGCUCAGAGGAAGCCACGUGGGAACCUGAGGAGGCUAUGCAACAACAAUACCCUCAUCUUUUCAGAUCAGAUAAAUUUUGAGGUCGAAAUUUCUUUAAAGAGGGUAGAGUUGUAAUGCCCCAAAAAUUUAGAGUCUUUAAUUUUUUACUAUCUAACACAAAUUACAUAUUUGCUUUACUAGCUUAGUGAUUUGAGUGAGUUUCGGAGUGUUUGAGAAGCCUGGGUUCAAGUCUUGCCUUUUGCAAAAUUUUUAGUAUUGCUCUUAAAUGAAUCUGGACACUGUCAUGUAGGACUUAUAAAUAAUAGUGCUUGUUUUAUGACACAAAGAGAGCGUGUAGUCUAGUGGCAAGGAGGUGUGCUGCUUCUGCUGGGGGACUUGAGUUCGAGUCCUGGGUUGCGCAAUGGAGUAAUUAUUUUACUAUUGAACUGGGUAGGUAGUGGAGUUGGACUGAGACUCUCAGGUUGAAUUGGUCAAGAGAAUUUGAAUAGAAUUUGAAUACGAUGUUAGAGUGUUUUAUGAAGAGAAUCAGGGAAAGAUAUUAGGAGAAAAUCAAGGAUUUUGAGGGUGUGGAUGUGGUAGUGCCAAAUUACGUCUCUAGUUACUCAAAAUUUCAACUGUAACUAUUUUGGGGGAGUAUUCCUUGUUUCGGUUUCUUAUUUUGGCACUUUUCUUUUUCAUUUUUCUCUCUGGCCGAAUAUUUUCGGUUCGUAAAAAUGUAAAUUGAACUUUGGUCAAUUGCUUAUAAGCUGAUUGCUUCUUUGUACCUUUUGGGUUUGUGGUUUCUGUAUUUCAAUUUUCUCUCCUAGCCGAACCUCUCUUCUCUCUCUUCUCUGUGUUUUUUUCCUUCUUCACUAUUUGCUACCCCUUUUUUUGGUGAACCGGUUGCUCACUGUCCUUUCUUCUCCUCUUUUUCUUCUAUUUUGGUUGGUGUCAUUAUUUCAUGACCGAUUCUCUCCUCCUCAUCUCUACAUCUUGUUGCAAUUUGACGACUGUGGUGUGCUAUUUUUUUGAUUCUCAAAAGUUUCCUCAAGUAGUGAAGGAGUUUUGGUGAUAUUUAGCUGUCGAAAUCAUUUUCUUAUCACUCGAUUUAAGGUAAGUUUGUUGGCUAACAUGUGGGGUGUUGGCCGAAUGCCCUAUCUUUGGUUUUGAGUGUUAUUUAGACAAUAGGUUUCGAUUCAAAUCUUUGGAUUAUGCGAUGGUUGUUAAUAGGUUCCCUAGAUAAUGCAGCUUUUCAGCAAAAGAGGGUGUGCCCAACUUUCGAUUAACAUUAUUGACGAAUUAAACUUCAUUCAUGGAUUAAGGCAAAUGUUGUUGCUAUUCUUUUCGGGAUUAAGUAUUAGUAAGAGCGUGUUGACCCUAAUGCCAAACAUUUAACUGAAUGUCUUGAUUAAUAUAGGUUCGUGUUCGAAGGCUUUUUACAAGUAUUCAGAACCUAGUGUGUAAUCACACCCCCUUUUAAUUGUAAAACAGGAAAAGCCAAAAAGCAGAAGAUACGACAUUUGAGGCCACACAAGUGCGUGAUUGCUCGUGUGGUAAACCAAGCCCAUGAAUCAUGGGCGUAAGACUGUAGAGGCCACCCUAGGCGUUCUCAUGAGCUUAGGCUGCUUUAGGCCAUGUUGGGCCGAAAUAGGCCGUGUGGGCUAAUGGACUCGUGGGCACCACAUGGAUAAAAUCAACGAUACGUGGUAGUUACUAGACUGGGCUGUGUAGUUCGCAUGGCCAUGGUAAUUUUUGGGCUUGAUGGGCCACACGGGCAUGUGGGCCUACUUGGGCCGCAUAAUGGGCCUUGGGCCAUUUUACACUGUUAGCAUCGUUAAGUUUAUACGAGUCGCUCGAGCCAAUUGUAGACAUUCUGUUAGGACGAGAAGAGUACCUAGACCCAAGACAGGUAAAAUGACCAAAAUACCUCUAUAGGGUAAAAUGACUAUUUUACCCCUCGAAGGUAAAUGACUGAUUUGUGCUAUGAUUUGACUAUACUGAGCAUGACAUUCUACAUACUUGUAUGGUUUAUGGUAUGACAUUCUGCACGGGGUUGGGACACUGUUAAGGAGGAAGGGUAUUAUACUAGUGGCUUCGCCACAUAUACUGUUACUAGUGGCUUUGCCACAUAUACUGAUACUGGCAGUUUUACUGCGAUACUUUUACUGGUAACCUUGUUGCGAUAACGGUGUGUUAGCGGGUGGGUUGACUUUUUCCCCACAUGGUGUGUUAGUGGUACAGAGUGGUGUGUUGGCUGGUUUGGGAUGGGCUGCAUCAUUGAACCACAUUGCUACUGUAUUGGGCCAAAGCCCACUCUGUUCUAUUUCUGAGUAGGGCUCAGUCCCAGGCUGUUACUAUAUGUUGUAUACCAAUCGACUGAUAAGGGAUUACAUACUGAGUUUUCAUAAACUCACUCUUUUUUUUACUGUGCAGGUAAUCCCCAACUAUAAGCAAUUUGGUGCUGCGAGGGACUCGGAGGUGGCCACACGACUGCAAUUAGUUUACAUUUGGUUUUAUUUACACUUAAAGUUUCAUUUUGGGUUUAUGUUUUUGUAAUAAGGCCAUUUAUGGGAUAUAAUUUUUAAUUGGCUUUUAUUUAUUUACUUAAAACUAGUGUUUCCAAAAAAAAAACUAUUUUUCUAAAAUACAUGUUUCAACUUCAAGGUUUUAAAAGCUUCCGCAAAACUUAAAUAGAUUAGUAUAUCAAAGCAAUUAAUCUGGUAAAAUGGUUUGAUAAUAUGAUUUGGUAAUAGCAAAGAACUUGACUCGCUAAAGUUUUCGCAAAGACACUUGGAUGUGACACACCGGAUUUGGCCAUAACGUCUAGGCCAGGUUCGAGGUCUUACACAUCAAACUUUCAUAUUAUUCCAUUAAACAUCAAAAUACAAACAUGUCACACAUGGGUCAAGUUUCAUACAUGAACCCUACUUCAAAAUAUGGCUAAUGUAACAGCCCGAUUUAGACCACCCUAAUCGGAACGGUGGUUUCGGGACCACGAAUCUAAGUUAGAAGAAUAUUUUAAAAUUAUUUUUCAUGAUUAUUUUGUGUGAAUUUGCGUUUGUGAAUUUUUUUUGAUUCAAUUUUAUUGUUUAGGUGUCCGAGUAACUUAAAGGACUUAAUCGCGUAAAAUAAAAAUUUAGUGGUUAAAUGUGAAAGUGCUCAAUUGUUGUUGUCUUUAUUAGUGUAGUACUUAUAAUGCAAAUAUACCUUUGAAAUUUUUCAUGGACACAUUCGGUCAAGAAUAGGUGAAUUAUAAAUAGUUUAUGCUAAGGUUAAAAUGGUAACUUUUGUGAUAAAAUGUUAUAAUAUAAAAUAUAUCAUAAAAUACUAAAACAAAACAUAGUGUGUUCAUACUUUCUUAUUGCCGAAUAUCAAAAUAACCAAAUAAAAGAAAUGAAACUUAGGGUUUGGCACUUUCAAGCUUGAUUCAAGGUAAGUUUUAGCUCGAUUUUUAAUAAUUUCUAGGUUUUUGAGAUCGUUGCUUCGAGUACUACAAAACCCAUGCUUGGAUUUUUUAUUUUGAGGAAUAUUUUGAGUUGAGUCAUUGUUGAUAGCUUGUGAUUUUUGUUGUUUGAUGAUGAAAAAUGAAAGAUAUGUUUUAGAUUAACAUAUUUUGUAUUGGAGUUUUUGAUGAUUUUGAGUAAUUAGGACUUAAUUGCAAAAAUAAUAAUUUGAGGGACUAAAAUGUGAAAUUGAUAAAAUAUAUGGACUUGUAUAGGCAUGGGUACCAUUCUGCCUAACAUGGGUGUUUUGAAAUUUUGUGUAUUUUGUGUUUUGUGCAAUAGGGACUAAAUUGUAAAAAUUACAAAUGUCAAGGGUAAAAUGGUAAUUUUCCUAUUUAUUUGUUUUUGGACUAAAUUAAAUGAAAAUAUAUUUUAAUGAGCUUAAUUUAAACAUGUUUAGAUCAAGAACCAAAGAAAUCGAAUUUGGACCGGGGAAAAAUGAAAGUUGUCGACUAGCAGCCCCGUCCCGUUUUAUGACAUGCGAGGUAAGUUUAUAAGAAAAUAGACGUGUUUAAUAUGUUUUUAUGAAAUGUUAGAAUUUAUAUUUGAUGUAGCCGAAUAUGAAAAGGCUUGGUUACUACGUUUCUGAAAUCGUUCCGAUCGAGUUGCGACAUCUGAAAGCUCCGAAUGAACCUUAGGAAUAGCUAGGAUACAUAUGUCAUGACAUAGGAUUCCGAUAUAUGUGUGCGAGUAAGUCCAUAGCAUCGAUUUGUGAUUUCAAUAUGUGUUUACAAGUAAGACCCUGUCUGGGACAGUGGCAUCGAUAUGUGAUUACAUGUAAGACCACAUCUAGGACGCUGGCAUUGUACGAUUUAUGUGAUUAUCCAAGUGUCCUAACCAAUUCUGAUGUUGGUAUUUGGAUAUGUGCAUUCGGCAUUUGAAUGAAUAAUUUGUGUAGUAUUGACAUGUUACUUAACAUGUGUAUAUCUAAUUUGUGUAUUGAGCUACCUAGGUAUUAUUUAUACAUGAGAUGACAUUUGAUGAUUUUUAAAGUUGCAUAAAAGAGUAAAUGGAUGUGUGGUUAUUAUGGCUACUAGUUUGGAAGUUGAUUUAUAUUGUAUUAAAUGAGUGUAUAUGUAUUUGGCUUAGGUGGUUAAAAAUGUUAAUGCAUUUCGUUUUGUUAAUAUGAAUCAAAUAUGUUAUUGAGUUGUUUAUUGCUUAUUACUUACUAAGCUGUGGUAGCUUACUUUGUGUAUUACGUUACUCUGUUUUAUAGAUUUUGUAGUCAAGCUGCAAGCUCAGGGAUCGUCAGCCAAGAUCAUCACACUAUCUACAGCUUUGGUACCUUUAAACUAAACUUGAAUUAUGGCAUAUAUAGGCUGAUUUUGAGGUUAAAUAUUUUGGAAAUGAAUGUAUAUAUAUAAGCCAUGCGAAAAUGGCUAAAAUUUUAUAUAUAAAUUCGGUUAUGUUAGGUAUGGGUUAUGUUUAUCUUAGUUUUAUAGUUAUGUGUUAUGAAUAUAUAACAUUUUUGAUAAGUACUAUAUGCUUGAGAAUGGUUUGCUUAUCAUGUCUAAAUCGGGUCUUAUAUGUUUUUGGUUAAAUGUUUACUGAGCUUGGGUAUUGAAAAAUAUUAUGUGUGUUACAUGAAUAAAAUUUGGUUAAACGUAUAGUGUGCAUAUUAUUUACUUACAUCAUUAAUAAGUUCGGAGGUGGUAUAAAGUAUUUGAAAUACUCAUAAUUGCGUGAGGUAGAUUCGACUUUUACUAGUGAAAUAUACCAAUGUUAUGUUUGAUGUUGGGGUAUGCAUAUCAUGAAUUGAGAAUAGCUUUUAUCUUAGGUUCAAAUUCGGUUUGGUUGUGUCAUGAUUUAAGAUUAAUAUGAUUAUAAUGCAUGGUUUAAAUUGAGUGUUUAUUUAUGGCCUAUAUUUAUGGCGUGAAUGACUUUCCAAUUGUUAUUUGAAAAGUAUUAUAUAUUGGGGUUUAGAUUUAUAUAAGGAUAAGUGUAUUUCGUAAUAGGUCUUAUUAUGUUAGCUGAUAUUUGUAGAUGCUAUUCGUGUAUAAAUUCAUGUGCUUGUAAUGUAGUUGAUAUGUACAUGUGCAUGGAAAAGUGAAUUCAUUAGGUAUUUAUAAAAUAUUAAAUAUGUAAUAAUAGAAUGAGUUAACCAAGUAUACAUAGAAUUAAAAUGGGUUAUUUAUAAUAGAAUGUUUGUUAUUAAAAUUAGUUAAUUUUUAAUAUAUGAAUUACCUAUAGUUUAACCCAUUAAUGCCGCAUACAUGUGAAGAAAAUAGGUUAGUAGUGAAAUUUGGUCCAAUGGAAAAUUUACUUGUGUAUAUGCACGACUUGUAUAAAGAUAAGUAUGGGACAAAUAUUCCGCAAGUAAUUAUUGAUGCAUUACAUGUCCUAUAUAUUCAGUGAAUUGUUUUUAAUAUUUGUAUAUUUUUAAGUAUGGUCUACCUAAGCUAUGUGGUGAAUGACAAUAAAUUUAUGAUUAGAUAUUAGAUUAAAUUAUUAGCAUUGAUAUGAUUUAAAUCUUGAAUUAAUUUGAAAUUUCUGGAACUGUGCUUCUGUUUAAUAAUGUUUCGUAACCCAUUCUGUCGACAAAUACGGGUUAGGGGUGUUACAUUUUAUUGGUAUCAGAGCUACGAUUUAGUCAGUUCUAGGACUACGUAGCGUGUGUGAGUUUAGCUAUACAUGCCAUAAUUAUAUACUGUGAUACUGUGAUGACUUUUGACAUUUGAAAUGUGUUUUCAUAUAGUAAAUAGAUCCUGACCGAGCUGUAGCUGAUGACGUCGAGAGUGUAGCACCUGCACCCGCGCAAGGGACAACGGAAGCUGAUUCUCGACCGACUUCGAAUAAUCCAGAAAGUGAGGCUAAACAAGCCUUCUAUAAAAUGAUGAAUGACUGGUUCACUCGAUAUAUCUGGACAAACCGGACUGCACAACAACCUCCACCCCCGAUUAAUCCUUCUUCCAUGCUUGUUGUACCUCAAGUAAGUGAUCCGUUGCGAUUGACUAGACCACCUCUCGAUAAAAUCAGAAAACAUGGAACUGAAGAGUUUAAAGCCACUAAUGAUGAUGACGCUGAGUGGGUUGAGUUCUGGCUUGAUAAUACCAUCCGUGUGUUUGAUAAGCCAUCCUAUACUCCUGAUGAAUGUUUGAAAUGUGCUAUAUCCUUACUCCAAGACACAGCAUAUCACUGGUGGAAUACCCUGGUAUUAGUAGUUUCGAAAGAGCAGGUGACCUGGGAAUUCUUUUAGACUGAGUUUCGUAAGAAAUAUAUCAGUCAGAGAUUUAUCGAUCAAAAGCGUAAAGAAUUUUUUGAGCUAAAACAGGGUCGAAUGACAGUGACAGAGUAUGAGCGGAAGUUUGUGAGACUCAGUCGGUAUGCUCGAGAGUGUGUAUCUACUGAAGCCAUAGUGUGUAAAAGAUUUCAAGAUGGACUGAACGAAUACAUUAAAUUAUUAGUCGGCAUACUUGAUAUAAAGGAGUUUGUGGUACUUAUUGAGCGAGCCUGCAUAGCUGAAGAGCUCGGGAAAGAGAAAAGAAAGGCUGACUUUGAAGCUAGAGAUGCACGCAAAAGAACAUCCAGUAAGUCAUUUCAGUCGGCAUCAAAGAAAUUCUGAGAUGAUUUCAGCCGUUCUAAAGCCACUUCUGGUUACUCCAGACGGGAUCAGAAUAGACCACUAGUGAGCUCGAGAGCUACCUCAGUAGCUAGUGUGAGUAAUGUCGGAUCAACUCAACCUGAGUGUAAGCAUUGUGGUAAAUGACAUCCCGGUAAUUGCAGGUUGCAUGAUAGGGCCUAUUUUAGAUGUGGAUCAACAGAUCAUUAUAUUCGAGACUACCUAAUGUUAGUUGAGGAAAAUCUAGUGCAGAAUAUGAGAUCGGGUAACACUGUAGCUCGAGGUAGACCUCCCAGAAAUGCUGGUAAUACGAGUGGUAGUUACAGAGGGACUAAAGAUACGGUAAUCAGAUCUAAGGCUCGUGCACCUGCCAGACCUGGUUGGUAAGGGAAGUGUUGGAAGAAGUGUUCGAGGCAAGAGUUAAGGCGUAUGGUAAAACACUUCAGGCUAGGCACUUGGAGUGCAGUAGGAAGAGGGAUCACAGUUCCUUUUAAGUCAGGUGUGUUUUGUUUAGAUGUGAUGUUUGAAUAUAGAAAUUCUAUGCAUGUGUGGUAAAUAUCUAUUUGCUUCUGUGGUUAGAUGUUUGGUUGGGUGUGAGAGGUUUUGAGAUCAAGUUAAAAACGUAUUAGUGUAGUUUGGAACUAGAGUGCACAGCGGGAGCGUAGUGGUGUAGAAUGAGCUAAGCACUUGUUCAGAUAGUUGAAAAUUUCGAGGAUGAAAUUUCUUUAAGGGGGUAGAACUGUAACGCCCUGAAUUUAGGCCUAGAAAUAUUAGGCCUUGAUUAUAAGUCCGUAAGGAGGUUAUAUAUAAGCAUUUAAUUGUACAAGGAAAUGACACAAUUAAAUGUCUGCUUUAGUGGUUAAUGGCCCUGAGAAGGUUGGAGAAAUCUUGGGUUCAGACCUAGGCUUUAGCAAAAAUUUUGGUAAUAAGUGAAUAAAACCCUGGGUGCUUGGAUGAAGGCCUUUUAAAUUUUUGUGGCAAAUAAAUGACACAAGGAAGAUUGUGGUCCAGUGGUUGUGGCGUCAUUAAGGUUGCAAGGGAGCUUGGGUUCAACUCUUGGCUCUUGCAAUUUAUUUUGGUUUUUCUUUUAAAGGAACCUAGACUUUGGCCUAUAGACCUUAUAAUUAAUUAAGGACAAAAUAUGACACAGAAAGAGCCUUUAGUGGAGUGGCAAGGUGGCGUGUUGUGUAAUUGUGAGGUCUAAGGUUCAAGUCUUGGGAUGCGCAAGAGAGUAUUUAUUUUACUAUUUGAGCUGUGUAAAAGGUGGAGUUGGACUGAAACUCUAUGGUUGAAGUGGUCAUAAGAAAAUUAGACAUUUUCCUAAUGGUUGAAAGUAAUCCCACAUCGGGAAGCUAACAUGGGAAUUGGUGAGAAGCUGGCUUUAAAUAGAGGGAACUAGAUGAGUUGGUGAAAACGGAAAAGGAUUAAGACCCAAUGCAGGAUGUGCCAAGGUUAGUGAUCGUGGACUACUUCGGCGCGUUCUUAUAAACAAGUGUGUAUUCACGACUUUCUUUCUUGGAAGUCGACAAAAGCCGAAAAGUCGAAACCUCAGCAUUCGGGGCCUCACGAGCGUGGCCACUACCUAAGUAGUGGCCAAAUAGGACCAAUGGGCCCCAUCCCGCUUGUGUAAACUUCACUGAUAAGUGGGAUGUAGAUAGACUUGUCAUGUCGCGCACACGACUUAGGUAGUUCUGGGCCACGUUGGGCCUAGAUGGGCUGUGUGGGCCCAAUAGGCUCGUGGGCCCUACACAGAUUGAAUCAGCAACUUGUGAUAAUUAUUGGACUGGGCUAUGUAGGUCACAUAGCCAUAUCUAAACUUGGGCUAAAUGGGUCAUGUGGGCCACAUGGGCGUGUGGGAUUUUGGGCCAAGCCAUAUAAUCCACAUGGGUAAGGCCAAUUUGGGUCGUGUGGCCCACACGGGCAAGGGCACACGGGCGUGUGAGCCCAAUUAAUGUGAAAUGUCCUGUAAGGUUGCACAGGUCGCCUAAGUCGACAGUGACCUGAUUAUAGGGGCGGUAAGCUUUACUUAGACCCCAUACUCCGAUUGAUUACUGAUUUGUAUGCAAAAGCAUGUUGUUAUAAACAUGUGUAACUGUCUGACUCUGUACAUCUGUUCUGCCAUGAUAUUGAUAUGAUUUGAUAUCUGCAUACGAGCAUGCCAUAUUAAUCUAUUGCAUUGCAUUGGGUUGGAUUAUUAUGAAGUGAAGGGAGACUAAAAGGCUUUUAACCUGCUAUCUGGCAGCUAUGCUGCAUGUAUCGGAUAUGUGUCAUUUUACUGUACCAUUUGGUGUGUAGGGUUGGAUGGGUUGAUUUUAUCCCCAUACUUGGUAUGUAGGGCUAGGUGGGUCGAUUCUAUCUCCACAUGGUAUGUUGGGUUGGACGGAGAUGGUGUGCAGGGUUGGAUGGGAUAGCAUGCAUCCAUGCAUUCACACAUUAUGUUUUGUUACUGAGAUGGGCUAGGCCCAAUUGAUUCUAUUAUGGGUUGUGACCCAAAUGAUAUUGUAAUGGUCUUUGGCCAACUUAUGCUCAAAACUGGACUGUACUAUUACUGUUAAAGGGCUCUGGCCCAGACUUUUUCUGUUUCUGUAUACUGAUUAUUACUCUAGUAAGGGGAUUACACACUGAGUUUUCGUAAACUCACCCCAUUUAUUAACUGUGCAGGUAAUUCCCAGCGUUAGGUGGAUCGGUGUCGCAGAGGGACUCAAAGACGACCACACAACUGCACAUGUUUUUCUAUUUCGUUUAUUUAGUUAAGCACUUUGGUUUUUGAUUUGGGUUGUAUUAAGGCCUCUUUAUAUUCUUAACUUUUUAUUUGGGAAAUUUAUUUAGUAUGUUUAAUAUCUGUUAGAAGUAAAACACGGUUUUUCAAAACAAUAAUUGUUUUCAAACACUACGUUUCUGCAACAUUUUUAAAACUAGCUUCCAUAGCUAAAAAGAUUUUGGGAAUAAAGUUUUGUAUUUUUCAAUGAACCACUCUUUGAAGUUAAACUAAUGUAAAUUGGGAUUUUACUCAAGUUUUAAUGACCAAAAGUUGUUUUUUUUAAUAUUAAGCAGGGUUUUCAAUGAGAACAUGGUUUUCGAAAAACACUUGAAUGUGACACACCAGAUUCGAGUCUAACUUCUAGGCCAAGUUUGGGGUGUUACAUCUGGAACUGUGCUUCUGUUUAGUAAUGUCUCAUAACCCAUUCCGACGACGAAUACGGGUUAGGGGUGUUACAGCUAGAAAUGGAUAGAUCAUGCUUCAAGGAUCUCAAAAAUGCAAAUAACCUCAAAAAUGGGGCUUGGGAGCACUUACAAUCAAGCUUGAAAAGAAGAACAAAAACCCUAGCUAUGGCUCUUGGAAAUUUCGGCUAGCACUUAGAGAAGAUUAGCAAAUUUUGACUUAUUUUUCCCUUUUUAUUCUUUUAUUAUCCAAAUGACUAAAAUGCCCAUUAAGCCUUUCGUUCAAAUUUUCCUAUCCAUGCCCAUUUUUGUCCAAAAUUAUAGGAAUUGGUCAAAUUUCUAUUUAAGACCUUCUAAUUUAUAAUCCAAUGCAAUUUCAUGCGUAAAGCUUCUAGAACACAUAAUUUUCAACUUAUUCAAUUUAGUCCCUAACUUCAGAUUUGACACUUUAGGCAUAGAAUUUCUUCAUGACAAUUUCACACAACAUGCAAUCAUAUCAUGGACCAUCAAAUAAUCAUAAGUUAAUUAUUUCUAUUUUGGAUUUGUGGUCUCGAAACCACUAUUCUGACUAGACCCUAAUUCAGGAUGUUAAAUUAUAUGCUUGUGUACUUCGAAUGAGAUCUCACUCCUAUCGGAUAUAUUGAUUCUAACUCAUCUACUUCACUAGGGUAAGUGGGAGACUAUUGGAUCUAGUGCCUUAAGUGUAGUAUUUUUGUCUAAAUACAUUUGUAAUUUUUUGAUAGAUUGUUUAAUAAAAUUAUUCAUGAAUUACAUUAAUAAUUUGUAUAUUAUCCUCACAUGGUUUUUGCAUGCAAAACAAAAUGAAAAAAAAUGUUACUCAUUGGUUGUCUACAAUUUAAACUAAUACUAAGCGGUAUCAUAUGGUUGAAUCAUGAUACAGAAAGGCAACUUGUUUUAGUAGACAAAUCUAAACAUAUCCUUAAUCUAAUCGAAAAUGAGAAAACCAAUUGAAAGAAUAAUAUUUCGUCUAUUAAGUCCAAUUAGGUAGAUGUUUAGUCUUGGGCAUCAGAACUAAUGACUCCCAGAAGACAGCGGCAUAGAUGGGACUGACUAGAUUGACAGUACAUCAAACUAAACCAAACAGAAUAGAUCCUGAUUUAAUUUAUGGACUUAUUCACUUGUGACAUUCAUAGUGUGACAUACUUAAAUCAUGAGUGGAUGGCGAAUUAUGUAUGUGUAACUCAUACAUUAUGAUGUAAGUAAAAGCUUGAGUUCGAAUAGAUAAGGAACCAAAAGUUGGCAUGUUGGGUGUACGACAUCUAUAGUACGUAGCGUCAUUCACAACAAUAGAAUUCAUAGCCUAAGAAUGAGUAAAUGAUAUCCUCUCAUUGGCAUUACAAGGUUGAUGAAAAGUAAAUAUGGCCACCGAUCGUUCGUCUUUUUGAUGAAUGACUUGAUCACUAUUUGAUAGUGAUUGACUUUUACUUUUACUGAAGAAUGAUCUAAUGUUUACCAUAAGAUAAAAUAGGAUCAUGUUGGAAGAAUGGAUAUUAUCCCGAAGAGAUCAAUGAUAUAUUAUGGGGGUAACACACUGUGACAGCCCAAAAUUGACCCUAGUCGGGAAGUGGUUUCGGGACCACAAAACCGAGUCAUAAAAAUAAUUGAUUUCCAUAUUCUAUGCUUAUUAUGUGUGUACAUGAGUAUGUGGAAGUUUCAUUCUCCAAUUUUGCCAAUUGCAUGAGAAAUUAUUAAAUAGGGAUUGAUAUGAGACAUGGUGAAAAUAUGAUAGGCUAAUUUAAAAUGGUCUAUUAAUGCAUGUUGUGAAAAUGAUGGGUUUGCAUGUCAAAUUACCCAAAAUUUGAGCUAGUGGUUGGCCAUGCUAUGGGUGGAAACAUGUUGGGAACAUGUUGGCCUAGUGAGGUAUGUAGGAAAAAAAUAAAAUAAGGGGCAUGGGCAUAAAAUAAUGAAAAGGAGUAUGAUGAAUACAAAAAAAAAAUGUGUGUAGUUGUUUGUUCCCCCCCCCAUUGCCGUGAGCUAAAGAAAAGAAAGGAGAGAAUUUUUGUUCAUCCUUUUCUCAUCCUUUGGUCCAUCCUUGGCCAAAAAUUUUAAGGAGGAAAGAAGAAGAAAGGUGAAGAGAUUCGGCCAUGCAUGUAGCUAGGCUAAGGUAUGUUGAUGAUGUUCCAUGAGAUGCAUGCAUGUUUUAGUUGUUAGCUUGAGUUCUACCUAGCCCAUGGUCUAAAUCUUGCUAUGUGAUGGAAAUGACAUUUGACCAUGGAUGCAUCAUUCUUGGUUGAUGUUUGAUGUGGUGGUGAUGAGGCAAGAGGAUGAGUUAAAAUUCGGCCUAGGUGGAGGUUGUGUUAAUGCCAUUGCAUGCUAAAUAUGAAGUUUGUUAAUGAUGCAUGUGAUGAUGACUUGAUGAUUCUUGAACCUCCUUUUUAGCAUUUUUGUGUGAGCACAUAUGUGCAUUGGUUGCUAAAUGGAGAAGAAUCGGCUAGCAAGUUGUGUGCUAAGGCCGAAUGUAACUUUGCAUGUUAAUGAGCAAUGCAUGUGUUAAAUUGAUGGAAAGGGGGAGGAUGCUUUACUAGUGUGUAUAUGUGUGUAUUAAGUGUUGAAAUCGACCCCAAAAAUAGACAUGCAUAUUCGGCCAAGGGGGAAAAAAAUUAGCUAAUAUGUUGUGUUGAUGCAUGAUUUCACAUGUAUGUGACUUUGAUGUCUAAUGUAUAAAUAUGGGCUAAGUGCUUCGUGUUCAUCUUUUUGAUGCCUAAAUGAUGAAAUCAAUUUAUUUGUUUAAUUAAGCUCAAGAGCAAAGGGGAAAUAGAUCCGAUAAAGGGAAGGAAAAAGUGGUCGAAUAGUUAGCGGAAUCGUUCGACAACACCCGAGGUAAGUUCUUGAGUAAGAGAGCUUAAAUUACGAUGUGAUUAAAUCAUGUUUUAAGCAAAUUAAAAUCAUGCUCUAUGUGUGGCUAUUGAGCCGAAUGUGCAAGGAUGGUAUGUGCCUUGUGUUUGAGUUUUGCUAAUGAAAAAGAAAUACGAAUGUGCCAUGAAUUAUUGUUAGAUGUGCAUGAUUAAUUGAAUGCUGUCCGGGCUAAGUCCCGAAGGCUUUGUGCUAAGUGACUAUAUCCGGACUAAGAUCCGAAGGUAUUUGUGCGAGUUAUUAAUUCCGGGUUAAGUCCCGAAGGCCUUUGUGCGAGAUACUAAUUCCGGGUUAAGUCCCGAAGGCAUUCGUGCGAGUUUUAAAAUCCGGGUUAAGUCCCGAAGGCAUUGAAUGAGUUAAUAUAACCGGGCUAUGUCCCGAAGGCACUUGAACGAGGAGCUAAAUUCGGUUAAAUUCCGAAGGUACGUGAUUUUGGUAAUGAAUGAGCUUGCUGUAAAAUUCCAGCUAAUACUCGAAAAACAUCCCAAUAUUGGGAUAUGUUACGUAUGUGUUGAAUUUAAUCGAGCCCUUACAAAUAAGUAUUCGCUCAGUUGAUAAACGAGCUACCGGCCUUUGGCUGAGUUGAUCUUUUGUGUAUGUACAUAAGGGUUGAUAAUGUGAAGCAAGUACGAUAUCGUAAAUUUGUGCAUAUGAAAUUAUCCGUUUAGCUAUAUGAAUGCUAUACUUUUGUUGUGCUGGAAUUCCUUGCUCAAAACUUACUAAGCAUAAAUUGCUUACUCCGUUUUAUUGCUCCUCUGUUUUAUAGAUUUGGUUCUCCAGCUAUCGGACUCGGGAUCUUGAAGUCAAAGUCGCCCACACUAUCAAAGCCCCCCCCUUUUUGGUACAAUUUUGGUUGAACUUCGAAAUGGCAUGUAUAGGACUACCCGUUUGUUGUGGGUCGUGGACCCUCUGGACUUGUAUAAAUUUUGGAUAGCCAUGCGAAAAUGGCUUAUAUGUGUUUGAGUAUAAUGUUAUAAUCAUUUGGUGUGGAUAUGCUUGACAAGGAUUGGCCACGGGGAUGGUUAAUCACUUUCAUAAAUUGUGCUAUGUAUGCAAAAAAGGCUAGUUGAACCAUGAAAUAGGUAAAGCCUACCAUAAAGGUAGAUGCUGACAGCAUCAGUGAUGUAGAUUUGGAAAAUCACUAAAAAUAGUAGGAUUGGAAUUAAAUAGUGAAUAAAUUAUGUAAACAAACCUUGAUGAAUCUACUUUCAUAGGAAAGUAACGAAACAAUCAUACGGACAGUAUGUUAAGAGAUAUUCAGGUUCUCGUGAGACAGGGCCAGAACGGUUUCUGGAUUCCCUGUUCCGACUUUGGAAAUUCAUUAUAAAUUAACCAGAGAUAAUUAGGAGUCAUACCAUAUAUCUAUAGAUUCCUCUCUGAGUCUAGUUUCUAUAGAAACAAACGGCAUCAGUAUUGGAGCCCUGUACAAGGAUAUAUCCAAGUCGUAAUGCGCAAAGGUCAGGGUAGUCGAUCCCUGUAACAUGGGAGACUUUGACUAAUAAACUGUACUAAUUUGCCCAACCAAAAAUUCUAGAAAAAAAUAUGUAGAUGGGCAUAUGAGUCUAGUUUCAGGGAAAAAUCACGAAACUGAUUUUUGAGUUGUGAAACUCAAGAUAUGAUUUUUAAAGCGACUAGUACACAGAUUGGGCAGUGUCUGGAAAUUUUUCAAAGUUUGUUAACACCUCGUGUUCGACUCCGGUGUCGGACUCGGGUUCGGGGUGUUACACACACUUAUGACAAGGUUAUUGGAUGAGCAUGGAAUUGUUGCUUUCGUAAUGGUAUUUUGUUAAUGAGAGCUCAGUCACGAUACUAUAAUAGAAUGACUUCGUGACCAAAUAAGUUUAUAAUUAAUAGGCGAAAAUUCAAAACUUAAUUAUAAAUCAUUUGAUCCCUAAUUACAUAUGUUCAAUCAGUCCCUCCUCUAUCUCGUUGAAACUAGAAAUGAAUUGAGUGUUUGAAUCAAAAUGAACAAAAUGAAUUGAAAUAGAGAAAUGGAAAACAUUCAAAAAUGAUUAUGGUUUUCCUCGAAAUGGAGAAAUGGAAUAAUUUAGAAAUGAAUGUGGGUUUCUCAAAGAAAACGGAACUGCAAAUACAAAUGCAAAUGAGAAAUGAUGCAUUUGCAAAUAUAUAUAUAUAUAUAGAUUACUCAGAAAUGAUCAGAAUAAUGAGUUUAUGUUUUUUAGCAGUUCUAAAGCCCAAAAAUGAAAAUAAAUCAUUUGGUCAUAGUGAACAAGUUGAGUUGUGAAAUAUUGAAUAUAUUUCUUUGGAAAUUUUAAUAGGGGUAAAUUCUUCAUAAUUUUACCGAGGGUAAAAUUGGGAUAAAAAAUUAUUUACUUGGAAAAUUAAUGUUUAUUUUGGAAAAUAGAAAAAUAUGUAUUGGGUUGGAUUAAAUUAUAAGUGUUGGUUUAAAAGUCCAGAAAGCACAUAUAAUUGGGCCCAAUACAAUAAGAGGCCUGAAUCUCAUCAUAGUACAUCUAAGGGGAAGCACACCCUAUUAGCCCCUCUCUUUCUCCUAUUUGGAAUAGGAAGUUUUUUUUUUCUAUUUGAAAUAAACCUCUACAAUUCAACAAAGAUUCUGUCUUCUCUCCCUAUAAAUAGAUGAUACCAGUAGAGCUAUUUACAUAACUUGGAGAGAUUGUACACAGUCGAAAAAUAGAAAUAAUUUAUUCUCAACUAUUAAAUAUAUUUUUUUAGAAUAACAAUUCUAUCGAUUUCUAUUAAAGAAGAGAGAAUUUUCAUUUUCACCUCAAAUAUAAAAAAAAACUUUUUCUAGAUCCGUGUUUUGAUUUAAUUUAUUCGAGCCCACACUCGAAACAGUUCAUGGUACAAGAUUAGCGGAAAAGAUCAUUUAGUUGAAAGCCGAAAAACGUCGAUGAUCCACUUAUCCAAAAACACGAGUAUGAUACCGAUUCAAGUUUUAUUCCUACAAAUAUCACAAACCAGGUUGGUUUUCAAAAUUUUAAUUUUAUGUUGUGCAAGAAAACCAUUUUCAAACUAAGAUUUUUCCAACAUUGUUUGUUGCAAAAUUGCAGGCAUCAUCACGACGAUGUGCGAACAUCAUCAAGGCAUAGGUUCAGUGUUGGGACAUCCUCAUCACAUUUUCAAGACAAGCAAGCCCCUCUAGGGCACAUUUUAACAUGCAAAAUUAUGGAUUGUUGAAUUUUUAUAUUUGGAUAAAUAUUUUGGUUUUGAUGUCAAUUUGUGGACUGUUGUAAUGAAUGUUUAGACUUGAAUAAAUGGGAUAUAUUUGGCAUGUGAUUGAACAUGAUUUUAUGCAUGUCAAAUGUGCACAAAUGAACCAAUUGCAUGAAAUGGUUUGGUUGAUUGAAAUAAGUACCAGAAGGCCUAUUUUGUGCCAAAAUAGAAUCCACGUCGUGAUGUCAAGCAAUGGUCGUCACGACGUGAUCUGGGUUUUGGACCACGGUGUGACAAGGAACCUUGUUGUCACAACGAGGAAAAAUAGACUAUAAUGUCAUGACAAGGAACUUCUCAAGUUGUAAUAUCACUUUGAAACUUUGGAAAUGUUGCAAUUUGGUUCUAAUAUGAUUUUGAGUUAACUUUAGAGCAUUCGUAGGCUAGUAUAAGGACCGAGAAAGAUUGUAUAAUGAACUUAUGAUCGGUAAUGGUUGUGUUUGCAUGUUUUAUAUUUUAAUGUGAAUGUUAAUUGCCCAUAGCUGCUCCGACAAAGACUAUAACAUUCAGUAGCUCAGACUUGGCGAUCGAGUUGGGGAGGGGUGUUAAAACAAUAUUUGUUAUUUUUUAUUUAAUUUUAGUGCACUCAAUUUUCUCUAAAAAACUAUGGUGGUUCUUGUUUCAGUUUACACUAUUGUGGUUUUUAUUUUUUUCCACUUAGUUUUCUCUAAAAUUUGUCAUGGUUCUUGUCUAUUCUAUUUUCUUGUCCAAUAUGUCUCAAGACGUGACCCUGAUACUGAUAAACAAUAAUAUAUACAUAUUUUACCCCAUGCUUGGCAUAUUUAUGGAUGAUUUUUCCUUGGUUUCAUUGAAUUUGAUGCUCCUAAUCCUUUAAAUUCAUGUUUUAUACUUAAGCAAACAUAGGAAGGUGAAAAGAGCAAGAAACCGGCCAAAAAUAGACAAAAUGGGCCUAAUUCAGUGUUUCACACGGCCUAGGCACUUCCACACGGGAAAUCCACAUGCCCGUGUGUGACACACGGGUAGGCCACACGCUUGUGUGUUAUGGCCAUGUCGACAUUAAACCAAGUCAAAAUUGCACAUGGCCUGAGCACCUUUACACGGUCGUGUCCCUGUCAAGUCCAAGUCUAAUUCUACUCGAAAAAGGCUAAUUUGGAGGGUUUUGAAGCAUUCCAAAGUCUAUAUAAACGCCCUAGAAGAGGAUUAAAGGGGACACGGAGAAUAGAAGGCAGAAAAUACUCAAGAAUAGCCAUCGGGAUCAGCUCAUAAGGAGGAUCUACAUCAAGACUGAGGAUUUCCAUCGAAUUUCCUAGAAGUUCUUUGGGUUUCUUAAUGUUUUGUUGUUUUCAAAUUUUUGAGAUGUUUUCCAUUAUUAUGAACUAAACUCCCUAAAUACCUAAGGGAGAUGAAACAUAAGACGAAUCUUAUUACUAAUUGAGUUAUAUGAUAAAUACUUGUUCUUAUUCUUAAUUGUGAGUUUAAUCCUUGUUUUAAUAUUCUAGGAUAUUAAUUUAGGUUUUUGAUGUGCUAAUUCAGUGGAGGAAAAGUCCCUGUUUAAGAGUAGAUCAUUCGUAAUUAAGCGGAGUUGCAUGCAAUCUUAGAGAUAGGACGACAUAAAUCUACCGGAUUAGAGUCAAAUCUAAUAAAGGAAUCCAUAGAUCGAGUUAAUGCAACAGUAGGGGGUUUUAAUUGGAAAAAGAUUUCGAUUAAUCAACCUAGAGUUAGUUUUUUUUAGUCUCGUGAAAGAUAUUAAAAUAAAUCAAGGAUUUCUACGGAUUAAGUCAAGUGAAUAAAUCAUCUAAUUCAAAUGUAAUAAGUGAAGUCUAGGUGGAUUCUUCCUUGGGUAUUGUCUUCCCCAUCGAUUUUCCAAAAGUAUUUGCCAACUUUAAUCUCUAUCACAAUCUUAGCUAAUUAGAUAAUUAGUGUUAGUUAAAAACAUUCUCUUAAUUGUUAGGCUAGAUAAUAAAAAGAUAGUAAUUACUAGUACUUUUAGUCCUCGUGGAUACGAUAUUUCCGGUCUCAUCAUAAUUAUACUACUGUUCGAUAGGUGCACUUGCCUUAGUCGAAUUUUUUUAGUUAGUUUAGUGACCUUCAAAUACUGUUGCUUUUUAGCUUCAAAGUUCUUAUAUAUCAAGACACAUUUCAUAUGUAAUAAUCAAAGUUGAAAAUUAUGUUCUCAAUUUCCUCCCAACCAUACCAAAAUUGUCCAUGAUCAUUCCCCAACAAUAAUAAAAGCUCAUAAACUAUGUAAUACCUUAUAUUUACUGUUCAAAAUACAUUAAACUCAAAUAUUAAAACAAUUAGACACUUUCUUUCUUACUUCACUAAAUCAACUAUGUACAUGUCAUACUCUAUGCCAUGAAAUAUAUUUCAUACCUCUUUUUUACCAAGCCUUGAUAAUGUGAUGAGAUGUGCUGAGGUCACUAAUUCAAAUGAGAACUUCAAUUUGAUCCUUCAACUACACAUUGAAAAAUAACUUGUUAAGCUCGUGAAAGUUUAGUAAGUACCCAUGAAUUUAGAACUUACCAUUUCUUUUAUUUUUAUUUAUUAUAAACAUUAUUACUAUUAUAAUUCAUGAAUAUAUCUUAAUAUUCAAUAGGUUAUUGCAUAUUUAAAAAAUUCAAUAAUACUUUGAUUUACAAAUUUCAUCAUUUCACAGAUUAAUAGGAACGAAACUUUUAUAAACAAAUCACUUACCAAAGCUUUUUUAGCCCAUGUUAGACACAUUUGAAUGAGAUGGGUACACAGAACAUAUCCCAAUACACGGAGUACAUAAGUGUUGGAAAUACAGGCACCGAAGUGUGAUAUCACGAAUAACACAGGAGCACUCAAGUUCUUUUGACAUGCUAUCUAUAUCUACGAAGUUCAACACUAGUCCACAUGGGCACUUGAAUACCACUGAAUUUAAAAUGAUUAAUCAUGAAUACUUUAUUCCACGAUUUUUACGAUUUAUUACACUUUCACAUUUCUUUCACCCUAGUUUAUUAUUUAAUAUUACACGAACAUGUAAUUUCAAACAUCAAAAUUUUCAAGAGCAUUUGAUCUAUACUUCCAUUCCAUGGCUAACCACGAUCUUUAUUCAUACCAAUAUUUAUUUCAUGAUUUUCACAAUUUAGCUACACUUUUGCACUUCUUCAAUUCAGUCCUUAUUUUUCCAUGAUUUAAAGAAUAAUUGUAAUUUCAUUUGUAAUAAUAACAGAACUUUAUUUAGUAAAUUCUUAAUUCAAAAUGCAUCUUAUGUUUCAUGUUCUCUACAAAAUUUUCAGUUAUCAAAUAAAAACACGUAAAAAUUUUACAUACUUUUCAAUUUAGUCCUUUUUAAUUGCUACACCCCGAUUUAUAGUUAUAUGUUGUUAGCAUUUUAACAAGAAUGAGUUAUUGGUUUGAUGGUUAAACGUUAGUUAAUUUAUCUUUAGGACCCAAGUUUGAAUCCAUCCCUAAGAAAAAAAUUCUUUUAUUUUCACCAUUCCUUCUUUCUAAACCAUAAUGUUGCCCUUGUAUUCUUAAAACUCCAGUAUUUAACAUAUUUUUCUCAGUUUGUGUUCACAUUGCCACCUUUUUCCAAAAUCCCUAAAAUCAUUUUCUCUCCAUCUUUUCUUUCCUCCUCUUUGUGUCAUCCAUCUCAUUUGUCCCUCUCAAUUUUACUUCUUUCUUUUGGCUUAUGUCGUCACCCCCUACCACCGUCGUUGCCUUCCUCACCACUUUGCAUUGUCGAUGCUGCCCAUUUGCUCCAUUUUCUCUUGUCGCCAUCUAUAUCUUCUCCUUCCCUCUCUUUUCUAUUAUUUUCUUUCUUCACUUCCUUCCUCCAUUGCGUUGUACCUAUUAUUUCACCCCCACCCCUUUCUUUUCAUUUUCCCCUUGCACCACCACUCCUUCACCAUAAUCACUGCAUCGCCGCCGCCAUUUAUGUAACAGCUCGAUUUUGGGCCUAGUCUAAAUAGUGGUUCGGGACCACAAAUUUAGAGUCAUAUAAAUCAUUUUAUUAUUAUUUUGGUUUUAUAUCAUGAUUAUAUGAGUGCAUGAAAAUUUUGGUAAAUUAAUUUUAGCGAUUGUGAGCUCAAUUACAAAAAAGGACUAAAUCGCAUAAAGUGCAAAAGUUUUGUUUUACUAGUUAUAUGUGUUAAAUAGAUAGAGAACCAUAAUUUGAGGUAUUUAAAGUGCAAUUAGACCCUUUUAAAAGAGGUGACCGGCCAUAGGGGACAAAGAGUGUCAUGUUGACUAGGUUAGGUGGACAUUUGGUGACUUAUUUGACUAAAAUAAAAAUAAAGAAAAGAGGGGCUAUAGUAUCAUCUUCUCCACCGAUUUUUUUAAGCAAAUAAGGGGGUUUAGAGAGCUAAAAAUAUCAUCCAUUUGUAUCUCUUGCAAGUAAGUCAUUUAGAAGGUUAUUCUUGAUGAUUUUUGUUUUUAUGGACCCCUUGUAGCAUGAGCUUUCUAAUAAGAGGACUAUUUUGCAAAAUGGAUGAAAUUAUAGGGUUUUUACAUGAAAUAAUUUAUGUUGUUAGCUGAAAUUUUAUGGAAAAAAAAUGAAUCUUGGUUGUUAAAUAAACAACUUUUGUGAAAGGGGUUUCAUGAAAACACCUAAAUGGGCUAGUUUGUAAAGUUUGUAAAAUAGGUGGUAAUUGUGUGAAAUGUUUGAAAUUGUGAGUUGAUAUAGAUGUAAAAAGAGUUCGGUUAGGCUUGGUUAAUGAGGAAACUCGAUAAAAAUUGAUUUACGAGCAUGAGGGCAAAAUCAUAAUUUUCACAAAGUCUAAGGGAAAAAAGGUCAUUUUGCCGAAUUGUGAAUUGUAAAAUGUUUUUAUUAAUGUAAUGACUAAAUGACUGAAAUUUUAUUAUUAAAGAUCAACAAAUAUGCAAUCUGGACCUAGACAGGGGAAAAGCCAAGUAGGCGGAUUAAAUACAAUUAGUCGUCUACAUUUUGUGUCCCGAGGUAAGUUGUACGUAAAUAAUGUAAGUUAUUUGUAUUUAUGUAUUGUACAAUUAAUAUGGCAUAAAUUGUGUACUAUUUUUGAGAAUGUGCAUGAUAAGAAUUGAUGUAGUAGAGACUCCCGGUUGAACCUUAGGAAUAAUUUGGAUAUCCAUACCAUGACAUUUGGGUGAUGUGUGUGCUAGUGUAAGACUUGUCUGGGAUAUGGCAUCAGCAUCGAUAGAUAAGAGCCAGUGUAAGACCUGUCUGGGACAUAGUAUCGGCCUCAAGAUAUGCAAGCUAGUGUAAGACCUGUCUGGGACAUGGCAUCGACACAGAUAAGUGAAAGCCAGUGUAAAACCUGUCUGGGACAUGGCAUCGACUUAAAUGUGAGAGCCAAAGUAAGACCAUGUUUGGAACAUGGCGUCGGCAUUGUACCCUAUGUUUGAGACUUAGUGAUUAUCCUGUAGUAUUCCAAAUGGUUCAACAAGAAAUUUACGGUUUAUGUCAAAAUGAUAGAGCUUAUGACCAUGUUGUGAGUGGUACAAGUACUUAUAUGAAAUUGAUGAAAUGUGAAAUCUAUUCUUAUUGUAUGAAUAGUGAAGAAUAAACAUAAGUAAGUCGUGUUAUGAACAUUUACUCUUUUGUGCGAGUUAUGAUAUGUUGGGAGUAUGAUCACAUGUGGUAACAUGGUUGUUAUUUCAAUAUUUACAUGCAACUUACUAAGCUUUGUGCUUACCCUUUUUCCUUUCCAUUUUCUUGUAGUGCCGCCAAAUUAGCCCGUGGAUCAAAGAACAUUGGAGGCAUCGCUCACACUAUGACUCGAAGCUUUUGGUAUAGUUAGAUUUAUUAUCUUGAGUAUGGCGUGUAUAGGGAUUGAGUCUUUUUGUUAUGUUUCAUAUUGUUAAGUUAGCCAAUUAUGUUGGCUUAGGACGAAAACCUUUUUUUUAUAAGGCCAUGAUUAGUGGUUAAUAUUCAUUAUUGAUAAUUGCAAAUAAUAAUGCUUCCCUGGAUGAACAAAAUGUAUGAAUGAUCAAAUGCAUGUUUGGUUUGUUAGAGUGUCAUGAGGUUUGCAUUUGAAUGUUAUGUUGUGGUUGAUUUAGUCUUAUAUUACUGUGUGGAUUGGAGAUAUUUGUUGUUGUGCAGGUUGGUACAAGUAAGGGUGGCAAAAAGGCUUGGUAGAUAGCUUUAUUUUUGUCCACACGGAUAGACACACGGAUAUGUGUCUAGGCCGUGUGCCACACACGGUCAGCCCCAUAAGCAUGUUUUCCGGCCGUCUGUCCCCUGCACCUUAAAAUUUCAAGUUAGUAUGCAUGGUAGUAAACACACGGGCAGAGACACGACCGUGUGCCUCUGCCGUGUGGAAGACAUAGCCUCUGGGCAUGGGCAUUAUGCCCAGGCCGUGUGAAGUCUACACCUUAAAUGUGGAAUUAAAUUCACCACACGGCCUAGCAUACAGGAGUGUGCCUUGGCCGUGUGCCCCUAAAUGGUUGCUGACGUCAGAAACAGAAUGUUAAGGUUUUUGGACAUGGGUUAAGACAUGGGCAUGUCAUGGCCGUGUAAGGGACAUGGGCCAUGGACACUAGCGUGUGCCAGGUUGUAUGAAAACCCUUGUAGGCUCAAAUUAGGAAUUAAUACCACACGGGUUAAGGACACGAGCGUGUCCCGAUGUGUUUAGGCCAUGUGAACUGCACGGGCCUUCAACACAGUCGUGUCAAGAAGGCCACAUGGGCGUGUGCCCCCGUUUCAAGAGUUAUUUUCCAGAGUUCUUUAAAGGACCCGGUUUGGUUUCGCAUCGUCCUUAAAGCUUAUUUUGGGCCUCGUAGGCCCAUAAUAAGGAAUUCUAGACAUGGUUUGAAAAGUUUAAAAUUUUCCUCAAGUUUUAUAAUUUGUAAAUGUUGCAAUACAUGUAUUUAUGUUUAGUAAUGCCUCGUACUCAGUCCCAGCCUCAGACUCGGGUAAGGGGUGUUACAAUUUAUUUCUUCUACUUUCCCUUCUAUUUCAUUUUGUUCCUUAUAGUCGAAUCUCCUAUUGUUUUUCUUUACUCUAUUUCUUUUCAUCUUUCUUGCUCCACCAGUGCUGAAUCAUCAUUACUAUGUGCGGAUCUAUCAAUUUAUAUCUAUAAGAUGGUGUUGUGUAAGUGUUUAUUCCAGAUCUCUAUUUUCAGAUGUAUAAUAUGUGUGUUAACAUCCUUUUUUUGAUUUAUCAUUCAGAUCUCACUAUUUUUCUUCUCAAAUUUUUAAGGCUAAUUUUAACAGUGUGUUUUAUGUGUGCUUCUUAUUAAGGUAUGAAUUUUGAAGGAGAUCAUUUUAGAUCUAAACUGUAGAAGCAUUGACAUGUCAGAUCUGUAGAUCAAUGAAAGAGUAUCUCUAAAAAUCUGAUCUAGUUUUUAGAUCACAUUUUCUAACUUGUUCGAACCUAUUAAUGGUGUUAGCUGAAUUUAAUGUGAUGAUUUUUGUGCAUUAUUGUUCUUUCACGGUUCAGAUUUGGAUGAGAUCUAAUCAGAUUUUUUCUAUGGAGUGCUUCAGUUUAGAUCUAAUGCCGAGUGGACGUGCUGACUAAGAUGUGUGCCUGACCUUGAAUGAUCUUUGUUUAAAUGAUGUGUGUUGAAUUAUUGUGAAAUUGACUGAAUAGUAUUAUGAUAUCACAGUGAUUGCUAAAUGUGCCAAUACGAUUUUCGAAGUGGGCGGAACAUAAGUAUCCCUAACUAUGACUUCUGUAACGAUUGAAAAUUGUGUAUGUUGUUACUACAUGAUUUGUUCCGACUCGUAUGUUUUGUGACUAUAUGGCAUCAAUCUGUUAUUGUCAUUCUUGACUCAUGAAAAGCCACGAUGACUAUUAUUUCCUUACUAAAUGCAAGAAAAAUCAUGCCUAUUGUUUCUAUUAAAAUUGAUUGUAUGUCAAAACAUGCCUAUUGUAUUGAUUUUAUUCUGAUAUGCCAUAUCACAUUGCAUGGGGUUGGGACGAAUAUGAAAGGAGAAAGUUCUAGCAGUAUAUCUGCAUAUAUGGUGGUUUAUCCAUAUAAUUCGAGCAGUUUAUCUACAAUUACUGGUGGCUUGUCGACAAUAGUUCUGGGGAACUCUUACUGUGGUUUGUAGUGGAUGUUAGGUAGGAACCUUUCUGAAUUAUGAAAAUAUUGCAUUUCCAUACAUGAACAUGCAUUUAUUCACUGAAAUAUGUGAUUCUAUAUUAUUAUGAAAUUUUGAAUAUCGCUUGUCUUGAAUGCCAUAUCUUAUUUAUUGAUUCUGAUCUCUUGAGUUACGACGCACGUUGAGCUUUGUACGCUCACCCUCUUAAUUUACUUUCUUACAGAUAACCAGUGAGGUUAGUAUUUGGAUUUAGCAAUUGGAUCACCAUCUCAGAUAUUUUCAAUGAAAAGUAUUUUAACUUAAUUUAUGUUUUUUCAUAUUUGGGACUGUAAUAAUUUUAUUUGGACUGUGGCAUAGGUUUGGAUUUGGUUUAUUUUGGCUUGUAUGACAUUAUAAUUUUAGUUUGGUUAAAUUUAGUAAUUAGAUUUAUGCAUGAAAUGUUGUUUUAAACAUUAAACUAUAAUAACCAUUUUUCCACUGCAAUAUUGGAAAUGAGCUUUGGAAAGAAAAUAAAAUUAAAAAUCAACCUAGUUUUUCAAAAUAAUUAAACUUUGCAAAUUAAAAAUUGAAUUCAAUCAGCUUUUGAAACUAAUAAGUUUUUCCAAAACUAAGUGAAUCACUCGAUUUUUAUUUUCUGAAAAAUACAAGAAAAUAAUUUUAAAACUAUGCUUUGAAAUCUGACGAUUUAGCUUAGCCAUAUAUUUGGUCUAUGUAACCUUCAGGAUCUAGCCAUAAUGUCUACGCCAGAUUGGGGAGGUUACAUUUGGUGGUAUCGAAGCCAUGUUCAAAACUCAGACUGUGGAUUUUUAAAUAAGUUUGCAUGUAUGUUUUAAAAAAGGAUUAUUGGGAAUCAUGCUACAAGUUUAGAAUAAUAUUUUGAAGGAAAUAAAAUCUGAGACUCUGACAUCGAUCCUAUUUAGUAACUAAUACUUCUGAAAUUGUAGACAAACACUAGAACUGCUGCUUUUGAAACUAUAGACGUAAAAUUGUAAAUUUUAGGCUGAAAACACUCAAGAAGAUAAUAAUAACUUUAUUAUUGAACUGUAGAUAAACAUAAGACUGUAGAUUCGAGAAUUCACUAUGAGCACCCGAGGUAGAUGACCCUGAGGUAGGUCAUGUCUAACUGCUCCUAUUGUGUUACCAAUAGCUUAGGACAACACUCCAAUUCUUGAGGUUGAUUAUGGUAAGGAUUCAUCUUCUAUAAGAGGUGAAAACUUUGAUAAGGAUGAUGAUGUAAUAUCCUAAUAUAUGUUCAUAGUUCUGCAACAAGUUGUUGGAGCCCAAUCAAGAACUAAGAGCCAAAUUUUUGUGAUUGAAAGGCUUUUGUCUAACAAAGUCAAAUUAUUUAAAGGUGUUGCUGGGAUGACUCUAACUUUAGCUAAAUAUUGGAUGGAGACUACCGAAAGGAUUCUGGACGAUAUGGACUAUACCUCAGAAUAGAAGUUGAAGUGUACAGUGUCAUUAUUGAGAGAAGAGGCCUACUGAUGGUGGCAGUCCGUUAUAAGAGGUACACAAACUGAGUGUCUGACUUGGGAGUACUUCUAGGAGGCUUUCUAUAAGAAGUAUGUGGCAUGAGGUAUCUGGAGGCCAGCAGGCUUGAGUUCAUUGAGCUUAAGCAAGGUGACAAUACGGUGGUCGAGUAUGAGGCCAAAUUUCUAAAGUUUAACUGGUAUGCUCAGGGUAUGGUUGCUACUGAGCAGGAUAAGUGUGUAAGGUUUGAGUAUGGGCUACGAUAUGAUUUGAAGAUUCAGGUCACUCCACAUCAUGAAAGGCUUUUCUAAACUUUAGUUGAGAAAACCAAGAUAGUUAAGGAAGUUAAGCGCUUGGAAUGAGAGAGGUGAGAAAAGACUAAGGUCAUGAUUAAGAGAGAUUUAGGUUUUCCUGGCUUAAAUUUGUGUCCCAUGAAAUGAGCCAAAGAGGGCAGGCCGCAAUAGAAUAUUGUUGCAGCUGGUAUUGGACAUACGACUCUUAAUUGUGCAUACAAGCAUCAUUCGGGAGAGUGAUAGAGGAAGCUGGGAACUUGUUUGAGGUGUUGGUCUACUAAGAACUAUAUUAAGAAUUGUCCUAGUAGGGGUGAUCAGAUGCAAGCUCUGAUUCAGAAUCAAAAUUAAAGAGCUGGACAGUUACCUUCGAGGGGUCGAGGUCAAAUUAAAGUUGGUAAUAAUGGUUAACGAGCAUCAAGUCAAGGUCCAAACAGGACUCAGGCUAGACAACCAAUUUUAGUUUAUGCAGUUAGGUGCAGAUAGGACCAAGACACAGCUAAUGUCAUUACAAGUACUUUUACAAUUCACUUUUUUCAAUACUUUACCUUGAUUAAUAUUGGAUCUACCCAUUCGUAUGCUGCUUGGGUAGAGGAAACUGUUAGUGAUGUAAUUAUAGUCAAUCAUAUAGGACAAUUUGUGAUUGUAAAUAAGAUCUAUAAAUGAUGUCUUUUGGAAGUCCAAGGUGAAAGGUUUUUGACCAAUUUGACGGAGUUACCUUCCAGAGAAUUUGACCUAAUUUUGGGAAUGGACUGGUUGGUUGAACACCAAGUUAAUCUUGAUUGUGCUGUUAAGAGGGUCACUUUAAAGAUAGUUGGUGGCAAGGAGAUUGUGAUGGUUGUUGAGCGUAGAGAUUACUUGUCUAAUGUGACAUCUGCUAUGUUUGCAGAAAGAUUGAUUCGAAAAGGGUAUGAGGCAUAUCUGGCUUAUGUUUCAGACACAAGUUCUAAUGGUUUAGCUAUGGACAGUAUUCGAAUUGUUAAGGAGUUUUCAGAUGUUUUUCUCGAGGAACUACCGAAAUACCAUUUAAUUGUGAUGUCAAAUUUGGGAUUGAACUGAUUAUCAGAACUGCUCUAGUGUCCAUUGCUCCCUAUCAAAUGGCACCUAAGGAGUAUAAGAAACUUAAGGUUCAAAUUUAGGAUCUUUUAGAUCGAUGGUGUUUCACCUUAGGGAGCUCCAGUUUUGUUUGUAAAGAAGAAAGACGGUACUAUGAGGUUGUCUAUUAAUUACCGAUAGUUGAACAAGCUUAUUAUUAAAAACAAGUAUCCUCUGCCAAGGACUGAUGACUUGUUCGAUCAGUUCUGAGGUGCAACUGUGUUUUCCAAUAUUGAUCUAAGUUUGGGUUAUUAUCAGCUCAAGGUGAAGAAGUCCAAUGUUCCCAUGACCACAUUCAAGACUCGUUAUGGCCAUUACGAGUUCCUAGUAAUGGCUUUUAGUCUAACUAAUACCCCUGUUUCAUUCAUGGACUUGAUGAAUAGGGUGUUUCAACCAUUUUUAGAUCAGUUUGUAUUUGUGUUCAUCGACAACAUUUUGUUUAACUUAAAAACUGAGACUGAUCAUGAUUAGCAUUUGAGGGUUGUUGAAUAGAUUCUCUAAGAGAAGAAGCUCUAUGCUAAGUUGAGUAAGUGUGAGUUGGCUUAGAAAAGUUAUGUUUCUAGGUCAUGUGUUAUCUGUAACAUCUCGACUGGUGAAGCCCUAGUAUUCAAUUGUUGUUUUAAAAGUAAGAAUUUUUUUUGAAUAAUUCUGAAUAAGUGACAGAUUUAUUUAAGAAAUAGAAGUUCACGAGUACGCUCUUGGGUGAAGUCUUGAAAGUUGAAAUAUAGCCAAUAAGAGUAAAGCUUAAAAGGAUAGUUUUAAGUUGUCCAAUGAUUGGAUUGGAUUAAGCAUAAGUUACUUUUUGAACGUGUUUAUAACACCUUAGUCUGGUGUAUUAUGGAGGUGCGAAACUUAUGGUUAAGUUAAGUACAAUGUUUCGAAGAAUAAUGGUAAGUGUAUAAGUCUCUGAAUUGGGCGUAUAGUUAUAUAGAAAAACAAUAAGUGAAAAAGUGUUAGCCCAAAUAAGCCCAUCUUGACGUAUUGAGUAGGCUAACUAAGAUGUUAUGUUUAUAAGGUCAUCUGUAAUAGGAUCCCUUAAGGGAUCAUUGGAGGAAUGACUGACUAAAUAGUAAUCGUCGCCCAAAUGCAUUCCUGGCGUAUAGGAUGGACGGACACUGAUAUUGAAAUAAGUAUACAAGGAUUCCUAUUUAGUUUAGGAUGAUAAGUGAAAUGAAAGUGAUGAUUAUGAAGAGAAUGGUUAUGAGGUAUGAAGCCACGCCAGAAUGCAUAGUACCUCCAGUGACCAAUGAGGUUCUGUACUAGUUGAUUUAAAGGAAAGCUAGUUGGGAACUAACCAAAUGUGAAUUAGAAGAGUCAAAGGCUGAAGGAGUAUCAAGUAAGUCUCCUAGACGUGGCAGAUUUUAAUAGGCCACUUAAUCUUGAAGUGGCCUUUAUCAAUUCCCUAUGAAAACUUGAGUUAAGUAAAAUGACAACUGAGUUAAGUUAAGGGGGUUAUCUUCUUUUUUAAAGAGGAGAGCCAUGAAUGGAUGAAAGCUGCCUCCCAAAAUAUGAGACUGGAACCCCUAUUUUUGCUAGUAAUUUCCCUUGCAACAAGGUACAUUUCAUGACUUUGUCUACUAAGGAAACGCAGAUUUAUAAGUAUACUUGAGGAAAUAAGGCUUAAUGAUACGUUUGAGUUAAAGUAGAGGUAAAAGGUUACUCAAAUGAGCUUUAAAAAGUGUCUAUGUUUGCUGAGGCGAGAAAGACAUAGUAUCUGGUUGAUUGAAGAAUCUGGAGCUCAAGCGAUCGAUUUCAAGAAAAAAAAGGCUAGAUCUAAAGUCUAAAUUGCCUUUGAGGUUAUAAGGUGAGUCUUCAAGCUGACUCUAGUAAAUUAUUAUGCAUGUUAGAACCUUCUAUGAAAAUAUGCUAAGAAAUUCAUGAUGUGAUCAUUCUGUGAGAAAUGCAUGCCUGAUGAACUUGCAUGAAUGAUUUGCAUGGAAUAUGGAUAUGAUUUCUGAAGAUAAUAUGUUUGAAUGAGUAAAGUGUGUAUAUGUGUGUUUUGAUGAUAUGAACAAGUCUGUUGUGAAUAAGUCUGUCAAGUAUGAGUUUGCAUGAAGAGUUUGUGCCUAUCUCUAAAGUUGUAUAAAGGGGUUCGUCGGGACUAAAAACAUGAAUCUCUAAAAGGAAAAGUCCAUGACAUUCUAAACACCAUAUAGUGUAAGACCCUGGUUGGGUUAGGACAUUUUAUGGAUUAUGUAAAGGAUGGUUGGGUGAGUACCAACAAUGAGGGGCAAACCUCACGAAGGUGAGUUUAGGCGAAUCACUAUCGUUAAAAACACCAAUUUUCGUAUCAGUGAGCCUUUUUGGCUAUCUCUAUUUUAAGGAAACCUUUGUGGCGAUCUAUGUUAAACGGAUGCAUUUGUUGGCUAUCUAUAAAUGGACCCUUUGUUGUUAUCUUUGAAAGGAAGCCUUUGUGGCGAUCUCUGUUAUAAGGAAGCAUUUGUGGAUAUUUUUGAAUGAAUAUCUUGUGGCAAACUCUAUUAAAAGGACGCCUUUGUGGCAAGACUCUGAAAGGAAAGUCCCUAUAGUUAUUUUUGGAUUUCAUGGAGGAAAUAUAAAGAACAGAUAUCAUGGUGACCAUCUAAAGAACAACGCCUUUGGGCAGACACUGGAUAGUGAACCACGUAUAGUUACAAAGGAUGAAUAGAAAGGCUAGUGCGUGACAGAGUACGUGGCGAGGCACAGAUAUGGGUUAAAAGUAAGAAUACAUAGUGCACUAAAGUAAAGAAGAUAUGGUCAAAUUCUAAUAUAAGUAUUGGGUGCAAUCUACCCUGCUCAUAGGUAUGAUAAGACUAGUGAUUAUGAAAUAAGUUAUUAAGUUUGAUAAUAAGGUAAGUGAAGAGGUUAAGGGUUAUGUAAAGAUAAGAGUUAAGAAAGGAUACAGAAGAUAAAGCGGUUUUAAGUAUAGUACACACAAGGAAGGAAAAUGGUUAUGAAGAAAGAAUAAAGAUGGUAGCCUCAGUAUUGUACCUGCCAAAGAAGGUAGAAAGGUCAAGAAACACUCCAAGGAUGUGCGAAAAAACAUAUGCAAUGUAGAAUGAAUGAAAAAGGUAUCUUGAGGUUUAGUUCACCAAGUUCUUACGAACUUACAAAAGUUAUUUCUAUUUUCAAGUCUGUAAAGAAAUGUACACUAAGAAACGAUGUCAGGGCUACGCCAAGGAAGCGGUGCAUUGGGCUGUUAUACAUACAGAGAAAUCAAGUGGCGUGUCAAAGUCUACGCCUAGAUAAAUAAGUAGAAUCCCAAAGCAUAUCCAGUAGACGAAAAGAUAAAGUACGAAAGUCUAAAAUCUUAUUGAGCCAAAACAAUAACUAUACUUUGUAUUUUUACAAUAAAAUCUAUAAUAGCCAUAGAUAGUCAAUUAUACACAGGUGAAAUGUAAGUGUAACCAUAUAAUGUAUGCCUAUAAGAAUUUUUGUUACAUAAAGAUAGACGUUUACGUUAAUGACUAAGAAAGAAAAGUUUCAAGUUACAUUUGUAUAAGGCGUGACAUCUAAGAUUCGGAUCUAGUAGAUCGAGUAGGGUCAAGUUUAGGGCGUUAAAAUAUCUAUUGAAGGUAUCCAUGGAGAUUCGAAGAAAACAAAGGCUAUUCUGGAAUGGAAACAGCCUAAAAACAUUUCUGUGAUCCAAAGGUUCUUGAGUUUAGCUAGUUAUUAUCAGAGGUUUGUUGAAGGGCUUUCUCUUAUUGUUGCCCCCUUUGACUAAGUUGCUUAAGAAGAAUAUUUUAUUCAAGUGGACUAUUGAUCAACAAGCAAGUUUUGAAAAGCUUAAGUCAGUGUUGACUCGAGCAUCAAUUUUGAUUUAGCCCGAAUCUGAGAAAGAUUAUGUGGUGUAUAGUGCUGCAUCUAAUAUCGGUCUUGGUUGGGUACUGAUGCAAGACAACAAGGUUGUAGCUUAUACAUCAAGACAACUUAAAUCGCAUAAGUGCAACUAUCCAACUCAUGAUCUGGAAUUGGCAGUUGUAGUAUUUGCACUAAAGAUUUGGAGGCACUACCUAUAUGGUGAGAUGUGUAUCAUUUACAUGGAUCACAAAAGUCUUAAGUAUCUUCUCUCCCAAAAAGAGUUGAACUUAAGGCAGUAGAGGUGGAUUGAGUUGAUUAAGGAUUUUAACUGUACCAUCGAGUAUCAUCCUGGGAAAUCCAAUGUUGUGGAAAAUGCUCUGAAUAGAAGAUUGAUGACUGACCUGAGGGAAAUGUUUGCAAGACUAAGUUUGUGUGAGGAUGGUGGCUUACUAGAAGAGUUACAAGUUAAUCCUACUUUGGUUGAUGAGAUUAAGGAUAAGUAGCCUUUAGUUGUGUCUUUUUUGUAUCGGGUUAAACAGGUUGAGAAAGGUAAGACUGUAGAUUUUAGUUCAAUUCAAAUGAUAUUCUGUGCUUUUGAGGAAGAUAUUAUGUGUUGAAUGAUAAGGAUCUAAAACAGCCUAUUCUUCGGAAAGUACAUAGUAUUCCUUAUGCUAUGUAUCUUGAAAGAAAUAAGAUGUAUCGUGAUCUAAGAGAACUAUAUUGGUGGCCUGAUCUACAAUAAGAGGUGACAGAUUAUGUGGCUAAGUGUCUGACGUACCUGCAAGUGAAAGCUAAGCACCAAUUUCCUUCUAGUCUAUUGUAGCCUAUUAGGAUUACUUAGUGGAAGUGGGAACGAGUCACUAUGGACUUUGUUAGUGGGUUACCCUUGACACCUACUAAGAAAGAUGUCUCCUAGAUAAUUAGGGAUUGGUUGACUAAGUCGGCUCACUUUCUGCUCUGGUUCGUACAGGUUACUCUCUACAGAAGCUAGUUAGAUUGUAUAUCUCUAAGAUUGUGAGACUACAUGGGGUGCUUGUAUCGACUAUUUCUUCUUGGGAUUCCCAUUUUACAUCUCUAUUUUGGAAGAAGUUACAUGAGGCACUUGGUACUCGAUUGGGCAUCAGUAUAGCAUACCAUCCACAAACUGAUGGAUAAUCAAAGAAGAUUAUUCAAAUUUUGGGGGAUAUGCUAAAGAGUUGUGUUAUGGGCUUCAUAGGUAGUUAGGACGAGAACUUGCCUUUGGUCGAGUUCACGUAUAAUAACAGCUUUUUAGUCAAGCAUACAAAUGGCACCUUACGAGGCUUUGUAUGGUCAUAAGUGUUGGACACAUUUGUGUUGGACUGGAUUAGGUGAAAAGAAGAUUUUGGGUUUAGAACUGGUUCAGGAAAGUAAGGGUAAAGUUAAACUAAUUCAAGACCAAUAGAAAGUGGCUUCGGAUAGAAAUAAGUAAUGGCUAAAUGUGCCAAUACGAUUUCCAGAGUGGACCGAACGUAAGUAUCCCUAACUAUGACUUUUUUGAUGACUGAAAAUUGUGUAUGCUAUUACUAUAUGAUUUGUUUUGACUCACAUGUUUUGUGACACUAUGGCAUAAAUCUGUUAUGUUAUACUAGACUCAUGAAAAUACAUUAUUACUGUUAUUGUCAUACUGAAUGCAUGAAAAAUCAUACCUGCUAUUUUUGUUAAAACUGAUCACAUGUCAAAACAUGCCUACUGUACUGAUUUUGUUCUAAUAUGCCAUAUCACAUUGCACAGGGUUGGGACGAAUAUGAAAGGAGGUAGUUAUGGUAGUAUAUCUAAAUAUCUGGUGGUUUAUCCACAUAAUUCUAGUAGUUUAUCUACAAUUUCUGGUGGCUUGUCCACAAUGUUGUGUGUAGGGAUGGAUGAAUUAUGGGGAACUCUUACUGUGGUGUGUAGCAGAUGUUAGGUAGGAUCCUUUCUGAAUUCUAAAUAUUGCAUUGCCAUACAUGAACAUGCAUUUAUUCACUGAACUCUGUGAUUUUGUAUUAUUAUGAAAUUUUGAAUAUCAGUUGUCUUGAAUGCUAUAUCUUAUUUUUUGAUUUUGAUCUCUUGAGUUAUGACUCAUAUUAAACUUUGUAAGCUCACCCUCUUAAUUUACUUUCUUACAAAAAACUAGUGAGGUUAGGAUUCGGAUUAAACAAUAGAAUGACCAUAUAAAAUAUUUUCAAUGAAAAGUAUUUUAACUUAAUUUAUUUUUUUUAAUUGUAAUAAUUUUAUUUGGGCCAUGACAUGGGUUUGGAUUUGGUUUAUUUUGGUUUGCAUGACAUUAGAACUUUACUGGUUAAAUUUAAUAAUUAGAUUUAUGCAUGAAAUAUAGUUUUAAACAUUAAACUAUAAUGACCAUUUUUCCGCUGCAAUAUUGGAAAUGAUUUUAGGAAAGUAAAUAAAAUUAGAAAUCAACAUGGUUUUUCAAAAUAAUUAAACUUUACAAAUUAAAUAUUGAAUUCAAUAAGCUUUUGAAACUAAUAAGUUUUUAUAAAACUAAGUGAAUCGCUCGAUUUUAUUUUUCCAGAGAAGACAAGCAAAUAAUUUUAAAAGUACAUUUUCAAAUCUGGCGAUUUAGUUUGGCCAUCUAUUUGGUUUAUGUAACCUUCAGGACUUGGUCAUAACAUCUAGGCUGGGUUGGGAAGGUUACAUUAACACGUAAUUCAAUAUUCACCAGCACAUAGCACUUCAAUUCAUUAAUUCAUCAUAAUAUCUUAUUCCACGUGUCUAGUUUAUAUGCUCUUCACUUUUCUUAUUUCAAUAUAAUCACCAAGUUAUGAUUUAGUCCUUAGCAUUAUGAACAUACUGUAACACCCAUAACCCAUAUCCGUCACUGGAACAGGGUUAUGGAGUACUAUCGGAGUUUACAGAUCAAAUAUAAUUAAAUUGUAUCAUUUACUAUUCAUGUCUGAAAUCAUACAUAAUCAAUCAUAUUAUCCUUUAAAUGGAUCCUCGAGGCCCAAUUUAUGCAAUAGAAACAAGUUGGGACCAAAUUGAGAACUCAGAUAAUUUUUCGCCAAAUUUCACAAUUUUUCUUAGGUGCAAAGGACACACGCCCACAUGGCAAGGCCGUGUGACUCACACAACCAAGUGACAUACCCGUGUCUCAGGCCAUGUGGGCAUUCGAUGUGAGGUACACGACUGUGUCCUAGCCCAUGUCCAUACCCGUGUAACUCUUGACCUAGGUCACACAGCCAACCACAUGCUCGUGUGUUAGGCUGUGUGAAUAAAUUAAAUUUUCAAUAAUUAAGUGUAGGGGUUACACGACCAAGUUACACGCCUAUGUGCUAAGCCGUGUGACACACACAGUUGAGACACAUGCCCAUGUCUCUGUCCGUGUGAGCAAUUCGAUGCAUCCUGUUUCUCAAAUUUAAGAUGUAAGGGACACACGGCCAAACCCCAUGCCCGUGUGCAUGGCCGUGUGUCACACACGAUUGAGACACAUGCCCGUGUCUCUACUCGUGUGGACAAAAUAGGUCACUUUUCUCACGCAAAUUGUCUUUCACCUACAACAUCAUUUAAGCACAUUCACAAGGCAAUUCAAAACUCUCAAACCAAGUCAAUACCUAAGUCUUUUACAAGAAAUAUCAUCACAUUUGUCCAAGUACCGGUUUUACCUAAUUGACUAUAUAAACAUAUAUGUAUGUAUUUUACCAAAUCUUGAAAACUCUUAGCAUACUUAUAUAACUUCCAUCAUUUAACCAUUUCAAUACACAAAACAAACAUGAUAAGGCCUUAUAUAUUUACAUCAAAAUAUGUCAAACACUAGCCGUUACAAUGGCUAGUUACAACUGUAACACCCCUUACCAGUAUUCGAUGCCGGAACAGGGUAUGAGGCAUUACCAGACUCAAACAUAAGCAAUCAUAUAAAACCGAGACAUAAAUCUCCAUCUAAUUUAAAACCUUUCACAUACAUUCCUAUCAUCCCUAUAAUGGGCCCACAAGUCCAAAACACGCAUCGGGAGUGGUUCGGGGCUAAACAGUAAAAUUUGGAAAAAUUUUCAUUAAACAGGGUCACACGCCCAUGUGGAAACAAGGACAUGCCCUUGUGCCCUUGACACACCCGUGUCACCAGGCUGUGUAACUCUCUGUUUAUGACAUCAGCAUCCAUUUAAGAUCACACGGCCAAGUCACAUGCAAGUGUGCUAGGCCGUGUGGUAAAUUUAAUUUACCCAUUUAAGGUGCAGACUUCACACGGCCUUAGCACACGCCCAUGUCCUAAGGCUAUGUCCUCUACAGGGCUGAGACACAUGGCCCUGUCUCUGCUUGUGUGUUUACUACCAUGCAUACUGACUUGAACAAUUUUGGUGCAGGGGAUACACGGUCGGACAACACUCCAAUGGGGCUCACCGUGUGUCAUACACGGCCUAGACACACGCCCGUGCAUCUACCCGGGUGGACAACUUUGAGGCUAUUUUCCAAUCCUUCUUGUCACCCUCAACAACCCAUACACACACUCCUGUGACAAUGGUGAUUAUCAUGGCAUAAAUGAACUACUUAGACAUCCAUAGCUUUAACUCAUGCAUGAUAAAUUUAUGUCAAGUAUACAUAAUUGGGACUCCAUGACUUGUUAAGUUCAUUCAAUCCAUCUCUUUGCCUUUAUUCAUAUUAUGAUCAUGCCAAUUAACACCCUUUAUCCAUCAAGCAUAAAUUCCACAUUUUAUCAUCCAUUGUUAACAACCAUUUUGUCACACACCACAAGAAUAAUAACACAUUUCAUGCAUGUAUCAAUAUUUAGGGAUUUCAACCCCAUAAUCAAUAUGAGCCAUAUUUCUUGGCCAUAUACAAAAUAGAAUAAUAUACCAAAAUGAGCCAUCACUUUGGCUAACAAUUAUGACACAUAUAACAAAAUACUAAGUCCCCAAUACAUGCCAUACUUAAAUGUAUCAAGUCAAAUAUACCAUAAAAGAGUUGUUGAUAGUGUGACUCGAACUCCAACGUCCACGAUCCCCGAGCUACCUUGGCGAUGCUAGGGGUAAGCAUAUAGACUAGUAAGUCGUGCACAAAUAAUAAACAACUUAGGUCAUGAAACUCAUGGAUUACACAAACUAUCAAUUACCACCAUAUUAUUAUAUUACACAUAAUGAACGUAUUGAGAUUUGAUAAUAAAUGUAUUUGAACAUCAUGCUUAUCUUACUCUUUCAUACAGGUACCAAAUUUCCCAACAUGAAUCGAGUCCAAAACUCAUGAGGUUUACGUACAUACCUAUACCAUGCAUUAUUACUCAUUCUACCCCAAAUUUUUAAUCAUAAUCUUUAAUGGUCUGUUGAAUUACCCAAAAUACUAAAGGACUUUUAGAAUCAACACACACCAUAUAAAAUGCCAAAGCCAUGUCCCCGACAUGGUCUUACAUGGGUUUACAUACCGAUGUCAUAUCCCAGAUAUGAUCUUAAAUGAAGUCUCAUGUCAGUGCCAAUGCCAUGUCCUAGACAUGGUCUUAUAUGGGACCUCAUAUCAAUGCCAUGUCCCAGAAAUGGUCUUACACGAAAUCUCAUAUCAACGCCAUAUCCGAGAUGUGGUCUUACAUGAAAUCACAUACUGAGGCCGAUAACAUAUCCCAGAUAUGGUCUUACACUGGCACACAUAUCAAUGUCGAUGCCAUGUCCUAGACAUGGUCUUACACUAGCUCUCAUACGCUGAUGCCAUGUCCCAGGCAUGGUCUUACAUGGGAUCUCAUAAAUCAUGGUGUCAUGAUAUCCGAAUCCUAAGCAUUCCUCAGGGUCACCUGGGACUUCAAGAUAUAAAGCUAUCAUCAAAAUUUCAUUAAAUCAUCACAAGCCAAUUUCAUUAAGGUGUACAUACAUAUAUCAUAGAAUACCAAUUAUUAAACGCAUAAUAAUGGAAUUGUUGAAUUACUUACACCCUACUUACCUCAGUGCAAAAUAUGACAAUUUGCGAUUUAAUCCACAACCUUGCCUUUUCCUCGGUCAAGGUCUAUCCCUUAUCCCUCUUGAUCUAUAAUAGCACAUUUAGCUCAUUUAAUACAUGCACUAUUCAAUUCAGUCCAAAAAUCAUGAUAUGGCAAAAUUACAAUUUUACCCCUAAAAUUUCACAAAAUUAUGAAAUUGCCCCUAGGCUCGUUAAAUGAAAAGUACCCAUUUUCUCAUUAUUCAAGCCUAGCCGCAUAAUUUUCUCUCUUAUACCAACCCACAUUUUUCAUUUAUUCACUCAUUUACACAUAUUUUGUACAACUUUUACAAUUAGGUCCUUUUUAUCAACUUCACCAAUAACCACCUAGUAAAAGUUGUUUAUCACCCAUCAAACUUUCAUAUUCUUUCAUUAGACAUCAAAGCACAAGCAUAUCAUUCAUGGGUAUAUUUUUGAACAUGAACCCUAGCUCAAAUUAAGGGUAGAAAUAGCUAAAUCGAGCUAUGAGGAUUUUAAAAAUAUAAAGAAUAUUAAAAACGGGGCUCGGAUGCACUUACUUUUAAGCUUGAAGAUUAAAACAACCCUAGCUAUGGCUUCCUUAUGAUAUUCGACCAAGGGGGAUGAAGAUGAAUACAAAUUUUGACUAUUUUCCCCUUUUAAUUCUUUAAAUAAUCAAUGGACCAAAAUGCCCUUCUAUUAAAACUUUGAUAUUUUAUCUCUCCUGUGUCCAUUUUUGUCCACAAUGACAUAUAAUGGUCUAACUGCCAAAUAAGGACUUCAAAUUUCUGAUCUCAUCACAAUUAAGCCCUUAAAUCAACUAGAACACAUGUUUUUCACUUAUUGCAAUUCAGUCCUAAUAACUCAAUUGGACACCUUAUUGGUAAAAUUUUUCGUUGAUAUUUUCACACAGGCAUGCAUAUAUAUCAUGGACCUCAUAACAUUCAUAAAAUAAUUAUAUCUAUUUCAGAUUUGUGGUCUCAAAACCACUGUUCUGACUAGGCCCUAAUUUGGGAUGUUACAAUUCUCCCCCUUAGGGAUUUUCGUCCCCGAAAAUCUUACUGGUAAACAAGUGUGGGUAUUGAUUUCUCAUGGCUUCCUCGGGCCCCCAUGUAGCCUCUUCUAUCCCAUGCCUAUGCUAUAACACUUUUACUAAGGUGAUAUUCUUGUUUCUCAACUGUUUGACUUCCCGAUCCAAAAUCUUAAUCAGCUCUUCACCAUAAGUCAUGUCCGGUUGAAUCUUAACUUCUAUCGAUGAUAUCAUAUGUGAGGGGUCCGAUAUAUAACGGUGCAACAUAGACACAUGGAAUACAUCAUGGAUCUUUUCCAAUUUCGGCGGUAAAGCCAACUGAUAAGCUACUAGUCCUAUACAUUCGGUAAUCUCAUAAGGUUCUAUGAAACGAGGACUUAACUUGCCCUUCUUGCUGAAUCUCAGAACCUUUUUCCAUGGUGAUACUUUUAAAAAUACCUUAUCACCCACUUGAAACUCAAUUUUUUUCUUUUUUAAAUCUGCGUAAGACUUUUUUCUAUCUGAUGCCGCUCUCAAACAAUCUUUAAUUACUUUCACUUUGUCUUCGAUUUCCUUAACCAAGUCAACCCCGUGCAAUUUAUUUUCCUUGAGCUUUGUCCAACACAAGGGAGUUCGACACUUCCGGCCAUACAGUGCUUCAUAAAGUGCCAUUUUUAGGCUCGUCUGAAAACUGUUGUUAUAGGCAAACUAAACCAAAGGUAAGUACUUUUCCCAACUACCUUAGAAUUCUAGGACACAACAUCUCAACAUGUCUUCUGGUUUGAAUCACUCUCUCAGAUUGGCUGUCAGUUUAUGGAUGGAAAGCGGUACUAAAAUUCACUCUCGUGCCUAAGGCUUCUUGCAACCUUUUCUAAAACCGUGAGGUAAACCUCGAAUAUCUAUCCGAUAUGAUUGAUAAAGGUAUUCCAUGAAGUCUCACAAUUUUAAAAAUAUAUAACUUAGCCAAUUUAUCAAGUGAGUAGUCAGUACGUACCAGGAUAAAAUGAGCCGACUUCGUCAAUUGAUCAACUAUAACCUACACCACAUCUUUCUUGCUCGGUGUCAAAGGUAAGCCCGAUACAAAUUCCAUGGUAAUUCAGUCCCAUUUCCACUGGGGAACCAUGAUAGGCUGUAGCAAUCCUGAAGGUACAUGGUGCUCAGCUUUUACUUGUUGACUAAUUAAGAAUCUCGCAACAAAUUCGGAAAUAUCUCUUUAUAGUGUUUCACCAAUAUAUUUUCUUCAAGUCUUUGUUCAUUUUCGUACUACCGGGGUGUACUGACAAACGACCAUUGUGUGCCUUAUUCAAAAUCUUAGGAAUCAACUUGGUAUCUUUAGGAACACAAAUCCUAUCUCGGAACAUCAAGCAACCAUCGGAAUCAACCCAAAAAUCAUAUUCAGAACCCGACUCACACUGAGUUCUCUUAGCUUACAAUUUAUUAUCGUUACUCUGAGCUUCAAAAAUUUCUUAAAGAAACAUCAGCCUAGCUCUUAAAUCUGCUACAACCACACCAUCAUUUUCUAAGCAAUCCAAGCAUCCAUGGCUCUCAAAGCAAACAAGGAUUUUCUACUUAAAGCAUCGACGACCACAUUUGCCUUUCCCGGAUGGUAGUCGAUUAUUAACUCAUAAUCUUUUAUCAAAUCUAACCAUAUCCAUUGCCUAAGAUUUAAAUCCUAUUGAGUCAUCAGAUAUUUCAAACACUUGUGAUCAGUGAAUAUUCGGCAGGUCUCACCAUACAAAUGGUGUCUCAAAAUCUUUAAUGCAAAUACAAUAGCAGCUAGUUCUAAAUCAUGUGUCAGGUAAUUUUUCUCAUGUAGUUUCAGUUGUCUAGAUGCAUAGGCUAUCACUUUGCCUUAUUGCAUAAGCACACAUCCCAAACCAUUCAAUGAUGCAUCACUAAAGAUCACGAACUCCUUUCCCGGCUCAGGUUGAACUAACACUGGAGCUUCAGUCAACAAUGCUUUCAUUUUCUCAAAACUCUGUUGGCACUUCUCUGUCCAUUUGAACUUAACAUCCUUUUGUAAAAACCUCGUCAUUGGAGUGGCAAUCAUCAAACAUCCUUUAACAAACUAUCUGUAAUAGCCGGCCAAGCCUAAAAAGCUUCUGACCUCUAUCACAUUCUUCGGCAGUUUCUAGUCAACAAUAGCUAAAAUCUUACUCGGGUCAACUCUAAUAUCGUCUCCCGAAAUAAUGUGUCUCAAAAACCCAACUUCACGAAGCAAAAAUUCACUUUUACUGAACUUGGCAUACAACUUCUUGUCCCUCAAAGUCUGUAAAACAGUUCUCAAGUGCCCGGCAUGCUCUGCCUCAUCUCUUGAAUAAAUCAAAAUAUCAUCGAUGAACACCACAAGAAAUUUAUCCAAAUAAGGCCGAAAUAUUCUAUUCAUCAAAUCCAUAAACACUGUAGGAGCAUUUGUUAACCUAAAUGGUAUAUUGAGGAAUUCGUAGUGGCCAUACCUCACUCUGAAGGCAGUCUUAGGCACAUCUGAUUCUUUAACCCACAGCUGAUAGUAAUUGGACCUCAUAUAACACCCCAUACCCGUAACCCACGCCGGAGUGGAAUAUGAGGCAUUACCUAACUCGAUCUCAUGCACACAAAUGUUCCCCAAGUCACCAAGACUUGGUCCAAUUUAUAAAAUUUUCAAUUUCUACUUUAAACUUCUUAUUAUGGGCCUACGAGUCCCAAAUCGACCAUUGAAAACUAUUCGGGAUCAACCCGGGUCCUUAAACCAUUUAUAGAAAAUGUGACUUUGAAACAGGGCACACUCCUGUGUAGAAGGGAAACACGCCGUGUGGCCAUUUCACCAUGGUAGUGUUGAUGGCCCAUGUGGCUCACACGGCCUAAACAAUACAGGGACAAGCCCGUGUCCUCCAUCCAUGUGGAAUAAAUUCUAAAUGCACACCUACAUGGGUUUUCACAUGGCUUGGCACAUGCCCGUGUCCCUGGCCCGUGUCCUUCACACAGCCAUGACACGCCCAUGUUCUAGCUCGUGUGCAAAAACAUGGACAUUCUGUUUCUGACGUCAGCAUCCCCAAAAUGUCACACGGCCAAGGCAUACAACCGUGUGCUAGGCCCUAUCCAUCACACGACUGAGACACACGACUGUGUCUCUGAUCAUGUGUUUACUACCAUGUAUACUGACUUAAAAUUUUUACGUGCAGGGGACACACAGCUAGACCACAUCCCCAUAAUGCAGAUCGUGUGUCACACACGGCCUAGACACACGCCCAUGUUUCUACCCGUGUGGACGAUAUAAGGCUAUGUCCAAGCCUCUUUGCCACCCUUACUUACAUAACCUGCAUAAGAUCACUCUAUACCAAUACAAGGGCACAUCAUAUGGCCAAAACAAACACAAUAGACAACAUUUCAAUUGUGCAAAUUUACUCUUCCAUAAAAGUAACAUCUUCUACGCAAUAUCAAAAUGGAUAUUGACCAUUAUCCAUAGCUUUAUACAAAAUGAAAGGAUUUAACCCAAGCCACACAUUUGGCCAGUUCUCAAUGACACAAAAGUAGUAAAGUCUAAGCCCUACACAUGCCAUAUUCAAAAAUAUAAAUCAAACUAUACCGAAUGCUUCGAUUGAUAGUGUGUUCAAUAUAUCUGACUUCCUUUGGUCCUUGAGCUAGAUAAGCGGCACUAUAAGAAAAUGAAAAAGGAGAGGGAGUAAGCAUAAAGCUUAGUAAGUUGCAUAUAAAUAAAUAUACAACAUAACUUUACCAUUCAUCAACAAAUAUCAUAAUACACAAGUGGCAUAAGCAAAACUUACUCAUCAAUAUUCAAUAUACCUCAUAUAGCAUAUAUUAAGCUUACAUUUCAGACAUACCAUAUAGGUACCUAUACCACUCACAACACGGUUAUACUUUCCUUGUUAACUUGAAAUCAUACUUUCACCGUUGAACCAUUUGGAACAUUAUCAGAUACUCAUUUAAUCUCAAACAUGGGGUUAGGUGCCAAUGCCAUGUCCCAGACAUGGUCUUACACAAGUUCUAGUAUAUCUGUGCUGAUGCCAUGUCUCAAACAUGGUCUUACACUGACACAUCUCGUAGCCGAUGCAUGUCACAGACAUGUCUUACACUGGCUUAAGUCUCGAGGCCGAUGCAUGUCCCAUACAUGUCUUACACUAGCACUCAUCUCAAUGUCGAUGCCAUGUCCCAGAUAUGAUUUUACACUAGUUCUCAUAAUGUGGUCGAUGCAUGUCUCAGCCAUGUCUUACACUAGCUCACAACCAGUGACCUAAACAUCAUGGCAUGAAUAUCCGAUUUAUUUCCUAAGGUUCAAUCGGGAAUUCUACUAUCUCUAUUCUCAUCACAUUUUCUCAUUUCCAAAAUCAAGAAAUUUAUGCUAUAAUAAUUUCAAUACAAUUCAAAUACAUAUAUUAUUAAUGUAGUUGUACUAUUUACAUACAACUUACCUCGGAUUACAAAAUGUGGCGACUAGUCGAUUUAAUCGAUUUGCUUGGCUUUCGGAUUUGGUAUUUCUUGAUCUAUAAUUGAAAAAUGCACUUAUUUAGUCACUAAAUAAAAUUAAGCAAUCGAAAAUUCAUAUCUUUUGUAAAAUGAACAUUUUGCCCUUAGACUUUGACAAAAUGACCAUUUUACCCCUAGGCCCGAAAAUCAAUUUUUAUCGAAUUUCUUCUUAUCUUAAGCCUAACCGAACCAUUUUUACUCUUAUAGAAACUCCAAAUUCUCACUAUAUCACAUAUUUAUCAUCUAUUUUAUAACUUAUGCAAAAUAGUCCUUUUAGGUGUUUUCAUGCUAACACAUUUCACAAAAGUUGUUUAUUAAACACCCAAGACUCAUUUUCUUCCUUAAAAACUCAGCAAACAUUACAAACCCUUUCUUGGAAAAACCCUACACUCUUGAUCAUUUUGCAAAAUAGCACCUUCAUUUGAAAGCUCAUGCUUCAAGGAUCUCAAAAGUACAAAAAUAUUCAAGAAAAGCCAUUAAAAUCACUUACUUGUGAAUGCUUAAAGUUGUUGAAAUUUCGAGCUCUUAAAACCCCAUUUCUUUGCUGAAAAUUUUGGUCAAAAGAAAGGAUGGAGAAGAAAAUGAUAGCUGGGCUUUUUGCCAUUAUAAUAAUACACAUUAUGUCAUCAACAUUACCUAAUGUUGACUUUACCAUACUUUUCAUCUCUCAUGGCUGGCCAAGCUAUCACAAUAGGGUCUAAUUACCCUUUAAAGACCCCUAAUUUUUAUUCUCUAGCUAUUUUACACUUUUAGCUAUCAAAAUAGAACUUUUGCAUUUUAUGCAAUUUAGUCCUUUUUUCACAAUUGGGCUCACAAACGUCACAAUUAACUCACCAAAUUUUUCAUGCACUCUUAGAAACAUGCUAUAACAUCUAAAUAAUUAUAAAAUAAUUUAUGCAACUCCAGAUUUGUGUUCUUGAGACCACUAUUCUGACUUGGCCCUAAAUCGGGCUGUUACACCUCAGGUCUAUCUUUGAAAAUACUGUGGCUCCCUUCAAUUUAUCAAAUAGAUCAUCAAUCCUUGACAAAGGAUACUUGUUCUUUAUUAUCACCUUGUUGAGCUGUUGAUAAUCUAUAUAUAAUUUCAUCAAACCAUAUUUCUUUUUCACAAAUAAUACGAGGGCACCCCAAGGUGAAACCCUUAUCAAUCAACUCCUGUAACUGAACCUUCAACUCUUUUAAUUCUAUUAGGGCCAUCUUAUACAGAGCAAUUGAAAUAGGUGCAGUACCAGGAGUCAAAUCAAUGCCAAACUCUACUUCCCUAAUAGGAGGUAACCCCGGCAAUUCUUCCGGGAACACAUCCAGAUAUUCACAUACUACCGAUACUGACUCAAUCUUUAACUCAGACUCUUUAGUGUUCAAUAUAAAGGCAAGUUAAGCUUCGUACCCCUUUCUUACACAUUUUUGCGUAGACAUGGAAGAAAUCACUACAGGCAUGCCAUUUAAUUCAUCUGGUUCAACCUGAAGAACAUUACCAUUCUCACAUUUCAGAUCAAUAAACUUUCUUCCACAAUUCACCACCAUAUUAUGAGUGGUCAACCAAUCCAUACCAGGAAUUACAUCAAAUUCAUCAAACAGUAAUAGCAUGAGAUUAGCCGGAAAACAAUGACCUCUAAUCAUUAAAAGGCAAUUUUUACACACUUUAUCAACUAACACAUACUUGCCUAACGGGUUUGACACCUUUAUUACGAACUUAGUAGAUUCAACAAACAAUUUCAUAUCAGACACCAACUUUUGCAAAUAUACAAAUGGGUAGACCCCAAGUCAAUCAAAGCAACAACAAAAGUUUCAUAGAUAGAAAAUGUACCCGUAAUUACAUUAGGAGACGAGGCCUCUUCGCGAGCGCGAAUGGCAUAGGUCCUCGCAGGUGCCCUGCCCUCAGGUCUCAUAGCAGACUCUCUAGGUUCACCCUUACUUCUUGUUCCACUACCCGGAUUCCUCUGAGGUCUUCCCUUAUUAGCAGUGCUAUCUAACCUUGUUCCUUGGAAAUUUCCUCUUUCUGUCCUCUUGGGGCAAUCCCUAACAAAGUGAUCAGGGGAACAGCACUUAAAACAAGUUCUAUCACUCCUUCGACACUCACCGAAGUGGCGUCUCCCACAUUGGGGACAUCCUGAUCUAUCAGGUCGAGUAUUUCCAACACUAGGAAUUGAAGUGGUAUAAGCUUUCGAAACUGAGUAUUGUUUACUCCUAUUCUUCCUUGAAUACCGAGCAGAGGCAUUAGAUCAAGUAGUAAACUCUCUCGACUUCUUAGAUGAAGAUUGAAAAGAUUUUCCCAGUUGCCUUUUUCUCGAGUCUCGAGAUUUCAGAUCAUUUUUCCGAUUUUCUUUAGCCAAUUCUUCAACCUUGCAUGCUCUCUCAACCAACACAAUAAACUCUUUCAACUCAAGGAUACUGACCAACAAUCAAAUGUCAUCAUUUAACUCGUCCUCAAAUCUUUUUCACAUGAUGGUUUUAGUAGAUACACAUUCCCAAGCGCAUUUGCUAAGCCUCACAAACUCACGCUCGUACUCGGUAACUGUCAUUUUACCCAGUUUCAACUCUAGGAACUCUUUCCUCUUUUGAUUUAUAAACCUUUGACUGAUAUAAUUCUUGCGAAAUUCCUCUUGGAAAAACUCCCAAGUCACUUUCUCUCUCAACACAACCGAUACGAGGGUGUCCCACCAUUGUAGGCCGAAUCUCUUAGAAGUGAUACUACGAACUUCAUGCACUCUUCCAGUGUGCAUGACAACUCAUAAAAGACUUAGAUGGUGUUCUCGAGCCAAAAUUCUGCUCUUUAUGGAUCACUAUCAAUGUUAGCUCGGAACUCUUUAGCUCCUUGCUUUCUAAUUCGAUCAACUAGAGGCCUUUCCCUUCUCACCAUCUCAAUAACUUGGGGAGCUAUAGGGGUAGGCUGAGGAGUAUGAGGGGGUGGGGGAGGUUGAACACUCGGGUUUCUCCGAACAAACUCAGUGUACCAAUUAUUCAUCAUGUGGGGAAAGGCUUCUCUACCUCCUUUUCCUCUACUAACUAUCUCGGGUCUACUAUCAGAUCGCAUUGCUCCUUCAGUGGGAGUAGGCCCGUUACUUUUUACAUCAUCGGCAACUACUCGUUUGGGAUCCAUUUACUAUAUAAAACACAAUUUCAAUUGUCAAGAGUUGUCACACUAUCAUAAUUACAUAUGGCAUGUAUAACUAGACUUCCACACUCGCUACAUCUCCUAGAACCGACUAAACCGUAGCUCUGAUACCAAUAAAUGUAACACCCAUUACCCGUAUUCGAUGCCGGAACAGGGUACGAAGCUUUACCGGACUCAAAUAUAAGCAAUUAUAUAAAACCGAGAUAUAAAUCUCCAUCCAAUUUCAGACCUUUUACAUACAUUCUUAUCGUCCCUGUAAUGGGCCUACAAGCCCAAAACAUGCAUUGGGGGUGGUUCAGGGCUAAACUGUGAAUUUUGGAAAAAAUUUCAUUAAACAGGGUCACACACCCAUAAGCCCUUGACACCCCCGUCUCCCCAGGCCAUGUAACUCUCUGUUUAUGACGUCAGGAUCCAUUCAAGAUCACACGGCCAAGUCACACGCCCGUGUGUUAGGCCCUGUGGCAAAUUUAAUUUUCGCAUUUAAGGUGCAAACUUCACAUGGCUUUGGCACACAGCCAUGUCCUAAAGUCGUGUCCUCUAUACAGCUGAGACACACUCCCCUGUCUCUGCCCGUGUGUUUACUACCAUGCAUACUGACUUGAACAAUUUGGGUGCAAGGGACACACGGUCGGACGACACGCCCAUGAGGCUCGCAGUGUGUCACACACGGCCUAGGCACACGCCCGUGCGUCUACUCGUGUAAACAACUUUGAGGCUAUUUUCUAAGCACUCUUGUCACCCUCAACAACCCAUACACACGCUAAUGUGGCAAUGGUGAUUAUCAUGGCAUAAAUGAACUACUUAGACAUCCAUAACUUUAACUCAUGCAUGAUAAAUUUAUGUCAAGUAUACAUAAUUGGGACUCCAUGACUUGUUAGGUUCAUUCAAUCCAUCUCUUUACCUUUAUUCAUAUCAUGACCAUGCCAAUUAACACCCUUUAUCCAUCAAGCAUAAAUUCCACAUUUCAUCAUCCAUUAUUAACAACCAAUUAGGCACACACCACAAGAAUAAUAACACAUUUCAUGCAUAUAUCAAUAUUUAGGGAUUUCAACCCCAUAAUCAAUAUGGGCCAUAUUUAUUGGCCAUAUACAAAAUGGAAUAAUAUACAAAAAUGAUCCAUCACUUUGGCUAACAAUUAUGACACAAAUAAAAAAAUACUAAGUCUCCUAUACAUGCCAUACUUAAAUGUAUCAAGUCAAAUAUACCCCAAAAGAGUCGUUGAUAGUGUGACUCGAACUCCGACGUCCACGAUCCCCGAGCUACCUUGGCGAUGCUAUAAGAAAAAGGAAAAGAAAGAGGGGUAAGCAUAUAGACUAGUAAGUCGUGCACAAAUAAUAAACAACUUAGGUCAUGAAACUCAUGGAUUACACAGACUAUCAAUUACCACCACAUUAUUAUAUUACACAUAAUGAACAUAUUGAGAUUUGAUAAUAAAUGUAUUUGAACAUCAUGCUUAUCUUACUCUUUCAUACAGGUACCAAAUUUUCCAACAUGAAUCGAGUCCAAAACUCAUAAGGUUUACGUACAUACCUGUACCAUGCAUUAUUACUCAUUCUACCCCAAAUUUUUAAUCAUAAUCUUUAAUGGUCUGUUGAAUUACCCAAAAUACUAAAAGAAUUUUAGAAUCAACACACACCAUAUAAAAUGCCAAAGCCAUGUCCCCGACAUGGUCUUACAUGGGUCUACAUACCGAUGUCAUAUCCUAGAUAUGAUCUUAAAUGAAGUCUCAUGUCAGUGCCAAUGCCAUGUCCUAGACAUGGUCUUAUACGGGACCUCAUAUCGAUGCUAUGUCCCAGACAUGGUCAUACAUGAAAUCUCAUAUCAACGCCAUAUCCCAGAUAUGGUCUUACAUGAAAUAACAUACCGAACUUGAUGCUAUAUCCUAGAUAUGGUCUUACACUGGCACACAUAUCAAUGCUGAUGCCAUGUCCCAGACAUGGUCUUACACUGGCUCUCAUAUCAAUGCCGAUGCCAUGUCCCAGACAUGGUCUUACACUGGAUCUCAUAAAUCGUGGUGUCAUGAUAUCCGAAUCCUAAGCAUUCCUUAAGGUCACCCGGAACUUUCGAGAUAUAAAGCUAUCAUCAAACUUUCAUUAAAUCGUCACAAGCCAAUUUCAUUAAGGCGUAUAUACAUGUAUCAUAGAAUAUCAAUUAUUAAAUGUAUAAUAAUUGAAUUGUUGAAUUACUUACACCCUACUUACCUCAGUGCAAAAUAUGACAAUUUGCGAUUUAAUCCACAACCUUGGCUUUUCCUCGGUCAACGUCCAUCCCUCGUCCCUCUUGAUCUAUAAUAGCACAUUUAGCUCAUUUAAUACACGCACUAUUCAAUUCAAUCCAAAAAUCAAGAUAUGGAAAAAUUAUAAUUUUGCCCCUAAAAUUUCACAAAAUUAUGAAAUUACCCCUAGGCUCAUAAAAUGAAAAGUACCCAUUUUCUCGUUAUUCAAGCCUAGCCGCAUAAUUUUCUCUCUUAUACUAACCCACAUUUUUCAUUUAUUCACACAUUUACACAUAUUAUUUACAACUUUCACAAUUAGGUCCUUUUUAUCCAUUUCACCAAUAACCACCUAGUAAAAGUUGUUUAUCACCCAUCAAACUUUCAUAUUCUUCCAUUAGACAUCAAAUCACAAGCAUGUCAUUCAUGGGUAUAUUUUUGAACAUGAGCCCUAGCUCAAAUUAAGGGUAGAAAUAGCUAAAUCGAGCUACGAGGAUUUUAAAAAUAUAAAGAACAUUAAAAACGGGGCUGGGAUGCACUUACUUCUAAGCUUGAAGAUGAAAGAAACCCUAGCUAUGGCUUCCUUAUGAUAUUCGGCCAAGGGGAAUGAAGAUGAACACAAAUUUUGACUACUUUUCCCUUUUAAUUCUUUUAAUAAUCAAUGGACCAAAAUUCCCUUCCAUUAAAACUUUGAUAUUUUAUCCCUCCUAUGUCCAUUUUUUUCCAUAAUGACAUAUAAUUGUCUAACUGCCAAAUAAGGACUUCAAAUUUCAAAUCUCAUCUCAAUUAAGCCCUUAAAUCAACUAGAACACAUGUUUUUCACUUAUUGCAAUUUAGUUCUAAUAACUCAAUUAGACACCUUACCGGUAAAAUUUUUCAUCGAUAUUUUCACAUAGGCAUGCAUAUAUAUCAUGGACCUCAUAACAUCUAUAAAAUAAUUAUUUUUAUCUCAAAUUUGUGGUCUCGAAACCAUUGCUCCGACUAGGCCCUAAUUCGAGAUAUUACAUUAACCAAAACAUUAUUGUGCCAACAUUGGCUAGUUAACCUAUACAUGCCAUUAUAUCUAAAAUAAAGUUUUCCAUUUUAUACCAAAAUAAGCUGAAGGAUAAUGUGAUUUUGAUUUGACCCACUUCUAACCUUUUCGAGCUUCCUAGUACUAUAAAAUAAAGAAUAUAAAACAAAGUAAGCAUUUACUGCUUAAUAAGUUCGCAUAACUGGAAAUUUAACUUGCCAUUCAUUUUUAUUAAAUAAACAUAUAAAUUGUAUCCUAACAAUUUUGGCUUAAAGCCUAAAACACACAACUUUACCAAUCAUGUUAGUCAAGUAAUUCACAUAAAUACCAAGAACAUGGAUGAGCUCAUCAUAUAAUAACUUUCAUAUACAUAUGCUUUCCAUAUCAUACUUCCAUAUUACAUGUACAUUUCCAUGACAAAUCAUUUUAAGUUCAAUUUAGCCAUGUCAAAACUUUACCCAUUGAAUUUAUUUAAAAUAUUGAUGGAUACACUCAUGUAGUACACUUAAAGUGUACAAAAUUGAAAAUCCGUCAAUUCAUAUCCAAGGGUACCCAUUAGGGCACAUAAUCAGGAAGCACUCUCUCGAGCCAUAUAAUAGGAUGCUCAUGUGAGCCAUGUAACAGGAAAUUUAUCCGGGCUAUAACAGGAAACUCAUAAGAGUUUAAAAUAGGAAGCUCAUUGAGCUUAACAAGUAACUUCGAAAAGUUAUUAUCAGAGAGCUUCGGAUAGCCAUAUAACAGGAAUAUAUGCGGGAUCACAACCGAUCAUAUAACAAAACGCUCACAAAGAGCUGUGAUAGUCUGUAACACAUGCAGGAUCACUACCAAUGAGGAUGCUCAUAGGAAGCAUAUAACAGGAUGCUCAACAGGGCUUAUAACAGGAUGCUCAUAAGAGCUAUGGCAUGUCCACAACAUUGCAAGUCCACAACCAACAUGUAACACCCCGGACCCGAGACCGUUUCCCGAGUCGAACACAAGGUGUAAACGGGUUUAAUUUAUUACUUAAACAGCUCAUGCAAUUCAUUUUAAAAUUUUCUAGACAAGCUGGCUAACUGCAUCACAGUUUCUUUAAAAAUCAUAUCUCGAGUUCUGAAACUCGAAAUCCAAUUCCGUAAAUUUUUCCUGAAACUAGACUCAUAUAUCUAUCUACUAAAAUUUUUCCAGAAUUUUUGGUCGGUCCAAUUAGUACAGUUUAUUAGUUAAAGUCUCCCCUGUUUCAGGGUUCGACUACUCUGACCUCUAUGUAUUACCAAUCAGAUAUCUCCCUGUACAGAGAUUCAAUGACUAUGCCGUUUGUCUCUAAUAAAACUAGACUCAAUAAGGAAUCUGUAGAUAUAAAGAAUGACUUCUAAUUAUCUUUGUAAAAUUUAUGGUGAAUUUCCAAAGUCAGAACAGGGGAUCCAGAAAUCGUUCUGGCCCUAUUUCACAAAAUUUUAAAUAUCUCAUACAAUAUAGCUCAUAUAUCUGUUUUACUUCUUCCAUAUGAAAAUAGACUCAUCAAGAUUCGAUUCCAUAAUUUAUCCAUUAUUUAAUUCCAUUUCUACUAUUUUUAGUGAUUUUUCAAAUUCACACCACUACUACUGUCUAAAUCUAUUUUAUGGUUUCCAUGGAUUAGCUAGUAAUUUGACAUACAUAACACCAAAUAUGAUCAGCCAUGGCAUACGGCAUAAUAAUCAAAUAGACUUAGACUACUACUCCAUCAAAACCGAAUUAUCAAGGCCAAAUCUACUGAACCUUAUAACUAAGCACCCAUAAGGCUAAAUUCAAACUUAGCAUUUAAGCCAUAUUCGCAUGGCUAAAAGUUUACAUAUUGGGGUUCAAACAAAACAUAAUAGCCUAUACAUGCCGAAAUGUUCUCUUAGGCCAACUAAGAAGAGGGUACCAAAAAGUUGAAAGCCGGUGUGAUGACUUCGACGAUGGUCCCAAGUACGCAAAAUGGUCAGAGAUAUCUAAAUAAGAAACAAACAAACACACCAAAUGAGUAUUCAACUCAGUAUUCCAUAAGCAAAAUAAUACAGGUUAUUUAUAAGAAAUUGAAAUAAAAGCCUUGCAAGUUCAGCUAAUUUAAUCACACCAAACUAGGCUACAACUACCUAGUUUAUUUAUCCAACCUCGAACCCAAGUUUUCGAUAUCGAAUCAAUUAUUAAACAACCAACCGUUUUAAAACUAUUCUCAAGGUAAGAAAUAAUUAUGAACUAGAUGUAUAUACACACAUACUUUUCAGUUAAUCAUUUUAGCACCUUAAUUCUUUACUUAUGCUCUUCGUAUCAUCAACCGCUUUUGCACACUUAGUGCUAAACAAAUUUGCACACUUAGUGCGGUACUAUCCCGCACACAUAGUGCCUUGAAAGUUUAUCUCAUAUGUUGACAUUCAAAUCAGCACACAUAGUGCUAUUCAACUCCGCACACAUAGUGCCAUACUACACCGCACACAUAGUGCCAAUGUACACUUUCUAUGAUAAAACAAUUUAAUUAAUUCAUUUGGCAUGUACAGCCACAACAAUAAACAUAUAUAAUUUCUCCAAGGAAAUACUUAAUAAAAAGAUUCUUUCAUGACAUGUUAAAGUCAUUUAUGUAUAAUUUAAAUUAACCCUAUGAUUGCUUAUGAACUUACCUUGUGUUGGGUAAAAUAGUUCCAAGUCGGCUACUCGAUGACCUUCGAUUUUCCCUUGUUGGACUCCUCUCCUUUAGGAUCUUGAGCUUAAACAAAUAAAUUAACUCAUUUAACCGCUUUGCUACAUAUAUUUGUAUCCACAUUUUAAUGAUUUUAUAGCAUACGGAACAACAUGGUAAAAUUUUUAUCUUUCUACCUUAUGCUCUUAAGCUAUUCGGCUUAUAUUUCAAUUUCUCCAAUGCUGAAUGCAACAUCACUUCCCAUCAUAUCAUCUUCUCAAUAUAUUUACAUCCAGUCAUAUAUAUGAAAUCAUGAAUCAAAUUCAACAUAUUAGCCAAUAUUCUCCUUUAGCCGAUUAUCUAAGUCAAGAUAAAAUCAUCAAUAUGCUUAACUAUAGCCGAAUGUGCAACAUCAAUCUAUCACUAUCAGCUAUAUACUUAAUUAAAGGCCGAAUAUAUGCAACAUCAAUCUAUGUAUUCAUUCAUGUGGUCGAAUAUACAUAUUCCAAUAUAAUAUCAUUUCCAUUUCAUUUAACACUUAACAUUUACCACAUAUCAAUUAACCAAUUUUUUUUUUAUAAUUACAAAACUCUUCAUCUAUUCAUGCUCUCAUAUUCGGUCAUCCAUACCUAUACUAACCAUAUAACUAAAUAAUUCUAAGUUUAAACACAAAUACAACAUUUUAGCACCAUGGCCGAACACUUCAUGAAGUUGCUAAGACCCAUCAUUUUCUAAUUCCCACACACACUCACAUCCAAUCCUUUUUAUUAAAUACUCAAACUCAAUCAUCUUCAUGCCUCAUCACAACAACAUCAAAACACCAACCAAGAAAGACAACAUCCAUGGCCGAAUAUCAUCUCCAUCAAAUAGCAAAAAUUUAAACCAUGGGCUAGGUAGAAUUCAAACUAACAACUAAAAAUAUGCAUGAAUUUCAAGGAAUAACAUCAAACAUACCUCAACCUAGUUACAAGCAUGGCCGAACUUCUUCAAACCUUUCUUUCUUUCUUUUACUUGGUUUUUCGGCUAAAGGAUAGCAAAGAUGAACACCCCUUUCUUUUUUUUUUCUCUUGUUCAUUUUAAUAUUUUUAUUAAUCCUUAUGUUAUGAAUAUUUUAUUUUCUUACCAAUUAAAUAUACUAAUCUAAUUUAAAUUAGUGAAAUGCAUCACUACUUGGCCGGCCAUUAAGUCAAAAAUGGGCAUUUUGACAUGCAAACCCAUGCUUCCUCUCUCUAUUAUUAUUUACUCCUUAUAAUUCAUCUAUCAUCUUUUCUAACUUCAUCAACUAGGUCCUUUCGAAUUAAUUCACAUUCCUAAAGCUAAUAUUAAGCAUUUAACUUUUCAUAUAUUCACUAUCACACAUAAAUUUAUGUAAUUAAAACACAAAAAAAAUAAAUUUUUGACUCGGUAAUGUGGUCCCGAAACCACUUUCCGACUAGGGUCAAUUUAGGGCUGUCACACAACAUGGGAAAUCUUGUAUCCAUCGAAUUUCAUUUAUUCAAACGGGACUUAGUACUUGUCAGAAAUUAUCGUAUAUGUGAUUUAUGUUUAAACGUGAAAAUCAUACAUUUCACAAUCAUAACAUUCAAUUUACACAUAUAAACAUACAUUUUAGUUACACGAACUUACCUCAUUACUUGCUCGUAUACGAAGAUCUACUAAUCCAAUACUUUUUCCUUUCCUCGAUCUAACUCCUAAUUUGAUUUUUUUGAAUCCAAUUAAGCUUGCUUGAAAUUCUCUCUCUUCACUAGGGUUUCCAUAAAAAUUUUGGGGAAGAUGAUGAUAUGAAAUUUUUUUAUUCAUUUAAUUAACUUAUCAUCCAUUAGUUUUUCAACUUUCCAAUUUAAUCUUUUUCUUUUUCCAAUUUUCCAUGGAUGAAUCAUCAUAAAUAUAUACUAACUUCUCUUAAUGGUCUAUUUGCCAUAUAAAGAUCUCAAAUUUUGUAUUCCAUAGCUAUUUGAUCCUUCUAGCUACUAGAAUUUAACUUUUACAUUUCAUACAAUUUGGUCCUUUUAUCAAUUAAACAUGUAAUCGAUAAAAUUUUCUUUUCGAAAUUUUCAUAUGGAUUUCCUAUCAUAAUACUGACCAUGCAAUAUUAUGCAAAUAAAUUUUCUUUUUGACUCAGAUUUGUGGUCCCGAAACCACUGUUUUGAUUUCAUUGAAAAUGGGCUAUUACAACUCUCCUCCUUAAAGAAUUUUCAUCCACGAAAAUCUUAACAAUAAAGAGGUUCAGGUAUUGCUUUCUCAUUGUUUCCUCCGGUUCCCAAAUAGCGUCUUCUAUUCCAUGUCGUUGUCAAAGAAGUUUCACUAAAGCUACCUUUUUAUUUCUUAACUCUUUUGUUUCACAUGCUAAAAUUUUGAUUUGUUCUUCACUGUAAGUCAUAUCAGGCUGAAUCUCAACUUCUAUCAGAGAAAUUAACAUGUGAAGGAUCUGACUAAUACCGUCGUAACAUAGAAACAUGGAAAACAUUAUGAAUUCUAUCAAGCUCUGGUGGUAAUGCCAAUCGAUAUGCAACAGGUCUGUUCUUUCAAUGACCUCAUAUAGUCUAACGAUUCGUGGACUCAAUUUUCCUUUACGACCAAACCGGAGAAAUUUUUUCCAAUGUGAUACUUUCAAGAAUACCUUAUCACCAACCUGAAAUUCUAUCUCUUUUUGUUUAAGAUCGACAUAAGACUUUUGACGAUCAGAGGUUUCUUUCAAGCUAUCUCGAAUUACUUUUUUCUUUUCUUCAAUUUCUCUGAUUAAAUCAACUUCGUGUAUCUUUUUCUCAUACAGAGCAUCGUACAGUGUCAUUUUAAUGUUGGACUGAUAACUAUUAUUAUAUGAAAAUUCAACUAAAGGUAGAUACUUUUCCUAGUUACUUUCAAAAUUCUAGUACACAUCACUAAAGCAUAUCUUCUAAAAUCUAUAUUAUACAUUUGGAUUGACCAUUUGUCUGAGGAUGGAAUGCAGUACUAAAAUGCAAUUGAAUACCCAGAGCUUCUUGCAACUUGCUCCAAAAUCGAGAUGUAAAUCGUGGAUCUAUAUCAGAAAUAAUGGAGACUGGUACCCAUGUAAUUUAACAAUCUCAGAAACAUAUAACUCAGCCAAUCUGUCUAAGGAAAAAUCCAUACGUACUGGAAUAAAGUGUGCAGACUUCGUCAAUAUAUCGAUGAUUACCUAAAUGGCAUCUUUCUUUUUCAGAGAUAGGGGUAAUCCCGAUACAAAAUCCAUAGUACGUCUUUCCCAUUUCCACUCUGAUAUUGUAAUUGGAUGUAAUAAUCCCGAAGGCACCUGAUGUUCAGCUUUAACUUGCUAACAUAUCAAACAUCUAGAUAUAAAUUUAGAAAUAUCACGUUUCAUUCCUGGUGAUCAACACAUCUUUUUCAAAUCAUUGUACAUUUUAUUACUCCCUAGAUGAAUAGACAUAGUAUCAUUAUGAGCUUCGUGUAAAAUAUUUUGUACAAGUUGUGAAUUCCUCGGUACACAUAUUCUACCUCUGAAUAAUAGACAAUUAUCAAACCCAAUCUGAAAUUCUAAAUCAGAACUUAACUCACAUUGAACUCGUUUAGCUUGUAGUUCAUCACCAUUUUUCUGAGCUUCACAGAUCUAUUGUAGAUAUGUCAGUUUGACUUUUAACUCAGCUAGGAUUGAAUUAUCAUCUGACAAUGACACCCAGGUAUUCAUUACUCGUAAAGAAAAUAAAGAUUUUCUGCUUAGAGUUUCAGCAACCACAUUGGCUUUUCCCAGAUGAUAGUCGAUAACCAGAUCAUAAUCUUUCAAUAACUCAAGUCACCUGCGCUAUCUCAAGUUCAAGUCUUUUUGUGACAUUAGAUACAUUAAAAUUUUAUGAUCAGUAAAUAUAUGUUUCACCAAACAAAUAGUGUCGCCAAAUUUUUAGUGCAAAAAAAAUGGUUACCAAUUCUAGAUCAUGUAUUGGGUAGUUCUUUUCAUGUGGCUUUAACUGUCUAGAAGAAUAGGCUAUUACUUUACCUUCUUGCAUCAAGACACAGCCUAAACCAUUUAAUAACGCAUCAAUGUAAAUUACAAAUUUCUUACCUGAUUCAGGCUGAACUAGUAUGGGUGCUUCAGUUAACAAGGCUUUCAACCUGUCAAAACUCUGCUAGCUUUUAUCAGUCCAUUCAAAUUUCAUAUCUUUUUGCAAAAAUCUUGUAAUCAGAGAAGCUAUCAUCGAGAACCCAUUUACAAACCUCUGAUAAUAUCUAGCUAAUCCCAGAAAACUUCUAACUUCUAGCUUAGAAAAUCUCUUGCAUCAAAGCUUCACACGCUAGUGUGGGUAUAGAGCACAUGCCCGUGUGCUACUACCAUGCAUACAAACUUGAAAAACUUAGGUGUAGGGGACACACGGUUGGACAACACGCCCAUGGGGGUAGACCGUAUGCCACACACGGUCUAGACACACGCCCAUGUGUCUAUCCGUGUGGACAAUUACAAGGCUAUUUUCCAAGCCAUUUGUCACCCUCGCAACAUGUGCACAUAUACUUAUCCAAUAACAUACAACAUGGCAUAAAUGUGCUCUUAAACAUCUACAAACGUUAUGCUCAAGUCAUUUUAUUAUGCAAUAAAUACCAUAGAAUUUGCUCACAUCACAAGAGAUAGUAUCAUACAUAUAUAUGAAUAAACAUUUAGGUCCACAACAUCAUUAGCCAACAUAGGCCAAUUCACAUGGCCAAAACACUUUACAAAUACAAGCCAACACCUUUGGCUAGAUUAUAAUAUCACAUACUCAACAUUAAAACCCUAUACAUGCCAUAGACUCGAAACACUAGGAUUUACUUACACCAAUAGCAUGAACUCGACAGUGUGAUAAUAUCUCUGAUGGCCUCCAACCCGAGCAAACCUGGCAACCCUAAAGAACAUGGGAAAGAAAGGGGUGAGCUUUACGCUUAGUAAGUUCUUAAGAAAACAAUUAGCAGCUCAUUUAUAUGUUUUAUCAAUGUUUACAACAUAUACUAAAGUUCACAACAAGCUAUCGUCCUGAGCAACAGUCACUAAAUUAUUUAUAACUGGAGCUACAAAACUCCAAAUCAAUUGAUGUUAAUUUUUCCUGAAAAAUAUCUUCUAUCCAUAAAAUUUUCAGAAUUUUUGGUUUGGCCAAUCAAUACCAAAUUUUUCUUGAAGUUUCCCCUGUUUCACUGUUUGACUAAUCUGACCACUCUUCACUACGAGUCCAAUUUCUCAUUGUACAGAAUUCAAAAUAUGUUCUCGUUGAUUUCAUUUGAAACUAGACUCAUUAAUGAGUCUAAGAAUAUAAACUUUAUCUUAUAACCAUUUUUUUACAAAUUAUAAUGAUUUUCUAAAAACAGAAUAGGGGAAUCCGAAGUCAUUUGAUUCUCUCCCACGCCACUUCAAAUAUCUCAUUAUCAGCUAUUCUUUUGCUUACACGGUUUCUUUUAUAAGAAACUAGAGUCAUUAAGCUUUAAUUAAAUAAUUUAUUCAGCUUCUAACUCAACUCCUACAAUUUAUGGUGAUUUUCCAAAAUCACAUUACUGUUGCUGUUCCAAGUAGAUUUAUUACAAAUUUACUCUUUCACACAUUCUUUACAUUCAUAUUAUUUAAACAUGUAUAUCACCAAUCAAUUUCAUACAUAUCUAUACUUUUACUUAAGAAUAAUCUCAAUACAAUACAUCAUGCUCAAUGAUUCGCAAACAACCAUUCAAAUUAGCAAUUAUAAGGUGGUUCCGCACAUAGCCCACCCUUAUCGAUAAUUUACGAUGGUUUUACCCUUACUCACAUAUAUGACAUAGGCAUUUUCACCUAUGCUUCUCAAUUCACAUUCGUGAUUCAAUUCCAAUUGAUCUAACAUGCAUAAGUACAUAUCGUAUACCUGGCCAACUUAAUGUAUUGAACGAAUUCAAUUGUCGAUUUAACACAAGGUCUUAUAGUUGAACAUAAACAUGAAACCAUUUCUCAUAUGUUCGAUUCACAUCAAUCAUCAAAUUCAUUUAACUCACAUGUACAUAAUUAGGUUGUUCGUACCUGAAUAAUUUACUUUAUGAAAUGAAUCCACAUAUCGUAUUAGCCUAUAGUCUUAUAGCACCACACUUUUAAUAGUUCACUGGCAAUUUGCCUGUUAGGUAAUAACCUGAUUUCAUCACCGGCCAUAAGCCUACUAGACCUUUAAGUCUGAAUUCAUUCACUGGCAUUUCCCCUGCUAGGCUUGAAGCCCGAUAUCAUUUCACCGGCAUUAUAGCCUACUAGGAUCGAGGCCCGAUAUUAUCUCACCAGCAUUAUAGCCUGCUAGGCCUGAAGCCCGAUAUCAUUUCACCGGCAUUAUAGCCUGCUAGGCCCGAAGCCCGUAUAUCACAUUUUGAUAAACAAUUCACCUGUUCUUUCACACUUUCAUAACUUAUACUUCAAUUACGUAUAACUAAAACACAAAUCUAUGAACAAAGAUUUUCAUCCUUUCAACCACAUAGGGUUUAAUUUCCACAUUGGAACACAUAUCUUAGUACAUCAUUUAAUAGUAUCAAAGUCGACUAGAUAUGCUAGUCACAUACGGCUCAUAACUUUAAUUUAAUAUUCAUUCAACACAAAGAAAAUAUGUAUAUAUAUACAUAUAUACAAUCAAACAUUUCUUAAUUAUGAUUAUUCAACUCUUAAGCAUAUAACAUGAUCAAACACAAACACUUAAGAACUUACCUUGGAUUUUAUCGAAUAACUACGGAUUGAAUAAUCGACUAGUUUCGCUUUCCCUUUAUCCAAAAUUGGCUCCUUAUGCUCUUAAGCUUAGUCUAUACAUUCCCCAUAGCCGAAUGCCUUAGCUUCAUUUUCUCUUCUUUUCUUUAUGGUUUUCGGCAAUAAUUGGGAGAAAGGAUGGGUGUAACUUUGUUUUUAUCACCAUUUUCUAUUAUAAAAAUUCAUAUUUCAUCCUAUUAAUCUAUUAAACAUUUAAUUCUUUAAUAUAAAAGACAUGAAAUGCCCAUCAUCCACUAACUAUUAUAAUGCUAAAAUAAAAUGCAUAUAUUAUUUGCACCAUACUUAAGUUAUAAUAUAAAAUGCACAUAUUGCUUAUCAUUCCCAUCAUGGCCGGCCACUACAAAUAAAGUGGGAAGUUUGACAUGCAAAUCCUCCUAUUUUGCACUACAAUUUAUUUGGCCACUACAAAUUAACCUAUCACAUUUUCAAGAAUUUUCUCAUAAGUCUUAUUUCAUAAUUUCACUCACAAAUGACAAAAUCAAAGCAUGAAAUUUUCACACAUGCACCUUCACAUAUAAUAAGCACAGAAUAUAACAUCUAAUUAUUUUUGUGACUCGGUUUUGUGGUCCCGAAACUACUUUCUGACUAGAGCCAAAUUAGGGCUGUCACAACAAGUAAUCAAUAAGAGGCAAUGGAUACUUAUUCUUUAUUAUGACUUUGUUGAGCUAUUUGUAAUCAAUACAUAACCUCAACGAUCCAUCUUUCUUUUUAACAAAUAAAACCAGUGCACCCCAAGGUGAUGAGCUGGGUCGAGCAAAACCUCUGUCAGUCAAUUCUUGCAACUGCGCUUUCAACUCUUUUAACUUCGUAGGGGCCAUCCUGUAAGGUGCUAUAGACAUCAGUGUUGUCCCUAAAACAAGAUCUAUGGAAAAUUCCACCUCUUUGACUGGUGGUAAUCUAGGUAAUUCUUCUAAAAACACAUAAGGAAAUUCACAAACAACCGGCACUAAUUUAAUCUUUGAUUCAGAUACUUUAGUGUCCAACACAUAUGCAAGAUAGGCAUCAUACCCUUUUCUGAUAUAUUUCUGUACUGAUAUAGCUGAGAUCACAUUUGACAACCCGUCUAGUUUAUCAGAUUCAAUACGAAGUAAUUCACCAUUCAGACAUUUUAAUACAAUAUAUUUUUGUUUACAAUUUACCACUACAUCUUGUUGAGUUAACCUGUCCAUACCCAUAAUUGCAUCAAAUUCAUCAAAUGGCAACAACAUUAAAUCAGCUGAGAAACAAUAACCCCGUACCAUUAAUAGAAAAUUUUUACAAACUUUAUCCACCAUUACAUACUGGCCUAGGGGGUUUGAAACUUUAACCACGAAUUUAGUGGACUCAACAGAUAAAUUUUUAACACACACUAAAUUUGUUCAUAUGUAUGAAUAUAUUGAACCAGGAUCAAUCAAAGUUGUAAUAUCAGUAUCAAGAAGAGAAAAUAUACCAGUAAUGACGUCUAGUGCAGAGGCAUCCUUUCUGACACGAAUAGCAUAUGUUAUUGCUGGUGCUCGUGCUUCAGAUUUAGUAGUUGAAUCUUUUAUUAUACCUCGGCUACCACCGAUAUUUUCAGGGUUACGAGGUGGUCUACCUCUCAAGGCAGGGUUGCUCAGCUUUGAAGUCUAGACAGUAUCUUUUUCAAUCCUUUUCGAGCAAUCUUUGAGAUAGUGGUCAAGAGAACCACAUCUAAAACAGGCUCUGCUUCUCAUGUGGCACUCACUAAAAUGAAACUUAUGACAAUGCUUACAUUUAGGUUUGGGAUUUCCGGCACUUCUAGCACUUGCUACUGAUGAGGCCAGAGAUCACGGAUUAGAGCGUUGAGCACUUUGGUCUCUUCCAAAGUACUCCACAGAUGUGGUAGAAGGAUCAUGAUAUUUUUUUGAUUUUUUUGAAGGUGACGGUUGUGACUUUCCAAUAAAUCUUUUACUUGAAGUCCGUGCUUCCAUCUCUGUCUCUCUUUUCUUUACUUAAUUUUUCUACUUUAUGUGCUUGAUCGACCAGUACCACAAAUUCUUUUUAUUCCAGAAUCCCAACUAACAACUUGAUGUCUUCAUUUAAUCCCUCUUCAAACCUUUUACACAUGGCAACUUCAGUCAGUAUACACUCUCUGGCAUAUUUGUUCAAUCUAACAAAUUCUCGUUCAUAUUCAAAUACUGUCAUAUUCCCCUGUUUAUGCUCUAAAAAUUCCUUCCUUUUCUGAUCCAAAAAUCUCUAACUGGUAUAUUUCUUUUUGAAUUCAGUUUGGAAAAAUUCUCAAGUAACCUGUUCUUUUGGCACAAUAGAAAUUAAAGUAUUCUACCACUAAUAAGCUGAAUCUUUUAACAAAGAUACAAUGCAUUUCAAACAUUCAUCAGGUGUGCAAGACAAUUCAUCCAAAACCCUGAUAGUACUUUUUAACUAGAAUUCAGCUCUUUUCAAAUCAUCUUUAGUAGUAACCCUAAAUUCUUCUGCCCUAUAUUUAUAGAUUUUAUCUACCAGAGGCUUACCAAAUCUAACAGGCUCUGUACCUUGUGGCAUAUUGGUGACCAGUUGAGAAACAGGAGGGGGAGGUUGUUGUACAGUGGGAUUUGUUCUCAAGUAUUCAGUGAACCAUUCAUUCAUCAUUUGAAAGAAGGUUUCUUUAUAUAGGCCUUCUACUAUUUGAUGCAGCUAUUUGAAUUGAAGCUUGAGCAUUGCUCUCAGCUUCCUUAGAGUCAGCUCGGUUAUACAACAUUACUAUAUAAAAAAAACAUAUUUAAAAGAAUCAGGAGAUAUCACACUAUCACAAUUUAUAUAAUGGCAUGUAUUGCUAAAAUCGUACUUGCUACGUUAGUCCAAGCAUCGGCUAAACCGUAGCUCUGAUUUCAAUAAAUGUAACACCCCUAACCCAUAUCCGUCAUUAGAACAGUGUUAUAGAGCACUACUAGAGUUUACAGAUCAAAUAUAAUUAAAUCGUAUCAUUUACUAUUCAUGUCUGAAAUCAUACAUAAUCAAUCAUAUUGUCCCUUAAAUGGACCCUCGAGGUCCAAUUUAUGCAAUAGAAACAAGUUGGAACCGAAUCGAGAACUUAGAGAAUUUUUCACGAAAUUUCAAAAUUUUUCUUAGGUGCAAGGGACGCACGCCCAUGUGGCUAGGCCACACCAAUGUCUCAGGCUGUGUGGGCAUUCAAUGUGAGGUAUAAGGCGGUGUCCUAGCCCGAGUCCAUACCAUGUAACUCUCUAACUUAGGUUACACGGCCAACCACACGCCCGUGUGCUAGGCCGUGUGAACAAAUUUAAUUUUCAAUAAUUAAGUGCAAGGGUCACAUGACCAAGUUACAUGCCCAUGUGCUAGGCCGUGUGACGCAGACGGCUGAGACAUACGUCCACGUCUCUACCCAUAUGAGCAAUUUGAUGCUUUUGUUUCUCAAAUUUAAGAUAUAGGGGACACACAGCAACACCACACGCCCGUGUCUCUGCCCAUGUGGACAAAAAUAGGUCAUUUUAUAAGCCACUUUUCUCACCCAAAUUUUCUUUCACCUACAACAUCAUUUAAGCACAUUCACAAGCCAAUUCACAACUCACAAACCAAGUCAAUAUCUAAGUCUUUUACAUGAAAUAUCAUCACAUUUAUCCAAGUAUUCAAUUUUACCUAAUUGACCAUAUAAACAUAUAUGUAUGUAUUUUACCAAUUCUUGAAAAUUCUUAACAUACUUAUAUAACUUCCAUCAUUUAACCAUUUCAAUACACACAACAAACAUGAUAAGGCCUUAUAUAUUUACAUCAAAAUAUGCCAAACACUAGCCAUUCCAAUGGCUAGUUACAUCCAAAAACAUUAUUGUGCCAACAUUGGCUAGUUAACCUAUACAUGCUAUUAUAUCUAAAAUAAAGUUUUCCGUUUUCUACCAAAAUGAGUUGAAGGAUAGUGUGAUUUUGCUUUGACCCGCUUCCAACCUUUUCGAGCUUCCGAGUACUAUAAAACAGAGAAGAUAAAACAAAGUAAGCAUUUACUGCUUAAUAAGUUUGCAUAACUGGAAAUUUAAUUUACCAUUCAUUUUUAUUAAAUAAAGAUAUAAAUUGUAUCCAAGCAAUUUUGCCUUAAAGCCUAAAACACACAACAUCAUCAAUCAUGUUAGUCAAGUAAUUGACAUAAAUAUCAAGAACAUGGAUGAGCUCAUCAUAUAAUAACUUUCAUAUACAUAUGCUUUCCAUAUCAUACUUCCAUAUUACAUGUAUAUUUCCAUGACAAAUCAUUUCAAGUUCAGCUUAGCCAUGUCAGGACUUUACCUAUUGAAUUUAUUUGAAAUAUCGAUGGAUACACUCAUGUAGUACACUUAAAGUGUACAAACUGAAAAUCCGUCAAUUCAUAUGCAGGGGGUACCCAUUAGGGCACAUAAUCAAGAAGCACUCUCUGGAGCCAUAUAACAGGAUAGUCAUGUGAGCCAUGUAACAGGAAACUUAUCCGAGCUAUAACAGGAAACUCAUAAGAGUUUAAAACAAGAAGCUCAUUAAGCUUAACAGGUAACUCCGAAGAGUUAUUAUCAGGGAGCUCCGGAUAGCCAUAUAACAGGAAGUUCAAGUGAACCAUAUCAAGAAACUCAUAAAGAGCCUAUAUUAGGACGCUCAUAAAGAGCUGCGUUUGUGUCCGCAAAAUAUGCAAGAUCACAAUCGAUCAUAUAACAGGACGCUCACAAAGAGCUGCGAUAGUCCGCAACACAUGCAAGAUCACUACCAAUCAGGAUGCUUGCAGGAACCAUAUAACGGGAAGCUCGAGAGGGCUUAUAACAGGGUGCUCAUAAGAGCUAUGGUGUGUCUGCAACAUAUGCAAGACCACAACCAGUAUAGGAAAUCCUGUAUCCAUCAAAUUUUAUUUAUUCAAAUGGACUUAGCACUUGUCAGACAUUAUCGGAUAUGUGAUUUAUGUUUAUACAUGGAAAUCAUACAUUUCACAAUCAUAACAUUCAAUUUAAACAUAUAAACAUACAUUUUAGUUACACAAACUUACCUUGUUACUUGUUCGUAUACGGAGAUCUACUAAUUCGAUACUUUUUCUUUUCCUCGAUCUAACUCCCUAUUUGAUCUUUCCGGAUCCAAUUAAGCUUGCUUGGAAUUCUUUCUCUUAGCUAGGGUUUUCAUAGAAAUUUUAGGGAAGAUGAUGAUAUGAAAUUUUUUUAUUCAUUUAAUUAGCUUAUCAUCAAUUAAUUUUUCAACUUUUCAAUUUAGUCCUUUUCUUUUUCUAAUUUUCCAUGGAUGAAUCAUCAUAAAUAUCUACUAACUUCUCUUAAUGGUCUAUUUGUCAUAUAAGGACCUCAAAUUUUGAUUUCCAUAGCUAUUUGAUCCUUCUAGCUACUAGAAUUCAACUUUUUCAUUUCAUACAAUUUAGUCCUUUUAUCAAUUAAACAUGUAAUCGGUAAAAUUUUCUUAACAAAAUCUUCAUGCGUCAUUCCUAUCAUAAUGCUGGCCAUGGAAUAUUAUUAAAAUAAAUUUUCUUUUUGACUCUGAUUUGUGGUCUUGAAACCACUGUUCCGAUUUCAUUGAAAACAGUCUGUUACACAUACAAUAUUUACUAUAAUCUCACUUCAACAUCACUUUAUGUCUAUUGUCAUUACCAUUUGUCACAUCAAUUAAGCUUUCUUUUAAAAUAUUCUAUUUCACAUGUCAAAUUAUUUUGCACUUUAUUUUACUAAUUUACUACAACUUUCACAAAGUUCACAUUUUAAUCUUUAGGUAAUAAGAGAAUUCAAGGGUACUUACCACUUUUCAACAUUUAAUCGUUUGUUUUUCUCUUUUCUUUUCCACUUGAAUCACUUCCUUUAUCUUUCUCUUUAAUAUCAUGUCAAGAACAUAAAACUUUCCAUGAAAAAUCUUUACUUUAACAUCAUUUCUAUACCUUUUUAACAAGAUUAAACUUGAAAACAUUAUGAAACCCUAAUAUUCAUACAUUGUUCUUUUGAUAUCAAACCUUAGUUUGAUUUUUUCUCUCCUCCAACAUGAACAUACAUCUUCCUCACUUAAAAAUCACCUUGUUGGUUUCACUAAAGAUUUCUAUGGAAAUUUGGUGGUUUUUAGCUUGAAUUUGAUGAUUAUGGUAGAAAGCGACUAAAUUGUAAAAGAAUGAAAACUCCAAUUAAAUGCAAAGGGAGUCUUGCGUGAGAAUGAAAGAAAUGUGAUGGAAAAUUGUACAUCUUUCUAUCCAAAUAUCCAACUAUUUAAUUAAUAAAAAAAUUUAACAUUAAAAUAAAAAUAAUAUUAAAAUAAUCAAAACAAUCAUCUUUCAACACUUUCCUUCCUUAAUUAUUAACAUGAUAAUUAUUUUUGAUUGGGAAAUGACCAUUUUGCCCUUGAAUUUUUUUAAUAUUCAAUUUUAGGCUAUUUUUGUAACACCCCGAACCCGAGACCGUCACCGGAGUCGAACACGAGGUGUUAACAGACUUUAAACCACUUAUAAAAAAAAUUUCCCAGACAUUGCCAAUCUGCGUACUAGUCGCUUUAAAAAUCAUAUCUUGAGUUCAGAAACUCGGAAUCCAGUUCCGUAAAUUUUCACUGAAACUAGCUUCAUAUGCCCAUCUACAUAUUUUUUUCUAGAAUUUUUGGUUGGGCCAAUUAGUACAUUUUAUUAGUCAAAGUCUCCCAUGUUACAGGGAUCGACUACACUGACCUUUGCGCAUUACGACUUGGAUAUCUCCCUGUACAGGGCUUCAAUACUGAUGUCGUUUGUUUCUAUAGAAACUAGACUCAAAUAGGAAUCUAUAAAUAUAUGGCAUGACUCCUAAUUAUCUCUGGUUAAUUUAUAAUGAAUUUCCAAAUUCGAAACAGGGAAUCCAGAAACCGUUCUGGCCCUGUCUUACGAGAACCUGAAUAUCUCUUAACAUACUAUCCAUAUGAUCGUUUCGUUACUUUCCUAUGAAAAUAGAUUCAUCAAGGUUCGUUUACAUAAUUUAUUCACUAUUUAAUUCCCUUCCUACUAUUUUUAGUGAUUUUCCAAAUCUACAUCACUGAUGCUGUCAGCAUCUGCCUUUAAGGUAGACUUUACCUAUUUCAUAGUUUCCAUGAUUCAACUAACCCUUUUAGCAUAAAUAGCACAAAUUAUGAUAGUGAUUAACCAUUCCCAUGGCCAAUCCUUGUUAAGCAUAUCCACACCUCUCAAUAACCAUAUCCAUACCAAAUGAUUAUAACAUUAUACUCAAACAUAUAUAAGCCAUUUUCGCAUGGCUAUCCAAAAUUAUACAAGUCCAAAGGGUCCAUGACCCCCAACAAAAAGGGUAGUCCUAUACAUGCCAUUUCGAAGUUCAACCAAAAUUGUACCAAAAAGGGGGGGGCUUUGAUAGUGUGGGCGACUUCGACUUCAAAAUCCCGAGUCCGAUAGCUGGAGAACCAAAAUCUAUAAAACAGAGAAUCAAGGAGACGGAGUAAGCAAUUUAUGCUUAGUAAGUUUUGAGCAAGGGAUUCCAGCACAACAAAAGUAUAGCAUUCAUGUAGCUAAACGGAUAAUUUCAUAUGCACAAUUUUUCAAUAUCAUACUUACUUCACAUUACCAACCCUUUUAUUCAUACACAAAGAUCAACUUAGCCAAACGCCGGUAGCUCAUUUAUCAACUGAGCGAAUACUUAUUUGUAAGGGCUCAACUAAUUCAAAGCACAUACGAAACAUACCUCAAUGUUGGGAUGUUUCAAGCGUAUUAACUGAAAUUUUUACAGCAAGAUCAUUCAUUCCCAAAUCACGUACCUUCGGAAUUUAACCGGAUAUAGCUACUCAUUCAAAUGCCUUCGGGACAUAGCCCGGUUAUAGUAACUCGUACAAAUGCCUUCGGGACUUAACCCGGAUUUAGUAACUCGCACAAAUGCCUUCGGGACUUAACCCGGAUUUAGUAACUCGCACAAAUGCCUUCGGAUCUUAGUCCGGAUAUGGUCACUUAGCACAAAGCCUUCGGGACUUAGCCCGGACAUCAUUCAAAUAACCAUGCACAUUUAACAAUAAAUCAUGGCACAUUCGUAUUUCGUUAGCAAAACUCAAACACAAGACACUUAUCAUUCUUGCAAUUUCGGCUCAAUAGCCACACACAAGGAGCAUGAUUUUGAUUUGCUUAAAACAUGAUCUAAUCAAAUCAUAAUUUAAGCUCUUUUACUCAAGAACUUACCUCGGAUGCUGUCGAACGAUUCCGAUGGCUAUUCGACCACUUUUUCCUUCCCUUUAUCGGAUUUAGUUCCCCUUUGCUCUUGAGCUUAAUUAAAUAAAUAAAUUGAUUUAAUCAUUUGAGCAUCGAAAAAAGGAACACAAGGCACUUAGCCCAUAUUUAUACAUUAGAAAUUAAAGUCACAUACAUAUGAAAUCAUGAAUCAACUCAACAUAUUAACCCACACUUCUUUUUAGCCGAUUGUCUAAGCCAAGAUAAAAGCAUCAAUACGCUUGCCUCUAACCGAAUACAUGCAACGCCAAUCUUCUUCCUAUGGCCGAAUAUGCAUGUCUAUGUUGAGGCCGAUUAUAUGCUUAAUACUUCCUACAAGUAUGGUUACUUGUAUUGAUUAUAUAUCAUCUUGUUUCAAGUUCAAAACUCGGCUAAUACACAUAUAUACACUAGUAAUCAAAUACUAUCAUUUUGCACUUCACCUUACUACCAUUUCACAUCUAUUUUCUACCAUGGCCGAAUGCAUCAAGACACCAUACCAUUCAAUUUUGGUCAUGGGUUACACAAAGAACUUAAUGUCUAACUCAAAAAUGUCAAAAAGAAAAUCCAAGAGUCAUCAAUCACCAUCACAUGUAUCAUUACAAAGCUUUACACUUAGCAUGCAAAUGACAUCAACACAAAUCCACCUUAGCCGAAACUUAACUCAUCUUCAUGCCUCAUCACCACAACAUCAAACAUCAACCAAGAAUGAUGCAUCCAUGGCCGAGUGUCAUUUCCAUCACAUAGCAAGAUUUAGACCAUGGGCUAGGUAGAACUCAAGCUAACAACUAAAACAUGCAUGCAUCUCAUGGAACAUCAUCAAACAUACCUUAGCCUAGUUACAUGCAUGGCCGAACCUCUUCAACCUUUCUUCUUCCUUCCUCCUUAAAAUUUUCUUUGGCCAAGGAUGAACCAAAGGAUGAACACUUUUUUUUUUGUUUUUCUUUCUAGUUUCGGCAAAAUGGGGGGGGGAACAACCACACACUUUUUUUUUUGUUUUCAUCAUAUUUCCUUUCAUUAUUUUAUGCCCAUGCUCCUUAUUUUAUCAUACUUCCCAUGAAACACUAACUCAACAUGUUUAUGACAUGUUCUUGCCCAUCACACUUGGUCUACCAUGCUUGUCAUGGCCGGCCACUACUAAUUAGGGGGGGGGGAAUUUGACAUGCAAGUCCCCCCUUUUUAUUUCAUGCACUAAUAGAUCCUUAUGCUUUGACCUAUCACAUUUCAAAAUUUUCUCACAUAAGUCCUAUUUACUAAAACUCACAUGCAAUCGACUAAAUCGAAGCUUGAAAUUUUCACACAUUCAUAAUUACAUAUUCUAGACAAUAAAUAUCACAUUCAAACAUUUCGGUGACUCGGUUUAGCGGUCCCGAAACCACUUCCCGACUAGGGUCAAUUUUGGGCUGUCACAAUUUUCUACUUAUAAAAAAUUACAAUUUAAUCCCUCUAAUUUAUCCUCUUAUUUGACUUGAUUUUUAUUCACCAAUUUAUUUUACUAUUUAGUCCUUUCUACCUUUGGGACAUUUUUACUAUCUGUCCUACAACUUUUUUGUAUUUAUGCCUUACCCCCAAAAUUUUUGAAUAUUUGCACUUAAGUCAAAAAGUUUUUCACAUCUUUUCAAUUUAGUCUCUGCCAUAAAUAAUUAUGUCACAACAUACUUCUUAAUUCAACUUUCUUUGGCAUCCACCAACCUUCUCUUUUAUCAUUUAUAUUUCUCAUUUUACUUUACCGAGAAAUUUAUUAUGCACGAUUUCCAAUUAAUACUACUUUCAAAUAAUAAUAAUAAUAAUAAUAAUAACAUAACGAUUUUAAGGAUGUUAUAGUUUGUACUAUGUGUCCAUGGUUCCUAUUAAUGACAAUGUUUUCUUUCCAAAAAAAAAGAGAUAAAAAGGAAUUAUAUUUGAUGCACGGUCGAUACAUAAGUCUCAUGUGCCAUUAAUAAAUAAUAGCAGAACACAUCAUCAUUAAAUUAAAAAAAAUAGAAGACUUGGAAAUAAAUACAAAUAAUUUUAUCUAAACAUAAUUGAGCAUUAAUUGUAACUAUUAUAAAUAAAUAUUAACAACUCUAGAUUUAGAAUCUUGGCAUAGAUUUUGUCAAUUUUACCCUUAUUCUUUUUUUUAUUAUCUAAAUUUGACCAUUAACCUUUCAAAAAGAGUCAAAUAACUUGCUUUUAACUAUGUUGGCAUGACAACCUUUGUGACAAUCAACGUGUACUUCAUGCUAAAAUAACACUAUUUGUCUUAUAUGUCACGUGAACAAAUAAUUUAAAAUUUAUAAAAAAAAUUAAAAAUUAUAAAAAGAAAAAAAAUGAAGCACACGUGGAUUGUCAUGUCUAAAAUUUUAAUAUUUUAGUCAAUAUCUCUGUUCAGAAAACAACAAUUCGACCCUUUUUGAAAGGUCACUAGUCAAAUUUGAUUACUUUUAAAAGGUUGAGGUUCAAAUUUAACUAAAAAUAAUAAUGGCCAAAUUGAAGAAAGAUAUAAACAUUGAGAGCUAAAUUUGGCAGAAGGCCUAUAAUAAAUAAUUUAAAACUUCUAACGUUAAAUAAUAAAGAGAUAAAUACAAAAAAAUAUACAUCAUCAACUUCAAUCAACAUCAAUCCAGUGUGUAAUUUGAUACAUAAAUUUUGAUUUUGCGCAAUUAUGCACAUUAAAAUUUUAAUUUGGCUCAAACAUAUAUAUAAAACUUUGAUUUUGAUUCAAUCGUAUAUAUUUAAAAAAAUGAAUAAUCAAUUUAUUUUUAUAUUAGAUAAGUAUAAUUAUUUGUAUAUGUAAUAUGUAAAUGUAAAAUGAUGCUUAUACCAAAAUGAUAUUAGUUGUUUAAGAAAAUUGAAUCAAAUUAAAAUGUCAUUUAUAAAAUUGCACAAAAUCAAAAUCUAUGUAUAACAUUACUCAUUGAACCAAAAUUCAUUUUUAUUUUAGGGAUUUAUCCCAUAAUAAAAUAUUAUAUAUGUUUUAAAUAAAUUUUAAAAUAUGUUUAUAUAAUACUAAAUUUUUUUUUUUUUUUAAAUUCAGAGCAACGGAACAGGAUAGACAGUGCAUAUGCAAACAUAGGUUGUAAGAAAAUAAAACGCUUAGCGGUUAGAAAGGAGAAGCGGAGCAAUGGCUUAACAUAUUUGUCGAGAAACCAUCCAUUUUUAGGCCAUUUCCAAAACAGCAACGAAAGCCUUCACAUCUCUUCCCUUAAAAUUCCUCUUCGAUUUCCAACCAAAUCAGAGAGCACAAAGAAAACAACAAAGGGGGAAGAGAGAAGUAGAAGUAGAAGAUAGAAGAACACAACAAUAGAUCUCUUUCUCUCUCUCUCUCUCUCUCUCUCUAGCUGGUGUUUUAGCGAUGUUUCGUUAAGAAUCAUUUGGAGGUUGAUGUAUGAAGUCCAACACUGGGGAAUAAUUGGUAAAAUAAUGGAGGUUCAGCGUAUGAAGGAAUUGUUGUUACUUUGGUCGAGCUUGCAAAGUAAUCGUGUGGCUCUCGUGGGUGGAAAUCACACUGCCGCUCGAUUUUGCACUCGCUAAGUUUUGCCUUCUUCGCUUCUCUCUUUCUCGCCUGUUAUAAUCUCUUCCUUGUUUUACUUUAAUAUGCUAUCUCUCGAUUUUCUUUUCCGGAAAAGUUUUCUAUUUUUCUUCUCGUACAAUAUACCUUGCCUUUGAUCACCUUUGUUUUCUGAAUUUUUGUGAUUGGAUCUGUAAGCCCUUUUUUGUUUGUGUUUUAAUCAAUCAUUUGGAUCAAUGGCUGUCCAUAUUAUUUAUGGACUUCUAAACAAAUUCCAUAAAAACAAGCAUAAAGCCUUGAAAAAUGGCAUUAAUUUGCAGUCUGGUGCACGACUGAUCGUCAAAGUUCCUCGCUCUAGGGUUUUUAAGCUUCUUGCUCGGUUCUUGACGGUUUUGGCUUUGACCUUAUUUUUGCUUCCUUGGUCGGGAAUAAGAUUUAUCGUCAACGACGAACCCGCUCUGCCUAUUUAUACAAUCAAGCCUGAAGUUGUCCCUGAGGCCGCUGAUCCCAUUAAUCUGGAAUCACUGCUAUUGCUGUACAAUGAUUUGAACAAUGAAGGUAUACUGAAACCGGGAAACAAAGGACUCUUGUUAAGCGAUGACUAUGAUGAAGAAUCCAUUCAGGGAAAUUCCUUCCUAACCAAAACUGAUAUGGAAUUCAGUUCUACAAAUGACUUUGAUCGACUAAUGUUAAUCCCUGACGAGUCCUUCGAUUUCAUCUUCACUGAAAACAUUCAAUCCGCCCUCGAAUUCAUCGACCGGAGUCUCAAAGUUGGCGGUACUGUUGCUGUUCAGCAGCUGGACUCAUCGCUUUCAUUCAACAAGCCGUCUAAUUACAAGAUUGUUUACUUCAGGAAAUUCAAUUCCAACCUUUUUGUGAUGAAAAAGGUUGAGAAUGCUCAACCGAUCCCAAGCUCGCAAAGGCGGCUUUUGGGGUAUAAUACAUCAGAAGCGAAACGGGCAGCAUUGA